CGUGUAUGUUAAUUUAAUAAGUUUUAAUUAAUUAUAAUUAUUAAAUUUGAUAAAAAAAAAAUAAGAGAAUCAUUUAAAUUUUUAAAGUUUGAUUUACAUAUUAAAAUUAAAUAAAUUAAAAAUUUUAAAUGUGUCGAUUAAUAAGUUGAAGAAUUGUUGAAAAAUAUAAAAAUAUUAUAUAUAUCUACUUAUUUAUUUAUAAAUAGUAAAUUUAAAUAAUUAAUAAAUGUAUACAAUUAUUUUAUGUUUAGUGAAGGUAACCUCACCACUCUAUCUGAAGAGGUGACAAAAUUAAUAAAUACAACUAUCAGCUUCAUAUUACCAAACAGAAGAAAUGUAACUGCAGCAGUUGCAAUUGCGUAAAACCAAACAGACUAGGUGUAGUUAUAACUGCAGCAUUUGCAACUGCAUGUAUUUCCAACUACACUGUUUCUGCAACUACAUCCAACCAAACGGCCCCUUAAACUCGACUCUAUUUCUCUUCCAAUUUCUUUAAUUAUGCUCUCUCUCUCUCUAACCUAUAUUCUCUCUUCCUUUUUUCUAAAAAAAUGUUAAAAUUUUUUAUAGCAUUAUCUAAAAUUAAUUAAAAAAUAAAAAUAAAUUUAUUGUAUAUUUUUUGUAAUUUUAAAUAACAUGACUAAAUAAUAUGACCGUACGAACUAAAUAUAGGAAUACCAUAUUCUUAGUAAUAGAAUGAAUAGGACUAAAAUUAUCGGACAUCUUUUUGUUUCUAAUAAUCUUUCAUAGUACGAACCAAACGCGCCCUAAAGGGUAGUAGAUAAAAAAAAAGAAGUUAAGAUUUAUUGAUUCAUUAAAUUACAUGCAACCUGCAAACUGCUUUUGUUUCAUCCUUCCUCGAUGAAUUUUAUUAACUUACAAUAUUCCUUGAUAAUGCAGGAGAGAAUCCUGGAUGAUCUUUACUGUAACUAUUUCGACCGGGUCUAUCUCUCUCUCUCUCUCUCUCUCUCUACACAAAGAUCAAAAUAUCAUUAUUAUUAUUAUUAUUAUUUUAGAGAUAGGUAGAACGCUACCCGCUUCGUUUAUUUCAUUUAGAAAUAAACUUAGCUGGAAAUAUGAAUCAACUAGGAUUCAAAUUUGGGUCUCGGAUACCAACCACCAAAUUCUUUGCCACUUGCUCUAAGCACGGUCGGUAGAUCAAAAUAUUAUUGAUGUGGAAUAAAAUCUAUGCACAGAGAAAAAUGGCUACGGUUAUGCAGAAGAUUCGCGUAAAGGGGUAGAUUCGGAUGAUUGCAUUGUUGGCAGUUCCUUUUAUCGUCCUCUUUCUUUUGUUGGUGUUCUUUACAUAGUUCAACAAAUGGAAAUGGUGUGAUCUGGUACUGCAUUUCUUAGUGUGUGAAUUUUUACUUUAUUUUUGUUUUUGUUUUUUUUGUUUUUUGGUUUAAAGUGGGGAGCGUGGUAUAUAUAGCAUAUACUUGUAAAUACAAUUUGACUAAGGAACAAGAGCAAUGUACACUUUCCACUUACAUGAUCAUAUCUUACUACCUUGCAUUUUGGAAAUGUUGAAGCUCUUUCAAAUAAAUUAUAACUUGGGGAGAAAAAAAUUUAUAUCAUUUGGGCACUACCAUUUCCGUCAAACCGGAUGCACUUUCGAUUAGAUCAACUGAUUAAAUUUCCAGCUUAAAUUGGGUUCGAUCUUGACUCAGACCCGACUCAGCCUUGUUUAAUCUUUCUUCUUAUAUUGAGUGCUUUAGGUGUGGUCUAAUGAAUGUGUAAGGAUGAACAACAUUUUGUUUUUUCAGUUAUUGAUCAUUUAAAGUUAAGAAAUCAAAAUUGAAAAUUACAAAGAAAAAGAAAGGGGUUAUUAUGACAAAAGGGAACCAUUAAAUUGCUUAGAUUUUCAACUUGAUAUCUGAAACUAAUACAAAUAAUGAUACAACUUAAUUGUAUCAUUUUGUUGCAUGCAUCAGACCUUCCCUUUUUUCAAUUUUUUGCGAAAAAGGAGUUUUGAGAAUAUCCAAUGUAAAUGCCAUUUUCAUUAAUUGGUUUUCCAAAUUUGCUGAGCUGUAGCAUAGCAAUAAGCUCAAAAAGCAUCCACAAAACUAGCCCUUCCAACAACCAUUUAAGCUCUUUUUAGCAAAUUGGAAGGCAUAUCCAAAUCAUUAAUUUCAACCCUUAAGUUUUUUUUUCUUUUUUUCUUUUUUUUUUGAGAAAAAGCAGUAUGCUACCGCUUCAUUCAACUAGAAAGUAAACUUAGCUACAAGUUGAGAUAACCAGAGCCGCCAAGGACGGGAGAAAAGAAAAGAAAAAACAUAAAAGAAAGAUAAAAGAGAAAAACAAAUGAACAAUGCAACCCUUAAGUUACAAGAAGAAAAGCAUCAAGUUAUAUUUCUACAAUAACCAAAUGUUUAAUUAAAUAACACAUCAAAACUAUUUGUGAGGUAUGAAAUUUGAACUCUUGAAUUCAAAACUCUUGGAAAGUUUUCUUCGCCGUCUUCUGAAUAGCUUUAGAAUAUAUCAAGUGCAGGUAUAAAAUUACAUCAGGUAAUAAAAGUAAUAUAAAUACGACCAAAAUAAAUAAUCCUAUCACAACCUAAUCUCUCAUAAAUCAGAUUCCCCAUUUCUAUACCUCAAUUAUCAUCUGAAAUUAUGCCUCCUCUUGUCCCAAGAAUAUAUUUAGUAGAUGUAUAUAUCACUUAUUCUCUGUACAAAAUAUGAACCAGCCAUAACUUAAACCAAUGUGUUUUUUUAACUCUUAUCUUUUGAUCUUCGCAAAUCACCACGGAGUUAUUUGAACAAUUUCUUCAUUUCUUUCUACGGUCACGAGCUAUCCUCAUCCGAAUUACUACUAUCCCUUCUUUGUCCAUACCUAUGAAGAACCGGCAAAGACGCGCUCGCGGGGAUGCGAAAAGAACUAGCUGAACCUACAAAUGUCCUCUCCUGCAUUCGGCCGACAUCCUUGCACACAUGAUCCAACACCGAUAGAAAGUCCCUCACCACCACGAAUAUCCUCAAAGGGUGCGCCUCCUCCUUUGCGGUGUCUCCGUGGAAGUACCCCGUCGUCUCUUUGACUACGUUCAACGCCCUCUUCUCCUCUCCUCUCACUCUCACUAUCUCCCUCUCCGCAUCAUUUAGAAAAGCCUUCAUUCUUUCAAAGAAUUUCUUCCCUUGCGUGCAUGAAUUUUCAAGCUGCAAUACUGAUUUUAUUUUCUCGAGCCCGACUUCCAGCUUUGAGACGUAACUGCUGAGUACGUCGGAGUCCAUGGCGGCUGCUUUUUUCACAUUGCCUAGUUCGUUGCUUAGUCCAGCUAUUACCUUUAAGCCUUGUUUUCUGAACUGCUCUUCCCUCACGGUGUUGUUUGAAGAGUUUUCGAAUGUUUGAUCGCAGGAUAGGCCCUCUGAUCGGAUGAUUUCUUGGACGACGAAGUGGAGUAGGGUCGUUUUCCCGUCGGUCCCUUUGACAUCCGCAAGCUUCAGGAGAGUGUCGAGCUUGAAGGCCUUCGCCUCACCUCGGUUGGUUCCUACGUUCAUCCGGUUUCCAGUCCUCAGAACUGCUUCUAAGAGCUUUAGGAAGAGUCUACUGCUUCUUAGAUCAUCACAAGCAGCCUGAAUAAACAUGUGAGUAUUAGCCAUUAGUUAACGGAGAGAGUUUCAGGUUUAUAUUUCAUCUCCUUCUAUAUUUCUUUGAUUUUUUCCUUCCAUAAUAUACAGUUCAAUGAUUUGCAAUGAACUAAUAUUACCGAUGAAAAUUUUAAUGUUUGUAGUAUGAAAAUGCUCAAUAACAACCAUAAAUAGAUCAACAAAUCCUGGUGAGGACAGAAAGCCGAAGAAUAAGCAAUAAUUUUACCUCUAGAGUUUCAAAGGAUUUUCUCAGAUAAUUAACUUCCGUCUCAAAGUUGGCUCUGUAUAACAUAGCAUCAACUCUCUUGAAAGCAAAAGGUAUAUCCAACACAGUUUUCAGAAAGCGCUCUGCAGACCCGAGCUUUGAUAAAUCACCAUUAAAAUCUCGAAGUUUUAGUUCUUCCUCUUUUGUGGGAGCCAUCUUGACUAAAGUUUCCAGAAGGUCGGUCCCUAGAUAUUCAGGAUUGCCUGUCAUGAAAGAUUUUUAGAUCAGAAUUAAUCCAACACAAACUCAUAUCAGUGUAAAAAGUAGAUCGAAAUGGCUCUCAUUUACACAUUCCAAAAAGCAUAGAAUGCAAAAAUGAUCAUAUAACAAUACCAAAUUAGUCAUAACAGCUCGUUGUGACUGAUAUCACCCAAAACCAAAAAAAAAAAAAAAAAAUCAAAUUCACAAUCUCCUUAGUUAAUUUAUCUUGUUUGAAAAGAAUUUCACUUAUCGAAAAUUCAACUAAACUCUUCUGGUUAAAUGCCAUUUUGGUUCUAGUUUUAUUUCAUGCAACAGUAAUUUUUCGGUUUUGAAAUUCCUUAAAUGUUGAUCUGCACUUGGGCUCUUCCAGUCAUCUAAACUCACGAGGGAAGUAUACCCACCAAAACUCUCUUAAAAUCCAGGCAGUUAAGCAAGUCGACUGCCAAUAUACAUAGUCCAGAAUUUGUUUCCAUCAAACUUCCCUUUAUCAUGCCCAAGAGUUAGAACGAGUUCUCGGUACUUGAUCAUAUAAAUAUGUAGACCUCAAAAAGAUAAUAUAACUAUCCUUAUUUCCUACAGCUUGCCAAAAUAAAUCAAAGGCAAUAUGGAUGACAACUGAAAAAAAAAAAAAAAGGGCAUUUAGGUGGCAACGGCUUAAUCAGGAUGAAGUGCAAAUUCAACUUUAAUUCAGAGAGGCAACACAUUAAAUAACAGGUAGCAAAACAGGACAUCAUCUAAAAAUUCACAAUCACCUUAGUUAAUUUAUCUUGUUUGAAAAGAAUUUACUUCUCGAAAAUUAAAUUCUUAUUCGUGACGAUAACUGAUACUGGCAUAACUACUGCUUUUGAACAUGGAUUCAUAUAUAGCAACUCUUCAUUAAUAAAGUUUACAACCACCAAGAAUUCGUGUGACGGCAAAAAGUAGUUGUGGUAAUUAUCGAACAAAAAAGAUGCAUGACCAAGGACAUAACUUAUUCACUCGACAUCAGGAGGCCAUAAAUCCAAAAAGAAGAAACAGCAAAUAAUGCUAAUUUGGGAACAGCAUUAAAUGAUCACCAAGCACUGAUUAAAGACUGAUAGAAUCAUUAUCACAAGAAGACGCAUUUCAAGUAAACUUCGAUGUGCAGAGCGAAAACAACUUCCUACCAAAAUAGUUUGAAUCAAGAAGGCCAAAAAGCAUGCUAUAAAACAAUAACAUCAAUUCCUACUAGUCGUAAAAAUUGAAAAAUAUAACAGCUGAUGCUUGAUGAUUUGACUGAAAAUGAUGUGAAUAAAGAAUGAUUAGGACAUAAAAGCAAAAUGCUCACCAUCUAGAAGUGCUUCAGAAACCUCCUCGCGUGUCACAUUCAAAGCUCUCAAUAGAAUCGCUAUGUUCUGCGACUUUUUGGGGUCCAGCACUCUGUUCUCCUGCUUGAAUGGCGGAAGAACAGUUCUCCUGCUCGCUUCUCUGCCACUAGGGGCUGCGUUGUUGACAAAUAACGUCUCGAUCAUAUCCUCGUUCAACCUGCUCAAAGGGGAGAAACAAAAAAAAAAAAAAAAAAAACCAAUGUAACAGGGUAAAUAAAGUAUAAUGCUACUAAGGUACAAAGAUGUAGAUCUUAUUUGAGCUAUGAUCGAUUUUCAUUAUAACUGAGUUUCGCUUAGGUGGAGUAUGCACCGACAAACUAUGUGAAAGCUCCAUCAUAACUAUGCAUCUCACUUUACUUAGCAUGAUAAUGCAGUUAAUUAGAUUGUUUAGGCGAACCGAGAUGCACAGUCGGAAUAGAGCCUUCACAGCCGAAUAUAUUCAGUUAGUAAGUCCCGAUCAAAAUAUAGCAGUUUUGACCUUUUAGACCAAAUAUUUUGGAAUAUAAUAUUAGUUAGUUAAUGAAAACCAUUAAAAUUGUAACAGAAUUUCCAGUACCUAAUUGAAAAUGCACUGUAAUUCGAAUCAAAGAACGAAGAAGAGAAAUUUGAAAUGAAAAAGUUAAAAAAAAAAAAAAGAAAAAAAUUAAAGAGAAGUGGUGAUCUUACUGGAAUGAACUGGAUUUCAAUUGGUCCCACACCAUUGUUCGAUCGGAAGUUGCUCGGACUUUGUCCCAGUGGAGAGGCUUCAGCCUCGGCUUCGAUUCACCCUCCAGUGAAUUGUCGCCAUUUCCGUCGAGCGCGUGCGAAGAAGAGCCCCCGUUCUCAUUGCUAGGGUUAGAGGAGGAAGAAGAAGAGCCCAACGCAUUAAUCCGAGAUACCUCCAUCGGAAGCGGCUUCAGCAAUCGCCGCCGCGACGAGGGCGCAACCGGUGAUGGCGAAUCGGGAGCUUCUAGAGGCCGCGGCUCCUUGCGCGCCACCGCCGCCGCAUCCGAAGGCGGCGGCGGCGGCGGCGGCGGCGGUGGCGUUUUGGCAAUGUUGUGCAUCCUGGGAGGCGGCGGCGGCGGUGGUGGGGGAGGAGGAGGAGGAGGAGGAGGAGGAGGAGGUCGAGGAUGCGAGUGGUGGGGGAUGAGACCUUUGACGACGCUGAGUGCGAUACCGGAGAAGACGAAGAAGCCCACCGCCUUCGCCACGGCGGCUUCUUUUGAUCGGCCCUUCCGGCCAUCUUCUCCGGCGGCGGCGGCGGCGGCGUCGGAGGAGGAGGGCAUCGUUGCGANGAGCGGCCGCAGAUCCGGGCUCGGGUGGUGCACCUCGAGGACCCGCUCCGUCCCGAGCUUCCGAUACGGCGAAUCGAUCGACUCGGCGCUCUCCGACCUCCUCCCGCCGGGGGACUCCACCGUCCCGAGGUAGAGCAUCUCGGCGCCGCCGCCGCCGCGGGCGGUCCGACGCGCCCCGCCGUCGCCGACGCCGCCGAUGAGCUUCGCGGCGUCCGGGGGUCUCCGGCUCCUCCGGCGACGGUAGAGCACGAAGCAGGAGACGGCGAGCAGCGCCGCCGCGGCGACCGCGGCGGAGGAGGCGACGGCCGCGGCGACGGCAACGGCGCGGUGGCGGCGGCGCUCCGAGGCGGCGCGGGGGACAUCGGCGGUGGACGAGUCGGCGGCAGCUGUGGUGGUGGACGGCGGCGGCGGGGGCGGCGACUGCGCGGCCCAUGCCCUCCAUCUCGGCAGCGAGGAGGCGGCGCCCGUGCGCCCCUCGAAGCAGUCCUACCGGAUCCUCANGAAGCAGGAGACGGCGAGCAGCGCCGCCGCGGCGACCGCGGCGGAGGAGGCGACGGCCGCGGCGACGGCAACGGCGCGGUGGCGGCGGCGCUCCGAGGCGGCGCGGGGGACAUCGGCGGUGGACGAGUCGGCGGCAGCUGUGGUGGUGGACGGCGGCGGCGGGGGCGGCGACUGGGGAAAGAAGUCGCCGUCGGGGGGGGCGGCGGCGGCGGUGAAGUCCGGCGGAGGCGGCGGGGUCCACUGGAUGGGGAACAGGGGCUCGUGCAGGACCCUGCGGCCUCCUCCGCCGUCCGAUGUCGCAGCGACGGUGGACGAUGGCGAUGAGCGGAGCACGACAGCGGAGUGGAGAAGGAUCAGCGCCAAUAAGAGGAUUGGGGGAUUUGUAGGGUUCGCAUUCAUGGUGGGAGAAUUUGGUGGCGCAUGCACAUAUUUCGUUUCGUCGGAAGCGAGAGACUCAUCAGUGUUUGUUAGCAAAAGGCUAAAGAGGUCGGGGAGGCGUGCGGGGGAAGUUAUUGGUGAGCAACGCAAGAGAUCUCCGAGAGCUCUCACCGCGUGCAAUUUUAACGCCACGAGAACUACGAAGACCGCUGCAAAGACUCUUCUCCUAUUGGCUUAACUGCCACGUCAGCUGCCUCUCCACCAAUGGUAACCGAGUUGAGUCUUGUUCUUUUCUCGGCGUACUAAAUUUCCAUCCUCUACAAACUUCUCUAUGGACCAUGUUCACCACGCCGUCGUGGACCGACCAAUCCAUUCCCAGUCCAUUAGAUUUUAAAUUUUCAAAAAAAAACACUCCAAAGUUUUGAAUUUUUAUUUAAAAUCAAUAUUUUUCUUCAAUCUGGCUGGAAAUUGGGAAGAAAUUUCUUGAGGUCCACGAUGACGUGGUGAACCAGGUUCAUAAAAGAGCUCCAAAUUCUUUACUGGGAUAGUGACGUCAGAGACUUGUGGGAGCGAUGCCCCGCAUUUCGGCUCCGUAAAUUCGCUCUCCGGGGCUCUGUCGAGCCGAAUGCCACGUGGCAGAAGAAGAAUCUGCUUUUACAGAAAUUAUUGCCUGCAACCGGUGUACACAUUCCCGCCACCGUACACCGUUACACCGCAUGCAAUAUACUAAUUUUUUUUAAUCUAAUAAUAACGAUCGAGAGUUUACAUGUGUGGUGUACAAAUAAUUCCUAUACACCCGGUGCGAACAACAGUUUCUCCUCCACUUUGUUAUCAUUCCCUUCUAUCCGACCUUAAAUUACUGUAUUAACCCCACCCCACAUCAAACAGUUUAAUUAAUCGUACUUAUGCGGUGGAUCAGAUACGCAACCCCGAACACCGAACACCUCAACGUUGUAACAGUGCGACGUGGCCCCUCGCAGAUGCCUCUAUCACGGAUUGAACGGCGGAGAUUGGUGUCCCGCAUAGGUACGGCCGGUGCGGACGCCCGCAGCGAGGUACGCUCCCGAUUUUUCCGCUUUCCGAGCCUUCUCUUUUGGCUCUUCUUUCCCGAUUUUUCUAAUUCGCACGUCAAGCAUCACCCUUUUGGCUCCCCUGUCACGUGCGUAAAGAGGAAAAUUUUGGGGAACGUCCUCGGUGUAGCGGUUAUAUGUCACGCCCUUUUUGGGUAAAGUGAGAUUACGGUUUUGCCCUCGGGGUGGGGGAACUGGACAAAGAGUGGGGGUCUGGGUUAUGCGGGGCCAUUUAUGGGGAAAGGAUCGGUCGAAUUCGAUCAGGGGAAGUACGUUAAUUGGACGGCCCAGAUGGGAGGACUACUAUUAGUGAAAAAAUGCGUGUGGAAACUGCAAAGGGAGCGUGCGUGCAUGAUAUAAGAAAAGGAAAAGGUGAAAAAUUAGAAAAAAAAAUGCAUGGAGACUAGGGGCGGAAACGAGCCGAGCUCGAGCGAGCUUAUGUCAGCUCAAAUUCGGCUUGAAAUUAAUUUCGAGCCUAAAUCUAGGCUCAAGCUCGGCUUGAAAUUAAUUCGAGCCGAGCUCGAGCGAGCCUAAUUUCGAGUCGAGCCGAGCUCGAGCUCUAACGAGCCGAUUGAAUUUCCCGACAUUAUAAUAAUCAAUAGUUUAAUUUUUAUAACAUUACCUACAAUUUGAUGCAACAUGUCCAAUAGUUUAAAAUACAAAAUAAUUAUAAGAAAUGUGAGCUAGGGUGACUUCCUGACUAGAUGAGGGUCAGAGAGAGAGAGAGAGAGGAAAAAAAAAGGAUUUGAAAAUUUGAAUGUUAUCAUAUUUUAGGGUUAUGUGCAACAGUGAAAGUCUGAAAGAGAGAGUGUGUUAUGUAAAUUUAGAGUUGGACUCAAUUUGACGAUUUGUUACUUGUUGGUUUAUUUUAUGACAAUAAUAAUGGCCCAAUUAAUUAAAGCUAAUAAUACUAAUCAACACACUAUAUAAUCUUCACUACAUCAUAUCUAUAACAUAUUAUAUUAAUGAAGUCCGGUGCUAAUCUUUUAUGAGUAUUGCGUCCUCUUAACUCAUAAGUUUUCGACCCUUGAUUUUAUUUCAAUUAAUCAUUUCAUCGCCAGUAUAUAUAUACUAUAAUAUAUAUAUUAUAUGAAGUCGGCUGUAUCUUUAUGAGUAUUGGCUCCUUUAUACUCAUAAGUUUUCGACCCUUAGAUUUAUUUCAUUAAUCAUUUCCAUCCGUUAGAUCAUACUAUUUAACCAACUACCCAGUCAACCUUAGGGGACCACUAUCAUUUUAAGUGGGGACCACCAUCAUCCUAACCACACAUCCCAUCAAUCAACGGUUAAAAAUUUAUGAGUACAAGGGGGUCUAUACUCAUAAGAGUCAUAGUAUCGCCAGCACUAUAUCUCUAUACUUUCUAUAUAUCAUAGUAUCUCUACUAUAUAUAUAUAUAUUUGAUCUUUUCGAGCUUUUCGAGCCUAAUUCGAACGAGCCGAGUAAUACUCAAGCUCGGCUUGAAAUGAAUUUUGAGCCUUUUAUUUUGUUCAAGCUCGGCUCAUUUAAUUUCGAGUCGAGCUCGAGCGAGCCGAAUAUCGAGCCGAACAUGAGUCGAACGCGAGCCGGCUCGCUCGUUUGCCAGCCCUAAUGGAGACCCCUCAACGAUAGGGAAUUUGAAAUUAGACCGUUAACUUUAUUUUUAUUUUAGAGACAAUUGUAUACCGCUAUGUAUAAAAUAAUAAAUAAAUUUCUACAAAACUUAAUUAACUAGAUUUAUCACUUUAAUAAUUUUUCUGCCUGUGACUAUAUAUACCUUCUGUUACAAAUAUAUAGAUAACUAUGAGCUAGCUAUAGUUUGGCAACAUUGAAGGCAAGGCCUUUUGUCGCAACGUAGACGAGAUACGCUGCAGAGUAGGGACAAAUUUGUAAGAUAAAAUAAUCAUUUCAUGUACUCACCUUUAAAAAAAAUUAACGAAUAAUCAAACAGCAAUGAUUAAUAUGAAUAUAACAGAACUUUUGGAGAGUUAUAUUUGCAAACUACAAAAUUUUUGGGCGUAUAAAUUUAAUCACUUAAACUUUAUAGAAAUUUUUCUGUUAUUCGAUAUCUUUGUAAUGAGCCGAAUGACAUUAACCCUUUAUUUUAUUAGUUCAUUAUUGGUAUUUGUUAGACUUUUAUUUUGUUAUUUGAAUUAUUUUAGUCAAUUAAAAUAUUAAUUAGUGAAGUUUAAAACUUUAUUAGUUUAAAUUUUAGUAAAAUUUAUUUGAUAGUUUUAAGCAAAUUUUUUUUUAAUUUGAUUGACUAAAAUUACCUAAAUUAAAAUAAAAAAGUUAAUAAAUUUUCAAUAGAAAGAAAUUAAGUUUACUAAAUUAAAAUAAAAAGUAAUAAAUUUUCAUUAGAAAGAAAUUAAGUUUAGCGACUUCAUUUCAAAAGGAAGUGCACCUCUGAGACGAGUUCACUGUCAAUUCACUACUGAAUCAGAUAGUUCAGAUAAAUCCCAAAAGGGAAUAAGCAGCAAGAUUGUCUUCGCAAGUGAAUAUAAAUAGGCUAAUUUAUAGAAAAUCUCUCUGUCAAAACUCAAUUUUUCACUUUCCCCUCUUAUCAUUUAAAAACCUAUACUUUGCCUCCUUAUCAAAUGAAAAAUGUUCACAGGAGGAUACAGUGUGAACUGUGAUAAUAAAAUAACCAUCUUGCCCCUUACUAUUUUGCCCCUCAUUAUAUUCAUAGGAGAGAAGACUGAGGAUAUUUUUGGCAUAAAAAAAUAUAUAAUACUAUUUUAUAAACGAAACCCUAACGGAUUACUAACGGCAGGAGGUGAAGUCAAUAUUUUUUAUUUUAUAAAGGGCCAAAGUGUAGGUAUUUAAUAACAGGAAAAAAAAGUGAAAAAUCAGAUUUUAACGGAAAAGUUUUAUUUAUUUUAGCCAUAUAAAUAUUAAAAAUAUAAUUUUUCGAUAGCUUAAGAGCAUGCUUAUUUUUGUCGAUUUUAGAGAUUUAACUCACAACUUUGAGAAAUCUUUACGCUAGACUUUUGUUUUGACAUCGAAGUUAUGAGACCGUUCGAAUUCCCAGCCACAACUGUAUGGAGGGUUGCUUUUCAACUUCCAUUGUUGGGGGUUUGGAAAACUCAUAAGAUUUUCGCCCUACUUUCCGCUUUUGUAGAUAAGCAGUUAUUUUAUAUUACUUAACAUAAUAUUAAAGCAGGAGUUUAAGACAUAUAUUUUUAUCUAAUCAAAAAAUAUCGAACCCAAAUAUAAAAAAAUAUAUUAAAUAAAAAUACUGUACAUAAGGCUACAGUAAUUGUGCCUGGAUCUAUCUUAAAAUAGCACACACAUGGAAAAAGACUAAAUUGUCAUAGUUGCACCAUGCUAUUUAUAUUUCCAACAAAUCAAAUUGCACUCCUAGAGUUCAUUCAUCCAAUCAUCAUUCUUUAGAUUAUUUUUUUAUUACUUUUAUCUCAAGAGAAGAGAUUUGAUCAAUUGAGAUAUAAAUGAUAUGGUAUAAGUGUGACGUAGCGGGACUUUUUCAUACAAAUGAGAGUUGAAAAAGUCACGUACAUUCUUUUCCUUAUCCAAUAUAUAAAAAAAAUAAAAACACACAAAAAUUACUUGAACUAUAAACUAUUUUAAGUCUACUAUCUAACCUUUCAAAAUUUUAAUUUUACUAUCUAAUUUUUUAAUUUAUUUGAUUUUAGUAAGUUAACGGCACUUUGACUUUUAAAUUUAAGCUAAUUAUUUAUUUUAAUAAAUUUUUAGUUCCGAGAAUUGCAUGAAGUAUAUUAACUAAAUCUAAAAAAAAUAUUCAAAAUUUGAUGUUACAGUAUUGUUGACUAAGUCAAAAGAAAUAAGUGAAGAUGUUAGAUAGUAAUUUUAAAAGUUGGGCAUGAAUUCAAAAUAAUUCAUAGUUAUGAUAAGUUUUAUAUAUUUUUUUUUUAAAAGAAAAAAAAAAAAGGGCAAAAAAAAAAAAAAAAAAAAAAAAAAGGGCAAAGAAGAGGUUGCUUAAGAAGUAGGCAAUCUCCAUUUCUUUUUGCAAACAAAUUGGCCUGCAUAUACAUUAAUUUAUCCUAAAAUAAAAGAGUACAGGGAGGAGGAAGUGUAGAAUAACCCAAUAGAAGAAGCAAAGGAUAGCAUAUAAAAAUAAAAAAAUAAAAAAUACUCCUAUAAGUACUCUGGAAGAUACCAUACAGUACUGUUGAUAUAUCAACAUUAUUAUUAUAUUCUAAAUAUUAAUUACUAAAAUCCAAAUAUACUCUAAAUUCUAAAUCCUAAUUUUUUUUUUUAUAUAUGUUAGCCAACAUAUCAAUAACGUAAUUGGAUACUCCAAAAUAGGGUGUCAAUGAGCCGAACACAAGUGAGCUGGGGCCGACUCGUGCUUAACUCGUUCCGUAAAUGGCCGAACACGAGCUGACUCAUGAACAACAAGUUAAAAGGAUUAAAAAUAAUAUAUAUAGAAAAUAAAUUUAUGAGAUCUUUCAUAUUAGACUUUGAUCUAAUACUUAAAGCUUUACAUAUAAAUGGAUAUUUUUAAAUUGAGUUGGACUUUAUAUUUAGAUUGAGCUAAAAAUAAAAUAAUAAAAAUCUACAUUAUAUUAUAUAUAAUUAUUUAUUAUAUAUAUAAAUAUUAAGUAUAUAAAUUAUAUAAAUAUAAAAUAUAUGUAUCCGAGCCGUUAUCAAGCCGAAUACGAACAAACUAAUCCAAGCUUGUGUUCAACUCGUUUAUUAAACGAGCUGAAAAAUUUAGCUCAUAUUUGACUCGUUUAUUAAACGAGUAAUUUGAUAUCGAGCUUAUUUUGAACUGAAUAUGAGUCGGUUCGCGAAUAGCUAGCUAGAUUGCGGCCCGUGCACCAAAGCAAGGACCCAAAACAUUUCUUAAAAAUGAAUUGUUAGUGAAUAUUGACAUAUUUAGCAGUAUGAUGAGAACUAGCGCCAAGCCUAGCCCUAAACGGUGACUUAAUAUCAUUUAUAUGUUAAUUAGAAGAUGGGAAUUUUUUUUCUCUAUAUCCUCCCAACCUACUAAUAUUUAAAAAUAUUCAAUUAUUAUUAUUAAUAUUAAUAUUAUUUCUGAAUUAUAAUAAUAAUAAUAAUUAUUAUUAUUAUUAUAAUUACUAGUAUUUACUUUGACUUAUUUAGUCAAAGUAAAUACUUGUAAUAGUAGUAAUAGUAAUAACAAUAAUAAAAUAAAUUAUCAUUAUGUAAUAAGAAUAUUUAUUAUUACUAUUAUUAAAAAAUUAAUUAUUUUUAAAUAUUAAUAGGUUUGGAGGAUAUAUAUAUAUAUACUAUUAAGUCUUAUUUUAUUUUCUAAUUUCAGAAAGAGAGGUCAAAUUAAAAUUUGUCUUGAAAAGGGCAUUAGAUUGAAAAUAAAUAUAUAUUUUUUUUAUGAGGGCAUUAGCUCCUAUGAUGAUGUUGACGAUGAUGCGUGUGUGUGGGGAAGGGUGUGGGGACUGUCGGUGCCAUGAGUGUGUGUGUGGAAGCUGCUGCUGCUGCUGCUUUGUCUGUCCUCCUUUCCUGCUUUUCUUUUCCUUCUUUCUUUCUUUCUGCGCGCGGCGGAGGAAAAAAAAACAUAAAAAUCGUACGAUCUGAUCUGGCGCGGCCCGCGCCGUGAUUGCGACGUUUAUUCUGCAGCAGCAGCAGCAGCGCAUUUUCUUGUUCUUGGGCAUUUGGAAUGAGCUGUGAAUGUGCGCGUCGGCAUCAUAACUCCCAUAAAUCGUACUGGGUUUACCAUUAGAAAAUGGUAAAAGAAACUUUACCCGUCAAUGCUCCCUCAACUAUACGUUAAAAAAAAAUUUAAAUGCACCAGAUAUAUUACUGAUGCGGUAUUUUUAUAUAGGGGCAAUUACUUAUAUACUUUUAAAAAGUUCUCGACUUUCCGAUUUACUCCUCUUAGAAGGCUAAUAUUGAAAAUAUCCUUUCUACGUUCCAAUCUAUUUCUAAUAUUUAUAUUCCUAGAGUUAAAAUUAAGUCUGUUAUUUCUGUAAAAUUAUUAUUUUGCUCUUUUAAAUAUGCCCUUCUACAAUCACUGGCUUUCUUAUUUGCCCUUAAAGUCAGGGACACAAAAAGUAUUUUGACUUUUGAUCUUUUCCAAUUUACCCCUAUUCCAUCACCAAUAUUUCUUAUUUGCCCUUAAGUUAACGGCAAAAAUGGCAUUUUAAUUUUUUUUUAACUGUCGUAGAUAUUUAACUUACGUUUAACUCAAGUUAACUUAACAAGAGAUAACUGCAGGGAUAUUUUACAAUACGGUAGAACAUAUGAGUGGUAUUUUUGAAAGAAAAAAAGUAAGGAUAAAUCAGAUAUUUUCCAACGUAUGAGAAGUAUAUAAGCAAUUAUCCCUUUUAUAUAAUAGAAUUAUCUUUUUUCUAUUGCUACGUCCUAUCAUGAUUAAUAAAAAAAUAUUUUUAUUAUAUUUUUUUUAAAAUAAAAAAAUAUAAUUGAUUUGUUAUUAAUGAUAUGAAUGCAAAGGUUAUUUUUGAGUAAGAAAAUGCUUUUGGUACUCCAAAUAUUAUCCUUUCGUAACAGAAGAAGAAUAGUGUUAUCAAUAUACGUACUUUAUUGGGACCAUUUGAUCUAACCAAAGAGAAUUGUGUUGUUUAAAAAAAUAUAAACGUAAAUAGUGAAUAAUGCAGUGUUGUAAAAAUAAAAUUAUAAAGCGUUUGAUUAUUUUUUAAAAAAGUAUCUUUUAUUAUAUAAAACUGUUUGAUAAAACUUUUUAUUAAAUUAUUAUAAAGUAGUAUAUGGUGUAUUUAUAAGUAUAAAUUUAAUUUAGAGUGGUCUCAUUAGUUAUUUUAUAAUAACAAUUUAAAUUUAAAAUUAUAUUUAUAAUUUAAAUUUAAAUUCAUAUUUUGUAUUUGAAAUUCAAGAUCAAAAAUUUAAAUUUGAAUUCUAAAAUUGGAUUUAAAUUUCAGAUUCUAAUCCAAAAUAAAAGUUUAAAUCCUAAAUUAAUUUUACAUUAAUUUAAGUACAAAAAUAGAAUUUAAAUUCGAAAUUGGAACCCAUCAAAUUUAAAUUUAAAAUUCGAAUUGAAAAAAAAUAUAACUGUGAAUUUUAAAAUUUGAUUCAAAAUAUAAUUUAACUUUGAAAUUUAAAUUUAUAAAAUUUUAACCAAUCAAAAUUAACUUCCAAAAAAAUAAAUUGGAGACCAAUAUUAAAAAAAAAAAAAAAAACACUUGCAGACAUUCAGGACCAACAUGACAAUCAACCCAAAAUUUUCUGCCCAUUUUUUUUUAUUUUUUAUUUUGAUACUCAAAAUUAACUUUCCAAAAAAAAAAGAAGCUCCAUCUACGUAUAAAAAUGGCGUUCCACAUUUUGGGGAAAGCCCGUUUUGAAUAUAAUAUUUACGCCUAUAAUUCUAUCCAGAGUGUAAAAAUAACUUCAUAUUUUUAUAUUAAAAAUACUGAUAAGAUGUGUAAAAAAGAUUCUAACAUUUGAAAGAUUAGGAUAUAGAUCUUGCACAUGAAGCCUAAAUGUACAUGCUUGUACAAUCGAAAAGUAUGUUUUAUUUUUAAUGUUCAAAAAAUUGAUAAAUUUAGUGCGAAAUAUUAGCCCUUGGAUAGAGGGGGUGUAAUUACAUAAUUUUGCUUUUCAAAAUAUAAUUCUUUUGUAUAUUAAUGUGUUGGGAUCUAGAAGCGUAUGUAUUAAUCAAUCAAAAUUUUCUAUAUUAAAUCAGAGAAAUCUUUUCGUUCGAUCUGGUUCGUUCGGUUUAAGUCGGGUUGGGUUUUUCUAAAUUGUGCCUUUAGGACUGGAAUAUAGGUUUGUUGGUUAAAAAAAAAAUUAAUUUAUAUCAAAAAAAUUAAGAGGAAAUAAUAAUGAAAAUUUUAUUUUACUUUUAAAAACAUUUCAGAAGAUAAUAUUAGCUCAAUUUUCAAUCUAAAAGAAUAUGUUGGCUCACUUAAUCAAGUAAUUCGAUCAGUUCCGGUUUCAAAUUAGACAUCCGAACCGAACAUCAAAAUAAAGAUUUUAUGUUCAACCAAAAAAUCAGUCAAAUUGAAUCUUUGUUGAUUGAAUUAGGCUGGUUCAAUACAGUGUUUUUGAUUUUAACCAAAUGGAUGACCAACACAUUACUAAUACCCAAGUACAAUAUCGUGAUAAGCGAAAAAGUCUACAGUAUGACACGUACACCACAUCAUCAAUAACGAGCCAAUCAUCUCUCUUUUUGAGAAAAAAAAUACAAUAAAAUAUUUUUCUAUUAACUAUGAUGGAACGGGUGAAACUCAAGAGGGACAAUUCUAUUGGUUGGAGAUAUCACGUCAACAAUAUAAACUGUUGCAUUCUAGAAUUUUUCGUAAUAAGCUUAUAUCAGUACUCUUUUUUGAUGCGUUGGCAUCCUGAUUGGAAGAUUUUGGUACCCCUCAGCUGUAAAAAUUUUCGAAACAAACCACUCAACUUCAAUUUUCUUAAUUUAAGUUUAAACGAACUUCUAAUUUUUUUAAAAUUUGCAUUAUUCUAGUUAUUUGAGUUAAAAUUUUCUUAGAUAUUGGAUCAAUGAGUUAUUAUAGGUUAAUUUAUCUAAUUUUGUUGCUAAAUAUAAAUUAUGAUGAAAACAUUAAAAAAAAAUUAUAAAAGCAAAAGUUUAGGAGGUGUUACUAUUAUGUUUAGUUCACCCACUUCUAAUUUUACGAAAGCCUCUUCAUAAUUAUAACUCAGUUUCUACUUUUGAAUUUCCAGAUCAAUGAUUAACACCAAUAAACUUAAUUUCAAUAUGCGUCUUAUAACGGUUGACUAAAAAUGUUCAAUUGUAUUUCAAUAAAAUAUUUAAUGAGAAUUGAACUAUGAUACUUCUAAUAACAGAAGAAUAACAUUUACUACUAUCGACUUUUUAAUUCUUCGAUUCAUAAUAGUACUACCAUCAAAUAAUAAAUUCUAUACAUAGACGGCAAAUGCUAUUUCUCCAAUAUCAAUAAUUAAUAAAAAUUAUUAAAAAUUUCCCUCAAAAGAAAAAAAAAUUAUUAAAAAUUUUUAACAACACAACAAAUUGUUAACUAAGCACACAAGUUAAGUAGGAUCACAGGUGAAGAGAUUCGAACCUGAUGUUAGAUUGCGUUGGACUAAGAUUUAGGUUUAUACUAAGAACCAUUAUUAGUAGGACACGUCAAAAGGGACUUUUUUACAAAAUAACCAUAUAAAAUUUUAUAAUUUGCAAAAUAGCCCUAUUAAAUUUAAAUUUGGUAAAUUAACUCUCAAAACGCGGUAAAUCAUUCACCGCAUUUUGAAAAUAUCUAAAUUCUUUUAAAGGCGGGGAAUUAUUCACCGUCUUCUUCAUAAUUUUUUGAAAAAGUGAAAAAAUAAGGUUGUUAAAAUUAUACGUAGAUUAUACGGGAAAUAAAAAAAGUAAGAUUGUUAUGAUUGUGUGUGUGUGGAAUAUUAGAAUUUUUGUUUGAUUGUUAGAAUUGUAUGAAUAAAUUAUUAAAAUUUUUUUUAAUUUUUAGGAUUAUAUGAAUAUAUUAUUAGGAUUUUUAAAUUUUUAAAAUUAAAUGUGAUGUUUGAUUAUUACGAUUGUAUGGAUAGAUUAUUAGAAUCUUUUUGAUUGUUAGGAUUAUAUGAAUAGAUUUUAAAAUUUUCAGGUUGUUAAAAUUAUAUAUGAUUUGUUGAAAUAUUUAUGUGAUUGUUAGAAUUGUAAAAAAAAUAAUAAACAAGUGAAUCUUUAUGAAAGCGGUGAAUCAUUCACCGUCUUUAAGAGAUUAUUUUUUUUUAAUAUAAUUUUGGUAAGAUUUUUUUGCAAAUAAUAAAAUUUUAAAAGAUUAUUUUAUAAAAAAGCCCCAUCAAAAGGGUCACUUACUGCACAGUUCCUGCACUUCCAAUCAUCAUACGUAAAAAAAUAAAGGGAAAACUUCAACAACCCCCAUUGUGGUUUCAAUUUUUUUCACUUUAGUAUUCUGUGGUUUAAAAUGUAUCAAGUUAGUACCCUGUGGUUUCUUACUUUAUCACUUUACUAUCAUGUGGUUUAAAGUGUAUCAAGUUAGUACCCUGUGGUUUUGCACUUUAUCACUUUUGUAUCCUGUGGUUUUAAUUUUAUAUCAAAUCAGUAUCCUGUGAUUUUUUAAACUAUAGGGUACUAAAGUGAUAAAGUGUGAAACCACAGGGUACUAAAGUGAUAAAGUGCAAAACCACAGGGUACUAACUUGAUACACUUUAAACCACAGGGUACUAAAGUGAUAAAGUGCAAAACCACAAGGUACUAACUUGAUGCACUUUAAAUCACAGGGUACUAACUUGAUACACUUUAAACCACAGGGUACUAAAAUAAAAAAAUGUGAAACCACAUGAGGGUUUUGAAGUUUUCCCAAAAAUAAAUAAAACAAACCAACUCGCUAACCGUCUGAAAAGUUAACUCACGUAGACCCCUCCGCAUCAGUAUAGGACAUAGUUAGUUAAUUCGGAUUUGGCAUAAAUUCGGUACGGAUAUAAUUCGGAUAAAAUUCGUCUUCUACUUUUUAAAUUUAUUGAAAAAUACGGCUAAAAUACGGAUUCGGUAAUUAUUCGGAUACGUAAUUUAUACGGAUAUUAUACGUUCAUCAAUUAAAAAUUCGGGAUCAAAAAUUCGGCUAUUAAAUUAAGUUUUUUUCUCUCAAGAUUUAUGUUACCAUAAAUACUGAUAUUUUUUAAAAAUAUAAGAAUAAAUAGCUACAAAAUUAAGCUAAUUAAGUAAAAAAAAUAGCAAACUAUAUUAUAAGAGAUUAAGAUAGUCUAUAUUUAAAUAUAAAAUAUAGAAGGUUCACAUAAUAUAUUUAAUUAUUAUAAUUUAUAUUUAUAAAUAAAAUAUAUCUAAAAUAUAUUAUAUAAUAAUGUAUUUAUAUUAAAAAAUAAUAUAUAUAUUAUAAUAUAUAUUAUUAUAUAUAUAUAUAUAUAUAAUAUAACAUGGUUGAAGGUGCCGCCCCGUGCCGUACCGUGCCCCAAGAAGGGGGCACGGUUAGGGGGGGGUCUCGGACCCCCCCUGGGUGCCGCGGCACAGCCGCGUGCCGCUCGAGACAAAGCGGCACGCGGCCAUGUGCGGCGGCACUGUGCCGGUGCCGGCCUUUUUUUUUUUUUAUAGUUUUUUUGGCUUUUUUUUUUUUUGGUUUUGUCUUUUUUUUUGUUUCUCUGGAAUACAGAGCCUUCGCCGGCAUUUAUUGCUUUUGUUCACUUUUCUUUAUUUUUUUUGACAUUGUGUUGUCUUUUUGUCAACUUUUUUUUUCUUUUGGGCUGAUGCUUUUUUUUAUUUUGCCUUUUAGCUUUUCUUUUGACUUUUCUUUUUCUUGUUAAAUUAAAAUUAUUUACCCGAGCCCUCCGCUUCACCACCACCACAGACAUCCAUUUUUUCUUCGCAAAUUUUUUGUCAAAAUUUGUCGCACGCGAAGUUUUCGAUGAAUCAAGGAAAAAAAUUGAUCUCCUAAACAAAUUUUGAUUAGAUAUUUUUAAAGAAUAAAAAAAAUAUGGAUGUAAUUGCGGUACUAUUCUCGUUGUUCUAGUUAUUAUAUACUUCCUAAUCGAAUCAAUAUAUAAGAUUUGAAACGUUUUUCGAAAAAAAUAAAAUUUUCUAUCAUUUUAUCUGUUAUAAUUUUUUAAAUUACAAAAAAAUUAAAAACAAAAGAAUUUUCAAUUGUUACAGCAAGUAUAGUUGUACUUUUCAAAUAAAAAAAAAUAAAAACAAAAGAAUUUUAAUUUAUAUUCUACAUCAGGUAUAGUUGUACUUUAUAUACAAAAUGCUUACAUGCAUGUUAAUUGAUGAGUAUAAUAAGCUAUACAUAGCAAAAAUUAAUAAUAACUUGUCUAAAUCUUUCAAAAUAACAUUAUAAAAGCUUACUGGAACCAAAAAAACUUAAAUAAAUUCGUGCCAAAGCGUGCCAGUAGGAGGUCGUGCGUAUCUGUCGGCACGCAAGCGUGCCACGUGUCGGCACGCAAGCGUGCCCGUGCCGUACCGUGCCAAAGACGUAGCGGCACGCCCCCGUGCCACGGCACUUUAAACCUUAUAUAUAUAUAGUCCGACUAUGAUGCUUGUAAAAGCUUGUAAAUUUUUUACCGUUAGAUCGACGCCUUUGAUCAUUUUUAUCCGUUAGAUUAUACUAUUCAACCAACUACCCACUCAACCCUAGGAGGCCCACAUCAUCCUAACUGCACAUCUCUUAAUCCAAGGGCCAAAAACUUAUAAGUACCAAUGAGUUGAUACUUUUAAAAGCAUGGGAGCUAAAUUCUCUCUCUCUCUCUCUCUCUCUCUCUAUAUAUACCCGAAGUGGAGCACCUGGCGGACUCUCACCUGGCGAGAGAGAAAAACUAUAUAUAUAUAUNUUUUCCACUUAAAUGAAGCAGAAAACGAAGACUAAUUUGUCCAUGAGAUGACGCCCUCGGGCCAGAUGUUAUCCACCGCCGCGGCCCUCUUGCUCCCGGCGACGGCCAGGGUGGCGGAGGAGGAGGAUUACGACACACGGACGACUUCAGCAAAGCCGCGAUCCGCGAGUCAGUGACUGCCAGCCCCCUUUUUUUGAGGCGAAUCACUCGCGAAUCGCAAAUCAUUCGCGAAUAAUUAUUUUUACAAAAAAAAUGCAUUUUUUUUUCCAAUUUUUCCGAAAAAUACUGAUGCGGCCGUUUAAUUUGCUUUUUCAAAAAUUUGCGAAUUAUUCACGAAUUAACUAACUAUAUAUAGGACCCGGAUUGUGACAAAACUGAAGAGAAAAAGAGUGGGCAUUUUAGUUUCAGGAAUCACAAAUGAAUAUCCCUACGAUAUAAGAUGUAAGUUUGAGAAUGUAAAACUCGUCUACACGAGUACGAGAGAACGCAUAACUAUACUUCUUGAAUAUAAAUAUAAGACAUCCAGAUUAAAGCGAGUUUCGCAGAGUCAUGACAACACUGUGCAGAUAAACUGUGCUGCGUAGCUCCAAGAAGUAAAAAAUCAUAAUACUGGAAAAUGGAAGACACGAUGUUUGGAUACUCGCAAUCCUUCAAGGAUGACGAGCUGUUUAAUGAGCUAAUCAUCUCGAACAAUAAAUGGAAUCCAUCUCUCUGCAGUGCGUGCUCGGCCCAUACAAAUAUUUAACCAUCUUGGGCUAGUAAGAUACCGCCUUUCCUUUCCUGCAACAAGUAUCACAGCAAACUUAAGAGAAGAGCUCACCAGUAUGGUACAAAGGUUAAAGCCAGAACGAGCCAGAACUCCGCAAAUUGGAAGAUUGAUCAAUUUCAUUACAAUGAUUGAUAACAAGAUCAAAUCAAAUUAGAAGGGUGUUUAGAAGAAGAGACCGCUCGAAAUAUGUAUGUUAUAUGAUCGUCAAGUUAUACUCUGGGAUAGGAAUUGUGCAUAAUCAGUACUAAAUAGUACAAAAAUUAAGUAAAUUGCCCGAGACACAGGAUUACAGGGAAAAGGUGAAAAGCAGUACAGAACGCGAGCAAAUAAGUUGCAAAAACAAAUCAUUAAAUAUUAUUUUGAAAAAUGAAAAAAAAGAUGACAGAAAUGCAGCAUUAAUGAUAAUUGAUUUCCAUUGAGAAGAUGCCUUAGGAAAGAAAUAGCACUUUGAUUAAUAGUAAAUUUGCAUGAAACAGUUGAAUGUAAAAGCAAAUUCAUAUCAAUAUGGCAGAUCCAUGUAGUAGGACUAUUAGGCUUCAGUUGAGUGUACCUGAGCCAUCUUGCGGUCCUUGUUCAACUUCAAAGUCCGUCCUUUACUAGAGAUCUUACUAGAGAUCCUCUGAAAAGAGUGAAACAAACAGAGUUAAACACAAAACAGACACAAUAACAGAAGACAAGUGAUAGAUGGUCUCGAAGGAUCAUAACAGAAGCUGAGGUAAGUUGUUUCCGAAAGGACAAUAAUCAGACAUCAAGUACACUCCGCUAGCUCUAUAACAGUGUAUAAUACCACCGCUACAUAUCAAAAAGAAGUUUAACCGCAUUAGGUACUCGUAAACUAGUGCCACUGACAUGGGGUCAGCCCUUACAUCAGCCUCUUUUACUUAUCGAGGGUAUGAUACAUAUCACCAUGAAUAAGAAUAUAUCCAUAUUGGUUCUUUUGCGAAUUUGAUUACUAACAUUUAAGAUUGACAGGAGAGGUAUGAUUAGUGAAUUCUCAAAAUAUUGUUUUGAUAUCACGGCUUUUCAAAAUAGGUAGUAAAUCGUCAAUGGAUAUUUAAGACACAAAUUAAACCAAAAUGAGCUGGGAAUUUAAAUGCUAUUCUUAGAUCAAUAAAGAAUAAGUAAAAGGUAGAGAACUAGGGUAAAGGCAAUGAUAUUGUAUCCUAAAUAUCUUGUAACCGUACUUUCUACCAAAAAUCAACAAUCAUGAACAUCGAUACAAACCUUUAUGCAUGCUAGUACAGACAAAUACUAGCAAAAUAUCAACCGUCCUAUUUUAGUUUUGAAAACAAAAACUAUAUAUACAGAGGGAAAGAAAGAAAACUAGGAUAGAAAAUAAUUUCCCAGUUGAUUUCUCUCUCAUUCCUUUGCUACAGUGAUCGUAAAUCUGAUGAUGAAAAAAACACAAAAGGCAUGAAGGACGAUCCCGGGUCAUCACUGAGGAAAAAGAAGAAAAAUUCUGCAACAAGCACAAGUAACUAACCUUCUGUUGAGUGGACAGACUUUCUGUUAUAUCUUGACCAAAGUCAAAAAUAUCAUGAAGUAGCUCAUUUUCCUGUACAACCAAAUAAAGUUGUCAAAAGUUCCUAGAUGAAAAAUCUAAUGUCAUUGAUCAAAUCAGCUUCUCAUGAAGAAAACUACGAAAUCAAACUAAAGGAUUAGAUUUUUUUUUAACCUGAGCAUGCUUGAGAAAUCCUCUCCCAAGAAACCGCUUCAGAAAGUUCAACUGGAGAUGAACCAAUAAGGAAUUAGAGAAUGUUUGUGAGCUGCAAUGUUUGUCAGCUGCAACCACAGUAGUAGAGAUAGAUAACUAAAGAAACUAAUUUUAUACCUGUAUCAACUCGGUCCAGGACGAAACCCUUAAAACACCAUGCUUGCUUGAUAUUUUAACUGAUGCUUCCGGGCUCUCACCACUCUGUAUGAGAUAAAAGUGCUAAGAGCUAAUGAAAAUCAAAUUCUGCUUAAAUACAUUGGAGAAAUUCAGAAAUCAACCUUUAUGAAGUCCCAAAUUUUUUGAAACAGGUCUCUUUGAUCAUUAAGGUUUUUCUUGUCAGUGCCCUUGCCUCCAGCCUCCAUAGAAAGAUUAUUCGCUCGAUCUGCAAUUUUUGCCUUCAUAGAUUGCAUAUAUAAGAAAUCUCGACGCUUGGAAUCUCCAAUAUCAAGGUUGUCGGUGUCACUCUCAUCAUUGGAGUACACAUUUAGUAUCCCUAUCUCAAAACAUACAGCUAUAGCUUCACCAGCUGCCAUUCGGACAGCACGGUCUUCUGCGUCCAGUAGGGUGGAGAGGAACCAUACCGGCCUAAAGAAGAUAGCCAUAAUAUGUAAAUUGCUAAAAUACUGUUUAGAAUGACAACAGCAACAAUGAUACUAACAGAAAAUGCAAAUAUGGAGAGAUAUGCAUAUAUUUAUCUAUUCACAUAUAUCCCAGCCAAUCUGAAUUUUCAUGUACGUCUUUCUAAAAAAUAGCUGUUACAUAUACAUCCUUGUAAUUGCAAACAGUCUCUUUUAAGAAAUAUUUCUUCAAAAGCAAAUUGCCCCCAUUAGUUGGAUAAGUGGCCAAGUUAAACAAAUGGCAUUUUUGUAAGAAGCUGAACUUUAGAUUAUAGAUGAAAAUUCAGCUUUUAUAGGAGUUAGUAUACAUACACAUACAAACGUAUGUACACUACACACAUAGUACAUGCAUAUACACAACACAAGAAUACACACACAUCAAGCAAAUUUAAAAUAAAGCAAAUGCACACUUACUCCUUCCAUGUAUCAGGAUUGAUUCUCCAAGCACUGAUAGUUGUCACAAGAAAUGACCAUGCAGAGAGGGCAGCUGCCAAUACUGCAGGCGGCCUUUUGGGAGCUCCAACCUAAAGGUUGAAGACCAGAAAAGAAAAACAUUAUAUAAUUAUUAGUUGCAACCACCCACGAGGUAAAAUAACAGUUGAAACAAAGACAUGAAUCAUAGUUGAAUAUAAGUACAUGAAACAAAUUUUACGUACUUUAGAAGCUGGUUUGGGAUGAAUCACUUCCCAUAUGGCCUUCAAGGAAGUCUCAGUUUCAGCCAGAUCAAUGGCUCCAACGAAAGUAACAACAGCUAAACAAUCUAGUACCUACAAUCAGUUGAAAAAAAGUUAGCAAUCUAGUACACCUACCAUGAGUACAACAAAAUCAAGCUAUAGAAAAUAAUGGAGCAGUAAACAUAUACAUCUACGACUUACAGAUGCCAUUUUGGAUGCAUCAGAUCCAGAAAGAAGCACCUUAGAAAGGUGUGGAAGUGAUUCUUCCAUUAUUUCAUGUGAGCUGUUUCCGCUGCCGACAGUAAUGGCUAGCAACCCUUCAGAUAGGAAAUACACAAUUAAGGAUAAGACAGAAUGUGUAAAGCCAAAACAAUACCAAGAAAAGAAAAGAAGACAAACCAAUAGCACGAGAAGCUAAACAGGCCUCCUUUGUGGAACCUUUUUUUAUUGAAUUAAGGAAUUGGUGUAAUAGUGUAAUACACCUGCAGCAAUCAUAAAGCAAAGAGUUAGAAAACAACAAACUAGAUAGAUUAUCGUGCUUAGUAAUGUGGCAUGAUAGAUAGUCAAACAACAAUAACCCACUUGUUCUCCACAAAUGCGGAAAGCAUAUUACUUUCAAAAGCAUUGACAAGCCCUGACAAAGCCGUUUCUCGCGUCGAUCCCCUUUACAAAUAAGAAGCAAGAUUUGUAUUAAUCAGUUCCAGUACGUCAAAGAUAUAUAAUGAGACAUACAAGCCAUGACUUCCAGAAAAGAAAAUGGAUGCCAGCAUUAUAAGAAUAUCCUUAGAAAACAGCAUCCUCUGUGUCAAAAGACAAUGAUACAAUUCUAGAUUUUGCAGCUAAGAUAAUUAUGAAAAGACAUCUUAAUGGCAGUCAAGGGGAAAAAAACAAACAAAUAGACUAUGCAAGGCAUUUGAAAACAAAUCAAUUAUAAAUCCUGAUAUUUAAUUCAUUUUAGAAUGGAUAUAUUUUUUCCUAGGUUCAUAAAACACCUACAGCAAUAUGCAGACAGUUAGGAAACAAAUUCACCAAAAUUCUAGAUGUAAAACUUGUCUUCUUUUACAGAACUAUAGAAAAAUUAAACUAAAAGCUUAAAAGAAUAGCUAUGGGCCCUAACAGAGCCAAUACACCUCUGAUUGCUCCACAGCUACAGGCAACCAAAGCAGGAAGAAAAGGCCAAAUUUCAAUAUAAAUAUCUAUCAGACCUUAAUGUCUAUCAGACCUUAAUGAAGUGUUUUGUUUGAACCACAGAGAUCAGAACAGCAACACGAAUCCGAAAAAUGGCUAAAAAAAACCUAUUUCAUGGAGCACAAGCCCUACAAAGAAGGUUGCAACAACCUAUCCUUUGUUCAAGGGUUUUGGGAAGCUUAUUGUAUUCCGUACUAAUGAAAGAUAAAAAGCCACCAACAACAUUCCUGCAACUAUGAUGUUCCUUUUAUUCUUCUUUCUUCAGCUAUUAUAAUUUGUUGACAAAAAGCCUAAAAGAUUAUCCAGCUGCUACAAUUACUCUCUUUACUGCUACAAGACUUCAACACUCGAUUAGUGAUCUACAUUUGUUGCUAAUUUACUCAAACAGCGAAUACUUUACAACAAGCAAGCCACAUCUAUUUCUUCCUGUCCUAAUAUCAUAAUUUCUCAUAUAAGAUUAUGCAAAAUAUUCCUGUUACCAAAAUAAUAGAACAAUAAGAUAAAUAAUUUGCUGCUUUAGUUGGGGAAUACUUGCGAACACAAAACCUAACAUGCUGCGUGGUAUUCACACAAGAACUCCCAUAAAAUGAAAGAAAUAAAGAUGCAACCGAGGCAAUUGAGAGCGCCACAAGAUCAAAGAAAUAUCUGAGCACCUCUUCUCGUAGAGAGCAUCGAUGAACUUGUCUAGAGCGUAAUCCUGCGAGUUUAAGACCUCGGUGUCGUGCGCCACCGUGACCUCCGAGAACGCCGUCGAAGCAGAGCUCACGCUUUCAGUAUCACUGCUAUCAAACUGAUCGGCAGCACCCUUGCGUCUGUUACCUGCACAAUAAAUACCUCAAAUCACAACCCCCUCCUCCUAUACCUCCAAAUAACCAUGCUCAAAGUAACAAUAACAUAACAAUAACGAUCACGAUGAUGAUGACGACGAUAGCAAGGAAUCCAAAGUAAAAAAUCUGCAAACCUAACCAAAAUUUACGGGAAAAAAAAAAGGGGAUUUGACCCACAAAAAACCAAAGAAAAAAAGAUCAUUUUUUCCGAAUCCGAAUCGGUCGUAGGGAACAACAACUUACUCCUACCCAUGGCGAGAGGUGCGCGAAGGGGGCUCGAUCGAAUCAGGACCUAGGGCGAUGAAUCCGAAACAACACGGCGGAGCUACAGAGGGAAAGAGCGGCGGCGGCGGCAGCGGUGCGGAUCGCGGCGGGGCUCACGGCGAUGAAUCGAUCGGAGAAGCUCAAAGCCAUGUGAGGGUGAGAGGAGAUGAGAUUUGAGGAAGCGAAGGUGAAUUAGGGAUUUGAGGAGGAGGAGCCGAGCGAGGAGAGAGAGAGAGAGAGAGAGGUGAAGAAACGAGAGGUAGGGAUUCGGACGAAACUCGCUUUAAUGAAGCGGCGACGACAAAAAAAUAAUAAUAAUAAUAAUAAUAAAUAAUUAUUAAGCAUUAGUAAAAUAGAAAGAGAUGUACCAACACCCCCUAAACUAUCGAUAAUUUUGACGUAGACCCAUAUUUUAUAUAUAUAUAUAUAUAUAUAUAUAUAUAUAUAUAUAUAUAUUUUCUUUAUAAACAUCCUACGUCAGAUUUAAUAAUUUUACUACUUGUUAUUAGAUAUUAUAUAUUUUAAUUUUAUGGAAUCACCGACAUAAACUUCAUGAAAUUUUUUAUUGAACUAAAAAAAAUCAAGGUACCAAUAUCAAACGUACGCAUAGUUGAUGGGUCCAGUUACAAUUUUACAAAAAAAAAGAAAAGAAUUUGUAAACCCUAAUCAGAGUAGAAGACGAUGAGAAUUCUAGGUAGGUUAUUGUGCGGAUAGUGUCGCAUGCGGAUUCUUAGAUGAACGGCUGAGAUUUCCAAUAGGCCGUGGAUCACGCGCCACGUGCGGAUCCGCAUGCGGUCGUUGUGUUUAUAUGGGUUUAACCCGAAUUGUGUAGAUCGAACCCGUGACAUAUAACCAUUACACGUAACCACAUUUGGUUUCUUUUAAUUUAUAUUUUUUGAGCGCAUUGAAUUUAUGGCGAACGCGUAAAGUGUCAAGAGGUGGGUGGAUUGUGGUGGGAGAAGAAAUAAGUAAAAUAUAAAAUUAUUUAAAUAAAAUUAUAAAGUAGGAAAAAAUAGGAAAAUUUUAAUUUAAUUAUAUAAACUAUUUUAAUUUAAUUAUAUAAUUUUUUAAUUUAAUUAAUUUAAGUAAUUUGAUGGCUUUUCCAAUACAAAGUUUAAACGAAUCCAACUAAAUAAUAAAUGAUGACUUGUUUAAAAAUAUUAUUUUGGAAGAAAACAAAAGUUGUUUUCAAAUUUUCUUUUUUAUUUGGUUGCCAAAUAAACAAUUUGCAGAAAAGGAUUGUAGUUUAUUUUGCUGUUUAAUUCUACAUCUUUUGACAAAUAAUAUACAGAAAUAUUAUUUAGAAAAUUAAAAAAAAUGAGACCCUAUCUUUCAUUCAAUUAGGAGAGAGGAUUUGGCCUAUUAUAUCAGUUUUUAGUGAAAAUGGUAGGCCAAAUCAAGUUUUUUCGAGUUUAUUAUUUUCUAAAACGAAUAAACCAAACAUAUUACUCUAAACUGAAUACUAACCAAAUCGAUUUUUUUUUGUUUUGUUUAGUCGAUUUGGUCAGUUUGGAUUAAGAUUUGUUGGUUUAAGAAAUUAAAACUCUUUAUAUUCAAAUUUAAUUUAUAUUUAAAAGAUUUACAAACAACAAAUAGCAAAAAUUUUCUUUGACUAGAUAAAAAAUAAUAAUAAUUUUACUUUCUAAAAUUUUUUCUAAGAUAACAUGUAGUUUAUCAUCGGCCUAGAUAUUCAACUCGAACAUUCAGUAUUGAUGCACAUCUAUUGUUAAUAGAUAAAAUAGAGUUAGAAUAAAAAAUAUAUAAAAACAUACUUCUACAUUUUAUAAUGGGAGAAAAAAAAAUAUACUGUAACUGACUCUUUGCAGUAAAUUUUUUCACUGUACAUAAUGCAGCCUCCUGUAAUUUCGAAUGGAACUUUAGUCCUGAAAAGACUAAGAUCUACUCACUUAUCAUAUUAAUAUUUUUAAUACUCGAAAUUUAAAAAAUAUUUAUAAAUUUUUUAAUAGGAAGAAGGUAAGAGUACACUUUUAUAUGGAAGUACAAGUUGUAUGUUUUAGGGCGAUUACUUAUAUAUUCCUGAAAAGUUCUCGACUUUCUGAUUUAUCCCUCUUAGAAGACUAAUAUUGAAAAUAUUUUUUUUAUGUUCCAAUUAUUUCAAAUAUACUCCUAAAGUUAAAUUUCGUUAAUAAACUGUUAGUAAUAUUAUCUGUAUAAAAUUACUAUUUUGCUCUUUCAAAUAUAUCCUUCCAUCAUCACCGACUUUUCUUAUUUGCCCUUAAGUUAGGAAAACAAAAAGUAUUUUAAUUUUUUGUCUUUUCAAAUAUAUUCUUCUACCAUCACCAAUAUUUUUUAUUUGUCCUUAAGUUAAGGGCAAAAGAGUCAUUUUGAUUUUUUUUUAACUCUAAUAGAUAUUUAACUCACGUUUAACCCAAGUUAAGUUAACUGCAGGAGUAUUUUGAAAUAACGGGAAGAUAUGAGGGGUAUAUUGAAAAAAAAAAAGAUAGAUGAGGUAUUUCUGAAAUUUUGAGGAACAUAUAGCCAAUUAUUCCAAUGUUUUAUUACGAGUAGGCCCCAUAAUUUUCUAUUUUUGUAACGUAGUCCUUAACGAACGUUGGAUCAUUUUGACCACUUCCCACAUGGCAAUGACCCGGCAAUGACACAUGCUGCAGGUAGAAUUUUCCUAGUGCAUUAAAUUUCUAUGCAAAUUGGCGAAAUUAGACGAAUUUGCAUAAAAAAUUUAAAAGUUUUAAAUUUUUAUAAAACUGAAUCAUUUUUUUCGAUUUUACAGAUUCGGUUCAAAUUUUUAAUAAACUGACCAAAAUAUACUUAUACAUUUUUCUCUCUUUUUAUUUCUUCUCGCGUUUUUUUUUUUUUCGCCGAAGAAGACGACAGAGACGAAGGCAGAAACGGUCCCCAUUGUCUCUGCACCUCACGUCCUCACCCUCGUCCAUGCACCCCUAGCCCUACUCGCCUCCGGCCACCGCAGCCGAUGAUAAAGAGAAAGUAUUUCCGAAAUGUUUAUUGGAAUUGUUUCUUAGGAAAUAAGUGAUAUUUACUGAAUAUAAUAAUAGUAGCUAAAUUAAGCUGAAGUUUUAACAAAUAGAUAAGUAUUUUAUAUUAUUUAAUAUGAUACCUAUUAAAAUAAUAUGCUUUGAAUUUGAGUUUUACUGUAUGUUUAUUUUGGUGUAAGUGGAGUGAUGGAACUCGAGUUCUAUCACUUCCGUUAUAUGUUUUGGUGUAAGUGAAAAAUAUAAUAUUGUAACUUAAGUUAUUGUAACUUAAGUUACGUUAGACCUCUACUUCACCUACUCUCAACUUCCUUCUCUAAAGUGCCGAACUCGACUUCCACCACACUCAACCUCUUCUAAAAUAUUUAUUAAACAAUAAAAUCUAAACUCUACUCCCCUUAUAAUAUAUUAGAAUUACCUUAUUUUUAAAUAAUAAUAAUAAAAUUAAUUAUAUAAUAAGUUAAAAUUUUAUAGCGGUAAAUUUACUAUUAUAUUUAGGAGAUAAUGGGAUCCACUUACUUACAUCAAAACAAACAACGGAACUCACAAAACUAAUUUCACCAGCACAAAGUUACAUCAAAACAAGCAGAAGAAAUAAUUGAAUUUAACUUUCAGACUAUACGAGUUACGUCAAAACAAACAACAAAAAAAUAAUCACACUUCAGGAAUCAAACACCACUGCACUUGACUUACGUUGGAUCUACAGAUUGGUCAAUCCAAACGGACCUAAGCUCCUUACUUCAUGUAAUUUCUACUCAUCUAUUUAUUCAGUUUUUGAGAUUUAUCAACUAAUAAAGAAUAUUUAAUAAAUAAAUUUUAAAAAUAAUAUUCUGUAAUAACUUAAAACUAGUAUUUUUAAAGACAACUAAUUAUUAAUAUUAUUUAAUAAUUUGUAUAUAAUUUUUUACCAAACAGUGCAUCAUUUCAUUUAUUUUUUAUCGGGAAAAAUAGAGGUCAAACUAGAAUUAAAAAAAGGAGCCCUUCAUAUUUGACAAAGAUUCAUUUAGUACAGUGCAUUCAUGAAGCACCUUUUCUAUUAUUAAAUAAAUGAGGGUGGGGCAAACUCAAAAAAAGAAAAUAAGAAGUGUUUAGCUUCAAGGAGUACUCUUUAAUAAAGUCUCAGUUAUGGGCUUCCAUGAAAAAGUGUCCUUCUUAGCGUCUUCUCAUCAACUCUAGAAGGAACCGUUGUAGAAUAUUCUCAUUUAUUCGAGAAGAAUAUAUGCAGAAUAUUCUUUGUUCUUGUAAUAAUAAUCCUUAACAUAAAAAUUACCACCGAGUGCCUUACACUAUUUUUGCCUUAAAAAAAACUAUAAAAACUAAGAUUUUUGGGUCUAAUUUGAGUCGCCGUGUUAAGAUUUGGUUAGAUUUGGAUUCAUAAUAUUCAAUAAAAUUUAUUCGGAAAGUUGGAUUUAAAUGGUAAUAUUUGCCAAGUUCACAAUGGGUGGUAAAAAUUUGUGAACAUAAAUUGCUUCGAAAUAUAUGUUAUCAACGAAUUAUUAAAUAAGCUAAGCAACUUCAAUUUGACUCGAAAUUAAAUGAGCUGGUUUGGGCUUGGCUCAUUUAACGAAGAAGUUGAGUUCGAGCCUCGCUUAGCUCGUUCGUGUCUGACUCAAGUUGUAUCCCUAGUCGACACUAAAACUCCAUAUAUUAAAUACCAUAAUUUUAGUUAUAUUUUAUUUUAUUUUUUCUAGAGCAAAUAAUAGCUUUUUAACGCAAUCGAGCGCCGGUUAACAAUGUUAAUAUAUAAGAAUAUGCGUCUCUAUUUCUGAACUUAUGUGAUCUUUACAAUUUACUAUAUUUUACAAAGCAAAUAAAAUAAUUUUUAUCGUAUUUUAUCACUGCACGUAAUGCUUCUCUAUCAGCAAUCCUCAUAUCGAUGCCGUAGAAUUUGAGAGAAACAUAAUUACAAAGCCCAGCCCAACAAGACGAGGCUUGUUUGUUAGACAAAUGGGCUAGGCCCAGUAAGAUAUGGGCCGGCCCGUAAUCAACUGCAUCCCAUUGAAGAAUUAUUCUAAAGGGGGAGUUUGGUUCCUCGGAAAAUUCUGAAAAAUUAUUUUUUCUAAAAAAAAGGUUUUCUAUCAAAAACAACAUUUUUCGUAAUUUUUAUCUUCUCUAUAAAAUCUAGAAAAAAAAAAUUUUCAAAAAAAAUAUUUUUUUUUGAAAAAUAAAAUAGAUUUUUCUUGAAUAUUCUGGAUAACCAAACACCCCCCUGAGAGCUCGCUUUCGGUUGCACUAACGUUUUAUCAAUACAUAUGUGUAUAUUUUUUUUAUCUCAGCUGCGCACAUUGAGUACAAUAAUAGAUAGAUUUAUCUAUUUUGUUGCUGUUGGUUAGCUCGUAAAUUUAUCCUCUUUCUAUUAAGAACAAAAGAGGAAAAAGGAAAAAAUAAAGUAGUAACAUUCAUAUUUAUCUCGCCGAACGAAAUCUACAAAUAUAUAGAUUGCAAACAAUAUAAUAGUAGCAAGCAGAUUUACAAAAGGGUUAAAUAUAUCUCGUUAAAAUCCGUUAGAAAAAUUUAGUUAACCAUGAGUUAAAUACUUUAACUCUAGUAAUUUUUUGAUAUUUUUACCCUUUUAUAUUAUACUGUUAUUACGCCUUUUGGAGGAAUAUAUUUGUGAUGGCAAAAUUGAAAAUAUAAACAGUUUUCUAAUAGUAACAAAUUAUAUGGAUAAAUUUAAAAGUAUCAAAACUUUUAAAAAAUAAUAUAUGAAAAUUGAAUUUCGUAUGAAUAUAGUUGUUAUUCACUAUAUUUGCUGGAAUUCGUGUGAAAUUAACUCUUAAUAAAAGAAUUUCCUUUCAAAAAAAGAAGAAGCCUAGUAGCAGUAGCUUCCCAUAGGUCUUAUAUAAAUUAAAAGAUGUUUUUUUCCUUUUUGAUAACCUCCACAUUUACACACACACACACACACACACACACACACACACAGAGAAACUUAAAUAUUCAACCUUAAAACUAGUUAUUGUGCAUCUUACUGCUAGACUACUAAUUAUAAUCUUGAACCAUGAUUAUCAUAAAAUUAUAAAAAAUUAAGCUUUUCAAGCAAAUAUAUAACACAAUAUUAUACCAAAAGUUGCUCAUUUAGUCUUUAGACAAGGAAGUACACAAACUUACUCAUAGCCAUCAUCAUCAUCAUUUAAUAAAUUAGAAGCAAAAAGACAUGAUAACUUAAAUGUCUCUACUAGAGUUUUCCACACCAUGCUCUUUCCCAAGGAGAGGCAAUUGAGGGACCCAAUGACAUGACAACCCUUUAGCCUUAGGCCCUUGGAUGUUAGAAUGUCUAUUAUAUGUUACUAGUGAAGGCACUCGCGCAUUACCGCGGAUAAAUUUUGUAUAAAUAAAUAAAUAAAUAAAAUUGUCGAAAAAAAUUUAGAUAUUAAACUCCACUCCAUGCCUAAAUUUUUAUGAAUAAUAUAAAAAAGAAUGAGUUGUCCCUAUAUCGGAAAUAAAGAUAUUUUAGUUAUAUUUUUAGUUUAGUAAUAAUGUAUAUAGUGUAGGAAUACACGCGAUACGGCGGAUAAAAAUUAAAAACUUAGAGAGUUCUUACUUUUUUUCGAGAAAUGAGUGAUCGAGGAUAGGAGUGGGGGUCGUAUAAGAGUUCGAAAUUGUUGCAAAUGGGCGCGAUCACACAUCCUCCUUGAACGCGGCGCCCCCGUCCACGGCCUUGAGCGCCGCGCACAUCUCGUCAAGGGCCUCGCGGAUCAUCCGCUCGAACCGCGCGCGCACGGACGUGGCAGUAGCGAGGUCCGCCAUACGGAGGAAGGUCUCCAGCCGCUCCUCCUCCGAGGUCUCCUUCUAGAUGGCCACCGCCGUGUGGACGGCGGCGGGGCCGGCGGAGAGGAGGCGCCACCGAUCGGAGGGGCGGUGGCGAGGGAGGGUGCGGAGGGAGAGGAAAGGUUGGGAUUUUAGGAUUUAGGAUUUAGAGAAGCUAUAUUUACUACCACAUAUUAAUUUGUUAUCUAAAGUAUAGUAUUUAUUUAAUUAAUUAGGAAAGAAAAACAUAUGCAUGUAAUAUAUAGCUAUCAUUAGCAACAUUAAAUUAAAUAUAAUAAGAUAGUAAAAAUAUAAAUAUAUAAAACUGAAGCAAUUAUUCUUGGGCAAUAAUUAGACAGUUUUUUUUCUUUAUAAUUAAUGUCUUAAAUAUUUCACUAUUAAAAAAUUUAAAGGAAAUAUAAAUAAAAUUAAAGAGUAAUUAAGAGGUGAGUAUUAAUGGAGUUAUAACUAUUAAGAACAUUAAAUAUAAAAAUAAAAAAGAAUGAACCACCAUUAAAAAAUAUAAAAAAUUUAAAAAAUUAAAAAAAAGGAGGGCUUGCCAUGUCAUCAAUUUUAUUGGAAAUUUAUAUAGAGUUAUAGAAGAUUAUAGAUAUGUCACUACAUUAUUACCAAUCAGUCAAUAAUAUAAUAACUCUUUAGCCUAUAAUCUUUGAAUAUAAAAAUUAUUUAUUAGAUGGCAGUGAGACUAUAUUAUUUGUAAUCAACCAAUCAUAUUUUUUUUAAAAAUAAAAAUAUAAUAAAAAUAUUUUUCAAAAAAUUAUGAUAAAAUAGGUAAAUUUUAAGAAUAUAUUUUGAUUAGCUGGAAACACUACGUCAGCAAUUGUGACUGUUGUUUCUUUGUGUGCCAACAUUCAAGUAGGUGAUGGGUAGGCGUGUCAAUGAGCCGAACACGAGCGAGCUGGGAUUAGUUCGUGUUCGGCUUCUUUCAUAAACGAGCCGUAGACACGAGCCGGCUCGUUAAAGCAUCGAGCCGAGAAAUUCGUCUCGUAUUCCGCUCAUUUAUUAACGAGCCGAACAGGAGCCGAAUACGAGCUGACUUAUGAAUAAAAAUUUAAAAGGAUUAAAAAGGAUAUAUAUAUAGAAAAAAAAUUUAUAAGAUUUUACCUGUUAUAUUUUGAUCUAAUAAUUUAAAAUUUUAUAUAUAAAUGAAUUAUUUUAUAAUUGAGUUGGGCUUUAUAUUUAGAUUGGGCUAAAAAUCAAAUAAUAAAAAUUUAUAUUAUAUACAUAUAUAAUUAUUAGUUUAUAUAUAUAAAUAUAAAAUAUAUGUAUUCGAGCUGUUUUCCAGUUGAAUACGAGCGAGCUGACCACAGCUCAUGCAUGUUCGACUCGUUUAUUAAACGAGCUAAAAAUUUCAGCUCGUGUUUGACUCGUUUACUAAACGAACGAUUUGAUCACGAGCUCAUUUCGAGCUGAACUCGAACUAGCUCGCGAACGGCGAGCUGGAUUAUGAUCGCCUAGUGGUGGGUGCUAGUGGACUAGGGAAACAUGAGAGCUUGUGGGCUUUGGCUCUGCCCAUCUCCACAUGGUUUGUCAAAUUAGCAAUGCUUAUAAAAAUGUUGGAAUUAAUAUACGUCAAUGAGUCAGCUUUGUCACUUAGAGCACGUUUUGUUUAUGGUUGAAGUAAAAAUAAAAAAUAAAAUUAGAUUAUAUUCGAAUGAUAAAUGGAAUGAUGACUCACUAAAAAAAAUAAUUGGUUUAUUAUUGAAAUAAAAAUCAGAAUGGAUAUAUAAAAGAGUGAAUUUGGUUAAAGAAGAGGAAAGGAAAAUGUUUGUGAAAGAGUGCUUUGAAUGAUUUACUCUAAAAUGGGUCAAACUAGAAUUCUAAGACGGAUUAGAUCAUUCAAUUCCAAAGUCAAAUGAAAAUCGGAAUCCAAUUCUUAUAAAAUAAGUUAUAAUUAUCGAAACCAGUAAAUCUCAUCCAAAUUUCGCAAUCUAAUUCUAGAGUCAAAAAUAGAUGAACCACACAAGUCCUGUUAAAACACUUGAAAAUAAUUCACAAGGUUAUACUAGUAGGAUGGAGACAUUAAUUCUUCGCACAACAUAUGUAGUUUAGGAUUCAUAGUUUUAAUCAACAUUCAAUUAGGACAUGAUGAUAUACAUCAAACGUAAUCGCGUAACUCUCUCGCUGAUACACUACAUUAUGAGACUAUCAUGUGUAACUACAAGUUAAUUAAUUAGUAGUUUAGUUUUUCAGAUUAAAUGCUUGUUUCAAACAUUACUAAUCAAUUGCACUUUUAGGAAAGGGAAUUUGUGGGGGUACUCAAAGUACUAUUUGUGACGCUCUGUUUUGUCUCGCUUAGUCUUAAUCAACCUUGUGAGGAAGCCACGAUCAGAAUGAGAGUUCCGCUCUUCCCGCUGUAUAACUUUGGUGUAGUAGAGACUCAUAUCACAUUUUCGCUUCUUAGAGGGUCGUCCAUCCUAAGCUACUGCACUCCUAACACGCUUAACUUACUUAAUCUCUUGAACCUAACCACCGUCCAAAAUAUUAUAACCGAAUUAAGAGUUUUAGGUCUAUUAUAUUUUAUAUAUAGAACAAUCCGGAGUCUCACACUACUACUUAUGGCAAAACAAGACAUUGUGGAAAGGGAAAUGGCAUGAUCCUCCUAGUCCUCUACCAAUGUAGCUUGGUUUUGCAUAGGCCAAUAUGGCAAUAUGAUUAGGUUGUAUAGAGCUCAAUGUACAUGGUUGUAGUAAUUGGUUGGUGUGUCCAUGUUGGGGUCCCUUUUAUCUCUCCCUAGCUAGGUUGGGUUAGUUCCAAAGUUGACGAGGACAAUGUAUGUAAUUACUAGCCCAUAGUGGACACACUAAUGGGUCAAAGGGGAUCCAGGACUAUUUGACUAGGGUUUAGGACAAGGCCCUGGCCUAUUGGUAAAAUUAAGUGGUCAAUUUGACCCUCGUAUGUUUUAAGUGUGGUCCCUAAUUAACUUGUGUUAUGCUACUAUUGGGGUAGGAAAAAGAGAAAAUGCUAUGUGUGGGGCUAGAAACCAUAGUAAAAAAAGGAUUUUUAGCUGCAGCUAUAUCUAAUAGAAUCUUUGAAGUUUAAAUCUAUAAUAAUAAUAAUAAAAUUAUAAACCUUGGAUUUUUCCCUUUUUUUUAAUUAACUUAUAAAGUUUGGUGGUUGUCGAAAAACAAACUAGUAUUACAUGCAAUUAUUUGUCAUUAUCUGAUGGUCCAAUUGAUAAGUACUUUUAUAUAGGUCUUGAAUUCAAAUCUAAUAUGAAUUAUGAGCCCACCUAUUUUAUUGAAAAUAAUAAUAAUAAUAAUAAUAAUAAUAAUAAAGUAGUUCGAUAAUUUUUUAUUUAAAAAUUUAAGUCGUUAAAAAAAUAAUAUUUUAAUAUAUAUAUAUAUAUAUAUAUAUAUUAUAAGUUGAGUUGGAAUGCUAUCGAUAGCAAACGGGCUACAUUGUCACCUAUUUAUUUUCGAUGAUGAAGCCUCCAAAUCGACGAUCGGCACCGUUGAACAUAAUCUAUACCACUUAAAGUGUCUAAAAACCAAAUUUCAAAUCUUUUCGACAUUAUUAGCCUAAUGAUCAAAGGGUUUUGAAAAUUAUAAUUUUAAUGAUAAAUAUGAGGCAUUUUCUCGUUUAACGGUGUAAAACUAUCCAAAUCAAUUGAAUUUUCGUUAGAAAAUUCUUUAAACUAUUUAGAACAAGAUUUAUACUCUCGAUCUUGAUUAUAAAAUUUCUAUCAUCAUUUUUUUAAGAAUAUUUAUUUUCAGCCGUUCAUUUUUACACCCACUUGAUAGACAAGAGAAUAAUAUCGGAAAAGUAUAAAAUUUGAUUUCUAGAUACUUCAAGUGGUGAUAUCAUUUUCAACGAUACCGAUCGUUGAUUUGGAGCCUUCAUCAUCGAAAAUAAAUGGGUGGCAACGGAGACGGUUUGUUACCGAUAACAUUCCAGCUAAACUCUAUAUAUUAUAUUUAAUAUCCAAAAGUGUUACUAGCUGUAUGUAUGGUCAUCUAUUCAUGAAGGAAUUAUGUUUCAUAUCAACCAAACCAUUAUUAUGAAUUGGCCCAGAGAAAUAUUUAGUGCUUGUACAACAUAAAAGUUCCAACUAACCUCUAUCGUAUAUUUAUACGUACAUCUAAAAAAUUUAAAAUAAAUAAAUGUUUUCAUUAAAAUACGUAUAAAAAAGUUAUACGUAUUUUAAUAAGGUCACGUGCCAAGCACGCGAUUGGUGAAUAGGUGCAAAACAUGCAUGUGAUACAGCCAAAGUACACGGAUCCAAAUCUGAUACGCACGGAAAUUGAAGGACUUAAAUCAUGAUAUUAUUGUUUACUAAAGAAACAAAUUAAGAAGGUGUAAUUAAUUAAAAUAAUAUUAAAACAUUAUUUUCCCUUAGUUUCUGGUUUUAGAUAAUUUGGUUGAGUGUUGGAUUUAAAACAUUAAACUGCUAUUCACGGCACUACAACAGAAUUAGAUUAUAGGGACACAUGUUUGAGACACUUUUGAGUAAGUGUCCCAUUUAUGCUAAAACUUAAAAACACAUCUACUAAUGCCUAAAUAUAAAGCCCAAUCCAACUAAAAAUAAAAGAUUACUCUACUCAACCCACCACACCUAGUCCAUUUGGCCCGAUUACAAACAUAAAUGAAAAAAAAAGAAAAAUCAAUUACCAUCUUUUCUUCUCUCUUCACUUAAUCCACUGAAAUUCUAGACAAAGAGUCUUUAUUGUCGUCCUCCUCCGCCACCGUAGCCAACGAGAUAGAGUUUCGGCGGUUGCUAAAUGCUUAAAUAAGUGUUGGUAAAUUAGCAGCACUUUUUUAGCUUAUAGCGACACUCUUUAACUGUCACUAUAUACCUAGCGACCCCACAUAUAGCAACACUUUUUAACAGUGUCGGUAAUUUUAGCUAACAACACUUUUUUGACAUGUACCUGCAUUUAAAAGUGUCGCUAUAGACCAUUUUUGAUAUAGUGCGGGUUAAGAUUUUGCUUGAUUAGAAAAUAAUAGUAAUAAAAGAAUUUUAAUUUAUUAUGAGUUGAUAAAAUUGAAUUUGAUCAAAUUUAAUUAGUGAAUGGUGAUCGAAUUGAGUUUAACUCCUUGUCAAGAGUAAUAUUAAUCCUUUUUGGAAGUCACAAUUUUGGUAACUUAUUUUUCUUUGUUUAUGUUGUUGUUGUUGUUUUUUUUUGUUUGAAAGCAUAGUUGUGUAGUAUUAGGCCCUUUAUAUAUUUUUAUUACUUUGGUUCGUAUUGUACAUCAAGGGAAGAAGAAGAAGAAGAAGGGAAAGAAAAAGAUAAAAAUUCCGUUCAGGAGAUACACAAUAGUGACUAAUUUAACAAUAAAUGCAUUUUUAUCUUGAAAAAUUCAGAUUCUACCGUUUGUUUCCAAAAUUGUAUUCUGAUUCUUAUUUUAAGAUCAAUUUCGAAAAACCCUAAACCGCUCGAAAUCAAAUCAAACUUUUAUUUCUCGUUCCAAGUUAUUCGACUUUGAUUCGGAUUAAGUUUAAUCACCAAUAUUUGCACACACACACACAUCCUAAAUGUGUUUGGAAAAUAUUUGUGUUCUAAAACUGGUUUAGUUGAUCUAUCAAACGAAGACCACAUUCAACAAAUGUAUCAAUUAAAGCUCCCUUCUCAAAUUAAGUGUAAAAUAAAUUAGAAGAAAUAAAAAAUUCAUUAAUGUGAUAGCUAUGCAAUUGGUUGAAUAAUCCCUUUUAUAACUUAUCUCUCUUGGGUGUAACUAAGUAAACAUUUGUUUUAGUAACAUACUCAAAAAAAAAAGUAUUUGUUUUAGUAAUAUGUUAAAAGAAAAGAAUAUGUUUUAGUAAACCUAGACAAUGAAUAGAUCAUGAUCAUGAUUAAAUUGAUCACAUAGUUUAUGAAUUGUUCAACGUAUCGUAAACUUGCUAACAAAUUUCAUAAUCAUUGACAUUAAUUAAAUUAGAAUUGGUGACCUUUUUUUUUUUUUCUUCCUGUGGACUUUUUUCCAACUCUUUUAAUUAAGCAAUCCAAACAAGUGACCAGAUCAAAACACAACUACUAUAAUUCACUGUGGCUUGUGAGCUCCAAUCAUAUAUGGCUAAGGUUUUAGUGAGAUAUAAAAAAUUAUCACAAAACAAUGCAAGUAAACUCCCAUUUAAUUAGGGCUUGAAUUAAUGCACCAAACAAAUAAUUGCAUGGAUUGCAUGCAUGCACCUAUGUUUAUAAAUUUUCCCAAAAACCAAUGUAUGAUGUGGUCUCCACACAAAUCAAAUCAAAUCAAAUGACAUAUACAUUGUUGCUUGAAUUAUCAAUGUAGACUAUAUAUAUGUACAUGUUAUUAGAAUUUCUUUUUACGCGCGGCUAAUGCAUUAUGCUCGAAUUCGGAUUAACUGAGAUAGAAACAUAAGUACCAAGUCGAACUGAAUAAUCAUUGUCUCCAUUUAGAUUCUUAUUAUUGAGCCUCUCCUAAGUUGAUGCCACAAACAUAGAGACAAAGCCCCCUAAAAAAAGAAAAGAAAAAGCCCUAUGCAAAGCUCCAUUAAGUACAAAUAUCUCUCCCACUAUAUUACAACUAGAAGAGAUACCACCUAUGCCAAAAAAAUGAAAAAGAUAGAUUUGAGGGGGAGACCAUACUACUUAGAGUUACAUUAAAGAGUAAUAUCUUUUACCUUUUUAAUCUCGACGCAUCUCCAGAUUCACGAGAUUACUGGGGUGAGAAUAUAAAACGCGAACCGUACCAACUGGAUCGAGCAAUAUUCGCUUAUUUUCGUAUGAUUAGCAUUCGAUCUCAGUUUUAUUUAAGUACAUUGCGCAAUAAUCUUGUUCAUGUGACCUCUAAUCUUGUUCAUGUGACCUUAAGUAGAGGAACAAAUGAGAGAAUAUAUCAUCUUCGAUCAGAUUCUAUGUAGAGAACCAGUAGAUAUGUCACUAAUGUUGCAUGAAAAAUAUCUAUAUGUGGAUUUUCACUAAUUAUUUAGUGAAAUGACUGAAAGGAAGAUAAUAUAUUGUAAAUGUGAAUAGUUACGCUGAACAAGAAAAUAUUUUACAAAAAAUAUUCCACACUUGUGGAGUUCUUCUUUGUUUUUCUUUUAGAGAGAAAAAUUACACGCUACAUGUUUCAUUUAUUUUUUUAAAAAAUAACCUUAAAUAAAAAUAUGAAGCGGCUAGGCUAAAGAAGAAACAAAAUGGCAUAAUUUAAAAAAUUGCAGUGUAAAACUUUUGCCAUUGCCUAAUUAAUCCUAACAUACUACAGUUGAGUUGACUAUCAACUGUUCAUCCUAAGAUCAAUACUUGUUUAUGAACUCUAAAUUUCUUUUAUCUUUUUUUUGGUUACCUAAUUGCAUUAUAGUCCCUAAACUUUUAGUAUAGUCCCAUUUCAUCCUCAAAAUUUUAAAAUUUAAAUUAUUUCAUUUUAGUCCCCACGGUCUAUUUUAACUAAAUGGUAUUGUUAGAAAAUAGGGUAAAAGGUAGAAAUUUUUUUGUUUAGUGAAAUUUUACAGAGCUGAUCUAAACUUUGGGUUACUUGAAAAAAGCUAUCCAAUUUUUCAAUAUUUUGAUUUUACUAUGCGAACUUGUAAAUAAUUCGAUUUUCCUUAUUAAAUGCAAUUCCCUACACCUACUCUAUUCGAAUAUUUGUUCACCCUAUCUUAAUUUUGUUCUUUUGAACGCAUAUCAUAUUGGUAACUCGAUCAACCUCUCAAUUUUUAACCAAAAAAACUAUAACAUAUUGGAGGGUAGAGAUUGAACAAUCAAAUGAAACGACUAACCAAUAAACAACUAAAAUAAAAAAAAUAAAUAAAAAUGAAAGGUUAGUUAGAGUAAAAUCAAAAUUUUAACAAUUAGAUAAUCAUUUUCAAAUGUUCUAAAAGUUACUCGCAUGCAUUAAUUUUUACCUUUUUCCAAAGUUUAUGAUUAUCUAGUCAUUGGCCUUCGCCAUGCUUCUAUAUAUAUGUUUAAAUGUUAUUUAAGUUUGUUCAAAGUACGUACGUGAAGAACGUUUCUGCUGAAACAAAUGUGAUUGCCUCAACAAAUUAAUAAUUCCUUUAUUUCAUUCUUUCUCUAUAUGCAAUCUCUGCUGCAAAAUCGGACAUGAAAAUUUCUUCUCAUCCAACUCCUCGCGAAUGAAAGGAUUCAAAUUCAAUAAUAUUAUAGAUACACAUUAAUAGAUAAUAUGUACACCAAGUAAUAAUUUUUAUUACUGUUUAAUUUUUUACAUAAAAAGAAAGAUGUAUAAAUAAAUAAGACAUGCAAGCUCGAUGUGCGUGUAUAUUUAUGCAUCUUAAUUUAUAGAUAAUAUACCUAAUGCUUCUCUUCUUUUUAAGUGCAUACAUUUUCACUUUAUAUAUAUAUCUAUAGUAUCGGAGCUUCGAUACUAUAGUCUCGUUUUUGAUAUUAGGAUGUUCAAAUCAACAAUCCACACCAUUAAAACUGAUCUAGUACGUGUAUUUAAAGUUUUUAGAAAUAAAAUUUUAUAUUUUUUCGACAUAGUUUACUUUAUGAUCAAAUCAUUUCAAAAUUGUCAAUUUUCAAUGGGUACUAUGGCGAGUUUGGAGUUUAACGGUGUAGAAGAAUCUAAAUUUCUCCAAAUUUUGAUAGAAAAUACUUUAAACUAUUUAGAUUAAGGUUAACAUUCUUGAUCUUAAAUUUAAAAGUCUUAUGCUCAAAUUUUAAAAAUUAUUCAAUUUCCACCGUUCAUUUUGACAUAAUUUAUUUACUAAGUAAACAAUGUCGAAAAAAGCUAAAAUUUUAUUCCUAAGUACUUCAUAUACCCUAAAUUAUAUUUAACGGUGUGGAUCGUUAAUUUGAACACCCUAAGAUCGAAAACAAGACUAUAGUACCGGAGCUCCGGUACUAUAGAUAGUAUAGUAGCCUAAUUAUUAAUGAUAUAUAUAUAAUAUAUAUAUAUAUUAUAAUAUUAAUAUAGAAUUAGGCUACUAUGCUAUUAAUAGCACCAAGUCAUUGUGCUACAAGUUUUUGGCCAUUGGAUUAAGAGAUGUGCAGUUAGGAUGAUGUGGGCCCUUUAGGGUUGAGUGGGUGGUUGGUUGAAUAGUAUGAUCUAACGGGUAAAAAUGAUCAAAAGGAUAGAUCUAACGGCAGAAAACUUGGUAGCACCAAGUGCUUCGUGCUAUUAAUAGCAUAGUAGCCGGACUCUAUAUUAUAUUAAUUAUAUAUAUAUAUAUAUAUAUAUAUAUAUAUAUAUAUAAUUGAGCUCCUAUGCUUUUAAAAGUCCCAAGUUAUUGGUGCUUGUAAGUUUUCGGCUCUUGGAUUAAAGGAUGUGCGGUUAAGAUAAUGUGGGCCCCCUAGAGUUGAGUGGGUGGUUGGUUGAAUAGUAUAAUCUAAUGGGUAAAAAUGAUCAAAGGCAGAGAUCUAACGGUAAAAAAUUUACAAUUACCAAGUGCUUGGUACUUUUAGAAGCACCAUAGCCGGACUCUAUAGAUAUAUAUAGAGAGAGAGAGAGAGUAGGGCUACUAUACUAUUAUGAGUAUUGGGCCCUUCGUACUCAUAAGUUGUUUUCGAUGAUGGAGCUUUCGAAUCGACGAUCCACUCCGUUAAAUAUGAUCUAAAGUAUUUGAAACUUCUAGAAAAAAAAAUUCGUAAUUUUUCGAAAUCAUAAUAAAGUCCAUCAAGCAGGCAUAAAAUGAACGGUCAAAAUCGAACGAUGUCUUAAAAAUGAAUGAUCGGAUCCUUCAAUUUAAGAUCGGAGUUAUUGACCUUUAUCUAGAUAGUGAAUAGAAUUUUCUAUCAAAAAUUCAAUCUAUUCGGAUUCUUUUGCACCGUUAAACUAGCAAGUAUUCCAUACCGGCCGUUAAAAACUGUCAAUUUUGUGAGCUUUUGAUCGUAAGUAAUAUGAUGUCGAAAAAUUAUGAAAUUUGAUUUCUAGAUGUUUCAAAUGCUCUAGAUCUACGUUUAACGGUGUGGAUUGUCGAUUCGGAAGCUCUAUCAUCGAAAACAACUUAUGAGUACGAGGACGAUCGUACUCAUAAUAGUAUAGUAGCCGGACUCUAUAUAUAUAUACUAGUUGAGCGUACGUGGAAAUGCACGUAACAAUUAUUUUAAUUUAUUUUAAAUCAGUAAAAAUUUGUAAAUCAUAUUUAUUAAAAAAUUUAGAAUAAAAUAUUUUAUAAAUUGAUAUGUUAUAUUUUAUUAAAACAUAUCUAUAAUAUCAAUUUUAAAUUUUAAUAUAAAAUAGAUUGAUAGAUUUGAUAUCCAAAAUCAAAAAUUAAAUUUAAUUCACGAUUUAAACUCAAAUUUAAAUUUUAAUGUAAAUUAAAUGGAUAGAGUAUAUUAAUAUUCUGGCAAAAAUUUGGAUAACCAUGAAUUUAUUUCUAUUUUAGAGAUAAAAAGAAAUUAAGCAAAUUUUGAAUUAAAAUAUAGAUUAACAAUAGAUAUCUUUCAGUUGGCAAAAUUUGAAUAAGUAUGCAUAUUUUUUAUUUUAGAGGUAAAGAUAAAUUAAAAGUUUAUUUUAUUAUGUUAUUUAUUUUACGUAAGGAAAGAGGAAUCAAAUUUUUUUUCCACCUAAAAAUGGGUCUACCGACAUAUUGAAAUUUGAAAUACGUGCUAGAUAGUAUAGAUAUUAUAUUAUAGUUAGAGAUAAAAACGAAUUAAAUAAAAAUUCACAGUAGAUAUUCUCAGAUUGGUAAAAAUUUGGAUAAACAUAACUUUUUUUAUGUUGUAGAAAUAAAGAGGAAAUAAAAGUUUUUUUAAUUCUAUUAUUUAUUUUACGUAAGAAAAGAGGAAUCAAUUUUUUUUUCCGCCAAAAAAUAGAUCUGCCGACAGAUCGAAAUUUGAAAUAUAUAUAUAUAUAUAUAUAUAUAUAUAUAUAUAUAUAUAUAUUUGGUUGAUUCAUGGUUUAUUUGCUGUCACGAUCUUUACAGCAGGGUACGUAAUUUAUAGGACGGUGCAAAAUGGUUCUUUUACGCGAAUAAUUAUGUGUUGUAAUUAAUGCUUCUUCCUGGAAAAUAAUAGAGUUUGACUACGUAUCAUUGCAUGGUACACCGACAAGGAAACACGUAGGUAGGUUUACGCUUAAUGGGCUCGAACUUACAACAGUAAUGUUCUCGUGGACACUUUAAUUUGAACCCUUUAUUUACUAACUCUCGCAAAUAAUUUGAAUUAAAAUAAACAAAAGUAAAAAAUUAUUGUUAAGAAAGAAACGAUUAAAGAAUAUAUGUGGACACGCUAUAUCGCAUAGAAUGUAAUUAAAAUUUCUAACUAAACAAGCUUUGAGAAUCACUAGAUAAAUUAAGGUCGCUAGCUGAUUUGCGUGAUAAUACGAAAUAAAAACUUGUUAAAAAAAUAAAUUUUAAAUUCAAAACUAUGUAAAUUAGCUGGGAGUGUUUUGACACGGUUUAUCAUGCGUGGUACGUCUAAAGGAUACGCAUGUUGUCCUAUUCAAUAUUAUACGCGAAGUAAAAUACUAUUUGUACACCCUCUAGAGUAGGGUGUGCAUACUUGUUACUUAUCACAUGAAAGUAAAAUUUAUAUUCGUAUAUUGCACCGUCAAAAUUAAAAUUUAUAUUCGUAUAUUGCACCCUCGAAAAUUUAUAACAUAAGAAACUGCCAAACAAUAUUAAAAGUAGCAAUAGCGGUAAGCUCAACUAUAGGUUUCAAACACUCUUUCUUCAAAUAAUUAAUGUAACAUAUACUUUAAAUAUUCUUGAUCUAUAAUGAUAUACAUGUUAAAGAUAGUAAUUUUUUUUUUUAUCUAUUUAGUUAUAGAAAAUCUGCCUGUUUAUUUAAUUAUUUUAGUUAUAUUAUAUGUAUUAAUCGCUUGAAUACAAUUUAAAUAAAUAAACAUAUCAAAUCUAAAAAAUUUGAGGACAAAAAUUUGAGAGAAAGAUCGUAAAAAAAGGGUUGAGUUUAUGUACUUUAAUUUGGAGGUCGAGGGGAGAAAAUUUUCUUCUUAGGGAUGUUAUUUAAAUCAGUGAACUCAUUCUUAAUUUCUUUAAGGAAUGCUUAUAAUUAGCAACUUCGUCCUUUCGCGAAGGGAUGCUUAUUUUUAAAAAAUGUGAAAAACUUCAUGUUAUUUACAAAUUCUCUCAGUAAAAUUUAUAUUUUUUAUAGAACGGAUUGAUGUGGCUUCAUAUAUGGUCCCGAAAUUUCACAUUUUAUUUAUAUUAUUAUAUUAGAUUAGAUUACCUUGCCUUUUAAACAAUCGUUAUUUUUAAUAACGAACUAAACAUAGUUUUAAAAAACGUGAAUAAGCAUAGACAAUGUUAAGUUGUGUUUUUGUACGCAUGCAUAUAUAUAUAUAUGUAUAGUAACUGCUUCUAGUGUUGCAUAUUGAUCGAGACGAACCACAUUUGAGAUUUGAGCUCGAAAUUGGAUUUGGGUUUAGAUCGGAUCCUUUCGUACAUGAUCUGAUUUAGCGUCCCACAACUAUUAUUAUUAUUAUUUUUGCGUAGAGUUUGGAUCCAUCUCGAUCACGAUUGAGAUGUGGACUUUGGGCUCGCAAUUGGAAUUGGGUUUGGAUUUGGAUAAAUAGAAUUUGGAUCCCUCUUAGAUUUGGUUGGGUCCAUUUAUGCUUCAAGUUGAAGUCGUAGUACAUGAUUUAAUAUUAUUAUUACUAUGCGUGAAUGGUGUGGAAUUAUUAAGAUGAUGAUUGCUAGGAGCCAAAUAUCGCACAUGAUUGGUCAGUUAAAGAAUUUCUCAAUCUAAUAAAAUUACAAAAAGUGAUCAAAGCACUGAUGGAAAUUUGUGGGUAAAAUGUUCGAUUUAUAAAUCUAUAAUUUAAUUUGUCAUCUAUUUAGACCAAAUAUGGUUUGUGUACAUAUUAUCCUAAAACAUCUUCUUUGUCAAAAAAAAAAAAAAAAAAAAAAAAAAAAAAAAAAAAAAAAAACUUUGAAAGCAUUAUAGAAGAGUUAUUUUUUUUGAUAUUCUAAAUGGUGAUAAGAAGCGCCAUGGGAAAAGCAUUCAUCGGAUAUGAUACUUUCAUUUCACUAAUGUAAAUAUAUAAAUGAUUCAACCUAAUUUAAAUGGAUAGCUUUAUUAGUUUCUAAAAUGUAAACAUUAAUUUAUUUAAGUCCUUCAAUUCUAGUUUACUUGAGUAAUUUUACCAGCUCAUGACAAAAAAAAAAGUAAAAAAAAUAUUCUAAUAGAAACGAUUAAACUGACUAGUCAUCUGUUAUACAGACAGCAUCAUCCAGCCACUCAUUUUUUUACCACUAUUUCAUUGUAUAAGAAGAAAAAAGAAAAAUUAAAAUUCUUCCAAAUUAGCAAUUGUUCCUGGUGCAAGUGGUAAAAGACUUGAUGGUUGGUAUCCGAAGUCUCAAGUUCGAAUCCUAGUUGAUUCACAUUUUCAACUAAAUUUAUUUUUAAAUAAAAUAAACGAAAUAGAUAGCAUGCUAUCCAUCUCUCUCAAAAAAAAAAUUCUUUCAAAUUCUUCCAACUCUUUAAACCAAAUUUUCUAAAUUAGACCUUCUUAUUUAAAAAAAAAAUCCAAGACCUGGUACGUGAGCCUUUUUGCACAAACCUCACUUCCCCCCCCCCCCCCCCCCCCCGCCCCCCAAAUAUAAAAAAAAAAAGAAAUAAAAAAAGCUCUGUCCUUUCUUAUGAGCAUAGUAGUUGCUUUGUCUCUUCUCUAUCUCUAUCUCUCUCUUCUCUCUCUCUCUUCUCUCUUCUCCUCCGUAACGCACUCCACCCACCAUCUCCAUUUCCCCCACCUCCCUCCUCCCUCCUCCCUCCUCUUCGAUCUCCCGCGCUUUCCUCUCUCUUCUCCCGCCAUAAAAAUGGCUUCUUGAAACCCCUUCAUCAACUCCACCAUUACCAUUCCCCAUUGCCGGUGCGUUCUCUCUCUCUCUACCUCUCCAAUGGUGGAUUCCAACGCCAACAACAACAACAACAACAACAACAACAACAACAAUCACACAUCCGAAGAAGCCCCAAGAGACCCCGGGGACGCUGCGGCCGCGGCAUCGUCGUCGACGACGACGACGACGACGACGACGAGGAUUGCGUUUGCGUUGGCCCGAGACGAGCCGUUCCUCUCCGAGUCGGAGGACGGCUACGUCGAGCUCCAGCUCUCCAGGGAAUGCUCCAUCUACGCCGCCGCCGCCGCCGCCGACCGCCGCGGCUCCUCCGCCCCCUGGAUCGCCGCCGCGCGCCCCGCCGUUAUCAAUUGGAUUCUCCGAGUGCGUCUCGUCAAUCCCCCCACCCUACCCAAUUCCCACCCCACCUCUCCCCCAGUUGCCUCAUCUAAUCCCCAAUCUCUUCUUCUUCUUCUUCCUCCUCUCAGUGCGCCGCCCACUUCGCCUUCGGCCCCUGCACCGCCUUCGUCGCCGCCGCCUACUUCGACCGCUUCCUGCGCCAAGAAAACAUCGACGUGAGCAAGCUAAAAAAGACAAUAAAAAUCCAAUCUUGAUCAUCUCCCUGCUCUCAAUUCUCCGAUUCCGAUUCCGAUUCCUGUAAAUUGAGCUGAGUUUGUGUUAUAUAUACAUAUAUAUGCAUACACCACAUACAUUUUACUUGUGUCGAUAGGAGCGGCCGCAAUGGGCGCUGGAUUUGCUCAAGGUGGCGUGCGUGUCGCUGGCGGCGAAGAUGGAGGAGCGGAGCCCGACGCCGCUCCCUGCCAUCGCCCGCCGCGACGAGCACCAAUUCGGCAGCGCCGCGGUCCAGCGGAUGGAGCUCUUCGUGCUGCGGGCGCUGCGGUGGCGCAUGUGCUCCGUCACCCCCUUCUCCUUCCUCUGCUACUUCGCACACAAGUUCUUCGACAAAGGUUAUGUAUCGGAUCACCUGCUGCUGAGAGCUGCUCAGUUCAUCUUUGUAACCAUCAAAGGUGGGUCAUUUGGUGGUUCUCUCAAUCGGGUCUUGCGUAAAGGCGCGAUCUUUUCGAGUCUCCUUACAUGUUUGGUGACGGUUGGUUCAAUGCAGUGAUGAAUUUGGCUGUUACCGCGGCGUCGAGCAUCGCGGUGGCGGCGGUUUUCGCCGCCGCCGACGGCAGCUUAACCCGGGAUUUGAUAGAAUCCAAGGUGACAUCCAUUGUUGACUCAUUACCAGAACCAUUAGACCCUGUGAGUAGUUUACACUGCUACUACAAUUGGAAUAUGCAUUGAUCAUCCUGUUGUUCUUUUUCUAUAAUUUUUGGGUUUUUCUCCAAACUUUGUGGAGAGUAAUGAGUGAAUGCAGAGUGUUAUUGCUCUGUGUUGCAGGAAGGCGUGUUUUCCUGCUACAGUGUGAUGAUUCAAGAAGCAUGUAAGGAGGAGCCUAAACCAUCAAAGGAAUUGGAUUCCUCUUUAUCAAAUCCCCCAGAAGCUAAUCAUGCCAACAAUGAUGAUUCUACUGCUGCUAAUAAGAGGAGAAAGUUGGAAUAGAAAAAAAGGAAGAAAAAAAAAAAAAGGAUUCUAUGAGUAAUUUUGAAGAGGAGGACCCAGGCACUUUUUUUUUUAUUUUUUAUUUUCUUUAACAUAAAGUUGUUAAUGGGGGCAUCAUGAUUCUUCUUUUUCAAUUGAGUUUUAUAUCAGGCUCAUUGGUUAAGCUUGAAAAAAGGUUUUGGUUUUUGGAGGAGCCUUUUCCACACUUACUGGUGUGUGAAAAGAAGGGAAAGGGGAGAAGAGAAAGGCAAAAGCUAUACAGCUCAAAGUGAAAAGACUCCAAAAAGAAAAAAAAAGAAAAAAAAAGAAAAGUAAAAGAAAGGCUGACUUAAGAAAGAAAGCUAGUAGGAGAUCAGUAGAUCACUAUCCAAGGGCAAAGGAUGAGUGAUUGUUGUGAAUAGGAUUUGGGAUUAGUCCUUUUUGUGUUUGGUAGCCCUUCUGUCAUUCAUUCAUGAACAACUUUACCCAUAUAUUUGUUUUAAUUCCUUAAUUUCUUCUUCUUCUUCUUUUUUACCUUAUCUUUUCCUUUUGCCCCCCCUGUGUGUUGUGUUGAGGCUAAUUGGGUUUCAGUGGAAGGGAAAAGAGUCUGGUUUUGUAUCUUUUGGAACUGUCCCUAGAGCUAUCCAUUUUGGUAGAGGAGCUUGGGAUGUGUCCUUAUAAGCAAAUGAGAGGGUGUUGGUUGUAAUUCUGAAGAUAUGUAAGGUUGGUUAAUGGAAAUGUAAUUGGAUUAUUGUUGGAUGGUCUUUGUUUUUCUAAUGCUGCUGUUUCCUGCUGUGUAUCAAAUAAGAAGCAACCUUUGUUGUUGGAACUUAUGAUAACUGGUUCAUGGAGGUGAUAAGUAACUGUUUGUUUUGUCUCCUUUUACUGCCUUGAUUUGCUUCAUUAUUUUUUAUUCCGGGCAUUUUAUGGAUGGGAAUCUAAUGGUGAUUUUGGACUACAGCUAUAAACUGAAAAGCAGCAAGAACUAAAACCAGAGGUGAAGGGGACUUCAACUGCUCAGAAUCCUGCAAAUAUCAGAUAGCUCCAUAUGAAUGUCCACAAUAAGAGCAUUAGUAAUAUUAUCCAAUAUUACCCACUGGCAAAUAGAUUAGCCUCACAUUAAUGUAAACCCAUAUAAUAAGAUCAUUAUCCAAUUGUGGUCCUAAUGUCCUAAGGUCAUAUAAGAGAAAUUUAGAAAGAGUUCUAUCCUUGGCAUAUUUGUAUAAAGUAGUUUUUUCGAACAAAACUUAUGUAGGGAGCCUCCUCAUGGUGGGAUUGUCUAAUCUGCCUUCCAUAACAAGCAGCGCUCGAAUCUUGAUCUAGCCUCACAAGUUAAGAAAAUGCACCUAUGACAUACAAGUUAAGAAAAUGCACCUAUGACAUUCCAAGCCUAAGCAGACAACUAACGUGUAUUUGGAAUAACUUAUUUAAAAAAGUAGCUUGCUAGAUGUUUGGCAAAAAAAAAAAAUCUCAAUCUUUUGCCUAUAAAAAGAGGCCAUUGCAUGCUUUAAUAGAACAUCCAAUUUGAAGCUUUUGCUUCUGUUGGAUUUGUUUCUGCUUUAGCGAAAAGCACCAACCAAACAACUCUUCUGCAGAAACUCGCUCAAGUUAAAUAUGCUUAAAAUGCCUUCUGCAAUGGCCUAUAUAGUGCAGGCCAACUUCACCAACUGUGUAAGAGAUGGUUACAAACUAUCUAGUAGCUUCACCUACUGUGUAAGAGAUGGUUACAAAGUAUCUAGUUAUGGUUGUUAGGUCUCUGCAUGCAAUAGAGUGGUGGGCUCACUCAACCAUCCCAAAGCCUCAAUUUCACCCUUCACAGAUUUAAAAAAAAAAGAAAAGCUACAAAAGAAAGAAUAUGAAGCUACAAAAGAAAGAAUAUGAAAUAGGACUGGUAAAAGCUAGGGGGUGAAAGGACUUCCUCAGCUUCUCCCACCAGCUGCUAAGCUUCUUUUGUGAGGUAUUCUCAGCUGGUGCAGCAUGUGAGUGCUUUACUGUCUUUUACUUACUUCAAGGUGGAAUCCAUGUGUGAGCCCUCCAUUCCUUAGACAGUUGGUGUGGAAAAUUUGAGAGCCCUCCAGCUAAUUUAAUCCUUGAUCACAGGGCUGAAAAUGGUCUUCCUCUUCACUCACUCUAAAACUUAUUGCAUGCACCUGAUCUACGCAUCCAUACACAGCACGAUGUUUACCGUCCAUCUUAUCUUAUAUUUCAAUCUCUACCGUCCUGUGUUUUCUACUUGAAAAAUUGAUUUAUAUGGUUGGACUGAAAGUAUGAAAUAAGAUCAAGAAUGAAUUUUCCUAAAGACUAUUCCUAUUUUGUCUGACCACGAAGAGAUUAUUUGGUUAUAUGGCAUCAAGACUGAUUGUAGACCCUCUUGGUUCAUUAAGAUAGUGUGGUUCUUUUUCUCGCAUCAACCAUUAAAAACAUUUGAGUCCCAUCUUUUACCUCUUCCUGUAUCUGUUUUAACAGCGCGGUAUUCAUAUAAGCAGGGAUGUUAAGACUAAUCUUGAGUUAUUUUCUACCAGAUCAAUCAAUUGAGGUAAUAGAUGGCGGUGCGUCGCGCUGAUAUAGAGCUAAACCAGAUGUAGGCAGUAACUCUCUCUCUCUCUGUCUCUCUCUGUCUCUCGAAGCAAUCAAAAACAGGCAGUAAAUACAUAUGUUGUGUAGAGGAGUACCACACACAAGUUUGGUAGUGAGUUAGUGAGUGGUACCUCCCUUUGCUGGGUUGGCUUGGCCUGGCAGAGCAGCAGCAGCAGCAGCAAGGAAAAGGAUAAAAUAAUGCUAGAGGCAGCUUGACCUGUUCAGUUGGAAUUUUACACAUUGAAUUGAGACCUGUGGCACCAAAACAAAAAAAAAAUAAAUAAAUAAAAGAUAAAAAAUAUGUUGCAUCAAAUGUUGGCCCCUGCGCCUUUUCCUUUGCAGCCCAAGUGAAGAGAGAGAAGCCACAGUAAAAUAAAGAAAGCACCAAAUCUACCAAAGCCCAAGAAGGCAAAACCUCACUUUGACUAGUCAACAUAAGUAUUUUCCAUGGGUCUUGUGAAUGAUGAACUGUCACACAAUAAUUAUUAGGGCUGUGGGGGUGAGUAGUUACAGUGUUAGGGUGAAGUACACAGGACAACAACAUUUUCUGGUGUAGUUUAUCAGAGGCUGUUGUAUAUGUCGAUUCAAUUAGUAAAAAGAAAAAAAGAAACUGAAACAUAAGAAUACAUCAGAAUCAUUGAGACUGAUCAGACUCAAUUAAUAAGCAGUAACUAAAUUUUUUUAAAAAAACUCCUAUCUGUUUGUCAAUAUUAAAACGAAACCACUUGGUCAGAUCCAUGCAUUAUUCUUCUCUUGGGCAAGUUUGCAAAAGAAACAUUACUCAAUUAAAGCGAGAAGGGAAUUACAUUGAGGCAGUGGCAGCUGUUGCCCAGCCUGAUAUAGUUUCAGCAUUACCAUGUAAACCAAAAAAAAGAAAAAAAGAAAAAGAAAAAUCCUAAUAGGGAGAUCUGACCCUUCUGAGUACAAUAUAUAGUUAUCAACUUGGGAUGGUUAGCUCUCAAAAGCACCAAAAAAAUGGGUAAAAAUGCACAUACAAUGAUCGUGAAGAGAAAAAUAGACAUUUUAGGAAAAAAAAAUUCCACACUCCUGCUAACUACAAAUUUAGUUUUCGUGCUACUACCGAUUUAUUAUUAGGCGUCAACAGGGAUUAAUUUAACUGCAGCAGCGAUAGGCAUGCUGAGAAAGCCGACGAAGAUGCUAGUGAACCACUGCAUAAAGGUUAGUGGGGUCGUGUUCGCAAAAUCUCCAAGGAAUUGGACGAUUAUAAAUUGGAAGAUGACGGUGCUCACAAUCACAGCCACGAAUACGCAGUUCUCCAAGAUGCCCUCGAAUACAUUGAUCUUCUCCAUCUCUCUGGAGCUGAUCUCAUUAAAAACCUGUGCAAGCAGACUCGGCCUUUAGCGGAAUCAAUUACUUAAAAAGUUUGAGCAUUAAGAACCUUUACCAUUAUUCUAUUCAGAAAAAAAAAAGAAAACGAUAGCAAAAUUCUUCAAUUUACCAUUCACAACAACGGUAAGAAGAAACAAUCCCAUAAUAACAGAGGAGAACCAUCGCAAGGAAAUUACCUGACAAAACACGAAAGAAUUGAAUAUAAGAGUAUUCAGUGUAGCAUCAGAGUUCAGGCCCUCAAGUCGAAACAGCCCUUUUCCUUCGGUCUGGAGAUACCAUAUCACGACAAACUGAUAUAAGGCUUGUCCUAGAAUAUUCCUCCACAUCACAUUGCUAAUGAAAUUUCCUUUCCUUCCGACUGGAGCUCUUUUCAUCAGAUCAUUAUUCGGCGGCUCAGUAGCUAACGCAAGUGCUCCAAGUGUAUCCAUGAUCAUGUUGACCCAAAGCAGCUGGACAGCAGUUAGAGGAGCAUUACCUAGGAAAUAAUUACACCAAAGGAAAAGAACUGUGAGGAGUAGCAUCUAAAAAUAGUAGGACAUUUUAGUAAAUGUAAAAUGGUAUUAUUUGUACCUGUUAAGCAUGCCGAAGAGAAAUUCACGAUUAGAGCUACCACAUUAACGGUUAGCUGAAACUGCACAAACUUCUGAAUAUUUAUGUACACAGAUCGUCCCCAUUUUCCCACGGUGACAAUAGUUGAAAAGUUGUCAUCGAGAAUAAUGACAUCAGCACUUUCUUUUGCCACCUGCAUAAAAGGAAAAAAAAAAGAAAAGAAAGAAAAAAGGAAAGAGAGGUUAGUGGUAAUAAAACUGGCAGAGACGAAACACAACAAAAUUCAGGAGAAGCAACAAGAACAAUGAUUCCAGUUAGCUGUGGAAAACAGGAAAAACUUGUCUAUACUCAUUUUAAGUUUUAUUUCUUGACACGAACCAAGUUUGCACAAGUAUGCGAGGACGUUGUACUAUAAUGUAAAGAAAAUGAAAAACUAGCAUAGAGCUUUAUAUAAUAAGCAGUUGAACGUCCAUCACAUGCUUGAAUGGUGUGUCAAGCUAAAGAUUGCAUGAUACAUCACAAGAAAUAGUUCCUUUACAUGGAUGGUCUGCAAUAAUUUGGCACGCCUAGAAUAGAAGUAGCAUGUUGAUAAAUAGGGUUCAAUAGGUCUCAAUACAUAAGUUACUGUCUAGUAGUUUGGUUGCUAGAUAGACAGCACAUAAAAGAUUUUCUGGAGUAAAAUAUGACAUCUCAGUUAGGACAUAGGAGGUUUUUAUACGUGCGAUCCUAAGCUUCAUAGAGCAUGGAAGAUAUAACUUUUUAUUUUCUCUGUUUGUUGCUGAAAUACGUGUUGCUUAUAUAGGUUAGCGUAAUGAAAUAUUACCUCAGUUCCUGCAAUACCCAUUGCAAGCCCAAUAUCUGCCUCAUGAAGAGCUGGAGCAUCAUUUGUACCAUCCCCAGUCACGGCAACAACUUCAUCGAAUGUGGUGCGCAGAUGCUUCACCAAGUUAUGCUUAUCUAACGGUGAAGAUCUAGCCAUCACCUGACAAUUGAACAAAAUAACAUGUUAAUUGAAUAAUAUUUCACAAAACAAGUAUAUUAGGUAAAAAAAUAAUAUUUAUCGUAGAACCUGAAGUUUUGGAAUCAAAGCAUUUAAUUCCUCUAGACUCUUUGUUCUGAAUUCUGGGCCUUCAAUAGCUAGCCCAUCAUCCGUAAGUAUCCCACAUUCUCGAGCAAUCGCUUUUGCCGUAUUUAUGUUAUCUCCCGUUACCAUUCGCACUGUAAUACCCGCAUUCCUACAAAUAGCAACCGAUUCCUUUACACCAGGUCGAACAGGAUCUUUAAUACCCACAAUUCCAAUACAAGUGUAUCCACUUAAAGGAAUUUGUUCCCCAACUGAGAAACCAUUUUCAAUCUCCAUAUACGCAAGGCAAAGAGUACGAAGUGCUUCAUUAGCAAAGCUUUCAAUUGUACCCUUGAGAUGACUAACCGCUGUUUCAUCAAGAGGAACAGCGUUACCUGUAGAGUCCAAUACUUUAUCACAAGCAGCCAAUAUAAUUUCCGAAGCACCUUUAGUAUGGGCAUGAUAUAUGCCUCCAGGAAGCUGAAGCACCACUCCCAUUCUCUUUUUCAGAGAAUUGAAAGGCUCAACCUUGAUAAGGCUACUUUCCUUGCGAACAACUUGAAAAUUUCCACCCAGUGACAGCCCAAAUUCUAGUAAAGCUGUUUCUGUUGGUGUUCCAAGAAUCUCAAGCUUACCAUCUUGGUUAGUCACAACCUCUCCACCAGUGUUAUUAAAUAUAGACUGCAGCAAAAUUUUCACAACAGAAUCUGGAAUAUCAGAGCAAAUACUAAUAGCUUCCUUAGAAUUACUUACUUCCUUGAUAUUUCCACAUACGCAAGCCUUUACAACAGUCAUGUGGUUGGUCGUUAGCGUUCCUGUCUUAUCACUACAAAUGGUAGUGGCUGAACCCAUAGUCUCACACGCUGCGAGGUGGCGAACAAGUGCUUUAUCGUUCAUCAUUUUUUUCAUGGCAAAAGCAAGGCUUAAAGUAACAGCGAGUGGAAGCCCUUCAGGAACUGCAACAACUACUAUAGUAACUGCGAUCGCGAAAAAUUCCAACAACUCCAAUGCAUCAUCUCCAGACCAGCUAAAGUAUGAACCAUCUCGGAAUUUAUGCCGGAUUAGGCCCUCACUUAACACUGCAAAUGUGACAACAGCAAAAAAUAGACCAAUUUUUCCGAUAAUAGUAGCAACUCCAUUCAAUUUCACUUGCAAUGGAGUUUCGUCAUCUCCACCUUCACUAAGUGUGGCCAUUAGCUUACCCCAUUGGGUUCUCAUGCCAACAGUGGUAACUAACAUUUUACAGGAACCAUCUUGAACCUUAGUCCCAGAUAGAAGGAAAGGAUUUUCUGUACUAACAGCCACAGGUUCACUCUCUCCUGUCAAACUGGAUUCAUUAAUUAAUAAAGAGAAACCGGAUAUGAACAAACCAUCAGUUGGGACCUGAUCUCCUAUAGCAAGGUGUACUACAUCACCAGGAAGAAGAUCAUAUAUUGAUAUCUUCUGUCGAAAUCCAUCUCGAGUAACUUGUAUAGAUAUUUUCUUUUUCUCCUUAUCCAAAUCCUUGAACUGCAAAGAUUGGCGAUAAUCACUUGUUGCUGUGACAAAGACAACUAAAAGAAUACUUGCAACAAUGCCAAGGCCAUCGUGAGCACCUUUUGGCCAUCCUUCGGUAGCAAUCCCUACGAUUAAGGAAACCAAGGCACACACUGCAAGAAUAAUGAGGGUCAUAUCUUGAAGUGCUUCCCAUACAAACACCCAAAAGCUCCUGGCUUGGCUUUCAGCGAACUUAUUUAUUCCGUAUAUCUGCUGCCUCACUGUUAUUCUAUCCUCCUGAGUAAUAAGCCCAUCAUUUGUUGAUGUGGAUAGCUUGUCCGCUACACCAGCUACACCACCAUGCGCUUUUAACUUCUUCAGAUCAUGGCCUUCGACGAUUGAACUUAAUUCCUCGGCACAUAUCUCGAAGCCCGCAGCCUUUACUUCAGCUGGUACAGUGUACUCGCUAUGCAAUGUAAUGCCUAAAGAAAUUCAUGAAUGUCUUAUAAAAUUCACAUAUUCCAAUUUUGAAAAUAUAUAUAGGUCGGAAAAGAGUGCAAGAUUACCAUGUAUAAACUGAAGUGCAGCUUUUGAAACCAAAACAGCAACCCGCAACUUCUCCUGUAAAAAAAGAACAUACGCAUUUACAUCUUCUACCGAAAGGAAGAAAUUUAGUUCAUAUUCAAUAAAUCAUGCUUCUUCCAUUACAAGCUGUAACAAAACCUAGAAGAUGAAUCUCUUAUAAACAUUCAAUAAAAAAUUGGAAAUAGGAUGUAUAUACUUUUAUGCCUAGAGUGGGAUAUAAGGUAUUUGGAGCAGGAAUAAAGUUAAAAAAAUGAUGAAUUCUCAAUAAAGCCUUUGGAUGUGGAUGUUAGGUUAAAAAUAUAAACUGAACAUACGUUUUUCCAAGAAUAUGGACAUAAUUAUAACUAAGGUAUAUGUUAGGGUAAUGUUUCAAAUGAUGCAGAGAGUAGGAUGCAUUCCAUCCAAGCAAGGGUCUGUGAUUGUGUAAUGCGACUGCUUGAUCGCUGUUAAAUGUCACAGAUAGGGCCCUAUGUUACCGCAUUAGACAGCUAAGAGGAGGGUAAUGUGGAAACAACUAGAUUUAAUUGGAGGAGGAUACUUCAAGAGAUGCAAAGAGAAAAAACAGCAUAUUUUCAUGGAUAUCUGACAUAUCCCUUUUGUACUAUUAUCUGUUAAAGCAUUUUCUUUUAUGUUCUUUCUUUGAUCUACAAUCACAGCAAGUAAAAGAAAACUCCAGGUGAAGCCAAAGCAGUGAGAUGGCAAUCAUUGAUUGAGCAACAAUACAAAAAUGCACAUCGGCAUAAGCUACCCUUAUUAUAUUUUCUCCAAAAAGUGUAAAAAAUUACAUUGAGAUGCAUAUUCUCUGAUUGGUGGCAAACAUGUUAAUGGCUAACCUUUUGAAAAAAAAGGACAAAAGGAAAUGCCAGAUGCCAAAUUAGUAAUAUAUGUCAAAUUUGUUCUCGUCGCAUUUUUAUGUAGCUUGAGUGUCACUAAUUCUCCAUUGAAUUCACUUCAUCCUCCCAUCAUUUGAUUCACAUUGUUAACAUUUGUUCCAAAUUAGAAGGGGAGGAGAUAACAGGGGAGAGAUAAGGAAAAAGUGAAAAUAAAAAGUGUUUGUUUUUUUUUAAUUUUUUUUCAAUAGAAUUUUGUAUAUCAAAAGGUGUAGGAGUGUAAAGUAAAUGACUUGCAAUCCUUUUAUAUCCAAAGUAUUUACUUGACAACAAAAAUAAAAACUUGAAAACAACCUCUCUUUUUUUUUUUUUGCUUUCAAAAUUUUUUAAACAAGUUGUAAUCAACCAUUUGACCGGAUGCAUUAUAAGUUACUCAACUAUAACAACAAACAAAAAGUCUUUCUUUCAACAUGUCAAAUUAUCUAGAAUCAGUGUUUAAUAAAAAUAAAAAAUGAGAACAAUACCGAAUGCGAGGCCUAGGUCUCUUUAAUACCAAAAGAAUAAGUCACAAAAAUUGACUAUGAAAAUCCCGAGAAAAUAUAACUUAUAACAAGAUCAGAAUAGGAUUCAGCUCCAACUUUCCAAUUCCAUAACACUUACAAAAGAAAAUAGAUUAUAAUUCACAAAGAGAAAAAAAAAAAGGAAAACAAAUAUGGAAUUUAGGGGCAGAAUGGUUAUUUCGAAGGAAAAAACAAAAUCAACUUCAACCAAUCAACAAACGGAGAAGGGAUAUACUUACAAAGCAUGCUACUUUGGAUGGCAUAUACAUAUAAAUAUAUAUAUAUAUAGUAGGAAACGGACUCAGAAAUAUAUAUUAUCGCCCUUACAUGAUGAAUAUGAAUGGCCAUUCAGUCUCAUUAUAUAAUACAAAAAAUUCAACCCACGACUCCACAUAAGGUCGAUCUAGUAGAGAACGGCUCAGAAAUAUACAUAAAAAAUGAUAAUUAAAAUUUUGUAGGGAUAAAUACGCAAUUUUUAUCGGUCUCAAGGGAUAAAAUUAAAUGGAGUAACCAAACUCAAACACGCCAAAAUCCCAAGAACGCAUUCAAAUGCAAAACAAAAAUAUUAAGAACGAGAAUCAAAAAUCGAAACCUGGUUGGAGCGCUUCAUCGCCCGGGCCUCGGAGCGCUUGGAGAGAUUGGCGGUGAAGCGGAAGCGGCGCUUGGGGUUCUUGACGACGCCGCAGAGCUUCCGCCACCGCUGCAGCACCUCAUCCGAGGAGUGCUUCGACUUCACCCCCCCGAAAUUCUCAUUGAGAUAGCUCUCCAUCGCGCUCUCCUCUCGCUUCCCCCCCCCNCCCCCCCUCCCCAAUUCCCCACCUACCACCCCCGAAACCUUCAAAAAAAAAACUUCAAAAAAACCCUAAUUUCGUACUCCCUCGCCCCUCCGCUCCGCUGCUCCUCGCAGCCGCUACUUGUAGCCGCGGCCACCGCGGCUCAGAAGCGCUUCUGGGCAGAAGCUUCCAUGUGAUUAGGGCGAAAGCGCAGUGGUAGGGGAGAAGAGGAAGGGUAGGGCAAUGGCGUUAGAGAGAGAGAGGGGAAAGAGAAGGGGAAAGAGAAGGGGAAAAUGAGGGUGCGGGGGAUCCGAAAAAUGGUGGGAAGGGUAAGGUUAGUGGCAGCGUCUCCGCGCGCGUGGGAGGAAACAGAGCGGAAAUUGAGGGCUCGAAAAAACCGAGUCGUCGCAAGCGCUUGGAAGCUGAAACUCUCCUGAAAGUCCCUGUACUAUUACUCUAUUUUGCAGUUUUUGCAGUUUGGUAUUGUUGUUCCCUUUUGAGCUUUUUUUGCAAUUAGCCCCCCGAACAAAAAAUUAUUUUAAAAAUAGUCUCGGCAAAUUUAAAUUUAUAAAAAUAAUCCUGACCCUGCCACGCAGAUGCCACGUCAGCGCCAUGCAGGCUAAGCUAGACCAGAUAGUUAAGUUAAACACGGUGAACCAUUCACUGUGUCUAAACACGGUGAAUGGUUCACCGUGUCUUGGGGAAAAAAAAGAAAGAUAAGUUUGGAACACAGUGAACCAUUUACCGUAUUUGAAUACAGUGAAUGGUUCAUCGUGUUCAACUUAAGGCCCUAACCGUCCACGUGGCGCUGAUGUGGCGUCUACGUGGCAAGGUCACAGCCAUUUUUUGUAAAUUUAAAUUUAUUGGGGCUAUUUUUAAAAUAAUUUUUUUCAGAGGGCUAAUUGCAAAAAAAGCCCUUCCCUUUUCCAUGGAUAAAUAAUAAAUUGCGCCGUUUAGCCCUCAAACUAUGAGGUCGGCAACACUUCGGUGCUUAAAUUUUAAUUUGUGAUUAAUUUUAUACAUGCUCUUAUAAAUAUAGUGAAUUACAAUAUAUAUUCUUAUAAAAUUUAACUUUCAUAUGUUGUUUCUUUAAUAGUCCUCAUAUUUUCAAAUAUCUUCCUACCGUUAGGAUCCGUUGGAAAAAAUUAGUUAACCAUAGAUAAAAUACUUAACCCUAGUUAGUUAAUAAGGUGAAUUGAUCGAUCUUUUUACCCUCUUCAAUUAACAGUUGAGACGUUUGGAGGGACAUAUUUAUGAUUGUAAAAAGGUCAUUUCAUUUGUAAAAUAAGCAGUGUUUUAACGGUAACAAACUAGAUGAAUAUAUUUGAAAAUAUUAAAACUUUUGUAGGGACAACGUAUGAAAGCUGAACUUUAUAGGGAUAUAUUUAUAGUUUACUAUGUUUACAGAGACCUGUAUGAAUUUAACCCUUUAUUUUAUUAUAAUAUUUUAUUCAAACUUUCAGAAUUAUUGCCAUCAAGUUUCACGAACUAGUUUAGCUGACCAAAUAUUGACACAUUGUUGAUGUAAAAGUUAUGCCGCAUCUUAAUUAUUAUCGUACAAUCAAUCAUAAUACUUGCACAUUAUUUUUAUAUCAAUAAUUUAUUAACAUUUAGCCAAGUAAAUUAAUUUAUGGGAUUUGAUUGUAAUAAUUCUGAAAGCUUAAGUCGAAAAUUACAACAAAUUAAAGUUUAAGUGCCAAAUAGUCACAUGAUUUAUAUUUUGGGGACCAUGCGUGCAACUUACUUCAUUUUUUUUAAACUUUUGUGGGGUUAUUUGAUUCUAUGCGGUUACAAUUGCAUUGUAGCUAUAAUUACAUAUCAAUUCGAUUGUAUCCAAACAUAGCAGUUGAAGAAACUAAUUUUAAAGAAAAUUAAAAACUUGCCUAGAUUAUAGCCUUUUAAACAAAAUAAACAUAAAAGAUAAUCCCCUCACCUCACAUAUAAAAUGAGAAAAUUUAAUUAUAUUUUUCAGCAGCAUAUAAUCAAAUAAAUUGCUUAUAAUUAUAAUAUUUAUCACUAAAUUCAACUAAAUAAGAUGCAUGUAGCUAAAAUUACUAUAUUUCUAAAUGAAUGGAUCUGGAACUAUACUAUAUUUACAAUCAUAUCUAACCAAGUGGACUUUUAAUUUCGAUAAAAAUGCAUGGAGACCCCCCAACUUUUCCAUGUUCGAGUAGACACCUACAUUUUUAAUUUUAGCAUUAUACUUUUUAAAAACGUAAUCAAAUAGUUUAAUAACCAUGUCUCUCAAUUCAAAUUAAAUUACACAACAGUUUUGACUUUUCGCAUUUCAUUAGAGAUGAUAUAGCUUUAAAACACAAAAAAAAAAAUAUUUUUUCUAUUGUAGCACAUGAAAUAAAAAACUAUAAAAUUGAAGAUAGGUCAUUCUAUUCUUUAAUCCUGAAAUAAUUAUAAUAACAAUAGCAAAAUACAGGUUUUUUGUCUUUUAAAAUUAUACGAAAUUAUGUACAAGAUAUGUGAUUAAAUAAAUUGCUCAAUUAGUAACUUUGUUUGAAGUGAGAGCCUUAUUGAAUUAUGAUGUCAAAUUUUCAAAAUUAAAGAUUUAAAUAUCUAUUUCUAAAAGUGCUAAAGUUUAGAGGCCUUUGUACAAUUUUUUCUACUUCAGUUCAAAAGAGCACCUCAACCUAGGGGUGUAAACGAGCCGAACACGAGCGAGCUGGGGUUGGCUCGUUAAAGUAUCGAGCCGAAAAAUUUAGCUCGUGUUCGGCUCGUUUAUUAACGAGCCAAACACGCGUGCGCUCAUGAGUUGGCCAAUGAACAAUAAAUUAAAAAGAUUAGAUUAAAUAUAUAUAAAAAUAAAUUUAUAAAAUCUUAUCAAUUAGACUUUGAUCUAAUAAUUGAAACUUUACAUAUAAAUAAUUUUUUUAUAAUUAAGCUCGCAUUUAUAUUUUAUUUUACUAAAUUUUAAUAAUAAAAAUAUAUAUUAUAUAUAUAAUUAUUUAUUUAUAUAUAAAAAUAUAAUUAAAUAAAUUAUAUAAAUGUAAAUAUAUAUGUAUUCGAGCAUUUAUCGAGCCUAGCUCGUGUUCGGCUCGUUUAUUAAACGAGCUGAAAAAUCCAGCUCGUGUUUGGCUCGUUUACUAAACGAGCGAGCCAAUCUUGAGGUCAUUUCGAGCCGAACACGAGCUGGCUCGCGAACAGCGAGCUGGAUUGCCACCCCUAAACCUACACGCUUAAAUAAAGAUAUACAUCUUACACCCCCUCUAAGUCAAUGGCCAACAAUUUGUCUUUUCUUGUAAGUUUUUUUUUUAUUUUUUUAAAUAUUAAAACUUCAAAAGGUUUUCUAAACCUUAGGAUCAAGAGAAUGUAACAUAUACACCCCAGAAUAAAAGGUACAGAUAGUAUUUCUCCAUUUGAGUCGUGAUCUGUACACCUGAGUAUAGGGAAUGUACAUCUUACACGCUUGAUCCAAGAGUUGAUACACUUCUUUUGGAAUAGCACAAUGCUAUUGGUACAUUUUAAAACAGAUUGUAUAUCUUACACAUUUUUCAUCCAAAGAAUAUAAUUUUUUUACUUGUCACAUCAUUUUUUUUAACUAUAACUCAUUAGGAUUUUUGUAAACCCUACGAUGAUGAGUGUAAAAUCUACACCUUUCUUUUAGGGUGUGUCUGGAGAAUUUUUCUUUGGAUUAUAAAUUUUUUGAAAAAAUGGACAAGUCAAGUGGAUUAAAAUAUAGGCCACGAGACCCUUUAGGGGUGUAAACUUUACAUAUGUACAUUUUCUCAACAAAAAAAAAAACUUUACAUCCGUACACAGGGCAUAUGGAUAACAUUGCAUUUUAUUAAAUCCAUAGAUGAUUUCAUUAAUUUUAUAACUUCGAUUAUUUUUAGUAAAUAAAACUAGACAAAUCAACAGUUAAUAAAGUCAUUAAAUUUGAAAAAAAAAUUAAGUAACCUAAGUAUAAAAAGUCAAAUAAAAAAAGGAAUUUGAGGAGUCACAAUAAAAAAAAAAAAAAGUUAAGUGGUCUAUUUCAAAGUUGGCCAUAAGAAGGUGUUGACAGCAGAGGCUCUAGUCAACCGUGGUUGGCACGGUCCCUCUGUUUGCGUGCUUUGCAAUUCAAAUUUUGAAACUCUCGAGCAUCUUCUGUUAAACUGCUCCUAUGCCAAAUUCUUGUGGACUUCGUUGCUUCGUUCUGCACCAGCAGCGCAACAUUAGAUGUCCAACUCAUCGGGUGGGAUAGCAGCUCGAUGGUGCCGGUCAAGGAAAUUACUAAUAGGGGAAUCAAAAAAGAGUUAUGAUCUCUACGUCGCAGCGGGAUAUUAGGAGUUAUGGAAAGAGCGGAACAGGAGAUUAUUCGACAAUCAGAUAAAACGGAGCGAAAAUCUGGAAAGACUAAUUCAUUGCACGGUCCACCAUAGGGUCUCUGCAACAGGGAGCUAAGAUCGUCGACACUUUCUAAGUUUGUUAACACUUCAGGGUCUUUGGCCCCUACUUUGAGCAAAUUCGGACUCACUACGAUUGCUCUUUCUUUCACUUUGUUUCUAUGGGUCUAUGUAAUUUGAUCAGGCUCAGCCUUUGUUUUUUAUCACUUUUGGUCCUUGUACUUGGUUUCAAAUAGGGUAAAUCCCUGUUUAAUCAAAAAAAAUAAAAAAUCGGCCAUAACUAAGGGUUCUCCAUAUAUUUUUCACCUUUAGUUUAAGAAAAUAUUUUAAUUUGUUUCCAUCUAGCUUAAUUUUAUUUUGUUACUUUGUAGUUUGCAGGGCCGAGCUAUGCAGAGGCUGAGGGGAGCCAUGGUCCCCCCCAAAUUUUUAUAAUUUGCUUAUAGUCCUUUAUAUAUUUAAAAUUUUAAAAAUAUAUUUUUAUUUAAUUUAAAAGUAUGAUGAAUAACCUAUUUUUUAAAAAAGUUUUUAACGCUAAUAUAAUCCUCUCUCAACUCUGAGUUUAUUUUUAUUUUUUUAUUUAGUACCUUCAAAACUUCUAAUUAUUUUAGAUAAUUUUUUAUUUAAUUAAAUUAAAGGCUAUAUUAAAGUUAAUAGCUCUGUCAACUAAUAGUCAUUUAUUGUUACAAUUAUAUUUAGUAAAAAUUAAGAAAUUAAAUCAUUCACUAAAUUACUAUUAGAUUUAGUAAAUUUCAAAGUUAUUUGAGUGAAAUAAUAUAAAUAAAAUAAUUAGAAGUUAAGUAAAUAUAAAUAAAAAAGGAGUAAUGCCUUUUUACACUAAUUAUUUAGUUAAUAUAUUUUCUCAUCAAAAAUUUGACUAGGUAAAUUUUAUUUAUUUGCUAAAAUUUUGAUUUGUAUGUAUUUUGGCCCCCCGCAUAAUCGAGUGCUAGUUUCAUCCUCCGUAGUUUGAAAGAUAUUUUCAUAUUAUUAUGUGAUUUUAUUUUUGUUUUAUCAUAAAGGCCUACGGAUAAUUAAGUAUAUAUGAUAGUAAAGUAUUAUAUUUUACAAAACUCAAAUAGUAAACUAAAAAUAAAUGAUUAGUAAUAUGCCAUAAUGAGCAACGUUUUAAGAUCUAAAACAUAUAUAUUUCUACCAAUCCAAAAAGUAGUUUACACUUUUAACUGGUAAAUUGAUCUUCUACUUACUGAACUUCAAAUUUAGUUUUGUAUCCUCUUAUUUUUAGAGUAUUUUAUUUUAGUUCUCGUCUCAAUUAAAAGUAUUUUUUGCGUCAAAGUUCAUGAGUAAACCUAUGUACAUUGAAUCACUCUGCUCUCCGUCUCAUAUUUUCAUUUUAAUUAUCUAAUUUUUAAAAGGAGAAAAGGUUAUAACUCUAAAUAACCCGAGAGAUCUUGACCGUUUGAUAGAAAUAAUUCUGUUUGGGAAGAGAUAAAUCAUUUCAGUAUUUUCAAAAUUCGACGGAGAUUAUCAAAUAUAGUUAUGAAUUUUUUUGACCAAAUUCAUCGUGAUUCGAUUUCCAAAUAAGAUUCCAAUUUAUAUCAACUCUUCAGGUGAUUUUAAAAUAGGAAUAGUUCCAUAGUAUCGUCGCAUAAAUCGAGCAUGCCCUGAACUAGCAUAUAUUUAUUUAUCUAUUUAUUAAUUCUUAAUAUCGUACGCACGUUACGUACGUGCAAUGAUCAAAUGUUACCGUUGCACCAAUUUAUUUAUUUAUUUUUAUAAUAUUAGGUGAAGUGGGGAUCUUGUCUCUAGCAACGUGCAACGAACCUUAGGUUAAAUAUUGUAGUUAUGUGCCAAUUUUAAGUUGGAUUGGAAACUUGUUAAUAAAUUAUGUACACAGCAACGACCUAAAACAAAAAAAAAAAGGAACAAACAAACAACCAAUCAUUUUAUAGAACAAAAAAUGUACUCAAAUUUAAAAUUUGAGUUAAAAUUUGUAAAUUUAGUUUUAAAUUAAAAUACAAGUUUACAUUUUAAAUUUAAAUUUUUGCGUUAUAAAUUGAAGUUUGAAUUGAAAUCAAAAUUCAAAGUUUUAAGUUCGAAUAGUGGCCCUCAAAUCUCUUUUCUUAUCAAGGGCCCAUCUCACUACAAAAGCAAUCAUGUUACGUGCCUUAAUUAGGCCCAAAAAGGGUUCAGAUUGAAGAAACAAAGGCCCAUUAAUUAUCCCUUUUUUAAAAAAAUUAUUUUUGGGGACACUCCUCUAGUUAUUCCCUUGCACAACUACUAAAUAAUUGCAACAUAUUUUGAAGGAAAAAAGAGUUAUAAUUGGGAGAAAAACUAUUAAAAGGUUUUGCGUUCAAAUAAGAUGAUGCGCAUGAGAAAGUUGAAAAAGAUAAAAAGGAAAAAAAAUAUUUGGGAGAAAAGGAAAAUAAUUUACCAAUCCAAUUGAUUCUAGAGGAACAUAUUUGUAAAAGAGUAAAGUGAUCGAUGGUUCGCAAUAGAAAAUAGGUAAUUUUUACGAGGUCAACUGAUGGACAGGAAUUAUGUAUGUAUAAAUUUGUAAAGUUUACAUGAAUAUAUAUAACGAUAUAAAAUUUAGAGGGGGUAAAAAUGUAAUUCUAAUCAAAGAUAUGGUAGGCAAUUUUUCUUAUAAUUUUGGGUUUUUCUUGCGUUUAGUCUUCUCAAUAAUUUUUUCCUAAAUAGCCCUAUAAAAUUUAUAUUUGUAAGAUUGACUUUAUUUCCGCAACGCAAGCGCCACGUGGAUGUAGCGGUAGGUUAAGUUGAACACGAUGAAUCAUUUACCGUGUUUGAAUACGGUGAAUGGUUCACUGUAUCCUUUCUAUAGUCGAAACCCAAAAUAUUACGUAGUAUCAUGAUUGGAAAAUAAUAGAAUACAAUGAAUUGUUCACCGUGUCAAAACACGACGAAUAAUUUAUCGUGUUCAACUUAACCUACGCCGCCAUCCAUACUCGUAUGUGGCACUUACGUGGCGGGAGUAUGAUCAAUAUUAUAAAUAUAAAUUUUAUAAGGCUAUUUAUAAAUUUUUUUUUUUUGAAGGGAUUAAAUGCAAAAAGAAAGUCCUAUAAUUUUCUAUGGUGGGACAUCCCCAACACAACCAUGAGACAUGGCCUCAUCUCCAUGCUUUAUGCUUGGUCCAUAUAUACAUGGAAAUAUACUUUUUGACAAAAAAAAAAAAAAAAAAAAAAAAAAAAAAAACUUGGAAAUAGAUAAUGAUGUAGCCAUAUAAAGUGGAAUAUAUAGGAGCUAGAGGGUAAGGACUAAGGACCCCUUGCAUGGUCUCAAUAAUUAGAGUACUAGAGGCCCCAUGCAUACUUGUGAAGUUGAAGAGGGCUUUUGGGUACUUCAUUGGAUGACUAGGAAUCCACUAAGAGAGAGAGAGAGAGAGAGAGAGAGAGAGAGAGAGAGAGAGAGAGAGAGAUGCUUCAAAUGUUUCUUUAAAAAAGGAGAAAUGGAUAGGAAAAUGUGUCUUGCAUGGAUCUUGGUGAGGUUUAGUUUGGUUUAGCAAACUAACAUCACUUUCAACGUUUUGUUUGUUUCACUGAAGUUGAAGUUUAAAUUAAAAUAGACUUUUGAAUUAAUUAGAGUUCACGUAAAAUUUUUUUUUUUCGUUGUUUGUUUGGGUCGUUGUGGAACUAUUUUUUUUUUUUUUCAGUUCUGUUGUUUGUUUGGCAAAACCAUAAAUGACGUGAAAACUGAAGAUGUGAGAUAUAGAUUAAUUUUUUUAAAAUUUUUUCUCACCUUUUCUUUUUCUGUAAUUGACUUCGGUAAGGGGUGGACCGAAAUCAAUUACGUUAUUUUGGGGAGUUCAAACCGAAAGUAAAGUUACAGUAAAUCAAACAACAAAAAUAAAUAUUUACAGCUGAAACUAGUUCAUCCAUCUCCACUUUCAGUAAAAUAAGAGCACUCCGUAUACGAAUAAAUCAAUUAAAAAAGUUGUAUGUCGAGCAUAAUUCCGUGAGCAGAAAAAUCUUGUGUACGAGGUGAUUCCAUUCUAGCGGCCAGAUGCAUCGUGCUGUAGAUAGACAAAGAUUUUCUUAGCAUAAGUUGCGAAGAACUUAUUAGCUGCUGGAUCCCUCUAUAUAUAAUAUAUGACAAUAUAUCAAUAGUCAAUAAAACUAGUGUACAUUAUGAUCGUAUGUCAUAUUUGAAUAUCAAAAUAAGUUACUUCUAUUGUGGUUGAAAAUUAGGAGUUUGAUUCUUGCUCCUUAAUGUUUCGUUUAGAGGCAUUAAUAUUUUAAUUAUCCUAUACUAAUGCCUAAAAUGAAUACUGCAUUCUUCAAACCAUUUUUUCAAAGUAAAAUAAAUCAUCUUAUAGAUGAAAUAUAUUAUUCAAAGAGUAAAAAUCAAAUUUUAAUUUCCAACCAUAGAAAAAAAAUCUUUGUAAAUUGAACAAAUUAUCAUUGCAUAUCUUAUUCUGACAUUCAAACAAGUUUCAAUUCGUGCUAUGAAUUACCUUAUUUCGAAAAAAUAAUUCUGUAUACUAACUACAACACAUUAUUUUAGAUAUUUAAUCACAAUCCUUAUUCAUCUAAUUCUAAAAAUAAUUUUUUUAAAAAAUAUAUAUAUAUAUAUAUCCAACAGUAGUUUCUUUUCUUCAGUAUGAUCAUUAGUCAACUAAAGAGGAGUUGCUCUUUCCCACCACAUCCUGUUCGAUUCCACAACAUAGAAACAUUGGAAUCCUUUGACGUUGUAUGUUUUUAUCGUAAGUGCCAUUGUGGAGGAUAAGGCCGAUGACUCACCCCAACAUUACUCCACCAAUCAAUUCAUGACUUGUGCCCUCAACAUAUUUAAAGGGAUCUCUCUCUCUCUCUCUCUCUCUCUCUCUCUCUCUCUCUCUUUUACUCUUUCUCUCUCUCUCUCUCUCUCUCUCUCUCUUUCUUUUACUCUCUCUCUCUUUCUCUCUCUACAGUUUGGCUAAGGUCAUGAGCUUAAAGCAAAGUGGUUGCUUCUCUGACAAAAUAAAGCUUUUGGAUUGGGUGGGACCAAAAUGAAAUAGUUUUUUACAUUUAUCUUCGUUUGUAGGCAACUAACGUACGUACCCAUUAAUUUCUGUAACAUUAAUUAUAUAUUAUUAAAAAAACUUCAAAAACCCUCCCUAUGGUUUCGCAAUUUCUCACUUUACUACUCUAUGGGUUAAAAUGUAUCAAGUUAGUGUUCUGUGGUUUUAUUUUUAUUUUUUCGUCAGCUUUUCCGUUAAUAUUUCGUUAAAUUAUAUACAAAAAAACUUUAGAUACCCCAUCUAAAUUUAUCAAAUAUUCACUUUGAUACCCUUUAGUUUUAACUUUGUCACUUAUUAAUAAAAAAAAUCAGUAAAAUCGAUAAUAAAAAGAUAAAAAUGAAAUCACAUGACACUAAUUUGAUACACUUUAAACCACACGGUACUAAUGCGAAAAAGAGUGAAACCACGGGGUGGGGGGUAUUUGAAGUUUUUUCUAUAUUAUUUUAUGGGUUAAUUGCAUACAAGUACUGUAACGCCCCGACUUCCCAGGGGGUCACCCAUCCUAGGACUACUCCCGUCCUAGCACGCUUAACUCUCUUAACCUCUUGGGUCUAGCCACCACCCAAAAUGCUUAAGCCGGGUUAAGAGUUUAGCCCUAUUAUAUCUCAUAUAUAGGACUAUCUGGGGUCUCACAAGUACCUGCAAAUACAGUAAACUACAAAUAUAUCUCUAUAAAGUUCAACUUAUAUAUAUAUAUAUAUACUAAAACGAAAAAGAGUGAAACCACGGGGUAGGGGGUAUUUGAAGUUUUUUCUAUAUUAUUUUAUGGGUUAAUAUAUCUCUGCCAUUAGAAUCUGUUAGAAAAAUUGUUAAUCAUAUAUUAAAUACUUAGCUCUAGUUAGUUAAUAAGUGAAUAACCUUUUACCCCUUUUCAAUUAACAGCUGGGACUUUUGAAGGGAUAUAUUUGUGAUGACAAAAAAGUCAUUUCACUUAUAAAAUAGACAAUGAUUUAACGAUAAUAUAUCAGAGGAAUAUAUUUGAAAAUAUUAGAAUUAUUUUAGGAACAAUAUAUGAAAGUUGAACUUUAUAGGGAUAUAUUUGCAAUUCACUAUAUUUACAGAGAUCUGCAUAAAAUUAACCUUGUUUUAUCAAAUUUAAAGUUGCAGACAGUUAGGCUAGUAUUCUGUUUACGUGGUGAAGAUCGGAGUAGAUCAAGUGACGACUGAGACUCGUGAGUGCUGUAAAACAAUUCACUGGUUUAAAAUUAAUUGAUUGUCUUAACUUAAUUGAUUGUCUAUGUUUUAAAUUAAUUCAUUGUCUCCUCUCGAGUGGUUUGAUUUUUUCGAUUACUGGUUAAAACAAUUCACUUACACAAGCAUACAUUUGUUUGUUGUACAUACAUCUACAAAUACUCUGAGUGAGAGAGAGAGAGAGAGAGAGAGAGAGCUGAGAUUAGUAGUAACAAAAAUUUCACAACUUUUUGACAUUAUCUGGUUAAAAAUAAAUUGGUUUCUAAUAACUUCACAUGCACUUUGGAAUUAUCUUUUGUGCUAUAUUUUCUUUUACUUUGAUGCAUGAAUCAAGUGUACACACCUAGGGCCGUUUGUACAGACACCCACUACAAGAAAAUUUUAUUACAAGAAUGUUUUGUCGAUGAUAAUUGAAAAAAGCAUCCCCAAGCAUUUCUAUAAAAUAGGAAAUAUUGACGCGUCAAAAAGUAUUGUCAUAUAAAUUUUCUAUUAUAUCAAACCAAUUUAUUGAAUGAUAAACUUUGCUAUUUUUUUUAAUUGAACGAUACUAUAAAGUGUCGGGAUUUUAAAAAAUUCUCACACUUUGAAGCAUCAAAUAUAUUUUAUUGAUGCUCGGUUUAAAAGUCAAUAUACUUGUGACGACUCUUUAUUUGCCACAACUUUCAAGUAUAAUGGUAAACUAAUUCUGGAACGCUUUUAAAUAUCAUUAAACACCGAAAAAAAAAAGUUCUUAGGUAUUAAUUUUCGUGUAGGGAACCCUUGAGAAAUUCUUGUUAGUUUAACAUGAAGGUAUUCGUAUCAACGAUUUUGUAUAUGCAAAAUACCCCUAAAUUUCAAUUCUUGAUUACAUCCUUAAUUAAUGUUUGAGUCUACAUUUCUAUACUUGAUCAAACAUAAGCAAGUAAUGGCUCAACAUUUUACUCUUAUUAGGAUAUCAAAUUUUGGAUACAUACAUAUCCAUCUAAAACUUCAUACUAUAUACAUACUUGUUGUACUUUGCAUAUAUAGCUAGGAAAAUGGUCUACAAUUUAGAUGUGAGUCUCUUUUAAAGCAUGUUGUACAAAAUGUGAAAAGGAAGUAACCCAAAGACACAUAUGUACUGUUGCAGAACUAUAGUAGUGGAGGGAAAAAUAAUUCUAAGUGGAUAAGAAGUACUCCAUGGUCCCUUGAGGAAUCUGAUCCACAUGAAAACCCUUAAAUUAAAAAAGAAAAAGAGAGAGAGAGAGAGAGAGAGAGAGCCCAAAAGAAAAAAAGAAAAAAAAAGAAAAUAAAAGAGAGGUUGAAGGGAAAGUUGAAGACACUUAUGAGGAAGGGUAUUGAAGUGAAAGCACUAAGAUAGAAGCUAAUGGAUCAGAACAUCAACAUAUAAACCAAGUCCUGGUCAAUCCCCAUCAAUUCCACGUGAAGUGAAAUAAAAGGAUAAGAUAAGGUGGGGAAAAAAAAAGAGGACAAAAAAUUGUGUAUUUUUGGUCUACUUCUGUUUCUAUUUUUAGCACUUAUAAUCAUGACUGAUCUUCUAUAAAAAAAAAUCUAAAAUUUGAAAAACACAAGUUCAGUAUUUGUAAUUAUGCUGAUAGAGAGAGUCCAUAUAUUAGAGUUAAAGGAACCUUAAUAUGUAGACUCUAUCAACCCACGUGAAAAGGAAUAGAAGGAUAAGAAAAAGCGAAGAGAAGUUUAAAGUCUUAGUGCCCCACUUUUGUUUCUACUUUCAGCAACUUUUAAUCGUGAUUAAUUUUCUGCAAACCAUUUAGUAAGCAACAAAAGAAAAAAUCAUAUAUACUUUUUCCAUGCACAGCGGGAAACAGAUUUAACAUUCUGGUAUUUAAAAAGCGAAAACUCUAAUCAGUGCUUUUACUCUUCUUGCUAUGACAAAAAGUAUUGACAAAGUAUAUACCGCAUGUCUAGGCCGCUUUUAUUUCUACCUUCAGUAACCCACAAUCAUUUUAUAGAUCUUUUAGUAAACAAAGAGUCACACUCUUUUCACGUGUAGCAGAAAACAGAACUACAGGAUUAUAAAAUUUAAACAACAAAAUUUCUAAUAUGAUGCUUCUACUUCUGCUGGUGUUGCAGAAUAUUUACGAAAGAAAUUAUAAAAGUUCUAUUCAGAUAACACUUAAUUUGUGUAACGGUACGAUACGCUGUAACACAUAUAGGUUGGGAUAAGGUAUACCCAUGUUAGUGGUGGGGCUAUGGCUAUUGUAUGUGGGGAGUGGGGAAUUUGCAUUGGUGGAUGCGGCAACAAGAUGAAGAGGCUAUGCAUUGCACAAAAAAAGCAAUAAUAUAUGGGCCACUACAUAAUUGGUGAAAGAUGGAAAUGAAUCGGAUUCUCGCAACUGUUACCCACUCUUCUUCCCAACAAUAUUAUUGUUCUCUCUCCCCAAAAAAAAAUAUUAUUGUUCUCCAAAGCGUUUGGAUGGGGGUAAGGGGAGGGAUAACCCAUUAUCCUCUCCUUUAUACCCAAACGCAAAUUUUUUAUUCGAGAAUAGUAGUUCUCGAGUACCUGAAAUAAGCUGGUAUGAUUAUCUUCACCAUUAUUUUUCUUAUUUCAUAUUAUCUUAUCCAAACGCUAUUUUUUUUUAUCCCCGGCGAUAUGUAAUAGCUAGUUAUUGCUUAUACCCAAACCAAACGAUUUUUUUUUUUUGAGAGAUAGGUAGCACGCUACCCGCUUCGUUUAUUUUAUUUAUAAAUAAACUUAGCUGGAAAUGUGAAUCAACCAGAAUUCGAAUUUGGGACUUUGGGUACCAACCACCAAGCCCUUUGCCACUUGCUCUAGCGACGGUCGGUAACGAAGGCUAAAUUAGUACUCAAAAUAUAUAAGAUGUAGUCCUUAGAUAGUAUACUACACGUUUUAUUUAUAUUUUUUAAACAAAUAAAUUUAACUGAAAACAUAAUUAAAAUAACUUUAGUUCGAAUUUGUGAUCUCGAAUAACAACUAUCGAACUCUUGGUGGGUGUUUGGUUCCUCGAAAAGGCGUGAAAAAAAGUUUAGGAAAAUACUUUUCAUGGAAAGUUUUUUUUUUUUUUUUUUUUUUUUUUUUAGUUUUUCAUCUAUUUGAUUUUAAGGAAAACUAAUUUUCUUGAAAUUUUGUUUUCAUAUUUUAAGAAAAAUUAAUGUUUUCUUUUUCCAUUUUUUUUAGGAAAAUGAAAAGGCUAGUUUGUUAUAAUAUUUGAAACUAAGCCUUAUAAAAGAACCAGUUUUUCUUAUAAAUAAACAGACAGAAAACUGGAAAGGAGUUUUCCAUAAAAUAUUUUUUUCUCGAAAUUUUUUUUUUUUCUAUACUUUUGUAGAGAAACCAAAUAGCCCUUUGUCACUUGUGUCAAAAUAUGUAGUCCUCUUUUGUAGGAUGAUGAAAUAGGGUUAAUUUGCAUAAGCAAACUAAGACAAGUAUUUUGAUAGGAGGGACUGGGGCUUCGAUAGAGAGCUUGGUUUCUUCGGAAAUCGUAGAAAAACUAUUUUUCGAAAAAAAAAAUUUAUGGAAAGUAAAUUUUUCAUGAUUUUUAUUUUUCGAAUACAAAAUUUAAAAAACGAAAAGAAUUUUUUUUCACAAAAAUUGGCAAGAAAAUAUUUUGCUAGAAAAACUACUUUUCUGAGAAUCAAAUGGACGGAAAAUGUUUUUUCAUCCCGAAAACUAUUUUCUAAAAUAUUUUUCGAAAAACCCAGCACCCCUCUAAGUAUAAACAGAUGAUAAAACUUGGAAUGUUAUGUAGACUAUGAAGUUCUUCAAAUUAGAAAAGUGAAAUUUGUAAUGUGUUUUCUUUCUAGUUUGCUUUGUUUUUCUAAUUUUUUUUUUUUUUGUAGGUCCAUAAAAUCUAUAAAACCUCCCGUAAAAUCUAUAGUAAUGACCCCAAAUGGCAAUUUAGGCCUCAUUUCUAAACACAUAUGUGAGGGCUGGAUCGAACACAUAAUCUUUUCAAUGGUUAAUCCAGAUAACAAACACUAAGCAAACUACUAAUUAGUAGUUGUCAUUAAAAUUCAGGGUUAAUUUCUUCAAUACUCCUCUAAAAGAGUGUAAUUUUACAGAUGUGCGCGCUACUCUAAAUUUGAAAACAUUAUUAGUGUUUUUAUGUAUAGAAAAGGAUUUAAGAUUUAGGCUUAGGAUUUGGGGUUUAGAGGUGUAUUGGCGAUAUUUUAGGUUUUGGGUGGGUAUUUAUGAUAUUUUGAAGUUUUAGAAGAUAAGGUUUGAAAUUGCCCCUAACAAUAAUAGUGCAUUGAAGUGGCCAAGAAAAAGUCGUAAAAUGAUUUUUAUUUUGCGGGAUAGAGUAUAUAUAUAUAUAUAUAUAUAUAAAAGAGAAGGAGACGGAGAUAUGCUACUUGUACAACCAAGUAUUGGUGGUAGAUCUUACAUUCAAUUUAUCCAAGAAUUUAGAGUAUUAAAAAAAUAUAAGAUAUGAUAACAAUAGUGUAAAUUUUUUUUUAAAAAAGACUAUUAAAUGAAGAGGGCAUAGAAUCAGCCCCUACUUUUGAUGUUUAGAUAGUAUUGUUCUACGAGAAGAGUAUGUCUUCCGUGCUUUCGAAAGUACGGAGGCCUCUAUACUUGUAAGUUUUUUUCGACGAUAGAACAUCCAAUUCGACGAUCAGCUUCGUUAGGCAUAAUCUAUGCUAUUGGAACUAUCUAGAAACCAAAUUUUAUAAUUUUUGGACAUCAUUUACCAAGCGAUCACAGGAUCUCAAAAAUGACUAUUUUAACGGCCGAUGUGGCACGUUUUUAAGUUCAGCGGUGUAGAAGUAUCAAAAUUACAUGAAACUUUAAUAGAAAAUUCUACUUAAUAUCAAGAGCAAGAACAAUACUUCCGAUUUGAAAUUUGAGUUAUUUAUCACUGUCUUUUAUGAGAUUUUUAUUUUCAGCUGUUCAUUUUGAGGCUACUCGUUUACUAGGCAAAAGAAGUCAAAAAAUUAUGAAAUUUGGUUUCUAGAUAGUUCCAAUAGCGUAGAUCAUAUUUAACGAAAUCGAUCGCCAAAUCGGGCUUCCCAUCAUUGAAAAUAACUUAUAAGUACGGAGGCCUCCGUACUUUCGAAAGCAUAGGAGCCUAGCUUCUACGAGAAAAUUGAUUUGCUUCAACUAUUCUUCCCCAUGCGUGUUAGGUUGGCUUUGAAAUUGGUAACUACAUUUAAUUUUUGGAGAGAGUCCAGAUUGUCAGAAAAUGGAAGAACUUUUUCGGCCAUGCACCUUUCACUUCUGGAUUUUUUCGUCGGAUUGUUGUACGUAACUAUCAUACCUGCGUAUGCGCGCAUUUAUUAGUAGAAUUUAGGGAUUAGGACUACGGGUUUGUUCCGACUCUCUGUUGCUUCUUUCCAACAUCAAAAAAAAAAUGCCUAUUUAGUGGGAGCAAUCUUAGUAAGCUUUGUCUCCUUUUAUCUUUCCCUUUUUCUUUCUCUCUUAUUACUAUUUUUGUCUUUUUUUUAAGGUCUUACUUUCUCAUUUUUAUAUGUAGUAUCCUUUUAUNUAGACUCUUAAAGAUCAUGUUAUAGUAUUCGACUUGGUGUUUCAUCUAAUUAUAUAUAUAUAUAUAUAUAUAUAUAUAUAUAUAUAUAUAUAUAUAUAUAUAUAUAUAUAAAAAAGGAUACUACAUUAUAGCUAAGUUUAUUUUUUCUCUAUGGAUGGAGCGGAUAGUACAGUACCUUUUUAUCAAUCAAGAAAAAAGAAAAGUUGUUUGGAAAAAUAAAAAGAUGAUCAAUAAUGCAAUUCACAUGUACGUACACUUUUUUAUUUUCUUGUUUAUAACCACAUGACUAUUCCUACCAAAAGGACUAAACGAUGUAAUCAUAGAGCCGCCCCUUAAUAACUACAAAACUUAAGUCUCCUUGGGCUCUAUUGCUGUUUUUUUUUAACAUACAAUUUCUAUAUGAAAUGGUGUAGAUUCUAAAUAAAAUAGUAUAAAUAAAAAUAAUAAAUUACUUACAAUUCUUAUAUUUUAACGUAUUUAUUUCAAAAUAAAAAAUAAAUAUUUAGAAUGCAAUAUCUUUUUGCUUCUAAAGCUUUUUGUUAAAAAAAAUCAUCAUCCGUCACUAAAUCAGAAUGCAUUGCAAACUCACUAACGACGACAACAAAUGGAUAUUUCAAAUUAUAAAUAUUAGUGUUUGAAAAAAACAUAAUGAAAGAAUUUUUUCACAUUAAUCCCAACACAUAUAUCAAUUAUUUUACAUAAAUUAUUGCCUACACAUAUUCAUUAAUUAUUUUUUCCAUCGCAUAUUUCAAUCCUACCUCCAUCAGUUACAACUUUUUUUAAAAUAAAAAAAAAUAGAUCUUUAAAUUGAAAGUAUGAGAUGGUAAAAUAAUGAUAAACUCGUAUGCACGAACGAAAAAAAUAAACUAUAUAAGUGCCAGCAAUAAUCUAAUGAAAAACCUAAACCAAAAUAUUUUUAAAAGUUCAAGGGUUAAUAAAUAAAUCUAACUAAAAAUUCAAGAUUUCCAAUGUCCAAAUCAAAAGUUUGGGAAUAAAAAAUUGACUCCAAGUUUGGGGACUUGUGGUGAAAUUUACCCCCAAAUUUUUGUUCAUAUAUAUAAAUGGUCUCCAAUCAAUGUCACAAAUUAAUAAUUGUCCUCAUGUAUGGUGUGGCUUCAUUGCCUUCACGCCAUAAGCUUUGAAUAAUAUUUUCAAUUGAGAUAAUACAUGCCUAGUGAUGAGAACAAAAUGACAAAAGAGAGAGAGAGAGAGAGAGAGAGAGAGAGAGAUGUUGAUUGGAAUCUUGCCACAUCCGCAUCAAUUAGUGAGAAACUAGUGAACGUAUCCGUGCGUUGCGACGGGUCGAUUCCAUAAAAAUAAAUAAAAUUAAAAAAAUAAAAAAAAGUAAUUGUUACAAUAAAAAUAAAAAAAUAAAAAUAUAAAGAGAAUAAAAAGAAUAAAAAAAUUAUAAGAAUAAUAAAUUAUAUUUAUAGCAGCAGCAAAAAUUGAGAAUUAAAAUAUCAUAUGCCUCAUAAUUUGAGUUGGAAAUUGCAACUCAUUAAAGUUUGAGAACUAAAGUUUCACGUGCCUGAUUUCAUUUAAGAAAAGAAUAUAUUAAACUAUCUAAUAAAUUUUAAACUGCCUAAUUGUUAAAAUUAAAAGUCGAUAAAUUAUAUUUUGAAUAUUUCAAAAUAUUUUAAAUAUAAAAUUGAUCACUCAUCAGGCUAUAAAUAUGACAUUAAAAUUUGAUAUUAAAAUCAGAAUAAAAACAUAUAUAACUUUUCUGAACUACAAACCAUUUUGAAUCAGCUAUCAAACCUUGCAAAAUAUUAUUUUUACCGUCUAACAUUUUUAUAUGUUUGAUUUGAGUCAGUUAAUGAUAUUUUGACUUCAAUCAUUUAACUUUACAGAUUUAAUUAGUACUUCAUAUGAUUUUCGUAACUAAAUUUAUUAAAUAAGAAAUUAACUUAAGCCCCAUCGAUCUUUCUUUUAUUUUUUAUUGCACAAUCUAUAUCUAAUUGAUUAAAAUUAUAAAACUAAAAUUUAUAUUUAAUCUAUACUAUCUAAGCUACAUAAAAAUCAUGUAUAAAUAAUUAUAUAUGUUAAAUUUUUAUAAUAAGAGAGAGAAAAAUUAAAUUAGAUUAAAAAAAUAAGUCCAAUUUCGCAUUCUAAAUCAGCGAAAAGAAAAAAAAUUUUAAAAAUUUUUUUUAAAAAAAACUUGUCCACACUAUCCGACCCCCUCAGGUGGGCCCCACACCCAUCCCCGACACCUGCCACCUGGAUCCCAACUGGGGAUUCAUAAAUUUAUAUAAGAUAUAAAAUAUAAGAUAUAAGAUGUCUCUUAAAAAUAUGACGAGAGCUACACUUUAAACUUUCGCUUGUUUGGCAUCUUUAUCUUUUUUUCCUUUUUUUUUUUUUUCCUUAACAUAAUUUGUCUGUAAUUGUAUGCAUUGCUGGAUGGUCUGUUUUCACCCGAGUCCCUGACCAUGUACUGAAACGACAACUUCUGAUGAAAAAAUCUAGAAAAGCCAAAAAAAAAAAAAAGAAAAAGAAAAGUAUUUUCGCGCUUUAAUUUUUUUCUUCGUCGCUGAACAUAUUAUACAAAAAUUAUAGGGUUAAUUGCAUAUAGUUUUCUGUAAAUAUAUCGAAUAGCAUGUAUAUUUCUACAGAGUUUAACUUUUCAUAUUGAUCCUUACAAAAGUCUUAACAUUUUUCAAUAUAUCCUUAUUGUUAGGAUCUGUUAGAAAAAUAUUGUUAACCAUCGAUAAAAUACAUAACUCUGGUUAGUGAAUGAGGUAAAUUGCCUUUUUUAUUCUUCUUAUAUUAUUUGUGAUGGUAGAAAUAAAGAAGAUGAUUGUUGGAGAUUUUUGGAAAGAUAUUUAUGUAUAAUUCUAAUAGUUAGGGCUUUUUGAGGGACACAUUUGUGAUGGCAAAAAUAUCAUUUUCACUUAUCUUCUGCUAAAAAGUCAAUAAUACUCUAACGGUAAUAAACUAGAGAAAUAAAUAUAAAUAUUAUUAGACUUUUGUGAGGAUAAAUAUAAAAAGUUAAACUUUGUAGGGAUAAUUUACUAUCCGAUAUGUUUAAAAGAAGCUAUGAAAUAGCACUAAAUGAGACCUGAGUUUCGAUUUGGUAUCAUCAUUAAUUUUUUUUAUAAUUACUUUCUUAUAAUAAGAUUUUGGUAGAGUUGAUACAUUUGUGUAGAAUUGUUUAGCAGCAAAACACUGAAUUAAACCUUAGCAGUAACUUCUUUUUUAAUUCUUCUUGUAAAUUCUUUAAAAAAAAUAAUUUUUGGCUUCAUGCCCAACGUUAAUGGAAGUUACCCAAUGACCAUAAAAAUUAUAUUAAAAAAAAUUAAAUUAUAGAAAAAUUUCUUAUAAAUACUUUUUUUUUUUUUACUUUUUCUAACUUCGAAAAAUUUAUAUUUUUUUCCUUCCUUAAUAUUUUAAGUUGUUGCAUUUAACCCCCUUUCUAUCAGGGUUCCAUUAUUAUAUAUUUCGUCUAUUUUUUAUAAUAUAUACCGAAAAUAUCCUGCAAAAUGAUAGAAAUAUAUUAAAAAAAAAUUUUCUUAUAGAAGAAAUAAGGUCAAUUUAGUCAUUUUAUUCUCUCUAUUAAUGCCAUACCUUUCUGUAAACAUUUUUAAAAUUUUAAGAGAGUAAAAUAUAGAUUUUUGAAAGUCAAUGAGAGAAAGUAAAAAGCGGGUAUUUACAAAGAGUUUUCUGUAUUUUAGCCUUAAAAAAAUCGAUCUAUGGAACAUUAAUUCGACCACAUAGAUAUAUGUUUCUUUCUCAUAAAAAUGACAAUAAUUUUAAAUGAGGACCAAGUUUCUUUUGAACGUAACCUUAUUAACUAGUCGACCAUAGUUUGAAUUUGAUUGAGGUAAAAGAGAAAUUACAAACAUGUGACUCACAAGUUUUGGUUGAGCCCAAAACACAACAAAAGCAAAAAAAACAAAAACAAACAAAAACAAAUUGAAAUAAAAACAAAGACAAGAACAAAAACAAAAAUAGUACUACCAAUACAAUGAUGUAACAUGUCAAAUAGGUGGGUGCAAAAUUAAAGUUAGUGGACUGACCACAUUCAAGUGUCAAAUAAUUCGGUGAUUGAUAUUCGAGUUUUUAAGUUCAAAACCUAGUUGUUUUAUAUUUUGAGCUAAGUUUAUUUCUAAAAAAAAUAAAUGAACGGAGCUGGGUGGUCCAUCCACGCUGCGUGCCUGCAUAGGCGUUUGCGUUUCCCCCCACAUGACGUGCAUCUGACUCCCUUCUCACCAAAUCAUUUUUUUAAUUGAAAAAUAUAAAAAGAUAAGGAAAAAAAAAAUCUGUACACCCCAUAUCGAGAUGUAAAAUUUACACCCAUUAAUAUAAUUGAUUGAUGUGAUAAGUAAAAGAAUCGCAUCUAUGAAUCGGUGUAAAUCGUAUCCACUGAAACGGAGUACUGUAUGAAUAACAUUGCUCAAUAGAUAAAAGUAGUCUCCUUUUAAUUUCUAAAAAAUUUUCACAUUUUUUAAGUUUUAUUUUUAAUUUAAAAGUAUAUAGAACAAAUAUAUUUUUAAACAAUUUAAUCUUUUUCACUUUUAUCUUUUUUUUAAAAAAAAUUAAAAGUGAGCUCUUUAUAUGUAUGCUGCUCUCUAGCAUUAAUUUUUUUUUAAAAGAAAUUAUUCUUUAACUUCUAGCUUUUUAAUAUUUUGAUGAACUAUACUUUUGGUCCUCAAAUUAUGAGACUUGUAAUUUCUGAUUCGAACUAUCUGAAUUGUUGCAUCAAGUCCUACAACUUAAUUUAGCUGACUAAAUAUUAAUAUGUCACUAAUCAAAAAGUAAUAUAACUGUGUUGACAAUGAUAAUUAAGAUAUUACACAAAUUUCACAUCAGCAAAAUGUCAGUUCUUAAUUAAGUAAUUUAAAUUAUUUGACUUGAUUGUAAUAAUUUAAAAACUUCGAGUCAGAAAUUGAAAUUUGAGAACUAAAAUAUUACACACCUCAUAAUUUGAAAGAUUAAAACACUAAAGUAAAAGGAUUGUAAAUAAAAAAAAACAAUAAAGCCAAAGGAUUGUUAACUACCCGGACUUAUUCAAAUGAAAAAAAAGAAAAUGAAGGAUUGUUAAUAAAAAAAAACCCAAAUGAAGGAUUGUUAAUUAAAAAAAUUUAAAAAAACCCUAAAGCCAAAGGAUUUGUUUUAAAACGAGCUAUAGUUCAAAGGUCUCCAUAUCCUUUUACAAUAGAAUAAUGGCUACCAUAGAAGGACUAUUCUCUUCAUAAUUUAUGUUAUAAAAUUAAAAUCUACUUUAAACGUUGUAAUUUCACUACAACAAAAACGGUCUAUAGCGACACUUUUAAAUAUCGGUAAAGGUCAAAAAAAGUGUUGCUGGCUAAAUUACCGACGCUUUUAAAAAGUGUUGCUAAAUGUGGAGUCGCUAGAUAUAUAGUGACAGUUAAAGAGUGUCGCUAUAAUCUAAAAGAGUACUGCUAAUUUACCAACACUUAUUUAAGCAUUUAGCAAUUGCCGGAACUCCACCUUGUUGGCUGCGGUGGUGGAGGAGGACGAGAGGGAAGGGCUUUUCAUCUAAGAUUGCAGUGGAUUGAGUGAUCUGGAGAAGGAGAGAUGGUAAUCGAUUUUUUUUUUUCUUUUCUUUUCUGUUUGUAAUCGGGCCGAAUGGGCUACGUGGGGUGGGUUGAGUAGUCUAACCUUCUAUUUUUUAUUGGAUUGGGCUUUAUAUUUAGACAUUAGUAGAUUUCUUUUUAAGUUUCGGCAUAAAUAAGACACUUACACAAAAGUGUCCCAAACAUGUGUCCCUAUAACCUAAUUCUGUUGUAGUGUUUAUAAUGACAAAAAAGUCCAUGAAUAAAAAAUUUAUAUACGUUGAAAAUUAAAUUUGUAGCAAAUCAAUAUACAAAAUUUAUGAUUUUCAAUAUAUAUCCAACUAUUUUAAAUGCCAUAGAGCUUAUUCAAUUAAUGGGUUAGAUUUUGAUUUUACAUAAAACUUGUUCCAUGCAAUAAUAUCAUUUAAAACUGCAAACAAAAGAAGAAAAUCUUAAUGACGAAAAAGGUAAUUAAAAACAUAACAAAUGGAUCUGAAUUUUGGAUCAUUUUGAGACGAACGAUACGAUUUUUGAAAAGUUGUCUCUACUUCCUAAUUCAUUUGAUUUGUGUUAUUAGAUAGAUAAUACUUUUAUACAUAAUUUCCCGAUGACAGAAAUGACUAGAAUUUGAAGGUGAAAUUACAUGUUCAAAUUCAAUAAUAAACAAACUGUCAAAUUGUUUAACCCAAACAAAAUUGGUAUUUUAGUUAACGAAGUCAAAACUUAAUUUGAAAGAUUCGGUAUAGCUUCAAAAUGAGUCGCAGUUAGAUAACUUAGACACAUUUUUACUUGCUAGACUCAUUUUUGAUACCUUGCAUACAUUUUUACUUGCUACAAUUUCUAAAAGACAAUUUAGCAUAUGCCACAAAAUAAGUUUCAUAUAUAUGAGAAACUUUUGUUAGUAUAGAUUAAUAAGUCUAACAAUCAAAAUACUUAGGUAUCCUUCUUUACAAAAGCUAUCUACUAGGCUUUGUGGAUUCACUUUUAAGAGCAAAGUUCUUACUUUUAUUGCCUUAUAGGUUUAAAGGAAUAUAUGAUCAUAGUACACAUAGUUUAUGUGUGGACUUAUCUUAUCUUAUCUUUUCUUUUCUUUUCAUGAGAAGUCCCAAGUUGCGCUAGAGUGCUUUUCGAAGUAUACAGAUAUUCAUAUUUACUUAAAUCGAUGAUUGACGCUAUUAGAGUUGAUCUAUAGCCUCCGGGAUUUAAACUUCAUGAUUUUUCGUCAUUAUUCAGCUUAUGGUCGAGUGGGAUCAAAACAUACUGCUGAAAUUGAAAAUCUAGCUUGUAAAAGGAAUAAUAAUAGUAUUAGUAAAUUUUAGAUUGAGAGUUUUGAUCUAGGUCUUAAUAGUUAAAAAAGAAAUUCUACGCAAAUUACAACCAAUUUCAUGUAGGUCUUAAUAGUAAUAAUAUUUUAUAAAGUUAAACUUACAAACAUUUCAUGUAGGUCUUAAUAGUAAUAAAUUUUUUUUUAUAAUUUGAAGUGGAAAAUUUAUAUUAAAGCUUUUGCUCUCCACAUCAAUAAACUUAAUUUUGGCUUCCAAUUCUAGAAGCUCUGGAAAUUAAAUUUGCUCCCAAUUUUGGUUUUUCAAGUAAGAAUAUGUUCCGAAAACAUCAACCACCCAAACUUUUAAUUAAAACACUUAAUAGCAUAUUAAUUAAUCUUAAUAAAUUAAAUCAUGCUUACCUUAGAAAAGAAGCUUCACAAUAAUUAAUAGUGCACUCUCGUUACCUAACCCAUGCACUCACAGCAGAGCAAUUACUAUCUAGCGACGUGGAUGAGAUUAGAAUGAGUUAUUAGGAAAUUAAUUGCCAAAUGCGUUGGAUAAGACAAUGGUAAUGGUGACACCUCACCAAGCACAAAUAAAAGCUAGCUUAAUUAAUAAAUGAAAAAUGUAGAUAGAGAUAAAUGGUUACGUACGUGCACACACACAUGCACACAUACGACGCAGAGAGAGAGAGAGAGAGAGGAGGAAUUCUACACUGUCACACUUGCACCACGUCAAUAAUAACAAGUCAAUCACAUUUCAUUUUUCAAAUAAAAGUACAAUAAAAAUACUUUUUUACAAUCAUGAUGGGACAUAUAAUUUUAAAAGGAUUAAUUUGAUUGGUUUGUUACGCCACGUCACUAAUUUAUCCGUUGCAUUCUAAAAUUUUUUGAGAGAGAGAUAUGAAGCAUUAUUGAUAUGUAUUACUCAAAAGAACAACUUGAUAUGACUCGACAAUAGUAUAUGAAUACUUUCACUCUUGUGGGAGGUGGUGGGGAUGAUCAGGGGAACUUAUGUUAUAUGAAAUUGGACUCAGGAGCCAUCUUAAAAGGUAGGGAGUUGAUUGCGACUCAGCUAUGUAUAGGGCUGGCAAAUGAGUGAGCCGGUUCGCGUUCGACUCGAUAUUUGGCUCGCCCGAGCUCAACUCGAAAUUAAAUGAGCCGAGCUUGAAUAAAAAAAAAAGACUCGAAAUUCAUUUCAAGCCGAGCUUGAGUAUUACUCGGCUCGUUCGAAUUAGGCUCGAAAAGCUCGAAAAGCUCAAAUAUAUAUAUAUAUAUAUAUAUAUAUAUAUAUAUAGCUAUGCUACUAUGCUACUAAUAGCACCGAGUCAUUGGUGCUACCAAGUUUUCCGCCGUUAGAUCUACCCUUUUGAUCAUUUUCACCCGUUAGAUCAUACUAUUCAACCAACCACCACUCAACCCUAAAGGGCCCACAUCAUCCUAACCGCACAUCUCUUAAUCCAAUGGCCAUAUAUAUAUUUAAUAUUAUAUAUAUAUAUAUAUAUAUAUAUAAAAGCACGAUUAUUCAAUUUGGGCUCGUCGACAGACCCAUUUUUCGGCGGGAAACUUUAGAGAUUAUUGUUAAUUAUUUAAAAGCACGUAUAUUCAAAUUUUAUUUACUAACAGAUUUUAUUUUCUAUUUAAUUUCAAAAGUAAUUUUUGCAUUAGAGAUUAUUGUUAAUUAUUUAUCAUUUAAAGCAUAUCUUUCUUAUAGCGUGAUUUAUUAUUUUAAUUUUUAGAUACAUGUUUGGCAAUCAUAUAAAAUAUGGCCUAAAAUAAAAAAAUAAUUUAAAAAAUUAUAACUUUUUAAUAAUUAUUAUGUGCAUUUGCACGUACAUAUUUACUAGUAUAUAAUUAUAUAUAUAUAUAUAUAUAUAUAUAUAUAUAUAUAUAUAUUAUAUAUAUAUAUAUAUGAAUUAGGGCUGGAAUACUAUUAAUAGUAAAACGUUUUUUUUCCUAUCAAGUUUUUAACCCUUGGAUGAAAAUUGUAGGGUCAGGGUUAUAUUAGUCGGUUAGAGUUGAGUGGUCCCCUAGGGUUGAGUGGUCCUUACUGGGUUAUAGUAUUUAAUCAAUGGUUAAAAAUAAUGAAAGAGUUGAUCCAAAGGCUAAAAAACUGGUUGCAAUAAUGGAUUUUGCUACUAGCUAAUAGUAGCCCAGUCCAACUAUAUAUAUAUAUAUAUAUAUAUAUAUAUAUAUAUAUAUAUAUAUAUAUAUAUAGUAGAGCACUAUACUAUCGAAAGUAUAGAGAUCUGGUGCUUUCGAUUUUUUGAUUCUUAGAUCAAUCCCUUUAAUCGUCUUUUCUUAUUUUGGAUUAUAUUAUUAUUACCUUUUAGGGACCACUCAAUCCUAGGGGAGGCUGCAAUCAUCCCAACCAUACAAUUUUUAAUCAACGGGUCAAAAAUUCAAAAACAUCAAAUCCUCUAUAUUUUCGAUAGCAUAGUAGUCUACACUAUAUAUAUAUAUAUAUAUAUAUAUAUAUAAUAUAUAUAUAUAUAUAUAUAUAUUAUAUAUAUAUAUAUAUAUAUUAUAAUAUUAUUAUAUAUAUAUAUAUAAAAUAUAUUUUAAUUAUAUAUAGACUGAGUGAAUAAUUUGAGUUUAGUUAAAAUUGGGCUAAUGUUGUUGGCCCACAAAAACAAACCGAAUAGACAAAUAAAAGAGCAAAAUUUUACUAAAUUUAUAUAAUUUUCCUUUCUUUCUUUCUUUCUUUCUUUCUUUCACAGAGCUCUAAAUUUUCAAUAUAUUUCUCUCUUUCUUUUUUUCUGUCUCUCACCCUAAGUGGUCAAGCCGGAAGCCCUCCAAGUUACCAAGUAACAGCAUAUGCCCGCCGUUGCCUACCUUGCUAUUAAUUAUAUGCUUGAAAAAAUAUACAGAAUAUUUUUAAAGUAAAAUAUUAUUAUUCAUAUAAAAUUUCAAUUUUAGUUAUAUAUGAUUGGAUAAUUUAAUCCUAUAUUUAUUUAUAUAAUUUAUUUAUUUUUGACUGCAUAAAUAAAAAUGAAUAAUAUAGAGAUUGAAGGCGGAAGAAAAGACAUGUGAGGCUGAAAAAAUUAGAUAUUCAACUCAUAAAUUAUUUUUUUUCAUAUUAAAAUACUAUAUUUCAUAUAAUUAUUUUGUACUUUGAACUAUUAGACAUAUUUUUGUAUCAAAUUAUAGAUAAUGUUCUAUACAAAUUAAACUAUUGAUCAUAUAAUGUUGAGAAUUUCAAGCGGCUCGUUUAGGGCUCGAGUUCGCUCGACUUGAAAUUAGGAUCGCUCGAGUUUGGCUUGAAUUAAUUUCAAUCCAAGCUUGAGCUUAAAUUUAGGCUCGAAAUUAAUUUCAAGCCGAAUUUGAGCCGAGGUAAGCUCGCUCGAUCGAUUUCGGCUCAUUUCCAUCUCUAGCUAUAUAUCAUGUUACACAAGAGACCGAUCUGACGUUCUGAUUUUUAAAAAAGUCAUUCAUUCUAGAAUUACUUUAAUUUUAGCACGUUUAAUUUUUUUAAUAAUAGUUGGUGAUUAACCGGCGCUUAAAAUAUUAUGACCGGAUUACGAGAUUUAAUCAUAUUUUAUCUUAUAAACAAGACUAUUUUAAAUUCUGAAAAUGUCAUUUUUUUUAUUUUUGAAGCUCUGACGUUCUCGUCAAACUCAAGUACACUCAUAAGCAUCAGGCGAUAUGAAACUUGUCUCGCUAGGGAGCCGCGAUUCACUCAUAACGGUCAUUAGUUGGAGAACCCCACUUUGCCCGUUGUAUGAAACUAGCUCAGUCGAGAUUUAUCUUGUACUUCUGGUUGAUGAUCGGCGUUGAUACUAACGGUAACGUUCUACUUUUCAAAAAAAGUUACGCAUUCUAAAAUUACUUCAUCCUUAACACAUACAUUUACACCACAGAUUGGUCAAAAGCAGUUUUCAAAGAAUCAAGGUCAACUGUUUUAAGAGUCCACAUGUAAAUAAUUGAUACCAAAUAAAUAAUAAGAGUGAAGGAUUUGAUGUAUACAAGUAGACUAUGAUCUUAUAUGCUUUAGGUUUUAGAUUGAAUGAGUUCUAUUAGAUAUAUUAUAUUCUUGGACUUUAUCGAAAAUUUUCUAAUAAGCGGUAUCAGAGCAUAUAGUUGACAAUUCUGGAUUACUCGUACAACUAUGUAUGGUGUGGUUGAGUUCGAGCCUGUUUGUCUUAACAGUUGGAGAAGUGAUUCUUGGAGAAUUAAUUUUAGUUUGAAAUUUUUAUUUUGUUUAAAAAUUGUACAACAUUGGUUGAGUCUGACAUGAAAGCGAUUUUUCUGAAGUUAUUUAUAAACCUGUUUGGCAACUUUUUUUUUUUUUGUUGUUUGCAAAUAAUAAUUCUUUUCUAACUUUGUUAAAAACUUUGAAUACAAAAUUUUAAUUUAAAUGUAAAUUUAAAAAAUGAACCAAAUUUUAAAAUUUGAUAUUUAAAUUUAAAAUCAAAAUUUAUAUUUUAAAAUCUAAAAAAAAUUAAUUUAAUCUAAAUAUGAAAUUUGAAUAUGACUUCAAAUUUCAAAUUUCAAAUUUUAGGUUUUAAUUUUAAAAUUUCAAUUAAAAUCUUUAAUUGAAAAUUUUAAUUUUGAUUUUAAAUUUAAAUUCUGAUAUGUAGCACGUCUUUCGUGAUCCAAUACUAGUCACAGAAAAUACAAGCUAAGCAGCUAGUGGAUAAAACUUCAGUAAAAAAUUCUCCAGCAAUGUCUUAUUAGAGAGCUUUUGAUCUGUUGUUACGUAUUAAUUUUGUUUUAUUCAAUAAUUCGUUUGGUAGUUUUAAUAUUAAAAUUCAAAAAAAAUUUAAAGUCUUAAAAAAAAAUAAUUCUUGAAUAAAGAUAAGGGCGGCAUAUAGCAAUGAAUUGAGGCUUCUUGACGAGACGUUGUAAUAUUUUCUACAGCUAGUGGUAGUACUUCCAUUUUUUUUUUUUUAUAAUUUCAAAACUUAAUCGCGGAUAUAUUUUUUGAUGAUGCAAUGGAUCAAGAGCCUGAUUUCUCUAUCUUAUCUUAAUCCAACUGCUCAGCCUCGCAAUUAAUUACCUCAUACAUUGAAAUAAAUAAUCUAAUAAAUGGUUUUGGAUAACGCUAAUAAAUAUAUGGAGAGAAAUUAAGAUGUGAAAUUAUAAGAUAAGGUUUUUUUAUUUUCUAAAACAUAAAUUUUGUAUGAUUGGAUACGCCAAUAAAUAAAAUUAAUGUACUGUGACGGGUGACAAAUGAAAGCUUAAAAAAAGGAAAAAAAAAUUACAUUGAAAAUUUUAUAUCUUGUUACCAAAUAAAUAUGUAAUUUGGAAGCAAGAAUUGUAAUCAACCUGCCAUCCAUUUUUAUUUUUUUAUAUAAAAAUAUUAUUCAAUUGAAGUAUGACAAUAAUCUCAAACAAUGCCAUAAAAUUUUAUUUAAACAAGUAGUAGUAGCUAGUACUGAGCAUAAUUAUUUAAAAUUAUAUAAAAUAAUCACUUAUCUCUAAUCGAGUAAAAGUUUUUAGAAAACAACAUUUUGACAUUUUUAAUAUUUAUAUUAAUAUUUUUUUUUCUCACGUCUGAGUUGAAGAUAUUGAUAGACCAAAGACACAAGCUUGAAUCAAAUAAAAAAAGUAAAUAAAUAAUGUUAGUAGCAUGAUGGAUUGAACUUUUCAUAUUAAAUCGUAUGAAACAAUAGUUUAUCUUCAAUAAUUUAAAGUAAUAUUUUUAAUAUUUAUAUUCAACUAAUUAAAUGCGAGGGACAAAGCUACUUCCCAUAUUUGCUUGGAACUCUAAUUUAGAUUAAACUUCUAUAUAUUAUUUCUAAACCUGUGCUCUGGUUAUAAUAAUACACCUUUAAACAAUGGAUACAGAAAAUUUAUACCAUUGAAUAGUCAAUAUGAAAAAUGUGAACUCAAAAUCUCUUUGAAAUUGAGAGGGCUUAGGAUCAGCUCUAAUACCAUAUUAUUAAUCAAAAGAUUAUUUUAAUAAAAUUUUAUUGUGAAAUUAAUAAUCUUCGCAUUUCUACUUGAGAAAAAUUUACUAGAAAUAAUUUUUUUUUAAGAGAGAUAGGUAGUACACUACCCGCUUCGUUUAUUCCAUUUAGAAAUAAACUUAGCUGGAAAUAUGAAUCAACUAGGAUUCGAACUUGGAUCUCGGAUACUACUCAGACAAUCACAUUACGACAAAUAACACAUCAUGUUACAGUAGUCCCAAACAAAUCUUCAACUUGAUAUCUCGACAGGUGGCCACCAUAAUGUUAACUUUUAGUUACUAAAAAUUUCAAAAUACAAAGAAAGAAAGAAAAAGACAUAUUACACCUUAUAUAAUAGAUGUACACACCUUACACUUUACUGAUCUCAGAAUUUAUAACUUAUUUUUGGCCUGUAGUACUCCAGAAGGGUGAUUUGAUAAGUGAAUAAAUAAUAUUCUUUGGAUGAGUAGAGCGUAAAAUUUAUAUUCUUAUAAAUGAGUGCACAGAUUGUAUUUUUUAAAUUUUAAAAUAGGAGAAGGAAAAAUAGAUAAGAGUGAGGAGAUGAGGAGAGAAAGGACAAAUUAAUGAUAAGGGAGAGAUAUUGUGGUUUGGAUAAUUGGACCAUCCUAGGCUGAGAGCCUGAGACCCACCCCACCCUCAAAAAAAAAAAACAGAGGUGGGGAAUAAAGCAGCGACCAAAUUACAGUAAAGGAAAAUUUUCAAAUAUCACUUUUGUGGUAUCACAUUUUUUACUUUAUUAUUUUGUGAUUUAAAGUGUAUUAAUUUAGUACCUUAUAAUUUUAUUUUUAAUUUUUUAUUAUCGAUUUCACUAAUUUUUUUCGUUAAAUCAGUAACAAAGUUAAAAUUAAAGAGUACUAAAGUGAAUAUUCGAUAAACCUAAGUGGGUGUCUGAAGCUUUUUGUAUAUAAUUUAACAAAAUAUUAACAAAAAAGCUGACAAAAAAUAAAAAUGAAAUCAUAGGGCAUUAACUUGAUACACUUUAAACCACAUGGCACUAAAGUGAGAAAGUGCGAAACAACAGGAGUAGUAUUUGAAGUUUAUUCUAAAACAAAAAAUAAAGCGAAGCAAAACAGAAGCGGAGUUAAAAAGUAAAAAAUAAUAAUUAAUAAAAUAAAAAAAGCUAAUUCACAUAAAAAAAUUAUAUUUUUUGAUUUUAUAAAUUCGGUCCGAAUUUGUAGUAAACUGUCCAAAAUAUCCUUACAUCUUUUCUCGGCCCCUCCCACUACUGUAUUUAUACAUCCCACCAUUGCCUACUCCCCUUCACCCACCAGAGAAAGCCCAGCCCUUAUCCAUCCCCACAUAUCAAUUUUACCUCUAUCACAUCAUCCACCUCUCCAACCCCCCCCCCCCAAAAAGAAAAAACAAAACACAAAAGCCCCAGCCUCAAUUAUAAGCCCAUCAUAAUUCCCUCAAUCCGAUCCGACCCGAUCCGCGGGCCGCGGCGAUGGGCGGCAGCAGCAAAACCGUCGUCGGCGGCGUCAGCGGCAGCGGCGGCGGCGGCGGCGCCGGCCCGAGCGGAGGGAAGCUGCUGGAGAUUUUGAACGUCCGAGUCGUCGGCUCCGGCGAUCGGAUCGUGGUGUUCUCCCACGGCUUCGGCACCGACCAGUCGGCGUGGAACCGGGUGCUGCCCUACUUCCAGCGCGACUACCGCGUCGUCCUCUACGACCUCAUCUGCGCCGGCAGCGUCAACCCGGACCACUUCGACUUCGGCCGGUACAAGGGCCUCGACGCCUACGUCGAUGACCUCCUCGCCAUCCUCGACGCCCUCCGCAUCGACCGCUGCUUCUUCGUCGGUCACUCCGUCUCCGCCAUGAUCGGCGUCCACGCCGCCAUACGCCGCCCCGACCUCUUCCUCAAGCUUGUCCUCAUCGGCGCCUCCCCCAGGUUUAUUCGUCCCCCCCAAUCUCCCGCGGAAAAUAAGAAAGUCUGAAAUUUCUACUUUUCGGCACGGAAUUAAAUGAUGAUUUUCCAAAGCUGACUAUUUUUUAUUGUACCAAAAAGCAAUCAUGUCUCGUCCAUCAUAUCAGAUAGAUAGAUUAUAAAGAAAAGUUUGUUUUUUUUUUUACAAAAAAAAAAUUUUGAUUUAAAAGCGGGGCCAUACAGAUACUAAUUUUAAUAAUUGAUGCGUGGUUGUGAAGGUUCUUGAACGACCGGGACUACCACGGGGGGUUCGAGAGGGGGGAGAUCGAGCGGGUGUUCGCGGCGAUGGAGGCGAACUACAAGGCGUGGGUGAUGGGGUUCGCGCCGCUGGCGGUGGGGGCGGAUGUGCCGGCGGCGGUGCGGGAGUUCAGCCGGACGCUGUUCAACAUGCGGCCCGACAUCUCGCUGUUUGUCUGCCGGACGGUGUUCAACAGCGACCUGCGCCCCGUGCUCGGCCACGUCCGCACCCCCUGCGUCAUCGUGCAGACGGCCAAGGACGUGUCCGUGCCGCUGUCCGUCGCCGCGUACCUCAAGGACCACCUCGGCGGCCGCACCACCGUCGAGCUCCUCCCCAUCGAGGGCCACCUCCCCCACCUCAGCGCCCCCGCCAUCCUCGCCCAGGUUAUCCGCCGUUCCCUUGCCCGCUGACCACACCGCCCCGGUGGGCGGUAAUCGUCAUCGUCGUCGUCAUCGUUGUUGUUUUUCAGAAAAUAAUCUUAUGAGUGGCACUCACUCUUUUUGUUUCCGUAAAAGAUUCGAGCCAGUAGAGUGAUCAACAGCAGAUGCGAUCCCAUAUAUAAAUAUAUAUAUAUACAUAUUUUUUUCGAGAAACUUUUUAAUGUUCUCUUCUGUAUCUUCUGUAUCUUCUGUAUUUUAUAAUACUUUUGUUUUCGCAUUCUAUAGUUUAAAAAUUAUAUAUACUUUGCUAUGUUAUAGUCUAAUUUUUGUUUUACCAUAAAAACUUAUCAUUAAAGGGAAUAAUAAUAAUAAUAAUAAUAUAGUAUGUUUUAUAAACUACAAAAUAAUGGAGACAUAGUAUGUUACUACAAUUUCUACUUUGCUUAAUGGUAAGAUUUUAUAAUAAAAUAAAAAUAAAAUUAUGAAGUAUUAAUUUAUAAUUUUUUUAAAUUAUACGGCGAUGUUAAAAAUGGAGGUUUCACUGAUGACACGUGGAUAAUAAGGUGUGGACUUGUGCUUUUUCUUUGUUUUUAAAAAAAACCUUCAUACUUUUUUUUGUUUUUUAAUUUUUAGUAUUUCAUAAUUUUAAUUAUAAUUUAAGUAUUUUUAUAGUUUUUAUCUUUGUUUUUCAUUUGUUACAUCAGAUCCUUACAUGUGUUGAAGAUAUUCUACGAAAAUAGAUAAAAAAAAUAUGUGACCUUCUAAAACUGAUAACUGCAGCAUAUGAUUGAUUCGACUAAAAAAAUUAAUAAAAGAUAUAAUGAAAAAAAAAAUUAUUUAAUAUUUUUAUAAUACAGUUAAAAUUAUAUAGUAUUAAAAUAAAAAGACGGUAAAACACGUAGGAAUAUGUGAAGUUUAUUUGUAAUUUUUCUCAUCAGGAAAAAGUAUUUUUAUCACCACGUGGAGGUCACGUGAAAAUCCGCUCCGGGUUGCUUUUUCUUUUUCUGCGGAUAAGAUGGGAUUGGAUGUAAAUUUGAGGGUUUUUUUUUUUUAAAUCAUGAUAGUUUUUUUUUAAAUUUUUUUGUGAAUUUUAUGCUAGCUAUGCGCAAAAAGUACUUUAAUAUUCUUUGCUUCAGUUUCUUAUUUAAUAUACACAAUUUAAGAUAAAACUGUAAAAAUAUUCUCAUGACAUAUUAUAUUAUAUAAGGACAAAUAUAUAUCCUGAUGACAUACUAAAGCUGCUAUUUUAGGUAGGUAUUCUUAUAUUAGCUUUUUUUUUCUAAAGUCAAAAAAAAACUCCAACAGUUUCUUUCUCCAAAUGUUAAGUGCCUUGUACUUCUUGAUUAAUUAUAAAGUUUUCUUUUUCUAACCACUAUUACGAAAAAGCAUUAAGUACUUUACAUUCAAUAUCCCUUAAACCAUAAAAUGUCAGUUAAACGCCUAACUUUUACUUCUUUAAUUCAGAUGCUAGAAUUAGUCUUGAAAUCGAACCACUUUAAUUAGCUUAAAAAGUUUGUACAUUUUUUUGAAAUAAAACAAAUUAUUAUUUCAUAAGAAAAGCAUACUUACUAUUCUGUUGAAUAACGACUGAUGAGAUACUUUAGAAAACUACAAUCAAGCUCAUAACACGUAACGAAAGCAAACAAAAAUAUCCAUACCGUAGAAAUCGUCGUCGCUGAAUAGCUUAUUCUGAAGUUCAUAGAAAGCAAGAUUGAUGAUCAAAGAAAAAAGAUGCUUUUCGAUGAGAUAUGGGAAGAGAAAGAAAAGAUUUGGUGCUUAUGAUAGAAGGUUCUGUGAUGUGGAGGCCAUGGUGGUGAGGAAUCUAGGUUUUGGGGAUUAGUAUGGACCCAUGGGGGAGGAGGACAAAAUUGAAUGGAAGCCUUAUCCUUUUGAUUGGGAGCCACUGGGUCCUAUGUUUCCUUUUCACAACACAGUUGCCCCAUUGUCCCCUUCCGAUCGAUGCUCCAUCCUCGCUCUUCCGCAUUUACCGGUUGCAGACAGGGCACUCGCCUCUGGCUUUACUGUAGGGUGUAGUACUGAUUUAACUAUUGAAUACAGUAUUAACUGUAUGAUACAGUGCUAUUCAAUGAAGUAUCGACUCGUCAGCUGCCGGUGGGGUAUACACUCGCCUUUGACCUGACUGUAAAAAUAAUUCAUCUGCGAAAGUCAAUUGCUGGAUGGGAAUAGGGUACACUCCUUUGGCCUAUAUAAUUUUGUUAGAUGAAAUGUUGUUUAAGUAGUACAUUUACUAGCUAUAGGAGUAUUGAGUAGGUGUUUCUAUAUUUUUGCGUCUCAAAAUUUUGUUUCUGAUUUUUUUUUUUUUGCUACAGUAAAAUGGUCAAAUUUUUUUAUUUACCGAAUACUCUGUUGAAAAUGACAUUUGUUGAAAAUGAAAGCGACAGCCGGAGAAAAGAGACAUAUGAUGUAAGGUUUUUUUAUUAUUAUUUUUCAAUCUACAAAUGCAGAAGAAUUACGCUGAAAUGACCACUCUUUUAAUAAUUUUCGUAUGUUGUGUAGUUUCUUUUCAUUGAAGAGAGUAGAAUUGUUAAGCAUAUGUCUUGAAAAUUUUAAGUUUGACAUGCAUUGCUACAAACAAAAUUUCAAAAUUUCAACAGAGAGCUCUCGAAUACCCCCCAAACACGGGGAGGGCUCCUUUAGGUUCGCCUUUCAGUGUUUUGUAUAGAUUGUCGGUAUUAGCUUUGCUUCAAUAAAAAAAAAAGAAAAAAAAGUUCUAAAGGAUAGAGGGAAGGAUUAUAACUUUUUGUAUAGAGACAGAAUUGAUACAUAAUAGUGAAUAAGAAGCUUUUCAAGGAGGUAUCAUUGGGGAUCUCGCAAUUAGCCAUUCUAAAUUUGACAAGCUUUUGAAAAAGGUUAAAGGGAUUAAUAAGUUUCCCAAUUAACAUAUGAUCGACAUAUCGGUUAAAGUGGGAGAGCGUCUUUUAUAAUUUGGCAAAAUAGUUCUCCAAUAUAACCUACUCUCAAAAAAAAAAAAAAGAAAAAAAGAAACUCCAAUGUAACCUUGUACAUAAACCAAAUCAUCAUAGCAGUAGUGCUAAAGUACCUUGGUUAGUUGCUUACUACUGUGAGUUCAAUCUUAAGUUGCCCUCCAAAUGGUGAUAUUAUUUCAUCUCCUGCAGCCUAUGUAUAAAUCAGGGUCCCUAGAACUUCUUUUUUUUUUUUUUUGAGAGAGAUAGGUAGCACGCUACCCGCUUUGUUUAUUUUAUUUAGAAAUAAACUUAUCUGGAAAUGUGAAUCAACUAGGAUUCGAACUUGGGUCCCGAAUACCAACCACCAUGCAAGCACUUUACCACUUGCUCUAGGGACGAUCGGUGGUCCGUGGAAGUUCAAUCCUAAAUUAUGUAAUACUCAUAUAAAAACUGUUAAAUGUGAUACAUAAUCUCUGAGAAGUUCAAAUAUGAAAAGUUAUAAUUUUUGAAAACUUCUUAUCAAAAAGAAAAAGAAAAUCUAUUGUUCAUUCAUAAGAAUGAAACAACAUGCAAUGUUUUCUUACAGUGUCAACUAUGUUAAAUUAAUGUGUUAUUUGCUUAUAUAAGAAUAAAGAAUUGCAUUUUCUUUAUAUAUAUAUUUUUUGAAAUGGUAAGUAUUUACCAUGUCAAUUAGCAAGAAUUUACUACCUUCUUCGAAUAAAACUUCUAAUUUAAUUAGAACUGUUUAUUCAAAUUAUUUGCGUAAAAAUUAGUUGUUAAUCCAAUUUGUCUGAAAUAUAUGUCAUCAGACUUGACUUCAGAUCAACAAAAGAAAAAUGCUUCUCGGACUUGCAUUUUUGAAUGAAAUGUUUUGCCCGAAUUUGGAUAGUUUUUUGUUUGAAUCUAUCUUAUUUGUUUCGAAGAAAGUUCGAAGCAGGGAGAAAUAGAGAUGUUCUUCUGAACCAGAUCUAGAAAUCGGGCGAGGAGAGGCAAAAGUCGUGAGCGCCGACGAUAACAAAUAAAGUUUGAGAUCGCGUCUCACGAAGUCAUCAUGCAUCAUCAGGAGCUACUUUCUUCUUUGAUUUUGGGGGCGUUCGGAUCGACGAAUCUGUAGAUCCAACAUAACUCAAGUGCAGUAAUGUUUGAGUUUUUUUGAAGUGUGAUUAUUUUUUUGAUAUUUGUUUUGACGUAACUCGUAUAGUUUGAAAGUUAAAUUUAGUUUUUUUUUUUUAUGUAACUUGGUGUUAGUGAAAUUAGUUUUUGAAGCUUUAUUGGUUGUUUUUAUAUAAGUAAGUUGGUCUUGUUAUGUCCUAAAUAUAGUUAUAAACUUACCGCUAAAAAAUUUAACCUACUAUGUAAUAAAUUUUUAAUUAUUAUUUAACGGUAAUUCUAAUUUAUUAUAAAUAAGGUAAUUCUAACCCAUUAUAAAGGAAGUAGAGUUUAAAUUUUACUAUUUAAUAAAUUUUAGAGAAUGUUGAGUGUGGCGGAAGUCGAGUUUGGCAUUUUAGAAGAAAAACCGAGAAAGUCGAGAGUAGGUGAAGUGAACGUUUAACAUAACUUGAAUUACAUUAUAUUUUUGACUUAUACGAAAAUAAAUAAUGAAAGUGAUAAAACUUAAGUUUCAUCCCUCCAGUUACACUAAAACAAACGGACCUUUUGCCGCGCCAAAUGCUGGAUCUGCAAAAAUUGCAUAGAGUUUACCUCAGAAUCAAGUUUGAACGUCCCGCUUUAAUUGUUUCACUGCACAAACGAAAAAUAAAAAUAAAAAUAAAAAUAAAAAAUAAUAAAAAUAAAAAUAGAAAUAAAAAUAAAAUCCUGGUUAUUACGCUGACAUGUGGGACCCGCACGUCAGAGUCACAACCACACAGCUCACACCGAAAACUCCCACAAAACGCAGCGGAGGAGGGAGAAAGUGAUUUGCCUCCUCCUGCUUCGUUCCCUCUCCCAUGGCGAUGCGCUCCGUCUUCGACGGCGGAGCCCUACGAACGGAGUUCGAGAGCGCCGGGAUCAGCAUCCACUUCAUCCCCCUCAUUUGGAAGUAACAACCCCUUCUCCCUCUUUCCUCCCUCCGCCUUCUCCCUCUUUCCUCCCUCCGCCGCGCUCUUGACCUAGGGUUAGGGUUUCUCAUUCUCCUUCUUCUUCUUCUUCAGGCAUGUGCUCCAAAACCCUGGCUGCGACCUCGACUCCGUCCCCUCCCUCCCUUCUGCGGCAUACCCCCUCCUCAGGUCCAAGUUCCGGGCCAUGACCUCCUCCCUCGCCGCCGCAGUCGACUCCAAGGACCGCGACACCACCAAGCUCCUCAUCCGCCUCCAGGUACUAUACCCCUUUCCGAUCUCUAGGGAUUUUUACUCGGAUGCAUCGAUUUGAUCGAUAAGCGUAGUAGGAUCAUGGGAAAUGAGCUGUAGCGAAUGGUAUCAGUGUGCUCAACUAUCUUAUUAAGAAGAUAGACUCAUUUGCUGUGGUACAUUGUAUGUUACAAUCAAUUUCUCUUUGACUAAGUAAUUUAAUUGCAAAAGCACUAAUUGAACUGACGAUACCGAUAUAAUUAGGUUAGUAAGGUGUUUUAACGAACAAUAUAUGGUAUUAGAAACUUUGAAUUCAAAAGUGUUGAGUCAUGCUACCAAUCUUGUUGAUUUACAGUUGUCCUUAUGUCUCACUGAGAAGUGGGUAACAGCUUCUGAGCUUCAAUUUCUUUACGAAUUAUGGUUUUGCCUAGUUGACAAGUCUCUACUGUAAGAUUGUUAGACAGGCCAGAACAAGGGCCUGUUCCGGCAUUGCUGUAUGGUUCACCGCUGUUUGAUGAAGUUGUGUUUGAGCAGUGCUAUCAGAAGAACACUAUACUUUAUUCUCAACAGUUUUUUACCUUUUUUCCGCCAAAUCAGAAGCUCAAGAUUGGAGCUUCUGCUUUUGGGCCCUAAAAUCACAUUACUACUUUAGUCGUAUCUAGUUGCAACUAUAUAUGGAAUGGAAAAUAUCAUCCUUUGUAAUUCUUUAUAACCAGAAUGGCGCAUUUGUGGAAGCUGUAAUCAUGAGAUAUGACACGCGGUUGGGGAAGUACAAUGGGAAUCCUCGUCCUGGAGGUGUAAGAUCUACUCUGUGUGUCUCAUCACAGGUAUAAUCAUGAUUUUGUUUUUUUUUGUUCUUUGCUCUGGUUGCUUUUAAUCUGUGGGAAGAAAUUUUACCUUGUUAGAAUAUAUUUUUUGCUCCUAUUUAUGUCUCCUUCUCUAAUCUUACCAUGUUGUUCAGGUGGGGUGCAAAAUGGGUUGUAAAUUUUGUGCUACCGGAACCAUGGGUUUUAAGAACAACCUGUCAACUGGAGAAAUUGUCGAACAGUUAGUCCAUGCACAACAGUUCUCGCGGAUUCGCAAUGUUGUUUUCAUGGUAAUUUUUCUAGGUAUUUAUGUUGAUGGCCAUAAAAUCCUAUGAUUGUCUUCAUAAGAUAAAUUUCCUGGUUGAUUAAUUUUUUGUUGUUGAAUGUGUUUGCUAGAAUAAGUAGAAACAGAAUUUAAAAUUUAGGUUAUUCUGUAUAAAUACAGUUGUGUUCCGUUUUUCAUGUUUUGUUCUGUUCUGCAAUAAGAAUCUUAAUAGCAGAAUUUUAUUUUAAGAAUUUGUCAAUUUGUUCUAUUUAGCUUCCCUUUACAAAUUUUGAGAACUAUUUAAUCUAUUCUUCUUCGUUUUUGGUCGGGUUUUUUUUUUUUUUUUUUUUUUUUUUUUAUUUUCUUUUUUUUUUUUUUUUUCUUUUUUUGCUGUUGUGCAUUUAUAAUUUGUUUGGUGUCCAUCUUAGCCGAAUAACUAUUUUACCAGUUGCCAAAUAAAUUUGAUAGACACUGUUGAGAAUUAUACAGAUAUAUUAUGUUUCCUGAUACAUUAGCAUUUAAAAUUCUUAUUGCCAAUCCUGUAUGCUCUGAUUAAUCCAGUUGAUUUAUGAUGAACAUGCAGGGGAUGGGGGAGCCCUUGAACAACUAUAAGGCUUUAGUGGAAGCAGUCGAAAUCAUGACAGGACUCCCUUUUCAGCUGUCACCAAAAAAGAUUACUGUAUCAACUGUAAGUAGCCUUAAAUGUUUUUGCUGUCGAGUAUUUUAUUUUUUGAAAUACUUUGGAGGAAUUAUUUUGUCUUGUUUAUUAUAACUUGAUUUGCUACAUUUUGUGUUUUUUGAGAUUCUUAUAUUUUUUGAUAAAUCCAGAAUACAUGUCACAUCACUUGAUGCAGAGUCACUGAAUGUAAAAAAAUCUUAAGCAAUGAAUUUGCUAAGAAGCAUGACAUUUUUCUAUCAUUGAUAGGGGUGGAAACGAGCCGAGCUCGAGCGAGCUUACCUCGGCUCAAAUUCGGCUUGAAAUUAAUUUCGAGCCUAAAUUUAAGCUCAAGCUUGGAUUGAAAUUAAUUCGAGCCGAGCUCGAGCGAGCCUAAUUUCAAGUCGAGCGAGCUCGAGCCCGAAACGAGCCGCUUGAAAUUCUCAACAUUAUACGAUCAAUAGUUUAAUUUGUAUAAAACAUUAUCUAUAAUUUGAUACAAAAAUAUGUCUAAUAGUUCAAAGUACAAAAUAAUCAUAUGAAAUAUAGUAUUAUAAUAUGAAAAAAAAUAAUUUAUGGGUUGAAUAUCUAAUUUUUUCAGCCUCACAUGUUUUUUCUUCCGCCUUCAAUCUCUAUAUUAUUCAUUUUCAUUUAUACAGUCAAAAAUAAAUAAAUUAUAUAGAUAAAUAUUUGAUUAAACUAUCCAAUCAUAUAUAACUAAAAUUAAAAUUUUAUAUGAAUAAUAAUUUUUUACUUUAAAAAAUAUUUGUAUAUUUUCUCAAGCAUAAUAUUAAUAGCAAGGUAGCCAAUGGCGGGCAUAUAAUGUUACUUGGUAACUUAGAGGGCUUCCGACUUGGCCACUUAGGGUGAGAGACAGAAAAAGAGAAAGAGAGAAACAUAUUGAAAAUUUAGAGCUCUGUGAAAGAAAGAAAGAAAGGAAAAAUAUAUAAAAAUUUAGUAAAAUUUUGUCUCUUUUAUUUGUCUAUUGGGUUUGUUUUAUAUGGGCAACAACAUUGGCCCAAUUUUAACUAAACUCUGAUUAUUCACUCAGCCUAUAUAUAAUAUAAAAUAUAUUAUAUUUAUAUAUUUUUAAUAUAUAUAUAGUUAUAAAUAUAUAUAUAUAUAUAUAUAUAUAGUGGUAGAAUUACUAUGCUAUCAGAAAACAUAGAGGAUUUUAUAUUUUUGAAUAUUUGACCCUUUGAUUAAAAAUUAUAUGGUUGGGAUGAUUGCGGUCUCCCCUAGAAUUAAAUAAUACUCUUAGGAUUGAGUGGUCCCUACAAGAUAAUAAUAAUAUUAAUCCAAAGAUAAGAAAUGAUUAAAGGGAUUGAUCUAAGAAUCAAAAAAUCGAAAGCACCAGAUCUCUAUACUUUUGAUAGUAUAGUAACUUUACUAUAUAUAUAUAUAUAUUCGAACUUUUCGAGCUUUUCGAGCCUAAUUCGAACGAGCCGAGUAAUACUCAAGCUCGGCUUGAAAUGAAUUUCGAGCCUUUUUUUUUUGUUCAAACUCGGCUCAUUUAAUUUCGAGUCGAGCUCGAGCGAGCCAAAUAUCGAGUCGAACGCGAGUCGAACGCGAGCCGGCUCGCUCAUUUGCCAGCCCUAAUCAUUGAUGGCAAGAAUAAUUAUUCUAUAAGGACUUGUUACCCAUCAAUAAGCUUUUUGAUUUCUAUAUUCUGCUACUUAUCAUGAGGCUGCAUCAAUUAUUUAUAUUUUUGCCAUUUUCCUAUUAUACUUGUUUAAAGUUGUCCGCUAGUCUUACUUGCAGUAAAAGGUCCAUUUCCAAUUUUUAUGUUGCAGUUCUUCUACUUUGUAAGCUUCUUAUUGUGACCAAAACAGUUGUAUGAAUUUCAGACUUAAGCUUUCAUAUCAUUGAGCUAUUCUAUUACUUAUAAAUAUUUUCCUAUUACAUCAUUUUCAAAUAGAUUUUAGGUUUUUCCAUUUAUUUACUACUUUGGCAUUAUAUUUGGUACUUUUGUGAGAUGAAUCUUCAAUUCUUGAUUCUCUAAGGGAUUUUUAAGUCACUUUUGGUUUGUAAUACUAUGCUUGUAAUUAUGGAAUCAUUAAGGCUUCCAAUACUCUGGUAUGAUUGUUAGAAUCAUUAGAAUAGGGUAACCAAAUCAAGAUAAUGCCAUCUAUAAGGUUUCCCUUUUUCCUGUAUGUUGUCUUUUGUAUGUGUUAAUACUUGCUGACAUUUUGCUGGCUGAUAGCUACCAACUAAGAGUGGCUCAAAUAUAGGUGUCAAAUUUAUGCCAAUCUAGUCUGACUUUUUUUUAAAAAAAUUGCUAAAUUGCUUUCUGACAAUGUUAGAUCAUUUAUGUAUAUGAGAACCAAACCCCAUUAGAUUUUGAUAGUGCUGCUUUCUUGGGAAGACUAAUGCUUAGUUGAAGGAUAGUUAGGAAACUGAUUGAGGCUUAGAAAUGUACACUUCCUGCAACCAUCAGUAUACUGCCUGAGAGAAUGUUGGAAUCCUCCAACAGCCCUUAAAGAUCAAAGAAGAUUGGGGAAUCUUACUGACAAUUGGAGUGUUAUGAAUUUCACUUUUAACGUAAGGUUGAUCAGCUAUGGGAAAGAAUCUUACUGAUGAUAUGAGUUACCUCUAAUGACUUUCAUCUAUGAUUACAAUGGCUGUUUGAACUAACACAGAAAGCCAGGACGCUGUUAUUCAAGUGGAAAUAAUUGCAUAACAUUUCCUUCUUUAAUGCUAUUUGGUUUACUUCUUCCUUGUCAAUUCUUUCCUACAAAGAUGAAAUCUUAUCUUUGGUUGCUACAUCAGCACUCUUCUAAUUCUAUUUCAAACACCGAGAAAGAACCGUGUACUCAGAGUGUUGGAUACUCUUGAUCAAACUUUGCUGUUGUCCAGCGGGUAAACUACAAAUAUCGUCCAUAAUUCAGAUUAUGAUCUGUCUUCUUUUGCUAAUGUUAAAAGCAAUGACUGUUUUGUUAGUUAUAUUUUGAAAAAGUUAUUCUUAUGUAUGUCUUGUCUGAUUCUAUUUUAAUGUUCCAUAACUUUCUUCUGUAGGUUGGGAUCAUACAUGCCAUAAACAAACUCCAUGAUGACCUUCCGAAUGUGAAUCUAGCUGUUUCAAUACAUGCUCCAGAUCAAGAUAUACGUUGUCAGAUAAUGCCUGCUGCUCGAGCUUUUCCUCUAGGAAAGCUCAUGGAUGCAUUACAAACUUAUCAGAAUAACAGGUGAAAGCUUCGAAGAAACUGCUUAACAAUCUCUGUUUGUUUUGAUAGUUAUUGUGCAGUACGUCAUGACAAUAGUGAACUCUCUUACUGCAGCAAACAGACCAUCUUCAUUGAGUACAUCAUGCUUGAUGGGAUCAAUGAUCAGGAGCAGCAUGCACACCAGCUUGGCAAACUUCUAGAAACGCUUAAAGCGGUGAGCUACUUUUCUUGUACAAUUGUUCUUUUUUACCUCCUAUAACAUAACCUGUAUAACUCGAUGUGACUUUGAGGUGAUAUUAAUUUAUCGAUUUUUUUACUUUUUGGAGUUUGUUUCUUGAAAUUCAAUCAUAUGUUGCAGUCCGUAGCUGUAGUCUUAAAAGUCAGGUGGCCCUUACAAAAAGAAUGUAGGUGGAAUCGUUCGGAAUAUUUGUAUUGUUGCAUCAGCUGCUUUGUGUCGUUUCUUCUUCCUCGUCAGUAAAACUUGUGGAUUUGACAUUCCGAAUAUUUUGUUGCAAUUACUGCUGGAUAGAUAUAUCAUAUACGCGCCUAUCCUGUUUCUUUGCAGUAUUCAAAUUCUUUCAAAUACUUGCUUUCCUAUUCACCUGCAACUAGCAAUCUUUCUUCGUACUUCAUUUGAUGCGGCUGAGGAAGUCUAAAUAUUGAUCUUCUGAGAAUACAUGAGAGCUAUUCCAUGACUUGUGGGCAGCUUCGACCUCCGUUUGCUAUAAUGUAGCAGUGAAAACUUUAUUCAUUGAUGAUGAAUCUGUUACGACUUUCUGACUCAAAUCUCUCUGGAAGCAGGUCGUGAACUUGAUACCUUUCAAUCCAAUCGGCAUAUCGAGUUGUUUCAGAACCAGCAGUGAGCAGAAUGUGAAGAGGUUUCAGAAGAUCUUAAGAGGUGUCUAUAACAUCAGAACGACGGUUCGCCAACAAAUGGGUCAAGACAUAAGUGGGGCUUGCGGCCAGCUGGUAGUCAAUCUCUCCGAACAGAGAUCAGCUGGCGGUGCAUCCCUCUUAACUGACAUCGAAGAUCUUCGUAUCUAAUAUUGCUAUACAAGCAUCGCUUACAAAUUUCAGAUGAAUUCCAUCUUCCUUCAGUCUGUUUUUGUGAGGUGCACAUCUCUCUCCUCGUUCACACUGUUCUUCUGCUUACCUUUCCCCCCAAGUAUAGAGGUGUUAAUUUGACUUGUUAAUAUAGCCGAAGCUUUGUUUGAUUUUGUAAAUGCUAAAUGACAUGAUAGAACUGAUGUUACCAACACUGUCGCCAGCAGUGAGUUUUGGCACACUACAUCACACGUUAAUAUGAGAUAUAAGAAUAGUCCGUACAUGGCUUCUUGUUUUGUUGCUUGUUCCUUAGGUUAUAUCAGAGGCUUCAUUGUUUACUGUAAAGUGUAAACAACAAAUGCAUCUUACCUUGACCUGGAGCUUAAGGCCUAGUUUGGGGUUGCGGUGUGUCAAAAUAUCCAUUUUUAUACUUCGAAAGGUCUCAAAAUAUUUGAAAGCCUUUCCAAUCUUCCCUCCAAUGCAAUAAAAUCCAGCGGGAACCAUCAUCUGAGGAGCAAUCUAAUACAUGCUUUUUCACAGCAGUUCACACGGUAAUUUUAUAGCAUCGGAGGAAGAUCAGGUAAGUGCUUUUGAGAUUCUUCUUGAGUCUUUCAAAAGAAUGAAAAUGAGUGCUCGUAGUCAUCACAAUAUCAAACUAGAUCUAUAAAACAUUUACCAAACAGGCCGUGCAGGCCUUGGCCACAGGUCGGCCCGUCACGGCCCGCAUCCUGUUACUUUCCGUUAGUCCCGUUUUUUAUUUCUGGAUUACAAAUUCGAAAAACAAAAAUAUAAUUUGUUCAUAAAAUUUGAAAAAAAAAAAAACUUUUAAAAAAUUAUUUUUUUUUAGAAACUAUCUGAACGUAAAAUUUUUCUCAACUAAAAAAUUAUUUUCUGAAAUAUUAUCUGCAAGAGCAAACACCCACCACCUAAAUAAUUAAUCGGAGUGGAAACUCACACAUUCUCACUGACACGUGGACACCACAUUCCCAAUGUAUGUAUCCAAUCAAGAUUAUUAUGGAACACGAGUUUCAAACUUGCAUAAUUUUCCCGGCCAGUGGGAUUUAAAUAAUUAGUCGCAUAGUUUGGAGGGGUGAGAUGGCACAUGCAGCUAUUCGAUGGCCACUGGGAGAUCUUAUUGCCCGGACCAGGUCCACCAUGGACUGAACCUGCCACUUAAAAUAAUACAAUGUAGAUUGGUUUUUUUUUUUUUUUUUUUUUUUUUUUUUUUUUUUUUUUUUUUUUAAGAGAUAAGUAGCACGCUGCCCGCUUCGUUUAUUUCAUUUAGAAAUAAACUUAGCUGAAAAUGUGAAUCAACUAGGAUUCAAACUUGGGACCUCGGGUAUCAACCACCAAACCCUUUGCCACUUGCUCUAGGGACGAUCGGUAAUACAAUGUAGAUUGUUGAGCUUUUAUAAGGGAUCGUUUUUAGCUGUUCGAUGUGGUACACUAUUUUAGGGCUGCCGCGGCUGCCAACGAGCUGAACACAAGCGAGCCGGAGCAGACUAGUGUUAGCUUAUUUAUUAAACAAACUAAACAUAAACUGGCUCAUUAAAAUACCAAACUGAAAAAUUCAACUUGUACUCGAUUUUGUUAUUAACAAACUAAACACAAGCUAGCUCACAAACAACAAAUUUGAUUGUCAGUCUUACAUUUCGACUUAAGAAAAAUCAAAAUUCUUAAUCUAAUAAUUACAAUUCACAAAGUAUAGAUUUUCUUUACACUUGGAUUGUUUUAAAAUUCAAAAUAGUAAAACUUUGUAAUAUAACUAUAUCGAAUUGAAUUUGAUGAGCAAAUCCCAGCUUAUGCUCGGCUCGUUAAAAUUUUAAAUUGUUAAGAUUUCAAAUCGAAAAAUUCAACUUAUAUUUAGCUCGUUUAUUAAACAAACGAUCGAUCUCGAACUCAUUUCCAACUUAACAUGAGCUGUCUCACGAAUAACUAGUUGGAUUGCCAACUGUACAUAUGAAUAAUCAUAACUUUUUAAAACUUCUUAUAUCAUAAAUAAAAGUUCUUCUAAGAUUUUUUAUUUUAGGACUAAUAGAUUUCAAAAAACUUUUGUAGGUUGUGAACCUCAUCUUAGUAUUUACAAGAUUAUAAAGAUUGCAUGAAUAAACAUUGUGGAUCGGGUUUUGAGUAAUUAGUUAGAUUACAUCCGUGCAAUAAUUUUUCUUUUUUAGCCAAAGAAAUUACUAUGUGCUGAACUUUAUAUAUUUUAUUAUAUAUACCGUUUUCUAAAACUAGUUAUUAAAAUUAAAAUCUAAUUUAAAUUUAAUGACUUUAAAAAUUGAAAAUUUUGGUCCUCAUGAAAUUACAAAUUUGGUCCUCAACCUAUGAUUGAUGACAUUUUAGUUCUCAAAUUUUAAUUUACUGUAUUUUUAUCAUGAACUUUCAGAAUUAUUACAAUCAAGUUAUAUGGCCUGAAUUAGUUAACAAAAUAUUAAUAUAUCACUAACGUAGAAGCAAUACGAUGGUGUUGUAAUUGAUAAAAUGCCAAUAAUUAAAAUUAUCGUCUCAUUUAAAUCAGCGAUGCGUUAAUAUAUAAUCAACUAAAUUUUAUUGUGAAAUUUGAUUAUAAUAAUUCUGAAGAUUCUAGCCAAAAAUUAAAAUAAUUUAAAAUUUGAGGACUAAAAUCAAAGUUUAAAGUGCCGUGGCACGGGGGCGUACCGUUAUGUUCCUAGCAUGGUACGGUACAGGCACGCUUACGUGCCGACACGUGACACGCUUGCGUGCCGAUAGAUACGCGUGACCUACUACUGGCAUGCUUUAGUACGGAUUUAUUUCAGUUUUUUUGGUUCUAAUAAACUUUUAUAAUGUUAUUUUGAAAGAUUUAAAUAAAUAAUUAUGAAUAUUUAUUACAUAUACCUUACUAUACUCAUCAAUUAAUAUGCAUGUAAACUUUUUAUAAAUAAAAUACAACUAUACCUGAUAUAGAAUAGAAAUUAAAAUACAAUAAUAAAAUUCACAAGUACAAUAAUUAUUUAAAUUUAUAUCUUUUUAUAGAGAUGACUGCUUAAUUCGACAUAGAUCGUCACGCUUGAUCAUAUGGCGUAUUGUCAUCUGCAGAUACAAGAUUUAUUUGACAAUAUUGAUAUAAAUAUUGCCGGUAUUGUGAGAAAGUCAUAUAUUCUAGAUAUUAUAUCUAUAUUUUGUUCUUUUAUUCUUUUUAAAAAUAUCUGAUCAAAAUUUGUUUAGGAGAUCGAUUUUUGUUCCCUUAAUUCACCGAAAGUUUCGCGGUGCGAUAAUUUUUGACAAAAUAUUUUACGAAGAAAAAAUGGAUGUCUGUAAUGAAAACGGAAGGCUCGGGCCGACAUGGUACGGCACGUACGGCAUGGGCGGCACCUGAAUCCUUGACUAAAAUGUCACCCGCUCAUUGUUUGAGUACCAAACAAGCAAUUUACCCUUCAAGAUAUUAAUUGCUAGCCAAAUAUUUGGCACGGUGCACAGCAUGUACGGGUACACCGGGUGCAGGGAAUUCUUUCUGCAGUUGUUCGUGGUUUUUAUUAGUGACUCGGCGGUCACCCACCUUCUCCUUCCCGCGACAUCUCUCCUUCCUCUUCGUCUCUCUCUCUCUCUCUCUCUCUCUCUCUCUAUAUAUAUAUAUAUAUAUCUAUAUAUAUAUAUGUAUAUACAGAGAACCAAAACCCCGCGAACACCGUCCCCCUCCGAAACCCUCGCUUCGCCCCUCCUCUCUCCUCCUCCUUAAAUAUACCCUCAUCGAUCGAUCCAAUGACUCGCCCCAUCGCCUCCUCCUCCUCUCUCUUCGUCGCCACCGCCUCCUGAGGGAGGGAAAUGUUCGCGCUCGCGCCUCCGCCGCCGCCGCCGCCGCUGCGGAGCUUCGUCGCGCUCGCGACUACGACGACGACGAAAUUAGGGUUUGGACUCCCUGGGGCGAGAUCGAGGGCGCCGCGGCCGAUUACGGCUGCGGCAUUGGACGGGGACGACGAGGCGCGGGCGGGGUUUAGGGGUCGGAGGCAGGGGGCGGUGGAUCCGACCCUUGGGAGUUCGUCCGGAUCAGGUAUAUUGUUUUCUUGAUCUGUUUAAAACCUUUUUGUGUUUUGGUGUGUUUCUUUUUUUUUUUUCUUUUUUUUCUUUUUUUUUUUUUUCCAUUCCAUGGAUCUGAUGGUGUAAUCUCACAAGAAUCUUGCGGGAAGAGGUUAAUGUCGACGAUCUUGUCGUUAUUCAGGGUAAAAGUACUACAAGGAAACCUCCACAACUAUUAGCCACUGUGAAUUAGGCCCUUUGAAAAUCGUUUUUCUUUUUAAUUAUUAUCAUUUUAAUUGACGCGAUUGCUUUGAUUAAAGCUAUAGCAAUUAGAUGAAUCGGGCAUUUUAAUUUAAAGAAAAAAAAAGUAGAGGGGCCCCUCUAUUUGAAAAUUUGCUCGGGGUAGUCUUUAUAUCAUCGUAUUCUGGUAAUUGAUUUCAUGAUUCAGAUGAACUGAAUUUAAACAGAAUCUAGAAUUGAAAUUUAUAUCAUCGUAUUCUGGUAAUUGAUUUCAUGAUUCAGAUGAACUGAAUUUAAACAGAAUCUAGAAUUGAAAGUAAUUACACCAAAUCCAUUUUUAUAGGGGCAAACGAGAUUAUUAUAUAUGGUGAAAUUCGGACCGAUCAUGUUCAAGGAAUUGACCUGUUAAUAUUAAAACUAGCUCUAUUGCUGGAAUUACGCAGCCAAAAUGCCUGCAAACCUCUCUUGGAAGAUUAAUUCAAGAGAAUUUUUAGUUUUAUCGAUAAUCUAGAAAUAAAUUUCCACUGCCCAGAAAGCAUAUGUUGAUCCGAGUCCUAAAUUUGCUUUCUAUAGUUAUUGGUUAUAAGAAAAGACCAUUUGUGGGAUGGUGGGACCUUUGAUGUUGGGAAUGUUGGCGAAAGAUAUUUGUUUGAAAAGAAGCAUACCAUGCUGGUGGGCCCAUUUAUCUCCCAGUGAUAGGGCAACAAUAUAUUGAAAAUUUGUCAAUCCAAGGCACUUAAAAAGUGCCCAAGAUAAAAAAAAAAAGAAGAAAAAGAAUGAGAUAACAAGGUAAGGAAAUUCUUUUGAGAUUUUUGGCUUUCUUGUUCUGAUGGAAUUUUUUGGUUAAUCUGUGACUCAGUACAUGUAAAUUCUAAUAUGAAAGAAUGUUUCAACAUCUUAUUGUGAGUAAUCUUUUAUAGAAGUACUUCGUUAGUUGGUUGCAAGUCAGAAACCAAAUUCUACAACUGGGACCUUGAUGUCUAGGAUGGUUGGCAAUGAUGAGAUAAAAGAAGCAUUGUGGCCUUGUGGGACCAUACAAGUCAUUGUCAUAUGAAGAGUAGCUAUUGAGGGCUCCUAAUUGGUAGAAUAUGGAAAACAGAAAUGUUGUACAACAAUAGAAAUCCUCUUAACUGGAAUAUGUGCCUGUUUGGCCCUGCUUCUACAUCUUGUUUCUAGGAGUAAAUUCUCAACAGCAUACAACUAUUGUCAUACUGUUGUCCUUCAUUCAUGAUGAAGUUCCAUCUGCUUAAUAUUUUUUUAAUAUAAUUUGCAAUUGAUAGCUAUGGUAGUUGACUAUUUCUAGUUCAAAAUUAUUUUGAUCAGCCAUCAUCCAGAGCAUUUUAUUUUUCAUUUCUGGAGGCAAGUUCAGUUGCCUGCAGUUAAUCUCAAUGAAGAAUCAACAGUCUGACUCUUUGAGCUUCACAUAUUUUUUACUUGGUGGUUCCUUGCAUAAUAAUUUCUUGACUUCCACAUAAUGUCGAACAGAAGAGAAAAUUUCACUGAAUAAUGCAUGUUACUCUUGAUGAUUUGCAUAGAAUCCAUUUUGGUAGCUCUUCCACUUAUGUUGAAUCAAUGAACAUGUGAUACAAUCGGACUAAUAUGAUAAAGCUUGGUUUUACAGUUGCAUCACCAGAUAAUAUACCAUUUUGUUGUUCAUUAUUACCAAUGGAAGCAAUCUGUUUUCACUCUUUUGCUGUAAUGUUUCUUCACAUGCUUUUGAUUUUGUUAGGAAUGGAGAAUGUUGUGACUGUCGGAAAAUCGACAAACAUUUUAUGGCAUGAUUGUCCAAUUGGAAAACUCGAAAGACAAAUGUUACUGAAGCAAAAGGGUUGUGUAAUUUGGAUCACAGGCCUCAGUGGUUCAGGUCUGUAAUUUUCUGUUUGCUCUCUUUAUCAUUCUAUAAUGAAGCAUUUUCGGUUUCACUUUUAUAUUGGUGCUCUGGGUGAAAGGGAUUUGUAAUGUGAAUCAGAGUCUCCUCUUUAAUGAAAUGACCAUGUUUUCUUGUUUCAGGAAAAAGCACUCUUGCUUGUGCUUUGAGUAGAGAGCUACACUGCAGAGGGCAUCUGACUUAUAUCCUUGAUGGUGACAAUCUUAGACACGGCCUUAACCGGGAUCUUAGUUUCAAAGCAGAGGAUCGUGCAGAAAAUAUACGCAGAGUUGGUGAGUUUAUUUAGAAUUGAGUCAUUUCUUUGCUAUCAUGAACACAGACAGAUACAUUCAGAAUAAACAAUUGCUGGGGUAAUCAGAUAUUUUAUGGCCAUUUUGUUGAUUUUGCUUCAGCUUGUUGCUCUAAGAGACUAGCUUUUGCAUUGCUUCAGCUUGUUGCUCCAAGAGACUAGCUUUUGCAUUGCUUCAGCUUAUUUUAGAAGUUUCUCAUCUUCCAAUAUUCAACCCACUUUACUGUGAACUAUUUAUAAUGGAAUUCUUAUGGACAAGUAUUUAAACUAGAUUAUGUUUUCAUCACUUCUUGAUUACCUGUCUUUUUGUAGGGGAAGUAGCAAACCUCUUUGCAGAUGCUGGUGUUAUAUGCAUAGCUAGUUUGAUAUCGCCAUACAGAAGAGAUCGAGAUGCCUGUCGUGCUCUACUUCCAGAAUCCACAUUUGUCGAAGUAAUUGCUCAAUCUUUUUGAAUUCAAAAUGUUAGUUUACUUUUCUAUUAUGAGUUGUUUAAUAAGGCGGUAGUAUUGCAGGUCUUCAUGAAUGUUCCAUUAGAAGUUUGUGAAGCAAGGGAUCCAAAAGGAUUAUACAAGCUUGCACGUGCAGGAAAGAUCAAAGGUAUUUUCCAGUUUAACAUUCAACCACUUUCUUACUUCAGGUGCACGGAUUUGUUUCCCUAUUACCAUUACUUAAAAAUAAUUUUCAUCUUGGAACUUAAUAUAAAUUUCAACUUAUUAGCGUAUUUUGAUAUGCAGGUUUUACUGGAAUAGAUGAUCCGUAUGAGCCACCCUUGGACUGUGAGGUAAAUAUAGACAGCUCUGAUAGAUACCAAAUGUUGGAAAGUAAAUAAAUUCGGUUCAGCAUGGCUGUACUAUAUAAAUAUAGACAUCUCUGUUAAACUAUUCGGAAGUAGUAUUCAUCUUCUUGUCAAAUAUCAACGAGUUUUGCUGCAGGUUUAACUUCUGUUUGGGGUUCAUGUUAACUGUGAUCUGUAAAUAAUAUGCUAGGUGGAUGAUCAUACCAGCUAGAUUAACAUCUAUCAACGAAAAGACUGUCAGAUUUAGUGAUGUAUAAUUGAACAGUAUCUAAUGGGCAAAUCUUAGUACAAGCUUUUAAACCAUGGAAAUCUUUUUCAAUAAAUGCGGAGAAAUCUACACAUUUCAGGUGUACUUAGUUCUAGGAGUCGAGCACGCAAAGAAAUGAGAUGGCUUAGUGCUGCUUCUUUGGUGCCAUGUUUGCCUGAAGGAUUAACCAAAUAGUUAACAGCCAAGGUGUAGACUUAUCAAAAUACACUUGAUAAGCGUCUGUCAGUUUGAAAUGUGUGAAUGCAUCUAAGUUGACUUUGCCUCAAGCUGCAUUUAGCUGAAUACUCUGACAAGGUGUUCCUUUUUCAACUUUACUCUUGUUUAUGAUCCUGCGAAAGGAUCAUAAGUGAAACAUGAAAUGUUGGAUUCUGCAAUUUAUUCAAACAAUGGAGGUACAAUAAUCCUGGACCAUCGUAACAGAAAAUUGAUGGAUAUUAAUCAAUCAACCUUGUUGAUAAGUGGUCGUAACUCUUCAUUGGACCACAGUAAUAGUCUUUUUGGCCUUCAUAUAUUCAUGCAUGUAUGCUGUCCUACCUUUUCCUGUUGCCAUUGGUAAGACUCAGAAAAUCUGAUUGGGAUUCCGCAGAUAGUUAUACAAUUGAAAGACGGGAAGUGCCCUACACCGAAAUGUAUGGCCGAGCAAGUGAUAUCGUACCUUCGAGAGAAGGGAUUUUUGCUGGGGUAGAUGGACUUUAGCUGUAUUCACAGCUCUUGCAGGCUGCUCGCUGGAAAAUGUUUUCAGAUGCCGAUUUUUGAAGUAUAAUACGAAUGAAACUGCACUGUGGGCGCCUAAAGCUGCAAUAUAGCGUCACUGUUUUCCUGUGCAUUUAUACAUUGUACAUGUAUAAUACAUACAUAGUCAGCAUCUUGUUCAUAUCAUCAUUUUUUUUUUUGGUCCAUUCCUAAUGCGGUUAUGCAUUUCAAGUAUGCUGCUUCUGUUUUCUUCGUCUUUUUUUUCUUCUUUUUUUUUUUUCUUUUUUUCCUUUUUAUCCUCCCUCAUCCCCUAAGGCUAGAAGGGUGUAUUUCUGUUAUGUACAGUGACAUGUGUACGGGGCAUUAGACAACAUUAAUUGCUGAUUGUUCAAAUAGCAGAAUUAGAAAAGUAAAGAAUUCUUGGUAGAAAAUUUGACUCAUAUUUUGUUCGCAAAAAUAAUUCACUGCUAGUUCUGAUCAUAAGUUUAAUGCAUGCAUAUAUAUGAAUAAAUUAAACAUAUUUGGUUUUAGAAAUCAUAUUCUGUUCGUGUGGAUAUGGAAUUAUGGAUUCACAUGUCGCAAAUAUUUCAUAUAUCUAUAAUUCUAUCCAAAACGUAAUAACAAACUAUAUGCUUUUGUUAUUUUAAUUCCUUCACUGUGCUAACAAAUCAUAGAUUGGCAUGGUAUAUAUAUUGGUAUGAUAGAGACAUCGAAAAGAAUGGGAUAGAAAAUUUCAACAAUAUUUAUAUAUACAAAAGUAUCUGUGUAAGGAUCGAAUCUGACUAGUAACAAAUUGUAAAUAUCUAGUAAAACUUAGAUUCUAAAAGCAUAUAUUUUUUUGGGCUCAUUUUGCUUGUCACGACAGCCUCCAAUGUGAGAUUGUUUCAUCCACCGUUAUCACUUGCACACUGCAAAUCUCAAAGCAGCAUGAACGAUAGAGUUAGAACAGAUCACAUGGGGACUGUCCCUACCAAUUUCUUCUUUUUUUUUUUUCCCCUCAUUUUUACCCUUUGUGGAAGUGCUUUUACUUAAUAUUGUAAGACAUAUAUACAAAAUAUUAUAUGAGCAGUACAUCAAUCAACUUUGCCUAAAUCUAUCAAGAUCAUAAUUUUGAUACUCUAUUCAAGAGACAAAUUUUAGGGGUACUUGAAAUCCAUCUCUUAAAUAAGCUCAGUUCACAUAAAAAAUCAUAUCAGCGAGAGCGCGAGAGAGAGAGCUUAAUUUGCUUAUACGUAAAUACGGCAGGCAAAUGCAUGCAUGGUGUGUAUAGUGGAAAAGCGAUCUGAUAUAUUCAGCAAGAGCUUCUCUACGCGGACACGUAGGUACUACGUGCCACCAUGCAUCACGAGUGUGCAUGGGAAAGGCCAUAGCUGCAUGUUUCGUUUUGCUUGAGUUUCUAAUGAAUUAUUAUUACUCGAAUGGAGCCAUCAAAAGAAAGUAUAACAACCUUUUCAUUAAAUUAAGUCGAUCUCUACGAUAACUUUAUAAUUUCUUCCCUAUUAAAUAGAAGCUUCAAAUUUUAGUUUUUCUUUUAGGAGUUUAUUUUAUUUUAUAUAAUAUUUUAUAUCUCUCUUUCAUUUAUAAAUUAUUAUUUAUGAUUAUAGAAAGUUAAUUAUUCUUGACAAAGAACGUGGUCAACUAGCUUUUUUGGAAAGUGACCCAUAAAUAAAAUAAUGGAAAUUUCACAAAUCAAGAUGCAGAUAAUAGUUUGAUAAUUAUAAUUUUCUUUUGCAUCAUUAUAUUUAAUAUUCAUAUGAUUUGUGAAAUAUUAAUAUUUUUUUUUGUCUGAAAUGCUUAAUAGAAUACAGCUCGUCAAAAAUAUAUUAAACUUUCUCAAUCUGAUACAAACAAGCUGAUGGAAGAAACUUUUCUUGAUAUUAUAUAUGGGUUCUAAGUACAAUAGACGUGUGAAAGGCUUAGACUUGAUCUAUGCUAAGAUUAUAUUAUAGUAUGAGACAUAUGAAUUUGCCUACAAUGAGCGAAUCAAGUGGGGGCCAAUCAUAUAUAGGAGGCAAAAAGGCUUUAAGGAAAAUUAGAACAUAUAAAAAAUAAAAUGAGUGAACUUCUCAAUUAUAUUUACAUGCGAGUGGAAAUGGACCACCUAGAAGCAUUACUAUUAGAUCGGAGUUCUCAAUUCUCACUUAUACGAAUUUGAUAGCAAAUUAUUACUAAUAAUAUAUUUGAUAAGUUUGUAUUUUAAUAUAAUUAGCAAUUUUUAUAUAUUUUGAUACUUUGUAUGUUGUGGGUGGUAAUAUUAAUCCGAUUGACGCAUUCUCUCGAACCACCGAUCACUCAUCGAAUGUAUAAAUUAUGAGCCUACAAGUGAAGAAAACUAUCAAAUAAUUUAAAUUUCUAUAAACUAUUGGAAACUCAACUAUUUAACUUUCUUUUGUUUAAUGUGUUGCUACUAUUAGAUAUAUAUUGAAUGAGAUUAUAUUUUGGAUCACAUGUUAAAGAAUUAAUUUGUUUUUUUUUGUUGAGAAUUGUUCUAAUUCUUGUGUUGUUAUUAUAUUUUGAUUGAAUGUUCAAUUAUCCUUUUUAGUAUUUUGUUUUUUUAGUGAGAUAUGUAUUAUUUGAUUUGUGUUAAUAUUUAAGAUAAUAUGAUUAUCAAUAAAUUUAUAUUUUUUUUCAUAAAUGCAUAAAAAAUAAGUAUUAAUAUAAUUUGUUUACUAUAUUUGUACAGUAGAGGUAGUUGAAACCGUCUCUACCUAUUGUCUCUGCAUAACAAUUUUUGUAAAGGUGUAUUAACUAAUAUUUGUAGAGAUAGUUUAAACCGUCUUUAUAAAUUAAUAUUUAUAUAGGCGGUUCAAACCACCUCUAUAGGUUAAAAUUUGUUGAGACUAUUUCAAUUGUUUUCAUAUAAUUAUUAUAUCAUUAAUUAAAAAUAUCAAAAAAUAAUUAUGCAUAAAUAUUGGGUGGUUCUAUAUACCACCUCUAAGCUCCCCGAUGGUCACUUAAACGCCUCUACAUUGUAGAUACACUAUCUAUGCCGGCGGUCUAGAUGUGGUUGUAGAAACCGCAUCUACAAUAUGUAGAAGCGGUUUAUAUAGCCUCCACUGUAACUAAAAACUGCUUCUAUUCCUUAUUGUUAGAACUAAAACUGAAAAGAUCUAGUUCGUCAGAUAUGAAAAUAUCAAAAGAGAGCCAAGAAAGAGAGAAGAAAAAUAAAGCACACAAUAUUUACGUGAUUCGGCCAACGGCCUACAUCCACGGGCGAAGACGGAGCGGAGAUCUUCAUUAUAAUCAAAGUGGUGUACAAAAUAUGCUUCUCUCACAAAACCCUAAUCCCAAAAAAUGCACCCAUAUUCUCUCUCUCAUCUUCCGCACUAAAUCAAUAGCAAAAAUGGUAUAUUUAUAAUAGUGGUUAAAUCCUAAAACGAUUAGGAAUACAAACCCACCAAGAUUAGAAAUAUCUCAAUAAAAUUAGGUAUAAUCUAAACUUAACUUAAUGAGAUAAUCAAAAUAGAAUAGGAAUAGAAAACCUUGCGGUACUAGAAUUCGAGACAUAUCUAACACUUAUAGUGAAAAUAUGUAUUUUUAAACUUUGGAAUGCGAAAAAGAAGAAAUUCAAAAUAGUUCCAAUUUUAAUUUUCACGUAUAAUGCUAUAAAAUUUUGAUAUGAGAAGCAUAUAAUCAACUCCAUUAUUUUUCCUGCUUUGACUGCAUGUUAUUAUCAAGUUGUUACAAAGAUGCCAAGAAGACACGUGCAAGCAUACACUUGCCCUAAACAACACCCAAUGGAGGCUCCAUGUGGGAUUGCAGAGAAGGUUCCAUUUAGUAUUGCAGAGAUAUUGCGUUAUAUGUAGUGUAGAAGCUCCAUUUAGAAUUGCAGAGAUAUAUAUUGUGUUACGUACAAUGAAAACAUAUAUACGAUAGAAAAAUAUGCAGCUUUUCCAUAUAUAAUAUCAAAUUGCACAUAUCGCGAUUAGUUAAUUAUGAUAUUUUUUUUCUGUAGCACCAUCGAAAAGAGAAGAAGCAUGUCUCCAUAUGUUUUUGCCGUAAGUUGAUCCAUUUUGCCUAACAACGUCAAAUGAGCCUAAGUACCGAACGAGUCUAGACUCUAGACUCUGGACGCUGCAGCUACGUAGUGCUAUUAAUAUUUUUUAUCAUGAUUCAUGAACUUGAGGUUUAAUGGUCUGUUAAUUAAUUUAAACCUCAAAACAAAGUUUUAAUUAAUACUUGUUUAAGGAAAAAAAAAAGAAAGGAGAUACAUUAAAGCACAUUAAUUACCAAGAUUUCUUCUUAACAAGAUUCCCAUAUAGAUUUCUUUCUCGAAAAAGGGAAAAGAAAAGCACCCCACAACUUAAAUUAAUGCUGGACUAUAAAUCCCUUUAGUGGCUGUAUCCAUUUGGUCACUUAACAAAAGAGGCAAAUUGCAAGUUAAUUACUUUAUUAGAGUAUUUCUAUACAUGGUGAGUAAUAUUUGGAACAAAAACGAAUAAAAUAAUAUAUCUUGUUUCCAAAAGUUUUUUUCAAAAUUGGAUCUUCUUUCCACCCUUGUUCUCAUGAGUUUUCUCUUCUUUGAAUCUUUCUCUCUCAGCAAAGAGAAGUGAAGGUUUUCAUGGAGAAACUGUUGCUUCUCUUGUUAUGUUGCACUAUCAUGGAAGGUUUAAACUCUAACUUACGAUUUACAUAUAUUUUGCAUUCACAUCAAAUACUAUGUCAUAUAAAAGAUUACGAAAGAUAAGACUUAUGCAUGAAGUGUAAAAUUUGCUAUCGCAGAUUCUACCGAUUGAGUUAAAUUAUAAAUGUUGGUUUGAGGUAACAAAUGAAAUUUCUCUUUAAUGACUCAGUUGAAGAUAGAGUAAUCUCUUAUUUAAAGUGUGUUAUGAAAGAAAAUCACAACUUGCGCAUCUACUGAUGAAUAUAUAUAUUUUAGAAUCUUUCAUUCUAUGAUAUAGCUAGACAAUGUCUUAUAAUUUUUAGUAUUAAAAGAAGGGAGUGAUAAACGUACGUAGUGUGAAAAAAUGGCACUUGCAUAGUGGUAUUGUAAGAUAUGCAUCGAAAAGUGAAUGCGUUUGUAUAUUUGCUUGGUCGUAAUGUGUAUGAAAUUAACUACUUGAAUAUAUUAGUUGAAUAAAAUCACAUUUUUUUUUUUAUCUAUUUUGCUUUUUUAGGAUGGAUGAUGCAUUCUCUAUCUUAUGAUUAUUCAGCAAGCAUCGAGGCAAGUUUCAUUCAAUGAAACUCUCUCUCUCUCUCUCCCUCUCACACACACCAAGUUUGCAAGUGUUAACCACUUUUUGUAUGUUUUUUUCUUUUUCUUGUACUACUAUUUAUAAUUUUAUUUUUCUUUUGGGAGAAAAAGAUGACUUGUUACCUGCUUUGUUUUCUUUUGAAAUAAAUAUAGUUAAAAAUGCAAAACAACUGAGCUUUUGAACGUGAAAUUUUGAAUACCAACAAUCAAACCUUUUGCCUAGCUCCUACGUUAGAGACGCUCAUUCUUGUGCUACUAUUGUUGUUGUUGUUGUUGUUGUUGUAGGAUCGAGGAGCACCCAUUUUGGCUCUAAAAGCAGCACUUAGUUAACUUGAUGAACAGUUAAUUGUAUGAUAUUACAUUAUCUUCCUGAUUAACAAAUGCAAUGUUAACUGAAGAAAUAACUCUUAGUCAAAGUCUGCAAUCUUUGAUGAACUGCAAAACAAGUCAAGCCAAACCAGGCAAUUCUCUUUUAAGUUUCCAGUACCUUUUAGUUUAAUUAUAUUAAGUUCUGCUUGGUCAACACAUAUUUCUAAGCUGGAUCAAACCGAAAAUUAGUUAUCUUUGACUGGCCGUCCCUCCCUAACGCAAGUAACAAAAAACUUUUUUUUUUUUUUUUAUUUGAGGGAUAGGUAGCAUGCUACCCGUUUCGUUUAUUUCAUUUAGAAAUAAAUUUAGCUGGAAAUGUGAAUCAACUAAGAUUCGAAUUUGGGUCUCGGGUACCAACCACCAAGCCUUUUGCCACUUGCUCUAGAGACGGUCGGUAAGUAACAAAAAAGUUGAUAGUUAAUACCCGAGGCCUAAGUUCGAAACCUACUUGUUUUACAUUUCCAACUAAAAUUAUUUCUAAAAAAAAGCGAAGUGAAUAACCUACUAUCUUUCUCUCUAAAAAAAAGAAAAAAAUUCAACUGCACAUUUGAAUUGACAAGUAUGUGUGUGAAUGUGUUAUUUCCUUAGAUAUUUCUUAUUGGUUUUCAUGAUCUCCAUCUACAAAUGUCUUUGUUAUUUCCUUGGACAUUUCUUAUUGACUUCUAUGAUCUCAAUUUAUUGAAUGUCAAACCUAAGUACAUUCCCAUCUCCAUGGUUUGCAUCUUCUCCAAACUAUCACUUUUACACAAGUAACAAACAUUACAGCAUUUUGGUAUAAAUAACAAAGUUGUUCCCCUCACAUUAUAUACAGGAUGAUACCAAACUACCAUCUUCUAACGCUUCCGCUCACAACUCUUUUUAAUAACCAUAAGCAGUGCUUGGCUGAGCCACCGAAACCGCAGUACGGCGGGGGGAUCAUUAACGCCGGCCUGAGAGGAUGGUCAAACUCCGGCCUUUCAGCGGACGCUACGAGGGCCUCCGCAAGCGGCAAAACGUUCGCGGUCGUGCGCAGCAGGAGAAAACCUUAUCAGAGCGUCUCCCAGAAAGUGUACCUGCACAAAGAGAAGCUCUACACACUCUCUGGUGAUACUCAAAAGGCCACUCAAUUUCAUUCGGGAGUGUUCUGUAUUUGAGCUCACACGCAUUUGCCGCGAUGCUGUUUUUUGCAUUGUGCUCCAGCUUGGGUACGUAUCGACGAAGGAAGCGCAGUCGUCGGAGCUGUGUUUAAGACGGCAGGAGACGGCUUUGUUCACGCCGGUUUGGUCGAAGCCAAGUCGGGUUGCUGGUCCAUGCUGAAAGGAGGGCUGACUGUAAAGACUUCAGGACCGGCAGACCUAUAUUUCGAGGUGAGCAAUCUUUAGAUUAGGAGAAAACUUCAAAAUGCGCCUCAACGGCAUCGCGCAUUUGCGCUCUGCUACAGCAUGGUUCAAAGUACAGCAUUUUUAAUUUCCCCCCUAGUUUUCCAUUACGAACUCAUCACAUCAUUAAGAGUUGUAGAAAAGUGUAAUUUCUUAUGGACCAUAGAUGAUAAAGUGCUAAAUGCAUGAUAACGUAGCAUUAGGUCCCUAGGCAACGAGCUACACUUUGAACUACAUAGUAGCAAACGGUAAAUGAGCUAUAUCAUGGCGGGCUUUGUGAUAAGAACUUAAAAGAAGAAAAAUAGCAAGCAACUGUUUUUAUUUCAGCUGAUCAAGUUUACCACAUAGAAACAGAAAAUAUUUUUGUGAAAACAACUAUUUAUGAAUAGAUGUCGCCUACAUUACUGCAGAACAAAAAUAUAACAGUAGAAAUAUGGGUGGACAGUGUCUCCUUGCAACCGUUUACCGAAGAGCAGUGGAGAGCUCACCAAGAAGAGAGCAUCAAUAAGGUAAUUUCUACGACCCGAAACAACUUAAUAAACGCAUUAACAUUAACAAAGAAGUAAUAGUCAUGAAUAAAGCAGGUGCAUUGAAAUUGGGCAGAUCUAACUAUGAAAACAAUGUACCUGCUUGUUAGUAACAAUUCCUGCUCGAUUAAUAUCAUUUUGCCAACCAUUAUCAACCCUUCUAAAUCUUUUCUCUCAAUGCAAAAGAAAACAAGUAAAAUAAAAGAACUCGAAAUAACCGAUGAAGGUUCGCAAGAAGACGGUGAGAAUUCAAGCCAUAGAUGCCAAAGGAAACACCAUACCUGGAGCGAACAUCGCGAUCCAACAAACCAGACCGGGAUUUCCCUUCGGCUCAUCCACCAACGAGAACAUCAUCAACAAUACAGCAUACCAGAACUACUUCGCCUCCCGCUUCACCGUAACCACAUUCGAGAACGAGAUGAAGUGGUAUGCAACAGAGCACGCGCCGGGCAAAGAGGACUACUCGAAAGCCGACGCCAUGCUCGCCUUCGCUAAAAAGCACAACAUUCCGGUCAGAGCGCACAACAUCUUCUGGGAUAACGCAAAAAUCCAGAUGCCGUGGGUGCACUCUCUCAACGGAACACAGCUCUGGUACGCUACGUCGAAAAGAAUCAACUCAGUAAUGUCGAGAUACAAGGGCCAGGUCAUUGCUUGGGACGUAGUAAAUGAGAACCUCCAUUUCUCAUUCUUUGAAGAUAAACUCGGAAGAGAUGCAUCAAAUGUCUUUUACCAAGAAGCUCAUGAGCUCGACGCCGACACGAUGAUGUUCCUGAAUGAGUUUAAUACGCUCGAAUGGCCUGGAGAUCAGUUUGCGAGCCCAAGUAAGUACCUUCAGAAGCUGAGGGAGAUACAGUCAUAUCCUGGCAAUCGCGCGAACAUGGCGAUAGGGCUCGAGAGCCACUUCGGCGUACCGAACAUUCCUUUUGUGAGAUCGGCUCUUGAUGUUCUUGCAAAUGCAAAGGUGCCCAUUUGGCUUACGGAGGUGGAUGCUGCAAACGACACAGAUCAGGUAUAUCUGGACACGUCCUUGAUGCACAUAAGUAGUUGUCGAAAAAAGAGUCAUAGUAAUCGAGGUCUCCGAAUAUUGGUUUUGUGAAUUUGAAUCCCCUUAACAAACAUGCUUAUUUCGGAAAAUUCAUCAGAAUUUAACAGUACUUUAACAACCGUACGUCAACCAAAAAUAAAAAGUUUAGGGACCUGUUUCCAAAUCACCUACAGUAGUGUCCAUAAAAUUUCGAGUUAAUUGCAUAUGGCUCCCUAUAAAGGCAUUAAAUAACUAAUAUAUUUUUACAAAACUUAAGUUAUCAAAUUCAUCCCUUUAAAAGUCUUUUCAUCUGUAAAUAUUAGGUAACCAUGAGUUUAAAAAGGUAAGCAUGCACGCUUUAGCAAAGAAGUAAAAAGAUAUUUUUAUCUCUUAUAUAUAUAAUUUGUAUUUCAAUAUUAAGUUUCGCCAUCUUUCUCAUCCUCUUCUCUUUAUCUGUGGCAACGGCAAGACUUGCUGCAGUGGCCAUAUCGAAGGCGAAGACCUCGAUCGCUCCGCACGUGCCACGGCGAAGACGAGGAAAGUGAGGGAAAGAAAGAUAGGUUUUUAUAAAUAAAAAUUAUAAGAGUAAAAUAGUCAUUUUACACACUCACCGUUAAAAAACUAACAGUGAAUGAGACGACAGGGAUAUAUAUAUGAACGAACUAGAAUUUUUAGAGAAAUAUAUUUGCAAAUUAAAAAAUUUUCAAAGAAAUAAAUUUAGUAACUUAAUUUCGUAAAAAUAUUUUUGCUAUUAGAUAUUUUUACAGGAAUCUGCAUGAAAUUAACCCUAAAAUAUUUACCUAAGAACUGGUAAUACUUCAAAGUUGUGAUUGAUAUUAUACAAAUUUCCACAAUGAAAUUCCGAUGCAGCCAACAUAUUUGGAAGCAAUCUUGAGAGAAGCUUACGCUCACCCGGCCGUCCAAGGGAUCGUAAUGUGGACGGGCUGGCGUCCAGGACCGUGCGAGAAGAUGUGCCUGACGGACUCCAACUUCAAGAACACCCCCGCCGGCAAUGUUGUCGACAAGCUAAUUGCUGAGUGGAAGACUGGACGAGCAGUAGGCUCGACAGAUAAAAACGGCUACUUUGAAACCCAACUCUUCCACGGAGACUAUGACAUUCUCCUCAGCCAUCCAUCCGUGAACUCCUCACUGCACAGUUUGAAAGUGGAUUCUGGAACUCGGUAUGAAUUUAUGAUCCGGAUCCAAGAAUUAAGCAUUUGAGCUUCACAAUUCCAGACAGUACUGCUUGCUGAUUGUACUCUGCUUAAUUAAGCUCUCUCUCUCUCUAUAUAUAUAUUCUCAUUUCGCAUGAUUUGUUUCCUAUUUUACAAUGGAAAGUAAUGAAGAAAAUACAUGGCAAAACCUACUGUUGAAUGUAUAUAAUUUUAAAACGCUAUUCUCUGGGAGGAGUCCGGCGUAGCAUCGAGCACCUGAUGCUUUCAAAAUUUUCACCGUUAGAUUUACCUCUUUGGCCAUUUCUAUCGUUAGAUCAUACGAUUUAACCAAUCAUUCACUCAACCAAAAUAGACUACUAUCAGCCAAGGGAGCCAAAAAUCAAAUAGCACCAAUGCUUUGGUGCUAUUAAAAGCAUUUCAGCCCAAUUCAUAUGGUAGUUUAAAUUUUUAGCAAACAAUAAUAAUUUUGCAUAGUAUCAGAGCAGAGGAUUCUAUUAGUUUCAUUUAGUUUUCUCCAAUUUAAUUGAAGUCCACAUUUUAUGCGUAUUAAAAAGCCUCAAGCCUAAAUUUGAAAGAAAGUGUUGAAUAUAAAAUAUUAAAACACCGAUUUCCAGACGGUUUAAAUUUUCAGAGAAUGAUAGUUAUUUCACACCUAAACUUACAGUAGACGAACGUCCCGAGCAACUUAUACGCUGAUUUAACGGCAAAACACAAUCUCGCAUUCCAUCUCCACCGGAUUUCAUUAGGUCAAUGUGGAAUCUUAAAAAUAGAUCUUUUAUCUCUCUGAUUGUGUUGUCACCCCUUGACCCAACCCGUCUCAAUAUCUCUAUUAUGUACAGUAACUUGCGCGUGGGGCAUCAGACAACAUUAAUUGGUGAUUGUUCAAAGAGCAGAUUUAGAAAAGUAAAGAAUUCUUGGUAGAAAAUUUGACUCAUAUUUUGUUCGCAAAAGUAAUUCGUUUGCUAGUUCUGAUCAUAAGUUUAAUACAAGCACAUAUAUAUAUGAAUAAAUUAAACAUAUUUUGUUUUAGAAAUCAUAUUCUGUUUGUGUGGAUAUGGAAUUAUGGAUCCACUUUUCGCAAAUAUUUUUUAUAUCUAUAAUUCUAUCCAAAACAUAAUACCAAGUAUAUAUAUAUAUAUAUUUUUUUUUCUUAUUUUUAAUUCCUUCACUUCGCAUGAUAGAUUGGUAUGAUACAGGCAUCUAAAAAGAAUGGAAAAUAUAUUAUGCGUAUUCGGAUAGAAAUUUUCAACCAUCUUUGUAUAUACAAAAGUAUCUGAAUAAGCAUCGAAUCCGAUUAAAUGACUAAUAAAAAAUUGUAAAUAUCUGGUAAAACUUAGAUUUUGAAAACAUAUAGUUUUGGGCCCAUUUUGCUUGUGAGGACAAGUCUCAACGUGAGACUGUUUCAUCCACCACUAUCACUUGAACAGUGCGAAUCUCAAAGCAGUAUGAACGAUAAGAUAGAUAAAAUAGUUUUAAGUUAGGACUGUUCCCACCAAAUUCUUUUCUUUCCUUUUUGUUCCAUUUUCAUCUCUAGUGGAGUGCUCACACUUAAUAUUGUAAGACAUAUAUNCUUUUUGUUGAAAUAUAUAUAUAUAUAUAUAUAUAUAUAUAUAUAUAUAUAUAUAUUUCAAAAUAUUAUCUGAGCAAAAUCAAUUAACUUUUGCCUAAUCUAUCACGAUCAUAUUUCCUGAUAAUCUAUUCAAGAGACAAAUUUAAUUUUAGGGUACUGAAGAUCCAUCUCUUAAAUAAGCUUAGGUCACAUAAAAUUCAGAUGAGCGAGAGUUAGAGAGAGAGUGCCUGUUCGGCCUAGAUGUUGGAGAAGUAAUUUCUAUAAAAUUGAUUUUGAUUGGAAAAAUUAAUUUUGGUUUAAAACUUAAUUAAGAAUGUUUGACUGAAUUUAGAUGGAAAACAAUUUUUCUGAAUUAAUUAAUUUUAUAAAGCUAUUUGCAAAAAAAAUUUACUAUUUACAAAUAAUAUUUUUUUUGGUUAAAUUUUAUUUUAAACUAAUUUAACACUUGAAUUUAAAUCUAAAUUUUAAAUUUUAAAUUUGAAAAAAAAAUUAAAUUUUGAUAUUUUAAUUUAAAAUAUUAAUUUGAAAUUUAAAAAUUUAAAGUUUAUAGUNGCAAAAAAAAUUUACUAUUUACAAAUAAUAUUUUUUUUGGUUAAAUUUUAUUUUAAACUAAUUUAACACUUGAAUUUAAAUCUAAAUUUUAAAUUUUAAAUUUGAAAAAAAAAUUAAAUUUUGAUAUUUUAAUUUAAAAUAUUAAUUUGAAAUUUAAAAAUUUAAAGUUUAUAGUUUUAAAUCUAAAUUUAAAUUUUAAGUUCCAAAUGAAAAUUGAAAAUUUCAAAUUUCAAUCUAAAUUUGAAAAUUUGAAAUUUAAAAUUUAUAAUAAAAUUUCAAAAACAAAAUUUUAAAAAAAACUUAAAUAUUGAAUUUUAAAAUUUUAAUUUUUUAAUUUGAAAAAUAAGACUUAUGAUUGGAAAUUUAAAGUUUUAAGAUUUUAAAUUUCAAAACAAAAAUUUUAAAUUUUAAAUUUUAAAUUUUAAACUUAAAUAUUAUCUAAAAUUUAAAAUUUUGAAAUUUAAAAUUUAAAAUUUAAAAUUUAAAAUUUAAAUUUUAAAAUUUGAGAUUUGAAAUUUGAAAUUUAAUAUCAAAAUUUAAAAUUUAAUAUUUAAUAUUUAAAAUUUUGAAAUUUGAAAUUCAAACAUAAAAUUUAAAAUUUAAGAGUGAAAUUGAAUUUAAAUUUACAAUUUAAAUCAAAAACCAAUAUUAAAUUUUAAAAUUUGAUCCCAAAAUCAUAGACAGAUUUUUAAAAAUAGGUUUUAGCUGCUUUUCAGAAAACUGAUUCUAGAAAUUAGAAACCAAAUUUGAAACAAUAAUAUCAAAUGCUCUAUUAAAAUAAUUAAAUUUUUGUUCUAAAAUUACUUUUUAAAAUCAAGGCCAAACCUCCAAAGAGAGAGAGAGAGAGAGAGAGAGAAAGAGAGAGAGAGAAUAUUUGAUUACACGUAAAUACGUACGACAGGCAUGCAUGCAUGGUGUGUAUAGAAAAGGCUAUAUAUGACUCGAAUGGGGCCGUCAAAAGAAAGUAUAUAUAUAUAACAACUUUUUCAUUAAAACCCCUACGACAACAUUCCGGCCCAGUAAACAGAAACUUCAAAUUUUAGUUUUCUUUUUUUUCUGGAAUUUUGAAACUAGAGUUGCUUUGUAAAUUAAUUUAGCAAAUUAAGAUCCAAACCUUUUCUAAAUAGUUGGCUAAGAAACUAUUCUAAAAAGCUAUUUAAAUGAGCAAUAAAGUUCUUGUUCAUGUGGAGUGCGCAUUCAAAAGCCGUGCUACUUAAUUAACUGUGUGUUGUCGUUUCCUGUGUGAUUUUCUCCUCUUGUGUCAUUUUCGUUUUCUUUCCUACCUGUGUACUGCCACUCCUUCGCGGUAUUAGCCAACUAGGGACGAAUUUUGUUCUUUACUCCCUUCGGCCUGCUGCCCCUUCGUCGAUGUAUCUUCUCUAAAAUAGGAUACAUCCCUGUUUAAUCAAAAAAAAAAGAAAAAAGCACGUAACUUUAAACUUUGGAAGGUCAAAAAUAAUCCAAAAAUAGUUCCAAUCUUUUCUUGUAUAAUAAUACUAUAAAAUUUUAAUGACAACUGCAAUAUGAGAAGCAUAUAUAUAAUAUUAUAAUCAUUUAUUCUUCCCUCCAAUUCCAUUAUUUGUGUCCACGGCUGCAUAUUAUUAUACAUCAAGCUAUUACAAAGAUGCCAAGAAAACACACAUAAGUAGACACUUGCCCUCGACAACACCCAACAGAGGCUAUACUUGGAAUUGUAGAGAUAUUGCAUUGCAUACAGUAUAGAGCCUCCAUUUGGGAUUGCAGAGAUUAUGUUACGUGCGGUGAAAAAAUACGAUGAAAAAUUAUUCAGCUUGUUUCCAUACAUAAUAUCACAUUGCGCAUAUCGUGAUCAGUUAGUUCCGAUAUUUUUUGUGCAGUACCAUCAGAAAAUGAAAAAGCAUGUUUCCAUAUAUUUUCACUCCGCUGGAUACACUUUGCGUAACAACGUUAAAUGAGCCUAAAUACCAAACGAGUUUAGACUCUAGAUUCUGGAGGCAGGAAGUACUAUAAUUUUUUUUAUCAUGAUUCAUGAGCUUGAGGUUAAAUUGUCAGUUAAUUAAUUAAUCCUCAAAAAAAAAUAAUUAAUACCUGUUUAGGGAAAUAAAAAGAUAAGAGGUACAUUAAAGCACAUUAAGUACCAAAAUCUCUCCUUAACAAGAUUCUCAAAAAGAAAAAGAAAAACAAAUCGUAACUUAUAAAUUGCUGGAUUAUAAAUCCCUUUGGUGGCUGUAUCCGGUCACAUAACAAAAUAGGCAAAUUGCAAGCUAAUUACUAUAUUAGUUCAUAGUAUAUUUCCACAUAUAUAUGGUGAGUAAUAUAUAUAUGGAACCAAAACGUAUGAAAUUAUCUUGUUUCCAAAUGUUUUUCGAAAUUGGAUCUUCUUUCCAAUUAAGUUGUGAUGGAAAAAUAUACACAUCCUAAUAUCUAACAAAAAUUUGCCAUUUAUAUAUAUGUAUAUAUAUGUUGCAUGUGUACGUUCCUAUUUCCACAUUGGCCCUUACAACUUGUUUUCAUGAGUUUUUCUCUUCCUUGAAUCUCUCUCUCAGCAAGAGAAAUGAAGGCUUUCGUGGUGAAAGUGGUGCUUUUCUUGUUAUUUUGCGCUCUUUUGAAAGGUGUAAACUCUAUCUUAUGAUUUAUAUAUAUAUUUUGCAUUCACAAUAUUAUAUACUAUUUCAUAUAAAAGAUUAGAAAAGAUAAGGCCUAUGCAUGAAAUGUGAAAUUUGCUAUAGCAGAUUCUGCCAAUUGAGUUAAACUAUACAUGUUAGUUUGAAGUAACAAAUGGAAUUUCUCUUGAUAUAUGAUUGAGUUAAAGAUAGAGUAACCUCUUAUUUACAGUGUGUUAUGGGAGAAAAAUGCAACUUGCGCAUCUAUUAUUAAGAUAUGUAUUUUACAAUCUUUUAUUUUAGGGUUUAGAUAGCUUCUCAUCGAUUUCUAGUAUUAAAAGAAGGUAGUAAUAAAAUUAAUGUGAAAAAAUGGCACUUGGACGGUUCUAAUGUAAGAUAUGCAUUCGAAAAAUGAAUGCGUGCGUACAUUUGCUUGGUCUUAGAAAGUGUACUAAAGUUACUACUUGGAUUUUUUUUUUUUUUUUUGAGAGAUAGAUAGCACGUUAUCCGCUUUGUUUUAUUUCGAAAUAAAUUUAGCUAGAAAUGUGAAUCAACUUGGAUUCCAACUUAAAAUUUUGGAUACCAACCACCAAGCCUUUUGCCACUUGCUCUAGGGACUGUCGGUACUACUUGGAUAUAUUAUAAUUACUUUCUUUUUUAUCUAUUUUGCUUGUCCAGGAUGGGUGGUGCAAUCGUUAUCUUAUGAUUAUUCAGCAAGCAUCGAGGCAAGUGUUUUUGAGAAACUCUCUCUCUCUCUCUCUCUCUCUCUCACAGAGGGUUGUGAGUGCUCAGCACUUCUUUUAUAAUUUUUUGGGAAAACUUCAAAAACCCCCCAUGUGGUUUCGUGCAUUCUCACUUUGCUACCCUGUGGUUUAAAACGUAUCAAUUUACCCCCCUGUGGUUUCAUUUUUAUCUUUUCGGAAGCUUUUUCGUUAAUAUUUCGUUAAAUUAUAUACAAAAAACUUCAGAUAACUAUCUAUAUUUAUCGAAUAGUCACUUUAGUAUCCUUUAAUUUUAACUUUGUCACUGAUUUUAAAAAAAAAUAAAUAAAAUUGAUAAUAAAAAGAUAAAAACGAAACCACGGGGGGGCAAAUUGAUACGUUUUAAACCACAGGGUAGCAAAGUGAGAAUGCACGAAACCACAGGGGGGGUUUUUGAAGUUUUCCCUAAUUUUUUUUCCUUUUCUUGUGCUAGUAUUAUUUUUUUUGUUUUUUUAGAAAGAAAGAUAAUAUGCUAUCCAUUUUAUAUAUUCUUCUUUUUUAAAAUAAAUGUAGCUAAAAAUAUAAAGCAAUUGGGAUUUAAACUUAAAAUCUUAAAUAUUAAUUAUCAAGUCUUUUGCCGCUUGCGUCAGAUAAGCUAGUUUUUGUAUUACUUUUGUUAUUGUUGUUUUCACCGUAGAUUCUUGUGCUACUAUUGUUGUUGUUGGAGUGAGGAAUACACAUUUUGGCUCUAAAAGCAGCACUUAGUUAACUUAAUCAUGAAUAGUGAAUAGCUAAUUUUAUGAUAUUACAUUAUCUUUCUGAUUAACAAAUGCAAUGUUAAUUGAAGAAGCAACGCUUAGUCAAAGUCUGCAAUUUUUUAUGAACUGCAAAACAAAGUCAAGCCAAACCAGGCAUUUUUCUUUUAACUAAUUAUUCAGUUUCCAGUACAUAUUAGUUUAAUUAUAAGCUCUGCUUGGUCAACAUAUAUAUUUGAGCAAAACCAAAACGAAAAUCAAUUAUCUUAAACUGACCGCUCAUCCCUACAUGAGUAGCAAAAAGUUUAAUGUGAUAUAUGAAACCUUAAUUUACAUUUUCAAUAUAGCGCAUGCAUUUCUAAACAGGCUACUUUUUCCGCCAAAAAAAAAAAAAAAAACCUAUCUUCGACUCCAUAUACAGAUUUGCAAGCACGCGUGUGCGUAUGAAAGCGCACUUCUGUGAAUUCCAUUAACAUUUAAUAUAAUUUAUUCCCUUGGAAUUUGUUAUUUCCCUGGACAUUGAAUUUUUAUGAUCUCCAUUGAUAAAUGUCAAGCCUAAGUACAUUCCUAUCUCCAUAGUUUGCAUCAACUCCAAAUUAUCAUUACACAAUUAAGAAGCACUACAGCAUUUUGGCAUAAUUAAGUUGUACCCCUCACAUUCUAUACAGGACGAUACCAAACUACCAUCUUCCACACUAACAACUCUUUUUACCAUACCCAGUGCUUAGCUGAGCCACUGAAACCGCAGUAUGGCGGGGGGAUCAUCCGCAAUCCCGAGUUUAACGCCGGCCUGAGAGGAUGGUCAAACUUCGGCUUUUCAACAGAUGCUACGAGGGCCUCCGCAAGCGGCAACAGAUUUGCAAUUGUCCACAGCAGAAGAAAACCUUAUCAGAGUGUCUCCCAGAAAGUAUACCUGCACAAAGAGAAACUCUACACUCUCUCUGGUGAUACUUAAACGACCACUCAAUUUCAUUUGGGAGUGUUAUGUAUUUGAGCUCACAUUUGCCGUGAUGCUGUAUUUGCGUUGUGCUCUAGCUUGGGUACAGAUAAACAAAGGAAAUGCAGUCGUCGGAGCUGUAUUUAAGACGACCAGCGAUGGAUUUGUUCACGCCGGCUUGGUCGAAGCCAAAUCAGGUUGCUGGUCCAUGCUGAAAGGAGGGCUCACUGUAAAGACUGCAGGACCAGCAGAACUAUAUUUCGAGGUGAGCAAUCUUUAGAUUAAGGGAAAACUUCACAAAGCGCCUCAACAGAAUAGCGUAUUUGUGCUCUGCUACAGUAUGGUUCAAAGUGAAGCAUUUUUUUCCCCGGUUUUUGCUAUAGUUUUCCAUAAGGACCCAUCCCAUCAUUAAAGGUUUUAACAAAGUGUAAUUUUUAAUGCACCAUAGAUGAUAAAGUGCUACAUGCAUGAUAAAGUAGCAUUAGGUCCCUAGGCAACAGCUACACUUUGAACUACAUGGUAGCAAACUGUAACUGAGCUAUAGCAUAGCGCGCUUUGUGAAGUUUUCCCCUAUAUUAACAAAGUAUUAAAAAGAAAAAAGAAGAAAAAUAGCAAGCAACUGCAAUUUCAGCUGAUCAAGUUUUCCACAGAAACAAAACAUUUUUUGUGAAAACAACUACUAAUGAAUAGAUGUCGUCUACACUACUGCAGAGCAAAAACACAACAGUAGACAUAUGGGUGGACAGUGUCUCCUUGCAACCAUUUACCGAAGAGCAGUGGAGAGCUCACCAAGAAGAGAGCAUCAAUAAGGUAAUUUCUACGGCCUGAAACAACUUAAUAAACGCAUUAACAUUAACAAAGAAGUAAUUGUCAUGAAUAAAGCAGGUGCAUUGAAAUUGAGCAGGUCUAACUAUAAAGAACAAUAAUCAGGUUCAAUGUACCUGCUUGUUAGUAACAAUUCCUGCUCGAUUAAUAUCAUUUUGCCAACACAAUAACCAUAUCCAACCCUUCUAAAUCUUUUCUUUCAAUGCAAAUGAAAACAAGUAAAAUAAAAAAACUCAAAAUAACACAUGAAGGUUCGCAAGAAGACGGUGAGAUUUCAAGCCAUAGAUGCCAAAGGAAACACCAUACCUGGAGCAAACAUCUCGAUCCAACAAACCAGAUCGGGAUUUCCCUUCGGCUCAUCUACCAAUGAGAACAUCAUCAACAAUGCAGCAUACCAGAACUACUUCGCCUCUCGCUUCACUGUAACCACAUUCGAGAAUGAGAUGAAGUGGUAUGACACAGAGUACAUGCCAGGUAAAGAGGACUACUCUAAAGCCGAUGCCAUGCUCGCCUUCACUAAAAAACACAACAUUCUGGUCAGAGCGCACAACAUCUUCUGGGAUGACCCAAAAUACCAAAUGGGAUGGGUGAACUCUCUCAACAAAACACAGCUCUGGAGCGCCACGUGGAAUAGAAUCAACUCAAUUAUGUCGAGAUACAAAGGCCAGGUCAUUGCUUGGGAUGUAGUAAAUGAGAACCUCCAUUUCUCAUACUUUGAAGAUAAACUCGGAACAGAUGCAUCAAAGGUUUUUUACCAAGAAGCUCAUAAGCUCGAUGCCAAUACAAUGAUGUUCUUGAAUGAGUAUAAUACACUUGAGGUGCCUCAAGAUUGGGUUGCGAGCCCAAGUAACUACCUUCAGAAGCUAAGGGAGAUACAGUCAUAUCCUGGCAAUAGUGCGAACAUGGCGAUAGGGCUGGAGAGCCACUUCGGCGUACCGGAUAUUCCUUUUAUGAGAUCGGCUCUUGAUGUUCUUGCAAAUGCAAAGGUGCCCAUUUGGCUUACAGAGGUGGAUUGCGCAAACGAUACAAAUCAGGUAUGCGCAUAAGUAGUUGCCGAAAAAGAGUCAUUAGUAUCAAUGUAUCUGAAUAUUUGUUUUGUGAAUUUGAAUCACCUUAACAAACAAGUUUAUUUCAGAAAAUUCAUCAGAAUUUUAACAGUUUUAAGAACCGCCAACCACAAAUAAGAAGUUAGGACCAGUUUCCAAAUCAUCUAUAGUAGAGUGACCAUAAAAUUUUUGCCUGAGAAAUGGUAAGACUUCAAAUUUGUUAUUGAUAUUAUACAAAACUCCAUAAUGAAACUCAAUACAGCCAAAAUAUUUGGAAGAAAUCUUGAGAGAAGCUUACGCUCACCCGGCUGUCCAAGGGAUCGUAAUGUGGACGGGCUGGCAUCCAGGACCGUGUGACAAGAUGUGCUUGACGGACUCCAACUUCAAGAACACGCCCGCUGGAAAUGUAGUUGACAAGCUAAUUGCUGAGUGGAAGACUAGACAAGCAGUAGGCUCGACAGAUAAAAAUGGUUACUUUGAAACCCAACUCUUCCAUGGAGACUAUGACAUUAUCAUCAGCCAUCCAUCUGUGAAUUCCUCAUUGCAGAGCUUGAAAGUGGAUUCUGGAACUCGGUAUGAAUAUAUGAUCCAGAUCCAAGAAAUAAGCAUUUAAGCUUCACAGCUCCAGAGACUGCUGACUGUACUGUGCUUAAGCCCUUCUAUUCUCAUUUGUCAUAAUUUGUUUCCUAUUCUGCAAUAGAAAGUAAUAAAGAAAAUAUACGGCAAAACUUACUGUUGAAUGUAUAAUUUUAAAGCCAUGUUCUCUAGUAGUUUAAGAUUUUAUUGAACGAUAAUUAUUUCACGUCGUAUCAGAGGAGGUUCUGUUAGUCUCAUUUAGUUUCUUCCAAUUUAAUUUAAGUCCACAACUUGUGUGUAUUAAAAAGCCUCAGGCCCAAAUUUGAGGAGAAGUUGAAUAUAGAAUAUUAAAACACCGGUUCCCAAGUAGUUUAAACUUUCAGAGAAUAACAGUUGUUUCACACCUACAUUUCUCCAUUGAAUUUCAAUACAUAUAAAGGAUCAUGAGAUCCUUAAUGUGAUUUUGCGUAUGUUACACAAAUAGUGAAAUCAAAUAAUUAUUGCCAUAAAUCACAAGCUUGGUAAAGAAGCAAGGGAGAAACUAGAGAAGUACUACGAAAUAAGCUCCAAAUUUAAUGACUAAAGAAAAGAUAUUGGAUUAGAAGUGGAUGGCACUUCAAUGAGGAAGAGUUUCUGGUACCACCAAAACUUGAACCUUUCAACAAGCCAAUUCCAUGCUUUCUAUGAGUUCCACAUUAUGAGAUUCUACAUUAUAACACCCUCAAAUAAGCCACCUGAUUUCCAAAGUAUUCAUGAAACGUCAUUGCUCCAGCAAUUAGAAUCAACUUCAUCCUAACAUGCAAAGCGAAUCGACUUAUACAUGUUCACUAAGCCCUCAUGCUUUAAACUUGUGAUCAAUGAAAAGUAGUAUUUAUCUUUCAUCUGUGCCAUUAGUCAGCAUCAUUCUCAUGUAUGACACUAUUUUCAGUAGAAGUAGAGUUUCCUCCUAAAUUAAGUUGAUGAACAGGACUCAACAAAUUUGUAAUGGGAAGAUGUACCUUCUUGAGGAAAAAAUUCACCAAGAAAAAUAAGGUUGACCAUUUAAUUCAUAAUUGAGUAUCAGAAGAUAUCUUUUGCAUAUUAAUCCAACUAAAAUACAAAAUAAAUGAAGCAAGCAAGCAGGAAUAAGAAAGAAUAAAUUUCAAUAAGCAAAGGUGAGGUGCAACACUUCUAUCCAACCUUACAUAAGGAAUGAACAUGUAAUUCAAAGACAAAGAUAUGCCAGAGGUACAACAAGUUACCGCAGAAAAUCCAUGCAGCUGUGCUGAACAACUGUACAAAACUAGAUAUGACUUAUUUGAUUGCUCGACCAACUGUGAGACAAGUAUGUCAAGAAUAAAUACCCCAAAAUUUCUCAUGCGUUUCAAGCAAAAUUGCUCAAAGGUGUGACACAUCUGCAAAUGCUAAACAACAAUGAGCAGAUUUGAUAAACCAUCUAUCAACAAGUCAGAGCCCAAAAGCAUUUGACAGCUGGUAGAUUUAGUUGUUCCGCAAUCCACUAUCUUGAUGCACAAACUCCAUCAAAAACCACCAGAGUUCAAAUCAUUCUGUCACAAAAAUGGACUGUAAACCAGAAGCAUAUAACUUCUUGAGAAUACAAUAUCUGAAAAUGAAUUGAAGAGCCAUCAGCAAAUUAAACAAUCCUAUGUUAUAGAGAUUGCUAAGUAUAAGCAAAAAGGAAGGUUCAAAUUUAGAAACAAGAAGUUGAUCAAAAUCAAUAAGUUGAACCAGGACACUGCUGUAGUUUAACACUAUAGAGACAAUUUCACCGUCUGUGCUACAGUUUACGUUUGCAGAAUGAAUAUGUACCCAGCAGACCAUCAGUUUUAGAGAUGUAUAUUUGGAAGAAAUCAGUUUUUGAUAUGCUAAAAGUGUACACUACAUAGCAUACUGGUAAGCAGAUUUUCCUAUACAAGGAUAUGCAACAGCAUACAUUUAAGCAUUUUCUGCAAACACGAGAGAUCCCUACACUACUAUAUCUACACUAGUUUUAGUGCCCUAAUGCAGAACAAUUGCCAGCCCAAUCAGUAAACAUGAAGGUUUAUAAGAAGCUCCAUGUGAAAUAAUAACAAUUACAAGCGUCACAUAGAGAGCUAAUGACGAAAUUAUGUAACAUACAAGAAAGGAUAAAAGCAGACUCAUGCAAGAUAUAUAGGGGUACGCACCUCAAGUUGUACAUGAAUAUACUUCAUCUCAGCUCCUCUUGCAAUCGAGGUAUCUGAAAAUUUCACUAUUCACGAUUGAGAAGCCAUUUUCCUCAGAGUCCAUAGAACCAACCAAGGAGGAACAAGGUAUUGAAACAUUUCUAUCCAGGUCCUUUUGUCAUCCUUUUCUGCCUCUUGAUAAACCCAUCCAUCAAAGUAAUGUAUGCAGAACUAUUGAUAGGCAAACCCUUCUGCAUCAUUUCUUCCAGAACAAGUUUAGCUUCUUUGAAGUGUCCGCUACUGCAGAGCUCAUUAAUACGCUCCGUAUAGCUAGCAGAGAUGCCAUCUUUUGAAUCUACCUCAGCAUUUGUAUCUUUCACCCCUUCUUGAUCUCUUUCUGUUUCCGGAAAGACAAACUUUUCAGGUAAUUUUCCAGUUUCAACCAACUUUGUUAGCAUAUUCUGUGCUUCUUCUGACCUUCCAGCCUCAGAGAGAGCACACAAGACAACAUUAUAAGUAAAAGCAUCAGGAUGUAAUCCCUUCUCCUCCAUAUCAGCAAACAUACGCAAUGCAUCAUCAAUCUUUCCCUCUUUGCAUAAUCCUUUGAUGAUAGUAUUGUAGGUUAUAACAUCCACCUUCUUCCCUUUUGACACCCACGACUCAAAUAGCUUCAACGCCUUUUCGACCUUGCCACCAUUACAAAGCCCAUUCAUGAGAAUGUUGCAGGUAAUAACAUUGGGCUUGAAGGAAUUCUCCACCAUCUUGUUAUGAAACUGGAAAGCUUUCUCCAAGUCCCCUUCCCUACAAUACCCAUGAAUAAUAGUAUUAUACGUGGUCUCAUCAGGCACCAGCCCUCCAUCCAUAAGCUCAUUCAACUUCUGAAUCGCCUCCUCUGUCUUUCCCGUUUUGCAAAGCCCACUAAUUACCGAAUUGUAAGUCGAAAUCCCCGGCCUUAUCUUCCUCUCGUUCAUUUCUUCCCAAAGCUUCAUUGCCUCAUUAGGGUUCUCAUCCUUGAAGUACGCGGAAAUCACUGUCCCAUAACUAACCUCAUCAGGCACAAACCCUCUCUUCGGCGGGCUUCUUAGAAGCUCGCAAGCCUCAUCAAACCUUUUCUCCUUACAUAGGUUGAAGAGCACAACAUUGAGAGUGAAAGUAUCCAUCUUGAGACCUCUCCCUACCAUCUCAUCCAUCAAGCUGAAAGCUUUGCUCACAUUCCCUGCUUUCGAGUAUGCACUAAUCAAAGUAUUGUAGGUGAUGAGAUCAGGGGAGACCCCUUCCUCCUCCAUCUUCCUCAGAGAAUCAAAAGCUUCGUCCAAUUUCCCUUCCUUGCAGAGCCCUUUCACCAUGAUGUUGUGGGUGACCAAGUUGGGGCGAACCCCUCUCUCACACAUUUCGUCGAGCACCUUGGACGCGUCGCAGCUGCUCCGCCACUCGAAGCACGCAUCCAGCAGCGUGUUGUAGGUGACGACGUCGGGGGGCGCUGUACCGAGCUUCUCCAUCUCGCCCUUCAUGCGGAAGGCCUCCUCAAUGCGGCCCUCGCGGCAGAGCCCCGCGACGAACACGUUGUAGGUCCACACGUCGGGGACGAACCCCGACGUCGUCAUGAGGUCGAGCGCCCUGGUGGCCUCCUUCAGCCACCCGAGGCGGGAGUAGGCGGCGACGAGGGUGUUGUAGGUGGCGCGAUUGGGGGGGACGCCGCGGGCCUUCAUGUCGGCGAGGAGGGCGCGGGCCUCGCGUAGCAUGCCGCGGCGGCAGUACCCGUCGAGGAUGGUGUUGAAGGUGACGGCGUCGGGGGAGCAGCCGAAGCCGGCCAUGGCGGGGAGGAGGGCGAGGGCGUCGGCGAAGCGGCCGCGGGAGCAGUGGACCUUGGCGAGGAUGUUGAAGGUGCGGAUGGUGGGGGUGACGCCGAGAGCGAGCAUGUCGGCGUAGACGGCGAGCGGGGCGGCGGGGGAGGAUGCGGCGGCAGGGGAGCGGGCGAGGGCGGCGAGGAGGGUGUUGGAGGUGAGGAGCGAGGGGCGGAGGCGUCGACGGCGCAUGGAGUGGAAGAGCUGGGCGGCGAGGUGGGGGAGGCCGAGGGCGGCGUAGGCGGAGACCGCGAUGUCGAGGAGGGAUCGGGAGGGAGGGGAAUGGGGGUGGAGGAGGUGGCGGUGGAGGAGACGGCGGCGGUCGAGGGGGACGAAGGAGAGGAGGAGGGAGCGGGCGUCGGAGAAGCGGCGGAGGCGGAGGAGAGUGGGGAGGAGGUGGAGGAGGGAGGGGAGGGAGACGGAGGAGGGGUCGGAGGGGAGGCAGAGGAGGCGGAAGAAGCGGAGGAGCGGGGAGGGGUUGGAGAGGGAGGGGGAGGAGGCGGCGAGGGAGACGAUGGAAGGGAGGAGGGAGGGAGAGAGGGAGAGGCGGGGGAGGAAGGGGGAUAGCACCUGGUUCAGCGGCGGGGACGAAGGGGAUUGCGCCGCGAGCAGCGCCGAGGACACCGCGGCGACGAGCUCCGCCUCCUCCGGCGAUGGCGGCGCAGGAGAGGGAGAGGGAGAGGGAGAGGGAGUGGCCGCCAUUAAUGGGGGGACGGAGGAGCUAGGGUUAGGGUUAGGGUUAGGGUGCCGGGGAGGGAGGAGGGAGGAGAGCGGCGGCCAUGGAGGCGAGGAAGUAAAGAAGCGGGUGGGAGAGAAGCAGACGAGCGAGCUAAAGAGCUGUUAAGAACUUAAGGGGCCCGAAAGAGAUGGUCACUGUACAUUUCACUUACAAAUUCUAACAAUGUUAGCCCUCAAAAAAGUUUAUAGCUUCUACCAUAACCUCAAUUUAAAUUGUAAACUCGUAUGUGCAUAAUGUAAUUUAUUGGAAAUUUGGAAUCAAUAAGACCAUUUAUGUCUCUCAAACCAACUUAAAUGUGCAAACAAUUCCACCCCAAAAUGCUGUGGCAAAAGGGACGUAUAUAUUUGAUAAAACUUGACUUUCAGGUUCUGUUAAGUUUUCCUUCUUGUACAAGAAUCCUAACUUUAACAGAACCUGAAAGUCAAAAACAUGAUGAUCAUCAUUAUUAGAGCAAAACUUUUCACUUGCAGUAAAAAUUUGAUCUGAUUUAACUUAACGAACAUGUAAUUCGCAAUCAUUUCAACAAUAAAAUGACUUCUAUCAGCAAUUAAAUCUUCUGCCUGUUUCACUUGCUCACACUGAGGACUCAGAUUGGUACUGCAAAAGACCCUUAAUAGGAAGUUCCAGCCAACCACACGAAAAGCAAGAAAAUAAUCACACUAACUUGACAAAUAAUAUGGUUUUGUCUGCAGCUUUAAGCACACAAAAGGGCCAUCUCAUAGUAAUCAAACAUCAAUAAUGAGUGGAAGAGUGAUAACAGAUGAGCAGAGUUGAUAUACUUAGACAUUACGACGGCAGAAGCAAGGAUCUGCAGAAACUAUUUGAGGUACCUUUCCGAUUACUAACCAAAGGAAUAGACAUCUAAUUUUGAACAAAUAUAUUUGGAAACCGCCUUGAGAUGAAAAAGCACAUGUAACUUUUUAUGUUUCUAUUUCUACAAGCAUAAUUCGUGAGUUUCUUUGUCCUUUUUUUUUCAGGAAUAGUUUUACAUGACUGGAUAGCGAUCACUCAAAAUUGUGCACCGGGGAUGAUUGCCUGAGCUCGUAUGCUGCCUGGAAACAAUCUGCAGCUUGAUGCAGCGAUCCUUCCAUUUUUGAGAUGAUGCCGAGAUUCAACCAUGCCUCAUGAUUUGUGGGGUCCAGACGAAUGGCGUUCAUCAAGAAACUUCUCGCAAUCGGCAGGGAUUCACCUCCAAGCAUCCUUAGAAUUUCCGCCAUGGAAACCAUGCUCGGCACAAAGUUCGGUUGGAUUGAGAGUGCGACUGAGAAAGCAGCGAGUGCCUCUUCAUGCAUUGAUUGUGCUUCCAAUAGCAAGCCUGAAAAUAUCAAGCAUUAGAUAAGAGGGUGUGUGAGACGUGAUGACUGAGGACUCAGAAAAUUUGUGAUACUAAUAGCGAAGGAGAAUAGAACAUAGUAUAAUUUCCCACUGACUUUUGCAAAGGAGUUUCUGAGAAGUACGCAUGUAACAGAUAUUUACCUAUUACGGCAUGAUUAAGCCGCAAAGUUAUCAAACAGUGGCUACUCAAAAAUUGCUUCAUGUUAAAGGCUUUACCUUCAGCAACUAACUUCUACGAUACAGCCAUCAAUUGUGGUUAAUGUUCGGAGGUUUAAACCCAGUAGAGAAACAUAAAAGUACACCGAGACAAUAUACAAAUAGCAUAGCAUGAAAAAUUACAGAAACAAAACUGUCUUAUCCAGCCUUUAUAAGAAUCGUAGAGAAAAGAUGCAAUUACACAGAUUGUGAACAUUUACCAAGAAUAAAUGUACUCUACUUGCUAUAUAAUUAACUGAAUUUCAGAAGAGCUUAUGUUCAAUACAUUUGGAAGAUAUAGCUUCAUAGCUAAAACUAAAACCUGAAGCCCAAAAUUAGAGUAGCAAAAUGAUAGGAACUCUAACAUUCAUGCAUGUAAAUAUCUCCUCCAAAAGCGUGCAUACUUCUAUCCAUCAGAAAGUAGAAACAUCAUAUGAUUCUCAUUUAAUGCUUUCUUCGUUCUUCUUUACCUCUCAUAGCCAUGUCUUAGUGACACCUAUGAGUAUAGAAGAUCAAACAUUCCGUCAUUACUAAGGAUCCCACUGAAUAACUCGGCUUGUCAACUGAUGUAAAAAACUAUUUUCGAGUACUUCGUAGGCCUUUUAGAAAUCAGACACCAUAACAUUUCCUAGUUUCACCAUCUUCAAAAUAUUUUUCAUAUCGCAGAGCAUACCGAUCUAUUCACAACUAGCGAUCAAGAUAAUUUUUGAACUAUCCUCUUUCUAUUAUCAUAUUCUCUUUUGCUGGAAUCAUUUGAUUUAAACACCUUUUGCAUUUAAUACUGCAUUGGUCUGUAGACCUCCAAUCUUUUAGUUUGACAAGUUUUCGUCUCAACUUGUCAAUCAUUGCUACCAACCUUAUAGCAUUAGCUUAUUAACCAUUUUCCUGACCUCUUCUCCUGCAUAUUGUGCAAAGCAAUUUUACCAAAGGCAGUCUAUGCGAGCAAAUAUUCAAUCAUAUCAAGAAUUUGAGUGUAUAUCACCCCUUGUCUACUCAUAGAUAUGAAUGUUGCUCAAUCCAAACCGAAUUGCCAAACCAAAUCAAAGCAAUUUCGGGUGAUUCAGUUUGGUUUUAUUAGUAUGGGGGUCAGUUUUACAAAAUAAGAACCAAACAAAAGGCACACUGAAGCUAUAGUGCAUAUUAGUCGCCAGACAAUGAUCAAACAUUGCAGUACUAAGCCACUGCUAUCAUCAAAUAAAAGAUUUAGGCUAUAACUAAAAAGAUUAAUCAUAAUUAAAAAGUCAGAUAAUAGGUUGAACUUACUAGCCUGGGUGGAGUUUCUAUGCAAACCAAAUAAAGAAACCAACAGAGCGGAAUUACUUAGGUUCCGUUUGUUACAGUUCGUCCCUGCUAACCCACCUCCAUCCGGUUCUAUUAAAAAUGUUAAUAUAAAACUCUAUAAACCAAACCAAACUGGCCAACGCACAAUCCUAGCUGCUUCAUGAAGAUCCUAGGUGCAGGCCAUCCGAAUUUCGAUAGCAUGUUGGGUAUAUAAUCGUCUCUCUCAUGAGAAACACAUAAUACAUAAAUAUAAGCAAAAUAGGCACACAAGUAUGUUACCUAAGCACCCAGACAUUGUGGUUUGAUGCUGUGAAUAUUUCUCAUUUCUAUUUCGGAUAAACCAUUACCUCCUUAUUUGACAUAGUCAUUUCUUACAGUAGCUUACUUGAAACUAUAAUCUUGUUGAGUUUUGUCGUACUUAUCCAUCAUCCAAUCUAAAUUACGUCCAAAUGGACUAAAUAUUGACAAAAAAUGUGCGUGACACCUACCUGCCUAUCAAUUUUGAGAUUAUGAUGCAUUGCUUGCCCGCAUAGUGCAACCACCUGCAGAGCAUUGCUUUGAGUUACUCAUCCUACCUUAAUUUUGUUUGGGCUCUGUCAUUCCACCACUAACGCAUCUUUCCAAAUCAAGUAACCUUUUUACACCUAUAAGAGAAACGACCAUGCAAUAUCUAGAAUCUUUGUAAAAUCUUUGAUAAUAAAUACACAAUUUCAUAUCAAGCUAGGAUGUUGUGCCCUAAGUCGUUUUCGAUGAUGAGACUUUCGAAUCGACGAUUGGCUCAAUUAUACUUGAUCUAGAGUAAUAUAGAAAACAAGUUUUGUGAUUUUCCAAUAUAAUUUUCCUAGUGAUUUAAUAGGCUCAAAAUCAAUAGCUAAAAAUAAACAUCUCACAAAAAGUGAUGAUACACUACUAAAAUUUUAAAUCGGAGGUACUGAUCUCGCCGUAGAUAGUAUACAGAACUUUCUAUUAAAACUUCAUCUAAUUUAGAUAUUUCUACACUGUUAAAUUGAAAAAGGCUCACAUCAACCACUAAACUUGUUGAUUUUGAACCGGUCCAAUCGCUGGGCAAAUGAUAUUGAAAAAUUACAAAACUUAUUUGCUAGAUACUUCAAAUACUCUAGAUCAAGUUUAAUGGAACUAAUCAUCAAUUCAGAAGUUCCAUCAUCUAAAACGACUUACGAACACGGAGGCCUCCGUGCUCCUCAGAGCAUAGUAUACCGCCUCAUUUCAUAUCAUGGAAUGUGCAUAGUUGUCCUGAAGCAUAUAGAGAGAAGAUAAAUAAAAAAGGCAUAUGAAACGAUCAAAUGUAUAGUCCUUAUAAACAACAAUAAACAUAUCUCCAAAAAAUAGUAGAAACCUAAAUUGUGUCAGCAACGUCUAUUUUGCAUAAUAUUUACCUGUAAUGUGCCAUAUCUUGGGGAAGGAAGAAUUAAUAGACUUAGCUUUCUCUAAGCACUUUUUUGAAUCAGCCCAUGAGCCAAGCUUAGUGUAAAUAGAUGCCAAGUCCAGCCAUAUUUCCAUCUCUAAGUUUCUGCUCUCUUCAACCUGUCAAAAUAAUGCUUCAGUUAAAACAAGAAAUAUCGAGAUGCACUGAGAAACAUUAGCUUAUUUUCCAUUAUAGUUAAAAAGACAAGUAUACCUCAUACUUAGGGUGCCAUAUCUGAAGCUCUUUUUGCGCUUGAAUGAUGGCAAGCGAAAUCCUAUAAGUGUCUAUUGCACUCUUAGAUUGCCCUUGAGCAUCCUGAAGAAGUGCUUUUAGUCGGAAAAAGUUCAACUGACCUGCUUUUUCAGUCUCAUCUAUUGCAAGUUCGACUAUUGCUUCAGCUUCUUUUAAGUUCUGUUGUGCUGAUAUAACAAGAGCUAAUAGCUUCCAGCCAAUAACGGAGCUUCCAUCUACCAUAUCCAGAUAUUUGGUUGCAUUUUCUACUGCCGCAUUAAGGUUUCGUUGCAUUAAACUCUCCCUUCCUAGGCUAUAUAUUACCUCAGGGUCAUACUUUUCAAUUUUAGCAGCAUUGUUUAGCAACUUUAAUGCAUUAUCUCGUAACUUUAGCCUUUCGGAAUCAGAGAUAGAAGAUUUGGAACAACAUCCAUAACAAGCCCCAAGUAAGUGACUUGCAACACCAACUAAAUGUUUUUCUUGAUUCUUUACGGAGUCAAUCGCUUUGGUUGCAAAUUUUAUACCUUCAAGUGCGUAUAAUGGAACUUUGCAGCAUAACUUUGCUCCCAAAAGAAGUGAUGGAAUAUGAGGUUUGUGCUCUUUCUGACAAUGUCCGACAACUUUCUUUAAAAUGUUUAAUGCAUCCUCAUCCAUACCUGCAGCACUAUAACAAAGUGCAAGUAUAUACCAUCUCUCAGCUCUACUAUAAGUGCCUGGCAAUAGCUGUUCUACAUGACUCGCCAAGAGUUCAAAUUGUCCAGAUAAUGAAAGUGCAAAAGUUAGAUGGCUCAUGAUAUCAGGAUCCCAACUUAUUUCUUGAAACGCUAGCUUUCUCAUGAGUAUAAGCAACAGCAGAAUUGCCUCCUCCACGUUAUUGGAAGGAGUUAUAAAUCCCGAAACUUGCCGACAUUCUGCAGGUAGAGUUAUUUCACUGCCGCUAUAUAAUAAAAUAACAGCUAAGUCUUUUUGCAAGCUGGCCCACUUUGUAAAGUCUAAAUUCCAAGGUCUAAUAAGAGCUCUGCGAUAAGCUAGAACAGCUUCUUCAAGACAACCAGCCUGUAUCCAUAGAUUGGGAAGUAAUUCAAGAGCUUUGUGGAACAUUUCUAUCAGUUUGCACUCAUCUUCAAUGCCAUUGGGUACACCAUGAGGCCAUGCAGAUUCAACAAUGUCUAGAAUAAUUUUACACUCCACUGCAGCAUCUGCUAGCAAUAACAGAUGGAUCAAAUACAAACAUCAGGACAAGUAUGUGACAAUGCUCUUCAGAGGUAGUAUAACUUCGGAAUGCCAUCAAAUGAUUGACUGAUCAUACUUUUUCUAGGUAUUUGUCAAAAUACUAGCAAACUAACUAAUCAUGUCAAUUACAAGUGAAACAUUCAUAACAAAGACAAUUUUGACAAAUUGUUGCUGUAAGCAGCGAAAAUAAACACCUACUAAACAAAUAACAAGCAAUGUUCAGCAAUAGUGUUAAAAUUGAUAACAAAGUGUUUGAACAUUAAUAUAAGGCAUUGAUUAGGAAAAUGCAAGAGCAAAGAAGAAAAUUUUAUCCGUAAGUCAUACUCCAUUGUUCGAAACAUUCACCAUGCAACGAAGACCAAGUAAAUCAACCAGGUGGGUUUAACAGCAUUAACAAAUAUCAUAACACAUUCUCCAAAGGUACACAAGAAGCACCAUAUAGCAUCUGCGCCGUGCUUGUGCGCUUAAUUUCACCAACCAAGAUUUGAAAAUUUGACGCAACAGCACGAGAAACCAACACUAGCAGAUUAAAUCAAGUGAAAUUCCUACUGUCUAAACAAUGUUUAGUUAAAAAAAAUAAUCCUAGUGCCAAAUGUUAAGAAACAUUGCAACCAAAGAACACAAAAUUUCCGAACCUUUCACUCGACCGAGCCCUUCCAAGGACUUCGAUUUAAGCAAUAUCGCUUCAAGAAGCAAACUAACCGAAUGCAUUGACAUUAAACUCGACUGCAAAUCCCCCCCCUUGGCACGACCCUUACGCCUAAAUCUCUCUGAGAUAGCUUUAAUCAUCCUAGGCCUCAAACCUCGAAUAUCAAUACCCUCAAACACUUGCAAUGCUGCGUUAAAAUUUCCCCGCUGAUACUCCAACCGGCCCAAUAACGCCCUGGCUUCCUAUUGUACGAAAGUUUUCAUACAAAAUCAAUAAUAAGAAUUAAUGCCAACUUGCGCAAAAAAUUAGUUUAAGAGAAAAGGACCUCAUAAUUCAAUGAUAUGGUUUCUCUUAGCGCAGAUUCAACAUCGUCUACUUCGCUAUUAUCAUCAAACUUCGAUUCCCGAUCUCCAGUCCUCGACGACGAGAGGCAACUUACAGAGAAGUCCCUCGUCGCGAGGGACUCCGGCGACCGGGGUUUGUCCUCAAAUUGAAAAUGCUCUCCACUACAAGUGCACAACAUGGUUUACAGAUACAACUCUCUUCUUCUUUCCCCUGUAGCAUCAAGUAGUAAGCAGCAUUGGGUAUAUCUUGGUUUUCCAAAUUCUUUGGGUAUUUUCCUGAAAAAAUCCCAUUUUUAACAGAUCAAAGGAUCUGAACACAUUACUGGAUCAAUAACCUGAGCAGAAAUAAAGUUUCUAAAUUAGAAAUGAAACAUCUUAAUAUAUACCAACGUAAACCUAAUUGUAAAAAAAAAAAAAGUUUGAUAUAAAAGGAAUCAAAAAUAUUUCCAAUUAAUCUAGCAAAACAAACUAAAAAAAUAAAAAUAAAAGCCUAAAUCGAGCAUAUGAUCCAACAUUUCGAAGAACCCAAUUGAGAAAACCACAAGAAGAGGAAACCAAUGCAAAUCCACAUCUUAUGUACAAGUUUAAGUCCAAAAGCAAAACUAAUUGCUUAAUAUAAAAGGAAUCAAAAACAAUUCCAAUUACUCAAGCAAAAUAAAACAACAAAUUAAAAGCCUAAAUCGAGCAUAUAAUCCAACAUUUCGAAGUACCAAUUUGAGAAAACCACAAGAAACUUCGAGGAAACCAAUGUACACAACAUGUUUAGCCCCAUUUACAGAGUAUAAAUCGUGUAAACAACGAAAGAACACAAAACACACCAUUUUUCAUUUUUUUUAAAAAAACGGAGAGAACAAGAACCAGUUAUGGAAAUUCGCAAAUGUCCAAAAUAAAUUAAAAUUUUUUUUACCGUCGAAAGCAAUUUGACGAGGCAAUUUGACGAGACAACUUGACGAGACUAUGACAACGAAGUGACACAAAGAAGAACACAAAACACCAACAAAAGCUACGGGACAGAUAUUGACGAGCAGGAAAAAGAAAAAGAAAAAAAGUUACAGGCGAAACUCUUCUGUAGUAUUUCCUCUAGGAUUGAUCAAAUAAUUAAGGGAAAAGUUCAAAUACCCCACGUGGUUUCGUACUUUUUCAGUUUAAUACUUUACAAUUCCAAGCGUAUUAAGUUAAUAUUUUUUCGUUUUGCACUUUCUUAUUUUAAUAUUAUGUGAUUUCAAGUAUAUCAAAUUAGUACCCUAUGAUUUCGCACUUUCUCACUUUAGUACCUUGUGGUUUCAAGUGUAUUAAAUUAGUACCCUAUGGUUUCAUACUUUCUCACUUUAGUACCAUGUGGUUUAGUAUUUCGUUAAAUUAUAUGCUCCGAAAUGGAUAAUAAAAAGAGAAAAUUGAAACCACAGGAUACUAACUUGAUACAAAAAUAAAAUCACAGGAUACUUACUUGAUACACUUGAAACCACAGGAUACUAAAGUGAGAAAGUGCGAAACCACAUGGUACUAACUUGAUACACUAGAAACCACAGGAUACUAAAGUGAGACAGUGCGAAACCACAAGGGGGUAUUUGAAGUUUCCCCACUAAUUAAUUAAUGUAAAAUGAUUAAAUAGCUUUUUUUUUCGUAAACUUUAAAUAUCAUUUUUAUAAUUUCUUACUUUUUUUACUUUAAUAAUAUGUGAUUUAAAGUGUAUCACUUUCGUACUCUAUAAUUUUUUUUUUUUAAGAAAAACUUCAAAUACCACCCUUAUGGUUUCGUACUUUCUCACUUUAGUACCAUGUGGUUUAAAGUGUAUUAAUUUAGUGUUCUGUGAUUUUAUUUUUAAAGUGAAUAUUUAAAAAACGUAGGCGUGGUAUCUGAAGUUUUUUGUAUUUACUUUAACGAAAUAUUAACGAAGAAGCUGACGAAAAUAGAAAAAUAAAACCACAAAGCACUAAAUUGAUAUACUUUAAACCACAGGGUACUAAAGUGAGAAAGUACGAAACCACAGGGGUGGUAUUUGAAGUUUACCCUUCUCUUUUUGUUAUUCUCUCUCCACUAUAUUUUUUUAUUAAAUCAGUGAUAAAAUUAAAACUAAAGGGUACUAAAGUGAAUGUUCGAUAAACUAGAGGUGAGGUAUUUGAAAUGUUUUGUAUAUGAUUUAACGAAAAGUUAACGGGGAAGCUGACGAAAAGAAAGAAUAAAAUCACAAGGUACUAAAUUGAUACACUUUAAAUUAUGUGGUACAAAGUGAAAAAGUGCGAAACCACAUGGGUGGUAUUUGAAGUUAACCCUUUUUUUGUUACAAAUGUACCGAAUUUAUCUUAACUAUGAAUCAUUUUGACUCUGCUGUCCAACCUACUAAAAUUUUAAUUUUAUUGGAUAAUCUUUCAUUUUAUUUGAUUUGAGUCGGCUAAGAGCAGCUUGACUUCAAAAUUUAAAUAUAUUGUUUAUCUUUAUAUAUUUAAUUAGUAUAUUUUAUAUAAUUUUUACAAUUAUAAAUUCGUUAAAAUAAAUAAUUAACUUAAAUUUGAAAGUCAAAGUGUUGUUGACAAUCUCAAUUCAAAUAAAUUGAAUUGGAUAGUAAAAAUAAAAUUUUAGAAAAUUUAAAUAGCAAACUCAAAAUGAUCUAUAAUUUAGAUCAGUUUGGUAUGUUUAAUUUUUCUUUUUCUAAUACAAAUUCCUCUGUAUUUUUUGGGAAUUAAAUAAGUGGAGGUGGAUUGUUAGGGUUUUUUUUAUUUUUGGUAAAAAUAUAUGAAAAACCCCUCACUUAUAGACCAAUCUGAAAGAGAUUCAUAAACUUUUUUGUUUCAAAUUUUAUAAUUUUUUUGAAAGUUUAAAGAGGGGCGGUAGAAUAAUAAUACAUUAGAAUAUUUGCCACCGUUUAGUGCAAUUUAAACAAAAGUUUACUUGUUAGGAUAUUUCUAAAUAUUUUUGAAAAUUGAAGAAACAUUUGUGAUAUUAUAAUUAUUUUGUGGGGGUGAAAAGAGUAUAAGCCUGCAUAUAGUAAUUUUUUGGGAAAACUUCAAAUACCCCCAUGUGGUUUCAUUUUUUCUCACUUUAGUACCCUGGGUUUAAAGUGUAUCAAGUUUGUUCCAUGUGGUUUUGCACUUUUUCACUUUAGUACUCUUUGGUUUAAAGUGUAUCAAGUUAGUACCCUGUGGUUUCGCACUUUAUCACUUUAGUAUCCUGUGGUUUAAAAACCACAGGGUACUAACUUGAUACAAAAAUAAAAUCACAAGGUACUAACUUGAUGCAAAAAUAAAACCACAGAGUACUAACUUGAUACACUUUAAACCACAUAGUACUAAAGUGAUAAAGUGAUAAACUAUAGGGUACUAACUUGAUACACUUUAAACCACAGGGUACUAAAAUAAAAAAGUGCGAACCACAGGGGAGUGUUUUGAAGUUUUCCCUAAUUUUUUCUUAAUAUUUUUUUUGGCAUGAAAAGUUUUGUAUUUUAUUACAUUAUCAUAGGAUUUCUCUAAUUAGGACAUUAUGGGUGUACAAUGAGGGAGAAAUUAUUGCCUCCAUUGGAUGUACAACUACACCACUCCCUAAAUAUACAAUAGAAGAGAAUUUAAAAUUUAAAAUUAUUUUAUUAUUUUUUUAUAAUAUUUUUUUAAAAUUAUUUUUACAAAUUUUAAAAAGUUGAACAUUUUUUAUAUUACCUAAAAAGUAUUUAUUUCUAUAUUGUUGAUUUUAUUUCUGAGAUUACUAAUGUCUAGCUAAUAGGCUUUCAAAAUAUAUAAUUUACCUAAUUUUUAUAUGUAUAUCAGCUUAUAUUUUAAGUUUAAAUUAGGCCAUUUUGUAUUUAAAAAAAUAUUAGUUUUGUAUUUUUUGAAAUGUGGAUUAGUUUUUUUUUAUUUGUUUCAGAUUCAAUCUGAUUUUUUUGAUCGAAAUUCUCCUAUUUUCUCUCUACUUUCUCUCUUUCUCCUCCUACUUCCUCUCAGAGGACGAUGAUUAAGCUUGAUUCCUCGUUGCUGUGGCCGUUCUUGGUGUUCUCGGACAAGAUCAUCGUGGGAGGAACGGGGGUGGCACCGGUCGGAGCGUUGCUAGAGACAGAGUUUGCAGAGGAGGAGGCGACGAUCGCUGGUUGAGGAUACUACCAAAACAAGUUCGUGAGCGAGUUGAGCGUGACCACGGAAGCAGGAUGGCUAUGGUAGUGAGAAAGAACAUCAGGUGAGCGAUAUGUUGUUGCACUAUUUUAUUAAAAAUUGCACUAUUUGUAUUUAAUAAGAAAGUUGUAUUAUUUGAUACGUAAAAUAAACUAUAAAUUAAUACAACUUUUUUGUCAAAUAGUAUAAUAUAUGUUUAAAUAGUACAACAUUGCAUUGUUCAUCAAAUUUUUUUCUUUUACUACUGCCACCACCUUGCUGUCAUCGGCAAUGCUUGCGAACAAAUUUCGAAAGCAUUCUCGACUAGCGAUCGUCACCUUCCUUCUAAAUCACCUCGGUCUUCAUCUCCGAUGAAACUAUGAACAACCAUGACGACAAACUGGUCAAGUUUAUCAUCUUUCUUUCACUUGUGAGGCAGGAACGGUGACAGAUAAGAAACACAAGAUGAACAUGAAUUGUAUAGUAGUUUGCUUAGUUUAAUAAAGUAAUAGUAGUAAAAAAAUGUAUUAAUAUUUUAGAAAAGUUAAGUAGCUCAACAAAAAGGAAUUGAUAUGUAAUAAAUGAUGGUGCAUCAAAUAUAUACAUACACGGGGUGUAGGGACUACAUUUUCAUAAAAUUUGGACUAAUAAGGAGUUGGCACGUGCCCACUCCGGCCCACCCCUCUCUGAACACCACGAGGCGCACUCGACGGAGCAGUUAGUGGAGGUGGGAUGAGCUCUCGAGCAUGCAAAUGGAUCUGGGUUGGUGGAGCGCCUGCUCUUAUCCAUUUCGAAUGGGACGGUAAAUGAGAAUUAAAUAUAAAAAAAAUAUAAUUUGUUCUUAAUUCAUCUUGAUUCGUCAAGUAAAUCUAGUGAAAGGCGAAAGAUUUUUUUCUUCCUUCAAUCAGUUUUGACCCGUCAAAAAUUCUUCAAAAAUUCGCUUCUGUUCUAAUCCGUCCCGAAUGAGACGAUAAGUGAGAGCCAAAAAUAAAAAAUAAUUCGUCCCGAAUCUGCCUCGUCCCAAUAAAAAAUGAAGCAAAAGGUGAGAGAAUUCUCUCGCCCCAGGAUCCGUCCCGUUUGUAUCCCUACUCUCGAGGCUGCCAUCAUCAGCGACGUAGAUAUGUGAGGAGGGAGCAAAGGGGUAAAAGAUUUGAGAGUUCAAAACACACAAAUAUUUUCAUUAGUUUUUAAAAAACUCAAUGUAAAUCUUAAAAAAAAAAAUCGAUUUUUAUAAAAAUACAAAUUAAUAAAUUUUUUAAGCGGAAAAAGCCUUUAAAUUAUUAUGCAAUGUAAACAUACCCAAUGUGUAGUAAAAAAAAUUCUCAUGAAAUGGAGGGAAAUUAUACAUCAUUGUGUAGGGAUGUUGGAAUGAUUUCCAAGUCAAAGGCAUUCAAACUUGGUUUGACUAGUGAGUGGUUUCUUUAUGAGAGAAGGUGUAUGGUGAGACACUUUUUUCUUUUUUUUUUUAUUUUUUCUUUUUUUUUAAUUUCUUUCUCUUUUUAAAUUGAGGAAAGUGAUUAGACAUAUCAAUAUUUUUAAAACCUUUGUUCAAAACUGCUGCCCCUCACUUGGCUUUUGGGUUAUUUUAUGGAUAAACUUCAAAUAACCCCUUAUGGUUUCACAUUUUUUUCACUUUAGUACUUUAUGGAUUAAAGUGUACCAAGUUAGCUCCUAUGGUUUCGCACUUUCUCACUUUAGCAUUCUGUGAUUUAAAGUGUAUCAAGUUUAGAGAUGUCAACGGGUCGGAUUCGGGGCGGAUUUUUAAAAACCCGAACCCGAACCCGACUCCAAACCCGAGACCCGAACCCGAAUCCGAACCCGACGGAUUUUAAAAAUCCAUAUCCAAACCCGAACCCGACCAAAAAUCCGAAACCCGAACCCGAACCCGAACCCGAAAAUUUGAACCCGAAACAAUUAUUUCAUUUUUCAAUAUUUCAAAAUAUAUUAUAUUAAAUUUAAAAUUUUAAAAUACAAAUUCAAAUAUAACAUCAAAUUUUUAUAUAUAUAUUAUAUAUAAUACAAAAUAAAUUCGGAUUCGGGUCGGGUUCGGGUUCGGGUACUGUGGUUUCAUUUUUUUUUUUUAUCCAUUUUACUAAUUUUUUUUGUUAAAUUAGUGGCAAAGUUAAAAUUAAAUGGUACUAAAGUGAAUAUUUGAUAAAUCUAGGUAGGAUAUCUAAAAUUUUUUGUAUAUAAUUUAACAAAAUAUUAACGGAGGAAAAAAAAAAUCAGUGACAAAGUUAAAACUAAAAGGUACUAAAAUAAAUAUUCGAUAAACUUAGGUGGGAUACUAAAGUUUUUUGUAUAUAAUUUAAUGAAAUAUUAACAGAGGAGCCGAUGAAGAGAGAAAAAUGAAGCCACAUGAUACUAAAUUGAUAUGCUUUGAACCACAAGGUACUAAAGUGAGAAAGUACGAAACCACAUGAUACUAAAUUGAUACAUUUUAAAGCACAGGGUACUAAAGUAAAAAAAGACAAAAUUACAGAGAUGGUAUUUGAAGUUUUUUCUUAUUUUAUUAAGCACAUUCCAUAAAUUACCCAUCUAAAUUCUAUUGCAUAAGUUUCAAAAUUAAAUCUUUACAUAUUAAAUAUAUUUUAAAAUAUUGUUUAAAGGCUUAAUUAAAUUAUACUAUAUUAUACUUUAUAAAUUCUUUCCACUUCCAAAGCUUUACUUUUUGAAGCAUCAUUCCAAUUUUUUCUUUUUUCUUUUCAAUUCCUACACUAUAACUAAUAGAUUUAUAAUUUUAUAUAAAAUCUGUUAAAAAUAGCAAAGCAUAUAUUUCAUUCAUUUUGACAUAAAAUAAUAAAAUAUAUAAAAAUAACAAAAGAUAAUUAAAAAUAUAGAUUUAACGAGUAUAUCAUAGAGUUUUAUUUUAUUUUUUUUACUAUUUAACUAGUACCGCUUAAUAAAGUCUCUAAAUUUUAUCUAAAAUGUUAGAUUUGUUAAUAGUGGUAUAGAGAUUGUCGAGAAAAAAAAAUAAUUUAGAGAUAUGAGAAAAUAAAAUAGUAUCAGCUAGAAUUAAAAAUAACAAUAAAUCUAAAAUAUAUUGUAGAUACUGAUAAAAUAAAUAAAAAUAAUGCUAAAGUAUAGUGUAAUAAAAUAUAAUUAAGACUUGUUUAAAAAUAUACAACAUUUACCUAAACCAUGGUCCAUUUUGAAUCUACUAUCCAAUCUUUCAAAAUUUUAAUUUUUCUAUUCGAUGUUUCAAUUUAUUUGAGUUUACUCGAUCAACAGUAUACUUACUCCAAAUUUUAAAUACGUCAUUUAACUUUACAUUAUUAAUUAAUAUAUUUUAUGUAAUUCUAGUAACUAUAAAUUCUCAGAGUAAAUAAUCAGUCUAAAAUUUAAAUUCAUAUCAAAUAAAUUAAAGGAUUAUAUAAUAAAAAUAAAUUUUUUAAAAAUUGAAUAGUCGGUCAAGUUACAUAUAAUUUUACCAAACCAGUAAAAAAAAAUAAAGAAACAAAAUAUAGAAAAACUGACAGCUAGUUGGAAGCAUAGUUAGUUAAUUCGGAUUCGGCAAAAAUGUGGUACAGAUAUAAUACGCAUAAAAUUUAUUUUCUAAUUUUUAAAUUCGUUAAAAAUUCAGCUUAAAAAAUAGUUUCGGUAUAAAAUAUAAAAUAUAAGAUGAUCUAUAUUUAAACAUAAAAAUUAUAAGUUUUUUAUUUAGAUUUUUAAUAAUUUGUGAAUAAUUUAUGAAUUAUUCGGCUGGUCCAAAAAUUCGCGAAUAAUUUUCUUUAAAAAAAAAAAUUCGUAAAAGAAUCGUUUAAUUUGAUUUUUUAAUAAUUUACGAAUAAUUUACGAAUUAAUUAAUAAAAAUUAAAAAAGUAAGUCAAUUAUAUCUAUCUAUUUGUAAAAAAAUUUAUAAUAAAAAAAUUUAUAAACUAUAAUGAAACGUGUCAAUUAUUCAAAAAAAAUAUUUUUAUUAGUUCACAACAUCAUGUCAUGUCAGUAAUAUAUCGGCAUUCUAGAUUUUUUGGGGAAUCAGAGAGCCCGUUUAAAGGCGAGGCUGACGGGGCACUGUCACUGCCGAUAGCACAAAUUAAAAAUCUCGUCACCGAAAGAACGUGACCUUGCACGGCAUCCAAUUGAAAUCGAAAGUACGGAAUCGAAAUAAUUUUGUCGAAGCUAAAAAAGAACUUCCUCCUCCCACAGUCGGUCAAAAAAUUUUCUUCCUACCGGUCAGGCUUUUUCAGUUCAAGUAAUGUUAUAUCCACCUUUUCGCACCUAAAAACUAUGGACUACUACCAGUAGGGAUGUCAAUGGUUAUAGAUCCCAAAAUUUUAUCCGAAUUCGAAUCCGAAUAAAACGAAUAUAUCCGAUAAAUAUGAAUAUAAAAAAUAAAAAUCCGACGGAUAUGGAUUUUGAUUGUACCCGACCCGACCCAAACCGAACUCAAAUUUAUUUUGUAUUAUAUAUAAUAUAUAUAUAUAAAUUUGAUGUUAUAUUUGAAUUUGUAUUUUAAAAAUUUAAAUUUAAUAUAAUAUAUUUUGAAAUAUUGAAAAAAGAAAUAAUUGUUUCGGGUUCAAAUUUUCAGGUUCGGGUUCGGAUUCGGGUUUCGGAUUUUUGAUCGGGUUCGGGUUUGGAUAUGAAUUUUUAAAAUCCGUCCGGUUCGGGUCUCGGGUUUGGAGUCGGGUUCGGGUUCGGGUUUUUAAAAAUCCGCCCCGAAUCCGACCCGUUGACAUCUCUAACUACUAGGCUAAGGCUUCGUUUUGGAAUUGCGAAAAAAUUGCAUUACGUGCGGUGAGAAACGAUGAUGAAAAAAUACUCUGUUUAUUUUCGUACUUAAUAUUACGUUUCGCAUAUCGCGAUGAGUUGGUUGCGAUAUAUUUUCUGCGGUCCCACCGGAGAACGCAGAAGCAUAUAACUAUAUACUUUUUCCUCUACUCCAUUUUAUCUAAUAACGUUAGAUAGACCUCAAUACCAAACUAAGCUUAAAUUAUAUGUAAAUUAUUUCUACCCACAUCCGUUUUUUUUUUUUUUAAUUUCUAGUUUUUAAAAAUUUUUAUUUAAUUCCUUUAAAAAAUAAAAAAUAUUUACUGGAUGUAAGGCAAUAAUUGUAACAACGAAAUGAUCAAAUUAUCCUCUUUCUUUUCGUCUCCUUUCUAAUCUUGCUUCAUCCUUCUUCCUCUUCUUCGUCCUUCACUCCUUCUUUGGGCCCAGCUCCGACGUCGCUUGCUCCUACUUGCUCGACCUGCUCUCUCUGCUCCUCCUGCACUUCUGCCGCCCCUCCAUUUGGUGACGGUGGGGAUAAGGUCGGUGGGGUGGGUGCGGAUGGAGGGUGGGCGAGGGCAUGAAUGUAGCUGCGGAAUGAAGGGAUGGGCGAGGGCGAGGGCGAGGGUGAGGCGACGGAAGAGGGCGAGGCGACACGACCAAGGACGUCCUUAGUGAGAAGGGAGGCGGCGCCACUAUAAGGACAGAUAUAGGAUAUUUUGAGUAUAAAAAAAUAUAUAAUAAUAAAAAUAUAGAUAGGGAUCCGAAAUGAAUAUUUUUUUUAUUUUAUAAAAAGGUAAAAUAUAUGAAGAGAAAAAGUAAAAAAAUAAUAUUGGCAGAAAAAUUUUCUGUAAUUUAACCAAACUUCUAUUUUCACACUAAUGAUAUUCAUCAUUUUUAUAAUAUUUAAAAUCUAAAAAUUAUGUCUUCUAACUUCCAAAUGGGUGAGAGUACUCUAAUUUUCAGUGAUCAAGUAACAUUUAUAUUCUCUUUUGUUUGGCUUUUAUUAUGUCAGCGAAUCUAUGUACCACCACAUUUUUGGACUCUGCAUAUACACUAACAUAUUAAUAAUUCAUAAGAAGAGCAUUUGCUAAAGAGACUCAAAACAUGCUUUAUAUUGGAUAAAAUUCUAGUUGAAAGCUUUCCAACAAUGGCUAGUUAAAAAAUUCACUAGAUGCGUUCUAAUAUUCAAACUCAAAAAAAAAAAAAACAAUUCAAACUUCAAGAGAAAAACAAAACUAGCCCAUGGCUGUAAAUUAGGGGCCCUUUGUAGAGCUUCCCAAUAAAGUUUUUUUUUUUUUCCCUUCAUAUUCCAUACAACGGUUUUCUACAAAAUUUGAAGUGUUAGCAAAUCUAUACAACAACUUGAACAAUGUCAAUAUAGAAGGUUAUAGAAGGUCAUAGUGUGCGAAUUUUAAAAAAUUUAAGCCCCCUCCCCUAGUGAGAGUACCACCAUAAUUCCUGGAUACUUCAACCAAUCUGUGUCCACAAUUUUAUGAAUCGGUCAUGAGGCAUAAAUCAGUAAUAAAGUUUCACUUGGAAUUUGUCAAGCUAUUAGAUAACUGAUGAUAGUAACUAUGGAUUUUGAUACUCUUGUAAGUUGUCAAUCCACUCUUAAGGCAUGAACUUUUAACUACAGAAGAGAACCAAGUUUAACAUUCCCAACUGAACAUUCAGCAACUUGCCUUUCCAUACAGCAAAUGGAAAGCCAGUUUCAGUUACAAUGUUUUCUGAUUUUCUUCAAAUGUCAUAAAUUUGUAUGUGAGAAAUCAAUUAAUGUUCGUGAGAAAGAAUUAAAAAGGUGAGACAACAGCUGAUUGAGAAUGGUACCGAGGUUGCAAGUUGAAAGUAAAUCAUGUAUAGAUCAAGUAGUUGCAAAAUUAUCUUAGAGGUUUUUUCUUCUUUUUAUUCUUUCGGAUAAUGAAAACUCAUACUUGGAAAACUGGGGCAGCUUACACUUCACAUAAGCACAGUUGCAGAGAAUUUUUUUUUCUUUUUUUUUUGUCCUGUAAUUCCUGCUAUAGGCGAAUCUUCUUUGCCUUUAUUCGCUUGACAGCCAUGAAAGUCACAGCAGCUGAGAGAGAGUACCUGAUGAUGACAAAUAACCUAACUUGAUCAAUUUAAAAUACAGUGAAUGAUUUACAAGCGUACGAUUACAAUUGUACAUGCUAAAGUUUCAUGAUCAAUAUUUGGAACAAAAGACUUUUACGUAAUAGGAUGCUACUCAAGAAACUAGGACGAGAGUAAGAAAUUACCAUAACUAUAAAAUAUGCAUACCGGCACAUGGAACGAAAAAUGAAGUUCUAUCCUACCAUUCCUAGGUGAAACAAAGAUUAUCCUCAAUUUGUUUUCAAAACAUUGCUUGCACAGUUAUCCUAUUCAAAUAGCAUGGGGCUAGAUAAUAAAGGCAUUCCCCAUCGAUGAAACAGAUACCACGACCUCCACAUCCUUGAGGCAGUAUACAAAACCUUUGUGGACCUUACCCCACAGCCUGAGGACGGUUGUAUACAAAUCUAUUGGUCGCAUUAAAUUAGAGGGAGUCUGUUUCAAGUGGCAAUCAGCUAGAUGACACAACCAAUGUUACCAAUCUAUCCUUCUCAACCCAUUUGCUCCACAUCCUUAUGGCAGAGUCCAGAAGUCCCUCACACGGCCCAACUGCCACUGCACACAACUAACUGUCUGAUUUUAUUCGCAACAGUUUUUGCGACAUCAAUUAUUUUCCAGCUGACUUACGAUUCUUUUCCAAUAUCCAGUUUAAUCCAAGUUUAAUCCAAGGAUUUACUAGUAGUCAACCCAUUAUGCAGGGAUCAUGCCAGUGGGAAGGGAGAACUCCAGGGAAGUGAAGUGGAUCAAUAUUUUACCAUUAGGUAAGGUGCUAUGCAUGUCAUACUAUUGAGUAACUUUAGAUAACACAGAUUCACAGAAUUCUCCUAGAUAACACAGAUUCACAGGAUUCUCCUCUACGCUCACAUAACACAUAAAAGAAUAGAGGAAACAAAUAUGGCUCCUCUUACAUUCCUAACAGAGUUUUCUUGUAACAUGUCCUAAAGUCUUCAAAGGCCAAAGAUAACCAAUACAAUAACAACUCUAGAUCUUAGCUUCACAUUGUUCUGACAAAUGAAGAAACCUCCUUCAAAUGCAUACUAUUUCACUAUUGAGUUAUCCCUUGCUACAAUGACAAAGAAAGAAGUAUAUAUUUUAAUAGUGGGAUUUUUCCUGGUCACAAAGGCAUUUAAAGUGAUCAAAACAUCACUUAUACAUAUUUGCAUAUUCAAACCGAACUUACCACUUCUCACCUUGACAAGCCUUUACCUUUGCAAAAGACAAAAUUCCACAUGCGCUAUAGAUCCAAUAGUCAACAUGUUGAUAUUAAACAAGUUUUUCUGUCCACAAACUAAGUUGAUAACCAAAUUAUCCAGUUAGAACAAGAAUAAUCAGAAAUUAUACAUGAUUAUUUAAUAACAAAUCCCAUCUUUUAAAAGAUAUUGCAAAACAAGAUUAUCAAUCUAUCAAAGAUAAAAACACAUUUGUUACUACAGUACGGUCUCCCAGCUGGAAGACCACAUAAAGACCUUACCAAAAAAAACUACAAAACAGACAACAGCUUUAUCAUUCUAGUUGAACCGAUAGAGUAAGCUUCUCUAAAAAAUGCACUCUAUAUAGUUGACAAAGAAAAGAAUAAAGUCAUCAGAUAUGCUACAGUUAAGUUACAAAGAAAACUACACGGCUACCUGAUAAGGCAAAAUUGAGUUUUUAUAAAUUUAUCAAAUGUAUAAACUGAAAAAUGAGAUGCAUGACCAAGUGAAGUCAGAAACAAAUUCAUAAAACCAAUUAAGGGAACAACAUACCACGUUAGUGUAUAAUUGAGGUGGUCCUGUGGCAUGACUGAAUGACGAAUUAAGGUGUUCACGUCUUUUGGAACAGGAUAAGGAUUCGUGGCAUUGGCAUCCUCGUUAAUGUCUUCUAUAUAAACAGUAUUCUCUGGAAGACCACAGGUAGAUGCAAUCAUGGGAGCAUCAACAUAAAACCACUGGCCAGUACUGGGAUCAUUUGCUGGAACAAAUAUGCUUGGCUUUUCACUUCCUCGGAUAACGCCUAAAACUUUUACAGUAGGAGUAAUAGGCUCUUCAGCCUACAAGCCCAAAAAUGCCAUUUGACAAACAUAAGUAAAUUAAAGUAAGCUUUCGAGUGCUUGCAUUAAUUAAAAGGAAAGUCUAAACUCCUUAUAACACACUAAGCAACUGCAUCAAACAGAACAAAGAGUAUGAUUUGCUCUAAUAAGUCUGAAUAUAGGAAUAUACAGGCAAAAGAAAGUUGACAUCAUAAAAAAGAAAAGAUAAAACUAAGCAAUUUAGGAAAGGGUUUCUAGAUGUUAGACUGUUGCAUGACCACCCAAAUUUACUGAAAUCUCCAUAUGGCCAGAAAGGCAAGGAAGAAGAGUCAAUGAGAGGGAGAAGUUGGCAUGAAAAGUCACAGAUCUGGCAAUCAAUUAGUAUCCCGAAAUAAUUUCAAAAUAUAUAUUAUCAGUAUUUCUCAAAACUGGACUGCAAGGGAAGAUAGCACAAUACAACAAAACAUAAACAGAAAAAUGGAAGGAGCUACUUUUAUAUACUGCUCCACAAAAGGGACAAAUGCCAAGCAGGCAUGUCUUUUCCUACAAUGUAAUUUAAUUUAAAAACUAUUUUUGUAUUUUGCGCGUAACAAAGAAGAGUGUAAAAUUAACAGGGUUUAAUAGAUAAUCAAGAAAAGGAAUAGAAAGAAAAAAAAAAUCAACACAUGCAACUCCAUUUGCCUAUCCUCAAAUUCCUACACUCCUCUCUUAGAGUUUCUAAUCAAUUGAAUCACACCUUUGGCUAUGGUUUGAUUUGCUUCUAAACCUCCUAGAUGAUAUAUCAUUACUUAGCUUUUGACCAUGUUCUGCAAUUUUGCCUCUCCACAACUCCUCUCUUAAGCUCCGUCUCUAGAUAUAUUCAAGAUUUUCCAUCUAAAUAGAGUAUACAGGCACAAAAUGGCUUGUAACGUGUUUCAACUCAGUUUCAGAUAAUAUAGAGUAUCCAAACAUUUUGAUGCACAUAGAACUACCAGGGUAACUACAUCAGAUUACAAAGUUACCAGCAGUUUAAUAAAGACUGAAAAAAUAAAAAUAAAAACCCUACUAAAUGAAAGGUAAAUAACAAAUAAUCAAUUAUAACCUUCGAAACUGUAGGCUUCUUAGACCAAAAUCUCCACCAGGCACCUUCCCCAUUUGGCGUGAUGUCAGCUUCUUUUGAUUCUAAAGCUUUCUCAAGAUUCUCUGAAUCUUUUAUAUUCUUGUCACGCCAGCCUCUAGGAACCCAUCCUCUGUUAACAAGGACGGGUGUCUGCAAACUGACAAAAUAUUAAGUAAAAGAUUAUACUGGAAAAAGGAAAUAGGUUAGGCCAUGAAAUAACUCAUUGACGAAAGACAAAAAGUCGUACUUAAUACAUGCGAUAAGUGGAAUGAUCUAGUAGUAGUACCCUGUUUGCGGUGUUUGAUCUACCUAAUAUAAUUUAUUGAUGUUUAGAAUCAAGUUUAAUUCAGAAGGGACAGAACACAGUAAUCGCAUUAACCACUUUAAGAAGGCAGUGCUUAGAGCCUGUUUGGUCCGACCAGACAUUCUAGAGAAGUUUGCCUGAGACAUCAGUAAAGCCACUCAAAGCCACAAGCUUAUUCAUUACAAACUCUCCAAUGGCAGUGUGCAGCAGCAGAAGCAGAAACUUCUGUUUCAGGGUCCAAAUAGAAUAAAGGCUAACCUUUAGAUCCAUCACAUGUAACAACUCUGAUCCAUCUCAGGAAACACUUACUUGAUGAAAGAAAAUGUUGGCUUCUUGGGAACCAAUUAAGGUAUAUACAACCUUGCUAUGUUAUUCCAGGUUAUGAGCACAAACUAAGGUUAUAUACAGCUUUCCUAUGUAUUGCUGCAUAUAGUUACAAACUUUACAGAAAAAUCGCAUCAAGGAUGGGUUGCUGCACAAAUCCUCGAUAGGUUGGUAACCUUCCUAAACCAUUUAUACUCAUCCCUCUUCCAUGUUUCUAAAUGCCUGAGUACAGAGUUUUUUGCCAUAAUCGUAACAGAAGGAUUUUGCUUUCAUUGAGCUUUUCCAAUAUGCUAUUCUUACGACCCAUUAGAAAACUGGGGGCAAAAAACCACAAGUAGAGCACAGUUUGUGCAGGGUUACAAUGUUGGAAGUUAAGACAUUCCCUUUGUAACAUAUGAUGGAUUAAAAAGUAGCCAUGUAUUGCUUUUCUUUUCCCCAAUAUUUGGUUAUGCAAAUUAAUUAACAUCAAAUCAACUAAUAGAUUUUAUAGUCAAGCGAUCCAGUGACUACAAGUUCACCACAAUGUAGGGUACUGAACGAUUCCUAUUGAAUAUAACGUGAAUAAUUCCACCAAGUAAUGCAAUUCUAACGACUUAAUUCUACAAUUAUUUAUAAACCAUGCAAUUCAAUGGUUAGAUUUCUUUCUUAUCUUGUGAAUCAUGCCUGUGCAAACCUAACAAUUAAAUAAAGCCAUUGUUUGCAUCCUAGACGCUGGUAAAAUUUAGCCGUAAGUAUAACAACACACUUCAACAACAUAAGCAGCUAUAUCCUUUCAUAAUGCCUCCAAGACAACUUGCUAAAUGAAUAAAAAGGCGAACAAUUACAAAAAUUAGAAAGAAGUUUCAACAACAUCCAUUCAUCCAGAAGCAAAGGAUAUCAAUUUUCCAUCCCAUAAGUUACCUGCCAUGCCCAGUUGCUCUCGGAACCAAUGGAGUAAUGACAUAAUACCCAUUCUCUGUCACUCCCGAAAUGCUCCGAGAACGCGGCCCGACAUAUAUCGACUUGCUCUCGUCGAAAUAACCCUCGCAAACAACCCUCCUGAACUCCAAGGAAGCCAAAUCCUCGCCUGUCGAAGGCCCCUCAUUCCACAUUAUGGGUUCCAUCUCCAAUCUCUUCUUCCUGUAAUCCAACAUCUCCAUCUGGAGAACAAAACCCAGCAAACCUAAUCCCGAUUAGAGCAAAGAUCCCGUCUCAACACUGUAUGAGGCAUUUCAUCAAACAGGUUACCUUCUCCUGCCUCCUGAAGAGUUGCCACGUCCCAAGGCCAAAAGUGAUGGCGCCGGGGAGGAAAAGAAACAGUUUCGACCAUAUUCCCCUUUCUUUCUCUGUGAUCCACACCCACACCCACCCACCCACCCACACACACACGUGAGAGACUAGGGCACCGAAAUGGUCCAAGUAGAAGAGAUAAACGGAUAGAGAAGCGAACCUUGCGACGGAGAUGGAGAUGCCGCAGUGGCGGAGGAGGAGGCNUGGUGGCGGAGGAGGAGGAGGAGGAGGAGGAGGAGGAGGAGGAGGAGGUGAUGGUGAUGGGAGAGAAGUGGAGAAGGGGGAAAAAGAGGGGAAGAGAGGGGAGCGGCGAGGAAUGGGGGGGAGGAGUUUGUGGGGUUUUAGGGUUUUGGAGAGCAGGAAGAAGAAGGCCAUUGGGACGCUUCUUUAAGCUGAGGCAUGCUCUAUGUAUCCUCUUGAGCUCUCCGUGCUCCCAUGGCGUUUGACCCUUUUAACACUUUAAACUCCCCCUUUUUUUUAAGAGGCUAAAAUACAUAAAAUCUCAUUAAAUACCCUUUUUUUUUUCUUUUUUUUUUUUUUACUUUCAAAAAAUUAUAUUUAAUUUUUAAACUUUCAGAAGAUUGUCUAUUAAUAAAAAGGACAAUCAAAUUAUUUUUACUUAUUUUAUAAAAAAAAUUAUAAUAUAUUACUGUUAUUUUUAAAAUAUUUUUUAUAUAAAUUAUAAAAAAAUCGACAAAAUAGUGGCAGAACUUUAACGAAAGUGGGCUAAUUACUUCAAUCUUAAAAUUUUGAGAAAAUAAUAUAUAAUAUUUUUUAAAAUUAAAAAAUAAAUAUUUACAGUAGAAUUUUCUAUAUUUUAGCAUUUUUCCUAAGUGGAUUUUUAGAAAAAUGUAUAUGUAUAUAUUCAUGCAGUGCAAAUACAAUCGUAUAGUUUUUUCAUAUACAUUUUUUUUUUUUUGUUGGCAAUUUUGUAGCUUUAUUAACACUCCUUUUGGAACAGGUUUGGGAUAAGAUAAAUGGAUUUGCUAUUAAAAUCAUCAAAAUAAAUUUUGUUUAAAAGCAAGAUGUAAAUUAAAAUUUUAGCUUUGAAACUAUGUGCUUUUUCAUAUGGUAGAAAUAAAGGAUUUAAGUAUCUAUCGGUACGGACUGUAUUUAUUGUGCUUUAUUGUGUCAAUAAGAUAUCCGUACGAUACAUCCCACUUGCCGAUGGCAUAUCUCAAAACCUUCUUUUUUUUUAUAUUAGUUAUCAAUUUGUUGAAUGGAGUUUAAAAGAUUUGAUAAAAAUACAUAAUAAGCAAUUAAAAAAUUUCGUUGCUGAAGACAAUAAAUAUUUCAUAUCAUCAUUUAUCAAUACAAAUGUAUUUUUUGUGAUUGACACGCAACGGUAUGACCCGGCACGUACCGCACUGACAAGUUUUCGACACAACCUUAUACCAUGACACUUAAAUUUUUGGUAGAAAUUUUAUAUUUUGCUGCUUUUAUAUCAGACACCCGUUUAUUCAGGUUUAAACAAAUUCUAAAAACUUAAUUUUAGUAAGCAUCGACCAAUUUUUCAUUAAAUUUUCCUGGAAAACAUUUUUUUCGUGAAAAAUUUGCUAAAUAGUAGUACUAACUACUAACCCAAUAUGAAAACUACAAAAAAAAAAGGAAGCAUUAAGUUUUUAUUUUCAAUGAUAAAAUUAUUAUUGUGCCGUAGAGAUCGUGGUAAAAUAUUUAUCACAUGAUAAAAUUUUAUUGACUCAUUUUUAUUUUAUGUUAUUCAGAGAUGACUGUUUUAUUAAUUUAUAUAGAUCAGAUAUGAGAUAUUUAUUAAAACAUAAUAUAUUCUUGUUUAUUAAUAUGAAUUUGGCUUACGAAAGGAAUGCAGUAUUUUUUUUUUUUUUUUUGCAUUUCCAUAACUUUAUAAUAAUAUAAAAAGAAAACCAUAUAAUUGGUUUCUGAAAUAUUAGUAAUAUUGGCAACAAUGAUCACAUGGUGCAAGUGCAACAAGUCAUUAUUAUAAUAAUAAUAAUUAUUACCAUUAUCAUCAUUUUCUCUUUUGAGAGAUUAACAACACAUAAAUUUUUAAAGUUUCAAAAAAUUCACAAAUCUAAACAAUGAUUAAAUUAAAAUAUAAUAUUAUUUUUAUAUAUUAUUGAUGUGCUGACACUUAUAAUGUGGAGCUAUUUAAUUGACUUAUACACACACUUUUAUAUGUCAUAUAAAUUUGUCAACACAUUAAUAAUAUAUAGAAGUAAUAUCAUAUAGAAUAUUCAUAUUUACGAGUAAAUAAGAUAAAACUCUACCAAUUAAUCCAAAUGAAUCCACCUUGACUAACCGUACACAUUAUAUAAUCCCCAUCCAUACAAAUUAAACCCUGGUCAAUAGGAAAUAAUCAACCUCUCAAUGAGGUCAAACCAUGACCCAAAAUCUCAGCUCCCUCCCAACAGUUGAGAGCCACAAACUAUCCGUACUCUACUACGGAAGUUAGAAAACAUUGCCUUAAUAUCCUCUCUCUCUCUCUCUCUCUCUCUCUCUCUCUCUCUAAUCCUCUUUAAAUUAAGAAUCAAGCUUGGUUUUAGUUUAAGUGAUGCAAAAAGCUAGGAGUUAGAAGAUACAAAUUAAGUAGGGAAAAACAUGGUUAAAUUGCACCAUUAUCCAUCAUCACUUGUCCUCUUCUUCUUGCUCUCCUCUUCUCAAAUGCCUUGUUGUUGUAGCUCAUCUCAAACAAAACUUCACGAGAUUCGUCAUUUUCAGAGGCUGGACCCUCUAAAUCGCUUCAAGAUCUACAACGGGGGCUAUGACAUCAGAAGCAAGCAUUACUGGGGGGUAAAUAAAUAGAUGAUUCUUCUCCUUGAUGUAUAUUCUUGAGUUCUUAUACACGACGUGCCUCUCAUAUUCUUUAUGCAUAUAUGAAAAUGGUCGAUCAACUAUAUCGUGUUAAUAUAGAAUUUCCCUUUUCUUUGUUAGUCAGCGGUAUUUACCGGUGUACAUGGAUUCGCAAUGGCGGGGUUUUGGAUGCUAGGAGGCGUAGUACUUCUUGCCACUUCGCCAGUUUGGAAGAAGAGUUUCGUAGGUUCUUUGGUUUCGAAUGCCGAGACCCGUCGAAACUAUUGGCAUCUCUUGCCACUCAUUGCCAUUCUCCUUUUCACCUUGCUCGCCUCGUGAGUUUCCCUUUCUCCUCCUUCCAAUCCAUUACGCAUACUUCAUAUUUUCCACAAGAACGCCAUUUAAGAAGAGCUAUUAAAAAAAGCACUAACAACUUCUUCCUAAAUCUCUUCUUGUAGCCUAGCUUUCGUAAUGCAUGCGAUGCUGCAUGUACAAAUAACUGACUGCUGCUUCUUAGAUUAGAGAAGCUAUUUCAUUACAGCAACCAGCACAAGUAUGUACACUCGCUUAUCUCUUAAAAUUUCCCUCGUUUUGAAGAGUGGCGUCAGGAGUAGCUCUCGUUGCCGUGCAUAAGUUCCACAGAAAAGCGAAGAAGCCAGAGAAAGCGCUGUUGGACGCAGCUAGAGCUUCGUGCCACGCCAUACGCAGAGUUCUACGCACCGUGGAGGAGGUCCGAACGCUUCUACAAUCCUACGAUGCAGGAUUUUGUGCACUGCUGGGCGAAGCCGCGCUGAAGCUCAGAGCAGAAUUGGCUGCCAUCCGCAAGACCAUGCGUGAGGCUGGUGCCUUAGUUGAUGCUGUUCUUGGGCUCACGUAAUACACAUAUAUUUUUUGGCUUAGAAUUUUUACUUUUUGCCAUUUGAAGUUCAAUUUGAAUUUAAAAGUUUCUCGUAGAAGAGAGUUUAAUUGUUUUUAUUUUGUUUGUUUUCUUUUUUUUUUUGGCAGGUAUGGUGCAACUUUGGGGAUUGUAUGUCUCACGUUGGUGCUUUUCAUUGCUAAAGUAGGCAAGUGAUGGUAGAAUAUGGUCGCAAGACAUGUAUACGUGCAUAUGAAGUUAGAAUAUUUCUUGAAGUAAAACGAGGUUUGUUUACUUUCGUGAGGUGAUAAGGCAUCAGAACAAUCGGCACCGUUAGACAUAAUUUGGCUUAAUUUGGACAUGGUAUGAAAUAAAAUUUUAUAAUCUUUGGACAUUAAUUGCUAAAUACGGUUUCUGCAACGUUCAAAACUUCAAAUUAAUAUAUUGUAUUUAACGGUGUCGAUUGUCUAUUUAGAUAUUCCAUUGCCGAAAAUGAUGUAGAAGUAAAAGGCUCUGUUUGCUUCUGAAAUAUAGCUUUAAUAUUUGAAUCUCUGUGAAUUUUCUCUAUGUUCUCGUUCCCAUAAAAUUUAUAUAGACCAGGCAAUUGUAAGUUAUACAAACGCCUAUAUCUCUCUAAAAGCAAUCCAACAUUUAGAUUCUUUUGUCCUCCAUUUAGAUAAAAAUCAUACUUAUCUUGUUUAAUGUUGGUAUUCUCUCUUCCUUUUUUUUGAUAUAUUUGGUAAGAUGAUUGUUUGAUUUUGUGCAGCUGCAAUCUUAAUGCGGUCGCGCUCAGGAUUAAUCAUGUAAUUAUUAAGCUAGCUUUAUAACCAUACCUUACACAAUUUUACUCUCUCUCUCUCUUCUAAAUUGAUCAAAUUUUAGUUUCCAAUUAAUGAGCUAUUAAUCCAUCUCUGCUUGUUUUCUUCUUCGCAGAAUUAUUAUUAUAUGUUGGCUUUUAACUAGUGCCUGUUGGAUCCUAUGCGGCUUCCAUUUCUUUCUCCGCACGUAAGUAACUAAUCUCAUUUUGAAAUAAUCAACAUUAAUUAAUGCAAGUGAAAAUUCUCAAGCAUUUAACAGUUCACAUUCAUCAAACAUAACUAGAUUGCAAAACAGAAAAUGAGACAACAUUAGACGUAGAAUAAUGCAAAAUUAACUUGAUCAUUGAUCAGGGAGGCUAUAAUGCAAUUGAUUAUUUUCGGAAACUUAAUAUAAGCUAAAUUAUAAUAAACAAAAACUAUAUAUUGCAGAUGUAUUGAAGAUACUUGUUUAGAGCUUGACCAGUACAUGAGGGAUCCAAGCAGCAGCAUUCUUAACUCAAUACUACCUUGUCCCAACAGCUCAACCGCAGAUUGCAUCAUAGCGAAAAUCGGUUUUAACAUCCACAACUUCAUAAUCCAGGUAAAUAUCAUAUCAUAAAUGGUAUACUCUCUCCAUUUCUCUAUUUUUAACUCAUAUUAAGUACUAAAGAACUCACCUGAUUCUCAUAUUUGGGGGUUUUUUGCAGUUGAACUCAAAUAUGAGUAGCUUGAUCGAAAUAGCUGAUGCACGAGAGCAACAUGAAGGACGACGAUUUCCAUUGAUAUGCAAUCCUUUUCUUGGCGCACCAAACUAUAGAUAUGAUCCAACGACAUGUUCUAAUCGAAGCAUAACCAUCAAUGACAUGUCAAUGGUAAGCGCACACAAUUUACGCAUCAAGAUUAUACCAUAACAGUACGAAGAAAACUGUAUCAUUUAACCACCUUGUGAGAGUACUAUGUUGAGUGCUUAGUAGAAUGUCACCGAAUGACGCUAAAAUCGAGCAUAUUAUCGUCAGACGGUUCAUGAAAACACUAGAAAACAUGAUUUAUUGAUUAAACUACAGUGGUUUAAUCAGCCAUGUGAUCAUCAUGUGCUUGAUUUUAACAGCAUUUUCAGUAUGCAAAACUGCAACAGCAAACUUUUUAGCUAUACAGUGAAACUGGGCUCGACCACAAGAGGGUAUCUAAGGUUUCUCCUUUUCUGAAUUAAUUCCUUGAGGGAUAGAAGAUUGUGAACAAGUGGUUUUUACAGGCACUGGAGAUCAACAAGCAUCUUCUUUCAACAGGCUCUUAUGCUAUGCUCUCUUCCUACACUUACUCAACUCAGAGCAUUGUAGGUGCUCUCGCAGACGUAGAAAAGCUGAUGCACUGCUCAUUCUUAAAGGACGCCUUUGACGAUAUACUCCGCCAUCAUUGUGUGCCUCUGAAGGAUUCCAUCUUGCUUCUGUGGUCGACAAUGAUCACUCUCUCAAUCAGUUUGGUGAUAUUAGAGGUUGCUUGGCUGGCAAAAGAAUUUCAUGACAGGAGGAGACAGCCGAACAUUCUCAUGCAAUGAGAUCUUAAUUUGUUUUGUUUUCUUCCAAUUAUUUUUUUCAUCUUCCUUGGAAUGAGACUUAAACACAACACGAAAUGCCAUUUCAGUUUCCAACUCAUGAUAAAUUAGGAUCUCUUUUUACCAUCCAGAGAAGUUUUUAUACUCAACACCUGAAACAUCCGCUUUCCUCUUCUUGGUCGAGUCAUAAUCUGAUGCUUUGCCAUUUCCGGCCACGCCAUCAUUUCCAGCUGUCCGGGCCUUGAGAUAUUUGCCCACUCCACGGCCUACACUAGCGGAACCAGCGACACCUGUUCCUGGGUUGCUAUACCAUGAACCUAUCUUGUCCUGAAAUAGGAAAAUUUCCAGUUAAAACAUCUUAAUUACACAAGAAAAAUCAAUUCAUGUGCUAAAGAUGAAAUAAGGCAAGACGGUAAUUACAUUGUUAUCAUCAACAGCUUUCUUCUCCUCAGCUGCCUUCUCUUCCUCUUCAUCUGGUUCCGCAUAAGGAUUCACAAAGACGGUGGCAUUUAUAAUCUUUAUCUCCUCCUAGAAAAGAAAAAGACAAAUCAAUAACAAAACUUAGAGAAAGAUACCUUAUCACAAAAUCAGAGGACGAUUUGACAUCAGAGGACAGCUGAUAAAUGCAAUAUUGUACGGUCAUUCUUGGUCAGUCUACAAACUCAUAUUGCUUGAAAAAGAAAAAAAUACUAAACACACAGUAAGUAUUCGCUUGGUCAAACAUAACACCAAAAAUGUAGAGUUAGCAAAUGACCCAUAAUAUCAAAUUUAAGACCAUCCUUGGGGGACUACAAUCAUAGAGAAAGAAAAUUAUAAACUCCAGGAGAACAUAACCAAGGGAUAAUAACAGAAUCUUCGGCGAAAGCAUAGAAGGGAAAUUACACACACAAAAACAAAAAGAAAAAUAAGAAAAAGGCAGCGAUACUUACCAAUGGCCGAUCAUCAUCAUCAACAGGAACCUUCUCCAUCGCUGAAAGGGUGGUUAAACCACCCACAACCAUGCCAAAUACCGUAUGUUUAAAAUUCAGAUGAUUUGCCGACUUGUAUAGAAUGAAGAACUGGGAACCAUUGGUAUGGGGCCCGCUGUUUGCCAUGCUAACAACACCUCUUCCUGAGUGGACCAAUUUUGAAUUUGGCUCAUCCUUAAAAGGCUUACCCCAAAUGGACUGGCCACCUUUUCCAGUACCAGUUGGAUCACCACCUUGAAUCAUGAAAUUCCUACCAAAAAUAAACCUUUUAAGGUUUACGAGGAGACAGGAAAGAAGCAGAAGAAGAGAGAAUAAGUAGCUACAAUUAGAUAUAACCAUACCUAAUACUGCGAUGGAAUAUUACACCAUUAUAGUAACCAUUUUCACAAUGUGUGAUGAAGUUUUCACACGCCCUUGGAGUGAUAUCACAGUGAAGCUCUAUAUUCAAGUCCCCAUGGGUUGUAUGCAACUGAACAUAUCCUUUCUUUUUUGGAUUCUUUUCAACCUUGAUGUACUCAAAGUCAUUUUUCGUCACAGGAUCAUAAGCGGUAGAAGUAAAAGAGCGUGAAGCUGCGCCAGUGGUGUAUUGGCUUUUUACCUGAAAAGUGCCCAAUUUCCAUGAGAUUGUAGCACAAAAUAGUAGAUGAAUACAUAGAAAAUAAAAUAGGGUUAAUUUCAUUCAUGCAACCUCUAAACAUUAAAAAUAUCGUUAAUACCCCUACAAAUUUGGUUAUAUCACGAAAACCCCUUCAAAUGCUUACUAUCUUUCAAAUAUGCCUUCACCAUUAACCAUCUCUUCGCGUAACGUCUAUUCUAGAUAGGUUAUCAUAAUAGUAGAAAUGUCCAAUUUACCGUCAGUUUUAAAAUUUUUUAGAAAAACACUUUAAUGUGAUGACAUUUAGAACAACUAGAAUUUCAGAAUUGCCCAACACUAAUAGUAAGUUCAGAUAAACGCAGCAGUCUUUAAUUUAAAUAUUGUUAAAAUAUUUAUAAAUUAUCCACUCUGUUGUUUAGUACAUUUGCACUUUGCCACCCUUACUGAAAAGUUUCAUUUUGCGACUUCAUAGUUUUUUUUUUCACCAUAAGUUUGCUAUCAUCAAAUAAAGUACCAAAAUGUUAUAUUUUACAAACCACAAGGUGGUGAACUUCAAAUUAUAGAGUGGUGAAUACUACUGUGUGGUUAAUAAAAUAUGUCACUUUAUUCUUCUGUGGUUUGUAAAAUAUAACACUUUUCUAUCCUAUUUGACAAUAGAAUUUUAUGAAAAAAUAACAUAAAAAACACAAACAAGUAAAUUGUUAAGUUUUCUAUUGAAAGAAAGUGAAACUUAUGCAAUUUUCACCCUUUUAAGUUUUAGCUAAAGUGAAGCCUUUUGAAACACUGGAUGAUAAAGUACAAAAACUAACACUAGUUCAAAUAAUUCAGUUUGGAUCAAGCAAGUUUAUUUUGGUUAGUGUUGAAUUAUAAACUGUUUAAACUUAAUUUAAGAAGUUGUACAUAUUUUGAAGAAUUUUUUAGGCUGGUCAGUUCAGAUUAGUUUAGAUUUUAUAUUCAUUGUAGUUUAAUCUCUUUGGAUUAGUAUAUUUUUAAAUUUACAAAAGCUUUUUAAGGAGUCGUUUUAUAAAACUUUAAAAGGGCAUUUAUGAAAUUAUAGGUGAUUUAGAACCAAUGAAGCAUUUGUGAGGAUAAUAAUGAUAGGGAAAAAAUUGGGAUUUACUUACCGUUUAUCUGAAAUCUAACAGAGAAUUGGCUUGAAAGGUUAUUUUGGAAAGUUUCUCUCAUUCAAAGGAUUGCUUAUGAUAUUUCAAUUUUUAUAAGGGUAUCUGUGUUUUUUUUGGGAGGGUAUACAAUAAAUUUCCCACAAAAAAAAAAAAGGUAAUGGAACAACAACAUACGAGUUUCGCAUUCACAGGGGUUCUUUCUCCGGCCAUGUGCAUAGCAAUCCGAGCAGCAGUCUUAUCACCAGAAGCUGCUUUUGCAGCAGCUGCGCUCCUUCCAUGGACAGAAGCAGAAGCAGCAUCUACAAUACUGAAAGCUUUCUGAGCAGGUUUGGACUCUCCAUCUUCAUUAGAUUUAGAAUCCUCCUUCACACGUGAUCUUGCCGCCAAAAUAGCAGUAAGGGCAGCUGCCCUUUCAUUCUGUGCUUUGCUCCCACCUCCACCAUGCAGUGCAGCUAGCUUACCCUUCUCAGUUCCAAGCUCCUUCAGCAUUUGCUUGAUAUCACCAGUUAAAUUGAUAUUAUAGGAAGGAUCUUCUUGCAUUUUCUUUAGAUCUAAAAAAGGAGCAAAACAGUUAGUAUCCUGUAGUUCUUUCAUAACAGCUUCAAAAUCAUACAAGUAUUAAGGAGGGAAAAAUAAAAACAAGACCUUCAUCAUCAAGUUUUAGACUAUUUUUAACAUGAUCAAACUCCACAAGAACUUUGCUAUCAAGAGCAUUUGGAUUCUGCAAGAGUACAAGAAGACAAAAAGGUAAAUGCCAGCCAAUCAAAUGGAAUAAUAGCAAAAGGUAAAGAGAUUCUUUUAAUUACUUACCUGAAUAGUUAUCAAGUCAUCUUUCGUGAAAGGCUCAUCUGUCAGCAGCUCUUUCCAAUUUUUGGUUUUCAGGUUUAGUUCUUUAAUCGCCUGCACCAGUAAAACAAUACAGUUACACCCUUUUGAUAAAAAAUGCUACAACAAUCUUUUAUAAGAUUUAGUUUUCUGGCACAGAAGUACCUCAUAACAGAACACAUUUCCCGUAGUUUUCACAGCAACUAUGUGCGUAAACUCUGUAAAAACUUUGUUCAAAACAGGACAAUGGUACUCCCCUGUAAAAGGUAAAGGGAAAAAAAACCAUUAUCAUAAAUUCAUUAGGCAGACAAACACCAGACAGCAUGCCACCAAAGGGAACACAAAUUGAACAUUUCUGCAGAUGAAAAAUUUAAGACGAAAGUUUCUAAUGCAUCAAAUAGUAUAAGAUCUGCCAGAUUUUGAGUUCUGGCUUAAUUGGAAUGGCGUUGAUGGUGAUAUGAAUGGCGACUUCCUUAAGAUUAAAGGUUGUUCGAAACUACUACGCUCGUCUGUAACAACAAAAGUGACAUACUUUUAGUACACAAUGAAUAUCAACUUACCAAAGGAAAAUGCUCUCAGAUCAGCUUAUUUAAAUUGGACAAGAAUGAGUUUUGCUGUUAGUGGUGACUCUCACAGAAGCUGCAAUCAACCAUUCUAAUGAUUAAAAAUAGGUAACUCUAUAGAACAGAUUCACCUUUGCGGCCACUUUGGCCACAAUAUUUACCUGUUUGAAUUGAAUAAGAGCAAAAGUACAACCAAAAGUAUAUAAAAAACUUAUAUAACUAAGACUACUUAACAUUGUACCUUAAAUUUUUUCCUUUCUAAACUAUCUAAGAUUAACAAACAGUUCAGCUGAAUAAACAAAAAGACAAAUAGCAUCAAAUACUUCAAAUCGAAAGCAUAUUUACCAUCAGCAUUCUUAUGAAAUGUGAGAGGAAUGAGAUCUUCCUCCUUAAGAGGAGCUCCGGUUACUGGAUUCUUCCCGAAUUUCUUAAUAUAAGGAAUAAUAUUCCUGCAACAAAAACCCAAACUCAAAGAUUAGCUCUUUUUUUCUUCUUUUUCCAAAAUAAAACUAAACAAACACACAGAACCAAAUUAGGUUAGAAAACUCACAUCACAUCGAACACGCUCCCAUCCCCCGUGCACGCGGGAUCCACAAACGGAGUAAAGGUGAGCCUGAGAACAUUGAAAUCGAUGAGAAAGGAGAGAAAAGGGAUCAAAUGUGAGAAUAAUCGCAACAAUUUGGGAAGAGGAUGGUGAAUUAGGGUUCCUAGGGAGACGGGAUUACGAGCAACAGUAGAAGGGCAAGCGUUUGAAGGGGGUGGAUGUCUCCUUCGACUUGGCGCCGCCCCACUCCGUCGCCCACUCCGUCUUCGUGAUGAACAUCCGAUCCUUGCUGUGCUGCUUCUUCCCCAUCUCUGAUUUCGUUCGGGAUGCGCGAUUGGAGGAGAGGAGGAGAUCGAGCGCUAGGGUUUUUCGCUCUUUUUCGGCUUCGUCCCCGAAUCUCUAUCCUAGGGUUUCCACGAUCCUCGAUCGGGAAUUUCGUCCGCAGAGAAGAUGAUUAUAGGUUUUUAGUCCGCAUAAUAAUGUCCGGGUCAUUUGGGUCGGUCGCCGUUUAGGCCGGUUCAAGUGCUACGAUUUCGGUUCAAAUUGCCGGCCCAAUUUGAUCCGACCUGAGCCGAGCCGAACCGAACCGUACUUCAUCUCCAAAUAAAAUCAGUAAAUUGCACCAUUACCUGUCAAAUUUUAAGCCAAAUUUGAAGAUCUUUAAACUUUUAAAAUCAAUUUAUUUGACUCUUCUACGCUACACAACUAUUAAUUCUCGAUUAUAUUCCAUAUAUUAGUCUCUUCCAAUCAACGAAUUGUAGCAAUUUUUUCCUAUUAAAAAAUUAGAUAUUAAAUUGAAAAUGUAUAAUAAAUUAAAGGUCAAUUAUUUUUUUGGUAUCAAAGUGCAUUUUAGCCAAACAAAUAAAAAAUUUUACCAAAUUUAUUGAUAACUAUUUUAUCAGAUUCAAUAAUUUAAACUAUUUUAUGGCAAAGAAACAUAAUUAACUAAUUUCAGAUAGUUUAUUAAGCCAUAAAAUUUUAAAAAUUAUUUGAUUGAAUAUAAAAUCUCAAAUAAUAAAAAUUAGACGGUAAACAGGGAUUAUCAUCUGUCACCAAUAAUAAUAAUAAUAAAUAAAUAAAUAAUGAAUAAUAAAUUGCUAAAAUGUAAAAAAAAUUCACUAUAAAUAUUUAUUUUUUUACUUUUUUCCUCCUGACUUACAAAAAUUUAUAGUUUACUCUCUCUUAAAAUUUUAGAUUGAUACAUUUAGUCUUUCUUCAUCAGGAUUUUGCUACUGUUUCGUUCAUUUUUUUUUUUAUAAUUGACACCAAAAAUAUUCUAAAAAUGAUAAAAACAUAUUAAAAAUUAUUUUUUUAUAAAAUAAGUAUGGAUAAAUUUGUCAUUUCGUCAUCUUUAUUAAUGUCGUAUCUUCUCAAAAUAUUUAUUAAUUUUUUAAAAAAUAAAAUAAAAGUUAGGAAAAAAAAGUAAAAAAUUAAAUAUUUACAGAAAGAACUUUUUGUAUUUUAACCAUACAAAAUUUUAAAAAGUAUAUUUUUAAAAAGCUGCAUGGGUGAAAGAAUUUUAAUGUAUAACUCUCACACUAUAUCAUCAAUAACAAGUCAAUUACACAUUUUUUUAUAAAAAAGAAUGUAAUAUACUUUUUAUAAUCAUAAUAAUUAUGAUAGAUGAAUUUAAAAAAAAAAUAAUAAAUUAAAAAUAAUUACAUCAGCUAUUAUAAUAUAAUAGGUGCAUUUUAAAUUUUUUCUCCACACAUUUUUCACCUAAUUUCUCUUAAUCGUGUAUCCCACGGGGUCGAGCCAAAGUCGGGCUCGUCGUCGGACCUGCUUGAACCGCUGCUUACUGUGAAGAGCGAGGCGGGGAAUGGCCGGGAGCGGCGGCGGCGGCGGCUGCGCGAAGAGCGGCGGCAUCAGCAGCAGCAGCAGCAGCAGUGGAGAGGAAGACGGCGACGCGGAGUGGAGGGCGGCCAUCGAGUCCGUCGCCGCCGCAGACUUCAGCGGCUGCCGGAUCGAAGCGCGGCGCUGCUUCCGACGACGAGAAGCCCAAAACCCCCGGCCUCAAGCUCUACCAGAUCAAGGUGGUACCACCCACCCCUUUCCUCUUCUCUAUGGCCAAUGCUAAAACUCCCUCCGUUUUUUCAUUUUUUCUUUAUGACUUUAAACGACCCAUAUUUUGUUAUUUUAAAAUUUCAGAAAUGUUUCAAAGAAGCACAGCGUUAAUGGGAAGGGUAAAAUGAUGAAAUUUUUCUUAUUUCUUCUAUAAAUAAAAUAUUUAAAUAUAUUUUCUUAUUUUGAAAGAUAUUUUUAGUAUAAAUUAUAAGAAAUGGACAAAGCAGUAAUAGAAUGCUGACGGAGGAGACUAAAUAUAACACCUUAAAAUGUUGAGAGGAUAAAAUAUAGGUUUUAGAAAGUUAACAAGAAAAAGUGAAAAAACGAAUAUUUAUAAGAAAGUUUUCUAUAAUUUAGCUAAAAAAAAUACUGUGUAAAUCUUAUGUCCCCUGCUUAUCAGAGAUUCACAUGAACCGGCAUGGAUCUGAAAGCAUGCUGAUGAUGAAUGUGGCAGUCUCACAUUGGAUACCGUCCCCAUCAAAUUUUUAUGCCACACUAGUCUUUUUAAUAUUCUUUUUCGUCUAAUAUAAAACUUCAAAGAAAAGAUGUGUUAAGGUAAAAAUGUAUGGAACUUAUUUGAACUAUGAAUAAUUUGGAUCUGGCUACACAAUUCCCACUUGCGCCAUUUUUAUAAUUUGUAUUCUUGUCUAGUAUUCUUCCAUAUCUUCCGCUACCUCAUGAUAUGGUCCACCUGAUAUCCACCAUAUGUGAGCAGGAUUGUUAAGACCAUUCCUAAACUCUUUUUUCCGUCAUAUCAAUCAUUUUAUGAUUUUAGUAACACUUACUUGCCGUCUCUUCCGCUACCUCCUGUUAUGGUCCACCUAAUAUCCACCAUAUCUGAGUAGGAUUGUUAAGACUAUUCCUAAACUCUUUUUUCUGUCAUAUCGAUCAUUUUAGUGUGUGCGUGUGUGUGUGUGUGUGUGUGUGUGAGUGGUAGAUAUCAGAUGGGAAUCCGUGCGCUCACUAUUCGUAGGUUUUUUUUCUACCAGAUCGAUCUUUUGAGUAGCACUCACAUGCAUGGUGGAUAUUAGGCGGUAAAUCAUGUCAAGUGUAUUUAUGUAAGAGGCAUACCAAAAGAUCUAUUUUAUAGGAAACAGCUGGGGAAAGUCUUGACAAAAGCUCAGUGGAGAGUUUGACAAGAGAAUUGCAGCAUAGAAAGUGAAAGCACCUCUAGAGUUCGAGAUAGUGAAGUGUAAUUAAGCCAAAGCUGAAUUUGCUAGCAGUUCUUAACUGGAAGCAAAGAAUGGGAAUAAGCUGUCUUUAAUACUUGAUUUCGUUCUUGCCAACUUCUUGUAAGAGCUGCAUAUGUAAUGAGCUGUCUGUAAUGUUCAUGCUUGCCGUAACGUGAACAAGAGCUUAUCCCCGCCGAACAAUCUGGGCAAUUACCAUUUACUCCAGCCAUUCUGAAGCAUUUUUAGUGUUUUACUUUUAUGUGCCCCACUCUUAUAUGAAAAUGCUGCGCGUCUAUGCUUGUCCGUAACAGUAGCUUACACUGAACGUGAUCUUAUGGUGAUACAAGCAUCACCUCGUUGUUUUAACAAUGAUCAAAUUCAACAUCGUCAGAUGCUGAAAUGGUAGGGAGAUAGGUAGUUAUUGCUUUAGCUAAUCGCCCCUAUCUCAUAUGUUCCUUUUGUUAAUAUAUGGGCUUAAAUGGCGGGUGUAGCUUUUUCGCACAUCUAAUGUGUUAGGAAUAGUGUAAGCAUCUUUGGCUCACGGGGAAGUCUAUUUGUUAUGCGCAUCUUUGGCUUAGAGGGAAGUUUAUUUGUUAUGCCUUCACAUGUGAUUCAAAGAGAGUAAUUCCUUGUUUUAUUGCAUUAUCAUUACAAAAGUUAAAAACUCAUGGGCGAAAUUGAUAAGAUUUAUUCCCAGUAUUUUACUAAUCCGUAUGUUCUGGUGAAGAUAUUUAAUGAUAUCUUGCGUCAUCUUAUGCCCUCUACUUGAUUAACUACUAUCCAGGCAAAAAAGCUUUUGGAUGAUCUCUUGGAAAAUAAUAUUGAAAUAGUCAGAACUCAUGGCUCACACUUGGGUGACGCUGCUCAAUCUGAUGUGGGCGGGAUUAAACUUUUUAGAAAAGCACCGCCUGGAAUAACCUUGGAUACUGUAGGUAUGUCCUCCGCUGUUUUUUCAUCGUUACAUGCAAAAGCAAACUCUAUCCUGGUUUGAAAAUUGAAUACAAGCUUACUCUGUUUCUCCUAGAUUCAUAUCCUCGACCAGAUAAGAAGCCAAGAAUUCUACCUGGAGAGGAGAUCGAUGAGAAAUCAAAGAAGGUUUGCUUCUACGUGCUUAUUUGACUCAACUUCUACAACAGUUUCUCCUCUCCAGAUCGUAGAAAUCUCCAGAAAUUAGGCAUUUGGCUUAAGUAGUCUGGAGCUUGUGCUACGGCAGGAAGCUAAAAGUAGGCUUUUGGAUCCUAAAAGAAAAACUUCUAAUUUAAAGCUUCUACUUUUGCAGUUGUGAGAAGCUAUAGAGGAUAUCUUAGUAAAAUAGCUAUUAGCGCUUCUUUGAAUAGCAGUUGCAGGUCUACUGAAACAGCAGGCCUGCAAAGGCUUCAACCUAAGCCAAACGCAGGCCUGCAAAGGCUUCAGCCUAAGCCACACGCAGGCCUGCAAAGGCUUCAGCCAAGCCAAACAGGCCGUUCAUUUGAUACUCUUCUCAACUAUACUUAACUGUUGUGGUCUUCAAACUAUUGUAUUGUUAAUCCUAUCCACUGCAAUCCUGGUUGCAGUUUAGACGGCAACUUCAAUCAGUUGCCAUAGAUGGCAAUGAUGUGAUUGCUUCUGCACGAGAAGCAUCUCGAAAGUCUUUGGCUAGAUUUGAAGCUAAGGAAGCCGCAGUGAAGGCAGCAGCAAAGAGAGAGGAAGAAAGAGUUCAAGAACUAAGAAGGAUCAGGGGAGAGAAAUGGCUUCCUUCAAUUGCCAGAGAAAUGAGGGUAAUUUUAUAGAUGGUUUAUUUUUCAUUGGUAUUUUAACUUCUCCCGAUCAAUUGAUCAUUGAACGAUUUAAUCAGUAAACAUUCUCAUUAUGUCCUGUUUUUAACGAGUAGACUGACUUGCUUGGAAAAGUGGUAAAUUGAGUCAUUUUUGGCAGGACAAAACUUCCGCGCAGCAAGGAGGCUAAUUGGAAUAGUAGUAAGUUGUCGCUGCGAUGUAUUUGGGUACAAAAAACAUUCACAACAUUCUUCUCCAGAUCUUUUGGUGUGAAGCAUGGUUAUUGGAAACUAUUUACAUUGUCUAUUAAAUUUGCAUGCCUGUCUUUUCUCUCAAAAAAAAAAAAAAAAAAAAAAAAUUGCAUGCCUGUCACAUAAGUGGGUUCAGCUUGUGUUUCGCCUCCUUUUUAGUUUUUUGUCUAAUGUUCCAUUCAGGCUUUGCAGUAACUCUACCUUUGGCAUCUGGGAAAACCAUUUGAAGGUGUUGAGGAAACAGCUUAUAGUAGAAUGCCAUUGCGGCUAGCGGCUUUAACAAAAUGGUCACACUCCUCUCAUGUCCAAGGAAUCAUCUGGAGUAAUCUGUUGGAGUUUAGCUUUUGCAUGUUUGCAAAAUGCAAAGAGCUGUAUUUUAUCAAUGAAACUCUAUUUUAUCAAUGUAACGAUGAUAUAUCUGGUGCUGAAAGAAUAUUUAUCUGGCAUGUCAUUUUGUUAAUCUCAAACUUGCAUUUUAUGAAGUUAAAAGAGUAGGAAUCAGAUGCCCUUAUCCUUGAUUUAUUAGAUGAUUUAUCUGCUUGUCCUGGUCUAAAAGAUAGCUCUUCCAGAAGAUCUAAUGACUGAUGUUGGUCGACAUCUUUGUUUCUCUUUGUGCAGGGCUAGGAACUAUAUGAAACCCUAGAUUGGACGAGUUAUUCAUGAAAUAUAAAUAUUUUUUGAACAUACCAUUAGUCCAAAUAAAUGUAAUAAUUCCUCACUUUUUUUUCAAGAGAUGAAAUAUUAUUUCGACGUAACUUGAAAACCCUCUUUUCAUACCUCAAAAUAGCAAAAACAUUUUAAAGGCACUCCAAACUAUGCUACGCUUUUGAUCAGCAACACUUUUACAAAGGAACCAAUCAGUAAAAAUCUUACCGCGCAGCGCAAUUAGGGACUGCAAGAAAUAAAAAUUCCAGAACUGAAAGAAAUAAAAAUUGCAGAGCUAAAAAAUUCAACUUAAAUGUACUGAUACCGUUUUACAAACCCGGGAGCAUCUAUCAUUGGUCUCAAACAAAAGAGAUGAGCAGUUGCGAAUAAACAACACAAAAUUAAACAGAAGUGACUAAUUGAUUUAGCAAAACUGCUUAAGAGCCCAGACCAUCCACUAUCAAAGUGGCAUAAUCUUCUAACCUAAUAAAGAUCUAUUCUUGGAAAAUUAUGACAAUUUGCUGUUCUCGUUUAUGCUCCGACAAUUUCUUGCUCACCCUCCGCCGGAACAUCUUCAGCAGGCCUAUCCACUUUAACACCAAGAUCCUCUUUGUAGUCCCCAUGGACCUAAACAUUACGAUAAAGCCACAUAAAGGAAGAGCAUAGAUGGAUCUCUUUAUAAUUAUGUUAGGGCAUAAUUGCCUAAUAACCAGAGUGGAAUAAUAAGUACAGGUUGAUUAAUUUUGUAGUUGUAACGGAUUAAAAAGUAUUACCUCCAUAAGCUUUCCCAAAUCAAACUUGGGGGCUUUCAGGAUUUUGACCUUGCGGAUGAACACAUUCUGGAGAGGGAAGAUGCUGCUUGUGGCUUUCUCAAUCUCCUUUCCAAUGACCUCGGGGAUGAAUUUCUGUACCAGGUCCUUAAGAUCGCAUGAUGUAGCUUGGUUGACCAUAAUCUCUCUCAUCUUGCGGCGAAUCUACAGAGUAGAUAAGAUGCAAAGAACUCAUAAGUGGUCUGUAGCAUAGUUAGUUAAUUCACAAAUUAUUGAAAAUCCGAAUAAAAGGGUCCGUAUACAAUUUAUUCCCAAAUAUUCAAAAUAAAACGCAAAUUUUUGGGUUAGAUUUAUUAUUCGCAAAUAAUUCGCUUAUGCCGAACUAUUUGACCAAAAAAACGCACGCAAUUUUUAAAUAAAAUUCCUUUCCAAAUUAUUACCGAAUUAUUUGCCGAAUUAUUCGCGAAUUAUUGAAAAACUUCAUGAACUUCCGGAAUAUAUGGAUCAUGGAAAAGAUGAGGAUGGACUAUGGAGAUGACAAUAAAAUUUGCUAUUGCUUUUUUUACUUAAUUAACUUUAUUUUGUAAAUGCCUAUUUUUAUAUUUUUAAGAAUUUAUAACUAUGUAUGCUAGUAACAUAAAUUUAGAGAAAAAAGCUUAGUUUAAUAGCCGAAUUUUUUAUCCUGAAUUUUUAAUUGGUGAACGUAUAAUUUUCGUAUAAAUCGCAUAUCCGAAUAAUUGGCGAAUCCGUUUUUAAAGCCGUAUUUUUCAAUAAAUUUAAAGAUUGAGAUACGAAUUUUAUUCAAAUUAUAUCUGCAUCGAAUUUUUGCCGAAUCCGAAUUAACUAACUAUGGUCUGUAGAUACAGAUUACAAACCUAUGCAAAAUAAAAAAGAUUGAACAUGUACCUGUCUAAUCUGGCUGCUUUGUGCAUAGCAGGUGCGCUUAACCUGAUUCGGGCGUCUCUUGGUAAAGGCGAUGCAGAACAUACGAAGAGCGUAAUUAUCAGUAGUUUUGACAUCCACAUGUGCCUCAAUCAAAGUCUGCCACUUCCUCACCAAAGAUCUAAGCUUGUCGGUGGUAAAAUCCAUGCCCUGAAAAGGGUUGAAAACAGUUGGGGAAUGUUUUGAGGGGAGGGAAGAAGUGAUGGAUAACUAGCGGACAAUUGGAAAUCUAGGCACAUACCCAGAAAUUUGUGAGGACAUUCUUGCCUUGCACAUCCUCUGCGCGAAGGCGGAUCUUUCUGUAAGCCUGGUCUUCAUCAUUCUGAAGGUCAGCUAAGGAAAUCUCGAAAACUCUGUGCUUGAGACCCUCAGAGGCAAUCUAAUAUUUUUAAAGGGGGAAAGUUAUUAACUUUGAAAAUUGCUACAAGAAAAUAGACAAGUUCUAAGAUAAGAUGCAAGAACAUAUGUUGAUUACUAGCAAACAAAAAAAUAAGGAUAAUACACAGAAAACAUGGCAACUCAUUGAGAAACAGUUAUAAAGAUGCUAAAGCCAAAUACACCUGAGGAAAGUAGAGACAUACAUGCAAUUUAUAACUAUUUCUUCGAAACUACUUGUGGAUAUAUAUUUUAAUAGAAAUAUAUGCAGAACAAAAUUCAACUCUCUCAACAUUUACCCAUUUGACAUAUCUUGGUAAGCUGCAAGCACCAAAAAAAAAAGAAGACAAAUUCAGACUUUAGGUCAUCUUGAUAAGUUUUUAAACCCUCAAAAUUCAGCAUCUUUUAGGGGCAAUUCAAUAUCACAUGUGAAAGAAUUGAGGUAAUACAAAACCUAUAUUUCACCUCAACUAAAUUUAAACUAUGCAAAAGGAAGAAAAAAAAGCAGUUUUAAAACAGUAAACAGGAUAGAGAGCAGGCCCGAAAGAUCAUGCUAUAAUUUACAGCCAACAAUCUCAACGGAAACUUGAGUUUUCAUCCUGGGUACCACUGCCUUUCCCUGAUGUGAAAUCUUCUCCAUUAAGUAAGCAGGAAGACCUAAUCACUUAGAUUUAUCCGAAAACAUUGGACAUCAUAAGCCGACCUGGCGUAUGAGUAUCAGAACUUUGUUCCGCAACGUUAACUUUAAUCUUGAUCGGUGUUUGAAAAGGCGCGGCUGAGGCGCGCGUCUCAGCGCCUAGGCGCGAGGCGCGGGCCUCCGCGCCUCAGCAAUAGCGAGGCGAGGCGCUAUUGCUGAGGCGUGCGCCUCAGGCGAGGCGCGAGGCGCACAUAAGGCGCGCGCCUCGGCAUAUUUAAUAUUUUUUGGAUUUUGGAUUAAAGUUUUUGGGUUAUUGGGUUUCGGAUAUAAAUUUUAUGUUUUAGCCCGAUAAGAUUAGUAAAAGAAUCUAAAAGAAACCUAAAAAAACCCUAAUGAAAUCAAUCUAUCGCCCUCUCCUCCUACCACUCUCUCAUUUUACCGCCCUCUUCUCCUUCUUGAGGCCAAAUGUAAACAUUGGCACCACAAUCACUUUUAAGUUGAAAGUCGAAAUAUAUGUUUUUUAACUUGAGAACCUAUAUGCAUAUGUUUUCUUUAAUUUUUUAUAGUUAUUUUAGUUUUGUAUAGUUAUUUUGGAGUUUUUUUAAUGUAGAAUAUCAAAUUAAAUUACUGUGCGCCUCAUCUUUUUGAGGCGCGCGCCUCGCAGUGCGCCUCGCGCCUAGGCUCCAGAAGAGUUUGUGACUUUUUGCGCCUCGCGCCUUUUCAAACAUUGAUCUUGAUAUGUGCACAAACAAGUAUGCAUACAUAUCAGUUGAAAAGGAGGGAUACAAAGAUAUUGAUGAAGGGAGUCAAAAUAACACUUAUGGGAUCAGAGGAAGAUCCACCAACAGAAAGCAUAUACAUAUCAUGGCAAGUGAUGGGGAACCUGAUACAUCUUCUCUAAUAUGCAUCGCUGCGAUAUUCAUAACUUCCAAAGAACAUUCGCCAUUUCAAUCAUUUAGUAAAGCAAAAUAGUUAGCCCACAGCAAAUUUUUUACAAAAUUAUUCACUUUAAUCGAUUUACAGAGGUAACAGCAAACAAAGGAUCUAAAUCUUUCUACAUCCACGAAGAGCUCGAAAGAUAAAUUUAAAUUUUAAAUAGAGAAAAAAGGAAACUGGGAAAGGAACAAAACGCAACCUUGGUACCCUGAGUCCUCGAGACUAGGGUUUUCCCCACAUUCCUCACGUUGAACACCGAAGGGGCCUUGAUAUCGUACCAAUCCUUCUUCGAGAAGGGAUCGACCCUGCAACAAAUUACACGGAUCCGAAUAAGAAAACACCAACAAAAAGAGAAAACGAUGACAAAAAUAAAGCGAGAGAGAUCAAGUAGAUAGCCUACGUCUUCUUCUUUCCUCCCUUUUUGCCCUUCGAGAUCCUCUUGUUCUUCCUGAAACGGAUCGGAGACGAAGAGAUCGAUAAGUAAAAUGGCAUCAAAAGAUCGAAGACGAACUAGAAAGAUAGAGAAAGCAAUGGCGAAAACGGGAGAAGAAGCUAACCCGACCGCCAUGGUUGAGGUGGAGCUCUAGGGUUUCUGAUGCUUGCUCCGCCUCCACUAGGGUUUCGCCGCGCGCGAGAGAGGAAGAAGACGAUGGGCGGAGAAACCCUCGCCUUAGGACGCUAGGGUUUUAUAGAUUGGCGCGGUCGAAGAGAUAGUAGAUCGGACGGUUGAGAAGUUCCCUGAUGGAAUGAACGGGGUAGAUUUGGGAUGGGUACAAGCAGUGGAGUAGCAGAGGGAAGUUUACGACAUGUUUUCACAUAUGCCCCUCAAAAUUCAGGUAUUUUAAACGUUUUCUUCGAAAGCUGUAAUUUGCACCUAUAUCCUUAAUAAUAAUUAUAUUUACGUGAGGUUUUUUAAAAAUCUAAAUUAAUUUAAUCCAAUCUAGUCUAGUGUAGAUAUUAUUUAGCAGAAUUAUACCUUAUAUAAUCUCACAAUAAAUAACGAAUUAAAUAAAACUAUAUAAUUUAGUCUAAAUUAAGUUUUGGAUUGAAUUAAACUACGGUCUUUGUGUGAUAAACUACGAGUUUAUAUUUCAUAUAAAAAAAAAUAUGAUAAUAAUAUAAAAUACAUAAAUAAAUAUCAACUAUUUCUAAACAAUGUAGAUAUAAAUUAUUUGUUUGGAGAUACACAUCAGACCCUCUAGGCCUUGUCAAUUCUCAAUGCACAUGUGACCUCCAAAAUUUAACACAUUAUAAUAUAUUCAUAUUUGUCGUAAAUAAUAGGCUAAAUUAUAGAAAUUUUCCGGUCAAAAUUUAUUUUUUCACUUACCCUCUCCGAAUUUAAAAAAUCUAUAUUUUGCUCCCUUAAAAUUAAAAAAUAUUCACUUUGGCCCUCGUCGUUAGGGUUUUUUGUUUGCCACCUCAUCGUCGCCUACUUCUCGGUCUGCGCCUACCCCAACCUUGCGCCCCGCCGUUGCUAAACCGAAGAGCUACGGGAUUGCACAAGUAGAAGGGGAAGCAAAUGGACCAAGCAUAGUUGGAGUUGAAGUUAAGAGAGGUGCAGAAAAGAGAAGAGAAAGGGUUACAGAUGAAGAAGAGUUAGGAAGAAAACGAAGAAGAUGAGAGCAUUUUUGUCAUUUUUUUAUCACAAUUAAUACUGUACCCUUUUGUGAACAUUUUUUAAUUUUUGAGGGGUCAAAAUAUAAAUUUUUAGAAGUAGAUAAGGAAAAGUAAAGAAGUGAAUUUUGACAAGGGGCUUUACUGUAAUUUAGUCUAAAUAAUAAUAAACAUCGAUAUUUUACAAUUAAUUAAAAGCAUUCUUAAAAUUUAAUAAAUAUCUCACUUAAAAAGGACUAUUUAUGCAAUAGUGCAUAUAUAUAGUGCUUAUUUGUGAAAUUUCUCCUGCGCCAUUGUUGUUUGGACGUAAACAUACACUCCGUUCUCCACACUCUCUCGGCCUCCGCCAUGGCGCUUUCUCCUUCGACACCUCCCCUGCCCCUCUCCCCUCUCCUCCCCCGAGCCGAGCGAAACCCUUCCGCGCCCUCCACCGAAACCCUAAGGAAGCGCCUCGUCCGCAAGGGCGUCGUCCCCACUCCCAAGAUCCUCCACGCCCUCCACAAGAAGGAGGCGCAAAAAUCCCUCCGCCGAUCGAAGAAGCGUGCCGUACGAGACGAAUCCCCUCCCCUCUCCGAGUCCCAGAGGGAGGAAUUGGAGGAUGAGGCCCGGUUCCGCGCCAUCGCCACCGAGUACCGUGCGGUGAGGGAGGAGCUGCGGCGGCGGGGCGAGGUGGCGCCGCCGCUCGCCGGGAUGCCGUGGGAGGGGUUGGGGGGUGUCGAUUUGAGAGGGGUUUUGGGUGAUGGGGAUGGGGAUGGAGGGGGGAGGCUUAAAGGAGAGCACUUGGUGGAGUUGAGGGAGAUGCUUGCGGAGAGGAACGGGGAGCGGUUCCGGUGGCUUCUGGAUGAUGAUGUAGAACUGAACGAAGGCGUCGAGGCGGGGCAAGGGAGGAAACGGGAUUGUUCGAAGCAAAACCAGUUGGGAGAUGAUGAAAAGAUCGAAUUGCUAGCGAAAAGGUGCGAGCUUCUGUGGAAUUAGAAUUAGUAUAGUUUCGCUACAACAUAUAAAUUUUGAAUUCAUAAAGAAAGUUAAACUUUGAUUCUCAUAAUUUAGUAGUUUAGAGAAGUUUGAAUAUUGUUUUUCUAUAAUCCUUGUUAUUCUCAGUUUGUAAAGUUAUCUUGUAAUUUCCUGCAUUUUAUUUAGUUUGAAGCUUUUUUAUAAUUGUUUUGAUCUUGCAGUCACGAAAAUUUUGUGACUACGAAAGCUUAAAUAAGAUGAAUUGGUAGCUACUCUUAUACUUCUUCAUGAAACCCAUCCCCUCAAGGAGGAAUUUUGAAUUGAGUUGGACUUGCUGGAUUAAAUUCUCUUGUGAAAUAUUCAAUUUAUUGGCUUACUGUUGCAGAGCAAAGCUGAAUGACCUCGGUCCUUACAUUUCUGCAAUUUGUGCUCUUCAAAACAUUAUUGAAAUGCAAGACUUUUGAGAAGUGAAGUUUAUUUGAUUGCAGGCUCAGCGAAACUGAUCUUGAUUUGCAUGAUUGGAAGUUUCCGAGGUUGAUGAGACAAUCCGGCUUACUCUUUAUCGAGAUGUAUGUACUGAAGAUAAUUGCGAGACUUGGAACUCUUGGGAGUUGGAGGCAAGCCCUAUCUGUUGUUGAAUGGAUUUAUAAUGAGAAAGAUUACAAGCAUCGGAAAAGCAGGUAAAUUUCUUAAUUGACAUUGAUACGUCUUGUGAGGUACUGUUGGUUAUAAUCGACUUCUCUUGUCUUUUUUUGCAAAUACUAAUUUAUUGGAAUUAUAAUUCUGAAUACAUUUGAAUGGAAUGACUGAUUUGGGUUGUCCCUUACGUAGGUUUGUUUAUACAAAGCUUUUAGCAGUUCUAGGGAAGGCAAGGAGGCCUACUGAAGCUCUUCGUAUUUUCAAUAUGAUGCGGGUAAGUAAUUUUAUUAUCCGGAUGAUUAGGUAGUGGUAAUAACUUCUUUAUUAAUCUGUUGAUGAUCCCAGAAAAACUUGACAUAGCUUGUUAUUUAUGCUUUGAAUUUUGAUUAUGAUUAAACUUGAUAUACAGGAAGAUGGUCAGAUAUAUCCUGAUAUGGCUGUAUACCAUAGUAUUGCCGUCACACUCGGUCAGGCAGGUCUUCUAAAUGAGUUAAUCAAAGUCAUUGAGUAUAUGAGGCAGAAGCCUUUGAAAAAGAUUAGGAAUAUGAAACGAAACUGGGAUCCAAGCUUGGAGCCGGAUGUGAUUAUAUACAAUGCGGUGAAUAUAUCCUCUUGUAUUUUGCAAUUCUUCAAGAUGUAAUUUGUUAAAUUACAAGAACACAUGGUUGAUAAUUGUAACAAUUCUUGGUAGGUUUUAAAUGCUUGUAUUCCAUCUCAUCAAUGGAAAGGAGUAUUUUGGGUGUUUCAGCAGAUGAGAUUCAGUGGCUUGAAACCUACUGGAGCAAGUUACGGAUUGGCCAUGGAAGUAAGUUGUUAGUAGUGUUCAUAAUGCUCAUUCACUUUGACUAGAACUUUAGAUCAUCAAAAUUGCUUAAAUUUCUUCUUUACAGCAUCUAGAUCUUCAACCUUGCUGUGAGAACAUUAUGACCUUUUUAGACUUUUUGCUGGUAUCAUCAUUCAAAGCCAGGACCAUACUAGUGAUUUACUUUAGUUGAAAGAGGUGAAAGUAACAUACACAAUAUUGAUUUACAAGUGGAUUAUUUUUUAUUUUUCUUGUACUUCUUGGAUAUAUACUUCAUUGAUGAACAGUGCUGUAGUUAAUAGUUGUCGGAAACUGUUCAGUUCAUACAAAAUUAGUACCCCAUCUUAAUAAAGCAAUAACCUAGUAGAGGGAAGUUCCUGGAGGGGAAUCUGAAAAAUCAUGCAUGUUUAGUGGGACAAUUAUCAAGAAUUAGGAGUGCUGGUUGUGGGCGUUUAUUCCCUUCUUUUCUUCUCAUAUAUCUGUUUCUUACAUAAUACCCCUCUUUGUUCUAUUUAUCUAAAAUGAAUCAUUGACCGCAAAUGAAAGAUGUUCUGUGAUGCUCCUAACCCGUGUCACUAUGAAGGAUUAUAGUACUUUGUUGGAACUUGGAACAUAAUCAGUUCACUCGCAAAUAGCAACCUCUACUUACCCUACCAGCUGGCUUGUAUCAAAGUGGCUGGUGCCAAAUUAAUCAUCAAACCACAAAAGGCUGACUAUAUAAGCUCAUUAAAGACAAUAUACGACCUAUCGACUUCUGUACGAAAAGGCUCUUAUGCAUGAUUAACCAGGUCCUCCAAAAUUUUUCUUGUUCUUUGAUUUUCUCAUAUUAUAGCAUUGUCUGUUUGCUAAUUUUUUCUUUGCUUGUUAGGAUUAUCUUGAAAAAAAACUUAGAGAAUGUCAUCUAAGAGGGUUGCAUUCAGUAAAUAUUGCAUCAUAUUAUUGUCCCUGAUUACUUGGUAAUUUUAUCUAUUCUUUAGUUUUAUCUAUUCGUUAAAACAUUUUUCUAUUUCAAGUCUUAGAGGAGCUGUUUUUGAAGGUGAUGCUGAAUGCUGGGAAAUAUGAAUUUGUUCAUAGAUUCUUUGAGAAAAUGCAAAAAGGUGGAUUAACGCCAAAAGCAUUAACUUACAAAGGUAUUAUUGCUAUUCGUUUUAGUGAUUACACACUAUAAUCUGACUUCCUAAUUAAUUUUGAACAAAUAUACAGUUUUAGUGAGAGCCUUUUGGCAAGAAGGUAAAGUGGAUGAAGCAGUUAAAGCAGUCAGAGAUAUGGAACAAAGAGGAGUAGUUGGAGUAGCAAGUACAUAUUAUGAAUUGGCAUGUUGCCUUUGCAACAAUGGAAGGUGGCAAGAUGCCAUGCUGGAGGUAUGUCAUCAAAAUGAAAAUGCUCUGGAUACAGUGAAUAUGAACUGAACACCGGCAUAUAUGUUUUUUUUGUUCUAUAUUUGGGUAUGCUUCACUGCAGGAUUACUGGCCUGAGCAUAGUAAUAAAUUACUCCAUGUUGUUGCUUAGGGAAUAUCCUUGGUGCUUUGUCAUGCAUUCCCCUUUGCUGUUACUUCAAAUUUUUAUCUUUAUGAUUUAUAGUUAAAUUUAAAAUGUUUGCUAACAGAGAAAGUUUAUUUGGAGAGCAUAAUCUUUCAUAAUCUAGGAAUGAAGGCAGGAGUUCUCACUACCUAAUAUUCUCUAUAUCUUCUGCAUAUUGCAUGUGCUGAUGGGCCCAUGUGUCUUUAUUGAUAAUUAACUGUAAUAUCUCUAUGGUAGUUUAGUGCUUUCCCAACUUACAAUUAUAUUUUUGCAUGCAAAGUAGCUUAUAAUGUCUGAUAGCUAACAAAAGGAAGGAACAAUGCUCACAAUAAAAAGGGUGAUCUGAAUUAUUUUCUUGACCCUACAUAUGCUGGCAUGUUAGAGUUUUGUUGGAUUAUCUGCCUACUUGCUCUCUGCAUCUAUAUUACCUACAUAUUAUUAUUCACAGCGUACAGCAGAUGCUCACAAAGGCCUACUGCAGGUUGAGAAACUGAAAAACCUUUCUUUCGCUAAGCCACUGGAGGUAGCAUUUACUGGUAUGAUAUUGGCUUCAUUGGAUGGUGGACAUCUCAAUGACUGCAUCUCGAUAUUUGAACGAAUGAAGGAUUACUGUACUCCUAAUAUUGGAACCAUAAAUGCCAUGCUGAAAGUUUGCAGCCGUUCCGACAUGUUUGCAGAAGCAAAAGAACUGUUUGAAUCCACAAAGGCCACGUUCUCCGGUUUUGGGAUCUAUAGUGAUGAUGGUUCAUUACUUAAGCCAGAUGAAUAUACGUACAGUACCAUGCUUGAUGUGUCUGCUUCUGCCCACCAAUGGGAAUAUUUUGAGUAUGUGUACAAGGAGAUGGCACUCUCAGGUUAUCAACCAGAUCAGAAGAAAAUUGCAGGGUUGCUGGUUGAAGCAUCCCGAGCUGGCAAGGUAAACUAGCUUUAGUGUGCUAUUUUAUCAUCCAUGUGUAUUAAUAUUUUUAGCAGAUCCAUGUGAAAACAUUUGGUGGUUUUAUUCUCAUCUAAAGUGCAGUAUUAGCAUUCAGUAUAUUAAUGCUUGUUUCUCCUUUCUCAUUUUGUGAUUUUACUUUAGUUAUGCCGACUUAAAAUCGUUUCAUUACUGUAGACCUAGUUUUUCCUGAUAAUCUUUUUGGGGUUUGAAUUUAGAUAUUUGGUCAUAUAGUGUUCAAAAGCUUAACUAACAAGACUGUCUUCACAUUGUGUCCCUGUAGAUCAAGCCUUAUUUGAUACUGCUAUUUUCCAGAUUACAUCUUAUGCAGGAGAAUGGUGACAGAAUUUUGAUUCUGUUUGUUUUUAUUUAGAUGCAUUUGCUGGAGCAUGCAUUCGAUGCUAUUCUGGAGGCAGGAGAAAUCCCGCAUGAAUCAAUGUUCACUGAAAUGAUUUGCCAGACAAUUGCUCACAACAACUUUGAAAGAACUGUGAUUCUAGUAAACAGCAUGGCUCAUUCAUCGCUAAGAAUAAAUGAAUCACAGUGGGCGAACCUCUUCCAAAAUAACAAGGAUCGAUUCAGCAGUGCUACAAUGCAAGAUCUAUUGAACUAUUUCCACAGCUGUAAUCUUGUGACUGAAGAACCUGUCCCUAGUUUUCUCAAAUCAUUGCAUUCCAUCUGCCGAACUAGACUGUUAAAGGACGCUUCUAUUGUAGCUGAUAAACUAAAUGAUGAGGACAGUGAUAUACAUUCUAGCAAGGAAAAUUCCACAUUGCAAGAAAUGGUUACAGAAUCGAUCAGUUUAGCUUUUGAAGCUGAGGGCAAAGAGAUGCACUCUUUACUAAACUGCGACUCACGGGCUUCUAUAACUGAUACAGCACUUGACAUGCUGACUAUGAAUGUUGGCAAUCCCUAUGCAGAGUUGCCGUCAGCUUUGGAGAUUCUUGAAUCGUGGAAGCAAGACAGGAUGAAAGAUGAUGCUUUUCUAUCAACAAUGAGUAGAAAAGUAGAAUGGAAAUAAUUGGGUAUCAUCUUUUUCAAAUUUUCCACGUGAUGAAUAUGUUGUUUGAUAUUGUAUAUUUCAAUUGCGGUUAUACAUUUCAGGGUAUCAUCUCCAAUUUGAGCUCUUUGGUCCCAUUCUUGAAGCAGCAGUCUGAUCUUUUUAAGAAGAAUCAAUUUGAUACCUUUUUUUUUUGUCAUUAUAUUGGAUUUGAAUCGGAUUUAUGGCAGCAAGCACAGAUCACAGUUUCUAUACUUCAAAAUUGGUAGCUGGUACAUCAAAUAUUCAUGUGUGAUCAGUUGUGUUAUCUGAACGGUAGAUGAAAUUUUGCUUGCGAAGCUGACAUUGUAGGGGCCUUAGUGAAAAAAUUUGUAAAUUAUUGUACAUUUAGCGUCGCGCUAGUUGUGAAAUUCCGUUGUUUCUAAUGUGGAUGGGUUUCUAUUUAAGUUGCUACACAGCGAAAAAAGGAUUCAUAAUGGUUGGAUGCUGCAGUUAGUUGCAGUUAGGGGCUGUUUGGUUGUAUGCUCAUGUAUCUAUUAAUUUUUUGUUUGGAUUGGUGUAGUUAGGUCCAACUGCUGCAGUUGUAUCUGUACGAGAAGGUCCAACUGCAACAGUUGGUAUACCAACUGUAGCAGUUGAGCAGGAGUCGGCUCACCCAUUAAAAAAAUAAACAAAGUGUGAUUUUUUCUUUUUUCAUACACUUUUAUUUUUAAUUUUUUUUUUCAAAAAUACAUAUUCAUGAAAUCUGAUAGGAUUUAGUAAUGUCUGUUAGGGUCAAUAAAUUUUUUUUAUACGUUUCUUAUUUUUUAGUUUGCUAGUUUAAUAAUAUCUUAAUUUUUAUUUUGACUAAAUUUAUAAUAUAUUUACAUUUAAAAUUUAUUAAAUUCAUACAUAAUUUUAUAAUAUAUAAAUUAUAUAUAGAUAUAAAAGUCUUAUUUAAUAAUUAAAACAUGAUUACCUUAUGCUCAGAAGAGGUAAUCUUACCUUUCUAUUUAAAAAUUGACAGAAUUUAUAAGCACAAAUCUCAAUUGCAGACUACCAAACAGAAGAAAUGUAAUUGCAGCAGUUGCAAGUGCAUAAAACUAAACAGACUAGGUGUAGUUAUGAUUGCAACAUUUAUAACUGCACGUACUUCCAACUACACUGUUUUUGUAACUACAUCCAACCAAACGGCCCCUUAGAGAUUAUGUAUAACACCGUACGCAACCACCAAAUGUUGAAUAAUUCUGUGUGCAAUUAUCGCUAUUCGUAUCGAAACUUUGUGAGUUUAUCACUUCAUUUUACCUUACGAGAUUGCUUGAUUAGUCAUAAGAUCAGCCAGGGUAUUGCAGGUGAUUGUGAUUUUGUUUCGUGGAGGCAGGAAUAAUAUUCUUGCUGAUACUGUUAUAAUGUCUUGCUGAUAACUGUUAUCAUUUACAGAACGUAGGAAUUUUCUUCCUCACUGGAAGGUGUGUUGAUGUUCGCUGCAAAGCCUAUAAAACAGUUAUCGGAUAAGGCACUGGCGAGGCAUGAAUCGCUCUUCCUGGAAUUGAAAGCGCCUAACGACAUUGUAACUGAAGGUAACACACACCCUAGUUUGUUGCUUCUGUUCCAUGACAUAAAUAUAAACAAAGAUGGGAUCUGAAAUUUCAAACACAAGCAAACAAGCAGAGAUAACUUCAAAUUGCCAAGUAUCGCGGUCAACUGCUCACAAUUGCAAUACAUAGAUGUUGAAUUAAGAACACUUCCAACGAAAGGAAUUCAUACUUGCAGAGUUCCAAAUUUUACAGUGUCUUGCAUUUCUCCACUAGUUGAGAAAAUCCAUGUUUCUUGCUAAAGUUCUUCUGAGACAAUAUUUUCUACCAACAGUGCACUCGAAUUUCGUUUUUUUUUAGAAUUGAGAAUAUGCACCAUGCAGAAGUAUGUGAAAUACACUAGCCUAUAUUUAUAUAAAAGCCAAAAAACAGAGUUGGCUUUAUUACAGUUCAAGGAUUACAAUCACAAUAACUUAAUAUUUACAAAACAACAACACAUGCUCCGAUUCUUUUGACCACUCUGACGAACAAAAACAAAGAGUGUCUCCCACAUUAAAAAAGGAAAGAAACAAGAAAACAGCCAUGCAAACAAACUAUACAUUAUUCAUACAUCCAAAUACUAGAGAGGCAGAUAACAAUAUUUUUCGCUGAGGAUGUGCAUUGAUAAUAUUGUACCCAUCCAAGCAACUUCAAGUUUUCUUCAGCCUGAAAUAAAAACAUAGAGAGAUGAAGGAUUAGCUUGCUGAAGUCAAACCAUAAAACAUACUCAAUUUAAUGAUUUAGGAUUAGAUUAGAUUGAUGGUUUUAUGCUUCAGUUAUAUUUCUUGGAUUUAUCUAGUCGAAAUAUUCACAUGUCAACUCAUCACCCUAGACUCCAUAUGUUUUUUUUUUCCCCUGUAGAUGGAUCAUAUCUAUGUGGAGAAAAUGAAAAAUCAGACUUACGACUAUAACAAGAUCAAGAUGCCCUUUAAGAUUAAGAUUGUACAUAACUAGUAAACUAAAUUACGAGGGCAGUUGGUUCAUUACUGAGCAACUAAAUGCUGGAUACUUUUCCUAUGAGAUCUCUCACCUUUUUUAUUAUUUUAAAAUUUACUCCCUUCAGCUCCUGUUAAGGAUUAUCCAUUUUUUACUAAGCAUUCACCUGACAAUUCUUUAUCCUAGUUAAAAUGCCUCUUAAGGAGACUGUAAAUGAUACCAACAUACUCCUACUUAAGUAAGUUUAAUUAAAUAUUAUAUAAUCCACCAGAAAAUUCAGAAGAACGGAAAGAAGAAUGAGAAGAUGGCCACAAAUUAUGUGCAGACAAAUAACUUCUAGAUGCAUGCCAAACUGCUCAUUCUCAAAAACUAAUGAUAGAUUAGAGGCCAGCUAUUGUCUUGGUAAUCGACUCUCAGUUACCAGAUUUCAAGUUUUCUAAGCAAUUUGGACAUGCAGCUAACUUUACCAGCAUGGAUCUUCACUUCAGUUUAAAUAGGCCAAACUCUGCUUUCGACACAAUGCUAUUACAAACGGAAACUUCAAGCCAAACUCUGCAUUCGACACAAUGCUAUUUACAAAUGGAAACUUCAAACAUGAAAAUUGUUUAAUGUGUAUCCAUCCUGUUGCAAAAAGGAAGGCCAUAAAACCCUUUCCCAUUGGCAAACUAUUAUCAUCACCCAUCUCAAACACUAAUUUAAUUACGCUGGUUCCUAAAUAAAAAAAGUUACGAAAUGUAAAGUUCCUAAAUUGAAGUUGAGAAAUAAGAAAAUCUAAGGAGAGAGUAGAUGUAUAUCUAACGCAACAUGGACUUAGAAGAACAGGUUACUAUAUAUUCAAAAAUCUAACAAUGCUACAAAUGACGAUAUCAUUCACAGCACAGAAAUGAACCAAAAUACAGUUUCAUGUUGUAUUUGGUCCAAACAACAUCGAAAUACUUACAAAUAUACAAAUGCUCCCCAAACAUGAGCUAGUGAUCACCCCAUCUGCCACUGCAAAAAACCCAAAUUCCAUUUCAACAAAAAAAUAAAAAUAAAAAUAAACACAAGGCAAAGACGAUCCGUUCUCUAGUACAAGAAUCAUCUAAAUACCUCUGAACUCCAAUAUCUAUAUUACCUUAAGAACUGGCUCUCCUGCGCUCGCUGCAUUCGAUUGCUUCGAGGCAGCCGCCAACUGAGCUCGAGCUGCCCUUCCCGCCGCUGACUUCUCAAACUGCUCUUGCCUGCAAAAAUCACGACAAAAGCAAUCAAUCUUUGCAUCAAAAGAGUCAAUUACACCGAACCUACUUAAAAUAUAGCUAUACUAAUCAACAUUAUAGCAUCAAAAUUCUUCUUUUCCAAUUCAUAAUAAGAGAGAACUGGAUCCCCAUCAAUCUUUGAACCAAAAGAGCUAAUUGAAGCCAACCCGCCCAAAACCUUCUUUUCCCAUUCAUAAGGGAGAAUUUGAUGAAAAGAUGGAUAUAUGUUUUGCACAAAAUGUAGAGAGAAUUGAGCCGAACUUUGGUUUGGAAUAAGUGAGUUUGAGUGCAAAGCCAUUACCUUUUCCUGCAUUAUCCUAUAUCACAUGGCUCAUAGAGUAAUUAGAAGUAGAAGAGUUUUCUUAUGCAUGUAAACGCAAAUCACGGCAAAUUCAACCGCAAACCAUCAGAUAUUCGGAUUUAUUUUACGCUUAUUAAAAUCAUUUCAAGUCAUCAGGUAUCAAUGCAAAUCCACUAAUGCUUCCAACUAUGGAAUUUAAUGAUACAAAUCAAUGAUUCAGAGGAUUCCAAACAAGAUGGUACACAUAAAACUCAUCGCCCUUUGCAUCAAAUAAGCCAAUUUGACCCAACCCACUUGAAUCCUAGCUGUUCUAAUGAACAUUAUAACGUCAAAAUCUUGGUUUACAUAUGAAGAGAAUCAAAUCAAAAAAUGCACCAAAAACAAAAAAAAAUAAAAACACACCCUCUUUGCAUCAAAAAGAGCCAAUUAAACCCAACGCGCGUGGAUUGUAGCCGUGCUAAUCGAUAUAAGAACGUCAAAAAUCUUCAUUUUUCGAUUGGUAAAGAGAGAAUUAAAAUCAAAAGAUGCGAAAAUCGCUUACCUCUUCUGAGCGGCCUCAGCCGCUUUGGCGCGCGCCUCCUGCGAUUCGAGGCGAUCCUCCUCGAGCCUCUGCGCCUUCGACGAGUCGAGGCACGAGCAGAGUCCCCCCAUCUCGAUCCCUCGUAAACCCUAAUCCCCUCUCUCUCUCUCUCUCUCUCUCUCUCUCUCUCUCGAUCCUUCCUAAACCCUAGUUCUCUCCCCACAUCCCUCUCUCUCUCUCUCUCUUCCCCCUCGUCGUCCUCGUCGACGUUCGCUUUUAAGCCACAGCUAUUUAUCGUCGGACGCUGUUGGACGCGGUUUGACAUGACUUGGGCCAGGGAUAUUCUGUGGCGUGCCACGUGGUGGACCCGUCCAAUGAAAAAGCAUGCACAUGCUAUACGAGGAAGAUGUGACGUCUCUACUCAAUCAAAUUAUUUUGUUUAGAUUCAUCUAUCCCAUCAUCAUUAAUAAAAAAAUAUUAUUAUUAUUAUAUUUUUUUAAAAAAAUAUAUAAUUAACUUAUUAUUAAUAGUAUGGUAUAAGUGUGAUACUAAUAUAUCAUAAACUUUUUCUUAUAUGAGAGAAUGAGCACUCUAAGUGAAAUAAUUAUUUCGUAUACGGUAAUGCAACGUCUAAUUAAAUAUUUUUCUAUUAUUAUAAAAAUAUAUAAAAUAGUUUUAUAAAAUUAUUUUUAUACAUAAUUAUUGUAUUUUUUUAUUUUUUUUGCCGCAUCCUAGCGGAUAUUGCACGAGAAAAGUACGAGUUUGAGUCUUCCCAAAAAAAAAAAAAAAACAGAUUUUUAAAUCCAGACAAUAUUAUUAUUAUGCAUGUUGUUAAAUAUAUCGGCAAUCUAAUAUUGAUAUAUUCUUCAAUAUUAGAGUCCACGUCUGACGUGGUGAACUAGGUUCACGGAGCAAUUUUUAAGCUAUCGUCCGAAAUUAGAGUUUUUUAUAAAAUAAUUUUUGAAAAUUUUAUUAUUUGCGAAAUAACCUUAUCAAAAUUAUAUUUAAAAAACUAAUCUCUUAAAGAGGGUGAAUGAUUCACCGCUCUCAUAAAGAGCCUAAUUUCUCAAAAAAACAGUAAAUCAUUCACCACUUUUCACUUGUUUAUCCUAACAGCCACAUAAAUAUUUCAACAAAUCACAUAUAAUCUUAACAAAUUAAAAAUCCUAAUAAUAUAUUUAUAUAAUCCUAAUAAUUAAAAAAAUUUUAAUAAUCUAUCCAUAUAAUUCUAACAAUCAAAUAAAAAUUCUAAUAUUCUCCAUACAAUCUUAACAACCUCAUUUUUUUUAUUUCUCGUAUAAUUUACAUAUAAUUUUAACAAUCUCAUAAUUUUCUUUUUUUUAAAAAAUUAUGAAAAAGAUGGUGAAUCAUUCACCGUCUUUAAAAGAGAGACUUUCAGAAUGAUUCAUCGCGUUUUGAGAGUUAAUUUACCGAACACAAAUUUGAUAGGGUUGUUUCUCAAAUUAUAAAAUUUUAGAUGGUUAUUUUGUAAAAAAGUCCUCCGAAAUUACGUUUCUCUCAUCUCUACACCGGUAGGCGAUAGCGUCGCGGGCGGGGAAGUGAAAACUGAAAACUCGGAACUCGAAAAUCUCGGAAUCCUUUUUACAGCGGCGGCGAUGAGCUCCGCCGCCAGCGCCGCCCCCCGCCGGAGAUCGUUGCGGUGGCUCCCGCCGACCGAAACCCUAGACCUGGGCGGCGGCCUCUCCCUCUCCCCUCGUCUGAGGCUCCUUCUCACCUUCUUCCGCGCCGACCUAUCCGUCGCCCCACUCGACGAGUGGAAGCUCAAGCUCGCCCUCCUCCGCUCCCCCUCCCUCCCCACCCUCUCCGACGAUGAUCUCCUCCUCCGCCGCGCCCCCGACCCCCACAAGCUCCGCCGCGGCGACCCCGUCGCCUUCGGCACCCUCUACGUCCGCGACCUCGCCUUCCUCCGCCGAUCCAGCGAUGUCGACGGUGACGAGGAGGACGAAGAGGCGAUUCGGAAGAGGUUCUUGGAGUGGAGGAGCUCCGUGGUGGAGAGAUUGGGCGGGAUCGAGCUGAACCUGGAGGGCUUGAGGUUCCGGAUGGAGGUGGAGAUCCCUCCCUCCGACGAUUUCGAGCGGAUGAAGAGGUCGUGGGAGGAUUGCUACGCCUCGCAGCUGCUCGAUGGCCGUAAUUUUGCCCUAACCCUAGUUUUGCUCGAUCAAGUUGUUGUCUUUCUAGUGUGGCGCUUAGUUGAGAUGUGUUUAACUAGGGUUUGCUUCUCAGGGAGCUCGGUAAGGCGCGUUCCUCGGCGGCCGGAUACGAUAAUUGUGCAGGGCGUGCCCUCGCGGUGGUUCGCGGAGCCGCGAGUGUCGUCCAAGGCUUCGAUGCUUGUUACACAUACCAUCUUUUCGGUAUUGGGGAAGAUAAGGUAUUGAUUUUGUAGUAACUGUAUUUACUAAUUAUAAUUUGCUUGCUUUUUUAUCACAGAACAUGUUGGUGAAAACUGUUGAACCGUAUAAAGGAUUGGACAGGAUACAUUAUUUCAUGCUUCUAUUUCUUAUAAUUAUAAGUUGUUAUUUGUUAAUGCUGUUGUUGAUGGUCAAAGUUCGUUAAUAUGUGUUUUUAAUCAACGUAACCGUGCUAGGAAUCUCAAUGUUGCCGGCGAAGAUGAUUUAGGUAAGAACCAAGAUGAAACAACAGGGGAGAUGUUAUCUGGACUUAAUUGCAAGGUCUGGGUACAAUUCGAGAACUAUGAUGAGUUCUAUAAUGCAAUGAAGGUGCUAUGCGGACGAUCACUGCAGAAGGUAACUAUGAUGAGUUUUACGCAUUUGAAUUCUUCUGAUCUGUUAUGGAAGUUAUUUAUCAAUUGUCAGGUUUUUGGUCCUUUGAAUGCAGAACUACUGCCAUGUCGCGAGUUAGUGCUCCUUAUGCUAGCGUAAAAUUUAGCAACUAUUUGUUGUCCAAUGGUCAUACUCAUACAAGCCGCUAUACUCUAUCUGGAUGCUUCCAACUAUAGAUUAUAUUGAACCUUCUUUACGUGAAAUAUAUUAUUUUACUGCCUUUUGCACCUAAAACGAGAAUCAUCAAAAUACAUGAUGCUUGAAUUGCAGGCAUUUCGAAUAUUUAGCUGGUAGUGUGGAUUUUCAACAUUGAUUCCUAAGAUUAAUUUGGGUGGAGUAUUGAUGCCUCAAUUAUGUUUUCAGGAUAUUGACUUCACGCUGUAUGUACCUUACUGCCUUUCUAUAAACAUUCUCAAUCUGUGAAUUGUCAUUUUUUUUUUGGACACAGUUCAGUUUAGAGAUAAUCUAGUGUGAUAAAAUUUUCUUUCAUGCUUGAAAUGCCUGCUAUACCACAACAAAUGACUAGUGACAAUAAAAUCAAUUUUAUGUUUGGAAUCUUGGAUUGACUAAAGAGGGAGACAGUGCCAUUCUAGUUGAGGAUUGAAUUGGUAUUGCCUUGUUCUUCGAAAAUAUCUUCAAAUUACUCUCACCUCUCAAAAAUGUGUCAUUUAGCCAACUGAGGGAGAUACAUGUGUUAUUACCAAUAAAAACAGCGUUAGAAGCUUAGUUUCAUUCUCAUUAAUAUAGCUUGUAAAGAAGGUUCUCAAGUUAUAGCUUAUAGAAGCAUCUAUAGUUCCCAGUUGAGUAUGAAAUUAAACUGUGCUAAUUUUGUAGCAAGGAUCACGAUUAAAGGUAGACUAUGAAGUGACAUGGGACCGAGAUGAUUUCUUCCGAACUGUUCCACAAAAGCCCACUAUAAAUCAUGGACAAGAAAGGGGUGGCUCAGUACAGCUGGUGAGAGGACGUAUUAGAGAUGAAGCUAUUGAACAUCGGUCACAGCUUACACAUUUUGACUCGGAUGGUUCACGUAGGAAAAGAUUCAGAGUAAGUUCUCUAUAUCAGGUCAUGCACCUAAACUAUUAAUAGAUGCAUACUUCCAUAUCGCUCUUCUUAUUUGUGCAAAAGGUUAUAGUGAUAUUUUUUAAUGUCAAGAAUUAGUGCCUGUGGGCCUAGGUUCUGAAACGACUUUUCCACUCUGAAAAGCAGCUAGUUGUUUGCGAACAUAAAAUUUGGCUCUUUUGCUGAGGUAGGAGGCUGAAAUAAGCUUUUGAAACCCAAGAUUGGACGCUCCAAUUUGAAACUUUUGCUUCUGCUGCAAGGAGAGCUAUUGGAGAAGGUAUUAAUGAAAUAGUUGUGACUGCUUUUUUGAUUCAUGAUUGCUUCUGUACACCGUGAAUCCUGGCAAUAGGAUCAUGAUUGGUAGAACACUGUGAUGCGGACUGAUCACCAAACCACAACGUCCAUUCAUACCCUACUAAAAACAAGGGCGGUGAACUGGUGGCUCUUCUGAUAUAUAGAGAAUUUGCUAUUUUUUGUUUGCUUAAACAUUCUUUUCCAGAAGCCAGAAGCUCCAACGAGCCAAAGAGGCCCUUUUUAUACGAGUUUAUAUAACAUUCACGGAUAGAUCACAUGCAUGUCAAAUAAUUAGCUGUUGCCCAUGCAAUCUUGUACUAAUUGCCUAAAGUAACUGCACAGAUUCUUUAUUUUCCGUUAUGCGUCUCAUCUCAUUUUCCUUGUUAUUUUUGCUUCCGUUUUAUUAUGAACUAACUCUUCAUCGCUAUUUCUUUUCUCUUUUCGGUGUUAAUAACAUACAGGACUGAGGGGCAUUGCACAAAAUUGUUAGGCACGUGCCCAAGUCGGCUUGCAAAGACCAAAUACGGAAACAUGAGAGACUCCGCCAUCUCAAGACAGAAAGAUGUUGUAUCAUCUAGCCAGUUUGUGGCCUUUAAAUUACAUAAAAAGCCUUUAAAUUACAUAAAAAGUUUUUGUGAUACCGUGCCAUGUUGGAUCAGAUUCAACCUGCGAAUUUUUCAGUUACUAGAAUCUUAAUAGCUCAAUGGUGAUAAAAAAUUUGCAAGUUUGGGUGAUGAUUUGUUCAAGUUCGUUCUCUAAUUUGCUUACAACCGGUCCCGUGAAAUGUUUCUUAUGUUUUAGUAUUGUAAAUUACAUCUAACGGUUUAUAUUUUCGUUUGAACGCCUUUAUAAUUGAGUUUCAGAGAUUUCGGCCUACUGAUCUCCCUUUAUGCAGGUAGUUUAUGUGUUUUUCAUAUUUCAACUCAAAGCAGUGUUUCGAAAAUUGGUUGAGCUCCAAUUACUUGCUGAGCAAACACUGCAACGAUUCAAGCCGCUAGUACUGAUAACUUCGUGUUCAAUUCAGAAUACUUAAGUUCAGUUAUUAAACAGUAAAGUGCUUAAUUCUUAUGUCUAAUUCUAAUUUGUUAUUCAAUGUAAAACUAUUGGGGUGGUACUCACACUUGUCAAAUCAGUCAAAUCUUCAAAGCAUGGAGCUACAAAUGGCCAAUCUAGUUGUUUUAUAUUUUUAACUAUAUUUAUACCUAGCACAUAGUCGAGAGAUCGAUGAAUGGUGUCUGGGAUUCUAAAUUCAAAAUCUAGUUGUUUUAUAUUUUUAACUAUAUUUAUUUCUAAAAUACUUAAAUGAAAUGAGCAGCUUACUACUUUUCUCUUAAAAAGAGAAAAAGAAAGAAAGAAAUGAACUGAACUCAGAGAAGGGGGAAUCUAGAACAGUGUAGAAUUGAAUCCCCACAAGCAAAUAAAAAGGAGCAAUAAAACUGAGAAGAAAAGAAUAUAAGAACUAAUGAUCUUAAAGCCUGAUUCCCAGUCAAUUUCAACUUGGACAUACAUACAUACAUACAUAUGCACAGCUAAAUUUACACAUAUUGACAAUCUUCUUGUAGCAAAUUAAUGAGCAAGAAAAUCAAAAGAAAACAAAAGAAAGAGGCAUCUUUAUUCUCAUGACCCUUCCUUCUCAUUCUAUUUACAAUUGCUUUCAAGUGUGAACUACAAUUCACUUAUCUGCAUCCACCAUCAUCAGCUUCUUGCCCUCAACAACUCUCUUUCCAUAGUCCUUUUUCUUCAUAGUACCUGGCACCAAAUACCACAAUACAGUAGUGCAACAUAUAGCAAAAACUCUUCCAUACAACACUAAACAAACCAGUAUCAACACCACCACCAUAGGCCAAUAAUAUCUUCCCCAAGAGAAGCUCUUCUUCACCACCCUCUCCCCCUCCUCCUCCUUAUCCAAUACCAUUUUCUCCUCUCCGAUCGCCGCCGACGCCUCACCGACGGUCUCCGACACCUUCUUCUUGUCCCUCUCUUUGCAAUCUCUUAUCCUCACGACGAUCGGAACCCAGCUGUCGUGCGAGCUCGAGUAGGCGAACCGCACCAUUGCGACGCCCCGUGACCCGGCCUUCGACAUGAUCUUCUCCUUCUUGGACUCUAGCUCCGAUAACACCGUCGAGAACUUGUCGAGCCCUCUCGUCGAGUAGGGGUUCUUGUUGGCCUUCUUCCUGGAUCCCUUCACUACUGGCGGCAGCGGCGACGACGACACAGGAACUGCACUUGUGUUUGUAUCCUCAUGAUCAAUGUGUUUGAGGUUACCAGUUCCACAAAACAUGGUUCGAAGCAGCUGAACAAGUUUAUGCGAGCUUGAGAGGAAUUGACUUUGUCCUUAGUUCUUAUCAUGAGUUGUGGAGGUGUUGUACUUUAUAUACAUGAUGGUCUCUGCGUGUGUGUACAAAUCAAUGGUCAAAGGGAUACAUGUUUUGUUGCGGUUCAGAGAAGCUUCUGCUUUUAGUUUAUUAAUUAAAUACUUCAUGUGGUCAACACGGAGCACCUUGGGCAGAUAAAUUUAUUAAUCACGUUUGAAAGAGCUGUUAUUUUGGAAAUUAUUCUGAGGCUUUGAAUUGGUCCACCAUCAAAUUUUAUCUUUCAACAUUAGUAUUAUCAUCCUGAAUUGUCCCUUGUGUAAGUAUUAAAGGAUUAAUAGUUAAUAAUUGAGAUUCCAAAUUGGAAAGCUUAUUGUUUCAUUUUCUCAGCUAAGGGGUUGUUUGGCUUUUAGAAAAAGUUUGAAAAAAAGUGUAACACGCCUACAAUCUCACAUCGAACGGAAAAGAAAUUGUGAUUGAAAAUAUAAGAGAUUGCACAUCUUAAUAAUAAUAACUUGAUUUAAAUAUUUUGGGUCGGUGGUUUGAGUCCAACAAAUUAUUAUUUUUAUCUGAUCGGAUUGUUACAAUUAGUAUUAAAACCAAAUACCAACUAAAAGUGUGAGAACUAAAUACUAUACGGGAUAAAAUACUACACCAUAAAUUUGGCGGGAACCAACUCCUGAAACUUACAGGAGCCGCUUUUAAAAUCUCACAUCCCAUUAAACCUGCAUGAGUCAUAUCUAAAAUCUCAUAUCUCACUAGACCCGCAGAAGUUAUUUCUAGAAUCUUACAUCACCUGUAAUCAGGUUUAAACCAGAUGUGCAUGAGUCACGUUUAAAAUCUCACAUCCUACCAAACUCGUAGUAGCUAGAAACCACCUCUAAAAUGUCACAUCUUGAGUUUAGACUUAACGAAAAAGUCCCACAUCAGAUCCUCGCCAGGUUCUAAACUGGAGUCCCAAAAUGAAAAAAUCCCACAUUAUUACUUUUAUUACUUUUGUUUUCUACUUUUUUUUUUUUUGGAUAACAAAAAUACUUUUUUUAAAAAAAAUCUAUUUUUUUAAAAAAUAAUAUUUUUUUUAAAAAAUCAAACAGUAAAAUUUUUUGAAAAAAAUUCUCUGGUUUUUUAGAAAUUUUCGCACUACAACAUAAUUAGAUUGUAGGGACACAUGUUUUGGACACUUUUGUGUAGUGUUCCAUUUAUAUCAAAAUUUUUUAAAAAAUCUACUAAUGUCUAAAUAUAAAAUUCAAUCCAACGUUACUCUACUCAAUUCACCCCACCCAGCCCAUUCGGCCCGAUUACAAACAGAAAAGUGAAAACAAAGAAAAAUCGAUUACUAUCUCUCUUCUCUCCUCACUCAAUCCACUGAAAUUUUAGACGAAAAGCCCUUCCCUCUCAUCCUCCUCCGUCACCGCAGCCAACGAGAUAGAGUUUCAACGGUUGCUAAAUGUUUAAAUAGGUGCUGGUAAAUUAGCAGCACUCUUUUUAGAUUAUAUCGAUACUUUUUUACUGUCACUAUAUACCUAGCGACCCCACAUAUAGCAAUAUUUUUUAAAAGUGUCCGUAAUUUAGCCAGCAGCUCUUUUUUUAACCUGCACCGAUAUUUAAAGAUGUCGCUAUACAUCAUUUUUAUUGAAGUGUCGUUUUAUGCUUUUUCUAUGAACCAAAAAGCCCUAAAUUACAUCAGCAUGUCCAUAAUUUGUUUCGUUCCUAUCAAAAUUGAUUUGUUAAUGUCGCUAUCUUUAUUAUCUAAAUUCAAUACUUAGUAAGCAAAUUUUGACAUCAACUACUAUGUUUGUUUUAACUUUUCUAUAUAAAUAAAACGUAUAUCGUACGUGUCACGUAAAUAUAUAUGCAUGACACAAAUAAAGUACAAUUUAUCUAACGCCGUUGUUUUUCCCGUCCAUGAUACGUUACCAAAACAAAGAAAAGAAUUAAAAUUUUAAAAAGCCGGCUAAAUUUUAUCCUUUUGAUUCUAAUUUGAAUUACUAACUUUAAUUUAAGCUAAUGAAAGAUAACGCACCAACUCAUUUGUAAUUUCAAUUUGAUUCCGCAUACUAAAUUUGAUGUUCAUUUGUUAAGGCCCUAGAAAAUUUAAAAUAAUCGAUUUACUACAAUAUAUAUAUAUAUAUAUAUAUACACUACGUACAAUAUAUACUACCUACAUAUGAGUAACAAAUGAAACAAAAAAGAGUUUAAUCAGAUCAUUAAAAUACAAAUAAGUAAUUUUUUUAUUGCCUUAAUUAUCUUUUAUUUAAUAGUAUUAUAUGAAAAAAAAAAAAAACUUUAGUUGUGAGCUAUUCAACGACAUCUUAUUGAGAAGCUUCUGAUAAGACAAAAUUAGUAACAGCAGAUUGAAGACUCCAUAAUAAGGUGUUGUUAGAGAGCUCCCUUCUGAAAUUUUUUCGUAUUCUAAAUAAUAUUUUUUAAUUAUCUUUUGAAUAAAAAAAAGAAAAUCAAUGAGAUUGUAAGAUGCAGUAUACCAAUGUAUACCAAUGGAGCGGACGCAUAAAUUUUUUAUUUUCAGAACAGUAAAAUGCACAAACAUUAUCAAAACUUUAAUCCAUUUGAAUUUUGUUUUUAUUUGAUUUGCACCCCUCUACUUUCUAGCAGUUUGAUCUAACUCCUUCCGAUAGCAACUUUAAAGAUUUUGUUAAAAUUAAAUGGUGACCUCAUCUUUUUACUAAAGCAAUUCUUGGUCACGUGCAUCUUUCAUGCACUUUUUUUAAUAGAAUCUCCAAAAUUGCUAAUGAAAGAAUUUAAAUCAAACAAUUAUUGAGUACAGGAGAUGUAAAUCAAGUAAAAAAUAAAAAUAAAAAUUAAGAGGUCAAUUUUAGAAUAAGUUAAAAGUUUAUAGCGUGCGUAUACGUUUUAACCAUUUCAUAACUAAUUAAACAACUAAAAUUAAAACCUAAAAGGUCAAAAGCUGUACACUAAAAUCAAAAUUUUUAAAGAUAAACGGAUAUAUUGCGUCUUUGGUUUUAAAACUAGGCAACGCAUGAAAUUUUAGUUCUCAAAUUUUAAUUAUUAUAAUUUCCGACUUGGUUUUAAAACUAAGUAUUAAUAUAUUUUAAUAAUAUAUUAAUACUUAGUUAUAAUAAUUUUAAAAAUUAAAAUAAAAAAAUAUAAUAAAUUAAAAUUUGAGAACAAAAUGCUAGUCUCAUAGUUUUAAGAACCAAGCAUGCAAUUUACCCAAAGGUAAUUGAUCACAAAGACUCUUCGUCAUUGUUGCUAGGCCGGCAAAUGGUUCGGCUCGAAUUCGGCUUGCUCGAGCUUGACUCGUAGUUAAAUGAGCUGAAUUUGAAUAUUAACAACGAGCUCGAAAUUAAUUUUAAGCUGAGCUUGAAUUAGACUAUAAAAGAUGAAAAAAAUAUAUAUAUACAUACUAAAAAUAUUUAUAUAAAUAUAUAUAAUAAAUAUUUAAAUUAUAUAUAUAAUUACAUAUAAUAUGUAUUUGAAUUGUAUGUCUAUAUAUUUUAAGACCAUUCGAUCAUUAUCGUCGCACAAUUUAGGCCGCCCUACAAGACCAAAAUAUUGUCACGCCACAUUUUCUAAGGAGAUAAAGCAAAUUUAAACUUCCAAUUUUCUCUCUCUCUCUCUCUCUCAAAAAGAAAGAUAUGAGAGUCUAAAAUGAAUACGCCAAUAACAGUGAAUAUUCGUUACAAAAUUAUAUAUAAUAAAUUAUAAAUUACUUUUCUUAAUAUUAUACUAUCAUAUUUUAUAUAUUUAUUUUGUAUGUUGAACUAUCACAUAUGUUUCUGUCAAGUUCUAAACAAUAUUUAGCAAAAAUUAAACUAUAAAUUAUAUAAUAUUAAAGAUUUCAAAUAACUUGUUUAGUACUUGAGAUUGCUCGACUCAGAGUUAGCGUCUUGUUCGAAUUAAUUUCAAGCCGAAUUUCGCCUAAUUUUAGACUCAAAAUUAAUUUCAUGCUCGAACUAAUUUUAAAGCCAAGCUUCGUCUAAUUUUAGCCUCAAAAUUAAUUUCAAGCUGAGCUUCGUCUAACUUUAGACUCAAAAUUAAUUUCAAACUUGUGCUGAGCUAAGGUCGCUCCAGAGAUUUUUUUUUAUAUUUAGCGUUCUUAAAAUAUUUCUUUACAAAUAGUUUUAAUAAAUUUAUAUUUGUAUAAAUAGUCUUUUUUUUUACCAUUCGAGUGUCUAAGUAGCGUUUUUAAGUUGAACACAGUGAUUGAAUCUUUAUAUUUUUUUUAAUAUUUUUUGUUGCUCCUAAGUUAAAAAAAAUAUUAUCCCCGAAUUAAAAAAAGGACUAAAAUGUGAAAAUAAAUACGGUGAUUUAAUCACCAUAUUUAAUUUAAAAUUACCAACGUAACACUCUUGUGACAUUGACAAGGAGCCAAAUAUCAAUUUGCUAGGGUAAUUUGUAAAUUUUUUUUUUUGAGGGUGCUAAAUAGAAAAAAGGCCCGUCGCUCGAGUUCAACAAGUCGCACCUCUCCGUGGUCGCGGUGGUGGUCGAGGGCAACAAUGGCCGCUUCCCUGCAACGGAGGGCGCCGCUUCUCCUCGUCCGCGCCCUCUCCUCCCCUGUGCGAUCGCUCUCUUCGGGCGCCGCCCUCGUCGAUCCCAGCUCCGGCGAGGUCGGGAUCGUCUCCGGGAUCCCCCACGAACACCUCCGCCGAAAGGUGCGAUCCCCUUCUCCCUCGAAUCAUUUAGGGUUUUGAUGUUGCGAUUUGGGGAGUUUCGAUACCCGUUUGUCGUUGAUCUUAGUAGAUUUGCGAUAUGAGUACACUGAGGACGCAAACGAUGUGGUUUAGUAGUGUAGAGAUCGACUCGGGUUUCCAUUUGCGGCGGCGACGAGGUUUGGUCUGCGAGUUGUUUGGGCUUCUGUUUAGCUUAUUUAUGAUUUGAUUCAAUACUAAUGUAAAAAACUGGGAGGAAUUUAGUGCUAUGGUAAAUAAGAAAAUGUUAUCAAAUGUAAAUUUAACUCAUUUGUUAAGAAACUAGCUUGCAUUAUUCUUUUGGGAUGUAGAUUUGAAGUUUGUGGGGGCAUCUACUUCCUUAGAGGGUGCUUGGUUUCUCGGAAAACUCUGGAAAAUUGUUUUCCUGGGAGAAAAAAAAGUUUUCCAUGGAAAACACCAUUUUUCAGAGUUUUUGUUUUCCGGAUAAAAAAAAUCCGGAAAAUGAAAAGGUAAGUUUUUCAUGAAAUCCGAAAAAAGUUUUCUUGGAAAUCUGUUUUUCCUGUGAAUAAAAUAAACGGAAAAGUAUUUUCCAGCCAGAAACUAUUUUUCAGGAUUUUUUUUCCAGGGAACCAAACUUAAUGGUUUGUUUAGGUAAUGCCAUUUCUAUGUAGGGAGAUGUUAAGUGCAUCUUGUAUCUACAUUCAAAAUGAUUUCUAAGAUUCAUUUAUUUGGUAACAAUUGGCUUCAAAGAUGCAACAUGCCUACUUUUUCAUGCCUUUACUUUUUCAUAGGGCGAAUUGAUUUAGUUCUUUAUCCUCUCUUCUACUGUCAUUUUUUUUUUCUUUGUUUUUUUUUUUGUUAGAAUGCUUUUUGUCGUACUCAUUCGCACGUGGCUGUAGGUCAUGAUCUAUUCACCGGCUAGGACAGCAACUCAGCAAGGUUCUGGGAAAGUUGGAAGGUGGAAAAUCAAUUUUAUGUCAACGCUAAAGUAUGUGCCCUGUUCUUCAUGUUGAUUGCUUUUAACACUCUUUUAAGGGACUAGUGGAAUGUUCUCAUCAAACCAAUGUAUUGAAACUGCUAGCAAACAUUAUGCUUUCUAAACUAAAUAUAAUUUUUCCAAAUGAUUUGCUAAUUAGUAAUCUCAUUAGUUAACUUGCAUUGGGAGGUGCUUGGUUGUCAAUUUUGCAAAUGAUCUAAUUCUGCAAGUUGUGGGCGAUCAUAUGUCAUUGCACUGUCAGAUUGGACCUAUGAAAUACCUUUUGUUAAGUUCGGUUAUGUAGAAGGCAAGCUGUUGGAUAAUGUGAGUUGAAUUGUGUCGGCAAUCUACUGUAAAUAUUCUCCUCAUUUCAAAUGUAUAAAUUGAAUCUGACAAAGAAAUAAUCGAUAAUUCUCUCAUCUGUUUGAUGCUUGUUUUUCCUGAUUUGUCUUUCUUUCUUGAAAGUACAUUCAGAAUGUCAUGAUGACCAUACUUUGUACAAUUAGUGUUUCAUAUUAACACCUCAGUGCAAUGCAGGUGGGAGAAUCCAUUGAUGGGUUGGACAUCCACUGGGGAUCCGUAUGCUAAUGUAGGUGAUGCAGGGCUGAGUUUUGAUAGUGAAGAAGCUGCAAAAUCGUUUGCUGAAAAGCAUGGAUGGGAUUUUGUGGUGUGUAUAGCUUUCCUCUUUGUUUAUUUUAAUUUUUUUGAUUAGGUGAUUUAUUUAUGCAAUUAUGCAUUUGAGAAUAAAAUUGAUUGGACUAGGAAACUUUCUAGUGCUGCAUGCUAGUUUAAUGCGCAUUGUCGUAUAGUGGUGGCCUAGCAUUUGUUUGGCCUGGCUUUGGCGACAAUUUUCUACUUCAAAAAGCAUUUAGGUGUUUUGCAAAGAAAUGCUAUGGAGCUUUGUGUGGUGGAAGCUGAAAUGAGCUUCUGGCCUAGAAAAGUAGAGAGGCUCUUGUGUGUUGCUUCUGCUUUUGGGGAAGCUGCUGGGAGGAUGUAUUAGAAAAAGCAGUUAGUGCUUCUUCAAAUUUGACAGUCCUAUCUUAGAACAAAUUGGCCCUUUUCUGAAGCUGCCAUGAGCUUUUUGCACCAGUACUUUUCAUUGCAUUCACAGCACAUGAAAUGAUAGUUUCUUCUUCUGAGAUCCUUACUUUUGAUCUUGAACUGAACAAGCCUUUUGUUACAAGAACCAUAGUGUUGUACUCUCUUCAGGUAUUCUCAUGUAUUCUACUUAUGCUGUAUUUGACAGUCUUUUGCUUUCAUCCCGGGGUGCACAAUAUGCCCUGGAAGUGUAUUUUCUUCUGUCAGAAGUUGUUAUAGCAAAUACUUGACAUCAUCUUAUCUUGGCAUUAGAAACUUCUUGCAAAAAAUGAAACUGCUUCACAGUAGGUUGGUACUCCUGUGGUUUUAGCAUCUUAUUUGACACAGAAAGGUUGAUGUACUGUUAGCUUGUAUUCCAGGACCAGAGGAGUAGAAUGAGCCAUAUAGAGAUUCAAAAUUUUUGUAAUGUAUGUUGUUUGCACAAUUUCAUGAAAAUUUUGCAGCUUUUCUAUGAAGAUGUUGUUGAAUCUUUGCAAAACUGUUAUUCUGUUAAUUUGGGGUGAUUGGUCCAGCUAAUUACUUAUUUACAUACCUAAACAUUGAAUUUAAUACGAUAUGUAGAAAAAAGAGAUUUUGUUGGAAACUUGGAAACUUGAUCAACCACCUAAACCCCCACAACCUAAAUCCCAAGUGUGUAAUUCAAAACUGUUUGACUCUAUUCAUAGUCAAACUGCAGUUUGGUCUUGCUGGCUAUAGUUUCCAGACUUCUAGAUUUUAAACUUCAGAGAUAUCGUUGACUUGAAUUGAAUUUUAGGGAAUUUUCCGAGCUGAUUGAGCUCAACUUUUAAGUCUUAGGCGCAUCUGUGUUGAUACCUGUCUUGAAUUGCAAACCUGUCAGGUCAACUGGGUUUUGAUUCAACUCGGCGACCUUUUAAGCUAUGUUUUAGUUGCAAUGUGCAACCUAAAAUGAGCUUUUCUAGGUGAUGAAACUUGCUUUUCUCUACUUGUGUUGCUGACUUGCUUCCAUGUCUCUUAUUACCUCUAAUAUUUGAUUUGAAUAUUAUGGGAGGCAUUUGGCUUAUAUUAUGUUAGCAGCAGUCACAUGAUUUAUCUCUAUAAAUGCGGUUGUGAUCCUUAGAGAAUCAAGAGUGUAUAGAGUGUCACCCUGUGCUUUGUGCUGUUAUUAGAACUAUUAUGCAGUUUAGAUCUUUUAUACUUCUCACUGUAAAGUUAGUACCAAAGCAUCCUUAUCUAUGCCUCGACAUUUGCGCAGGUCAGGAAGCGCCAUACUCCCCUUUUGAAGGUUUGUAGUUCUUCCUCUAGAAUAUUGUGUUUGUGAGUUAUUAUUUGCCAUCAAUUUAGAAGAUCAAAUUUGUUGAAAACUACUGAAAUUAGUCUUCAUUCUCUGGGUUGGACUUUCGUUCACAUUGCUUCUAUGUCAAGUCAACUGUUCUCAAUCUCUUAACCAAUGCUGGUUCUUCUGAUUUCAUUUCUCGGCAUUAAAUUUUUAUUUUUAUAAUAAGAAACUGUAGAGAGGCUUAAGAAAAAUUCUUGUUACAAGGAUCAUGAUAGCGAUAUAAAUACAUAAUAAUGUCCACAUGUAAAUGAAAAGAGCCUGAAAAUUUUUGUUUGUUUUCCUUCAUUCAACAUUGCGAAUGAAGAGAAUAACAUCUUUGUUAUCUUAACUUUUACCACUGCAAGCAUCAGAAUUUCACUAGCUUUUAAGUUUGAUAAAGCCUUCCUAGCUAUCUAUCUGUUUGUAUCUUCUUCUGAAUCUUUCUUAUACUGCAGGUGAAAGCCUAUGCAGACAAUUUCAAGUGGAAGGGCCCCCCAAAGAUAGAGGAAGAUUAGAUCCUCUCUCUUUCUGUUGUUUCGGUGCACAGCGAUGUCGUUGUGCUUUAUGUUUUUCCUGCAUUACGAUCCCUUUUGAUAUCCCUGGCAAUUCAAAUUCCCAUUUGCCAUCAAUAAAAAUUACUAAAGUGUUUCUUUUGUAUGCUCCUUCUCCGCGCCGUAGUCAUUUGAGGGUUUUGCAUCUCCUCGCUGCUGUUUCCUGUUUAGCCAUAUGAACAUAUUCCAGCUGAUAAGAUGGAGGCAGAUUUUUUUGUCUUCUGAGAAAAUCUUCUCUGUAAAAAUUUCUUUUACGAUAAUUGCGUCUUUGCAAUCUUCAAAUUACUAAGAUUUUAUUUGAUUUUUUCUAACAUCAUUAUCUGAUUGGCCUGUUACCUUCCUAGGUGGUGCCUCUAUUAAGGAAAGGAUCACACUUGCUCUCUACAGUAUGCAUUUUUGUGCUUAUAACUGGAGUUUCCAAUGACCCCGAUGGAAAUGUUCUUGUUUUAUGCCUGGAUUGUCAUCCUUUUUAAUUUUUUUUGAAGGAUAAACUUCAAUUUACCCUUAUAUGGUUUAGUUCAUUAUCACUUUAUCAUCUUGUGGUUUAAAAAAUUAUAUUUAAUUAUCUUGUGAUUUUAUCUCUAUUUUUUAUUAAAAAUUUACUAUCAAAUAGGAUAGUAAAGUGAAAUUUUUUGAUAAUCACAAAUUAAUUAAAGUGUAUUUUUUUAAAACCAUGGGAUGAUAAAAUGAAAGUGUUAAACCAUAGGGCAGUUAAGUGUAAUCUUUUAAGCCACGUGAUGGCAAAGUGAAAAUAAGUUAAACCGCGAGAUUUUUUAUUAAUUCUUUUCAGUAGAGUUAUUCAAACCAAUGAAGUUAGGAUCUUUUCAAUCAAAUAUAACAGUAAUUCCUUUAAACUGUAGUCAUGAUUGUGUUUUGCGGACAAAUUACCGUUAAAGUUAUUAAAUUUAACAAAAUUUUUAGUUUAACCGAUUGAGGAAUUUUUACAAAAAUCAAAAUUUGGCAGAUUAAUAAAAUAAAAGUUAGAGGCUAUUUGAAAUAAGUUUUCAGACUCACAAGGCCUUUGGAUUGAGUUCUUCUGCACUGGCUUUAAUUUUGAUAGAAACAAAGCAAUUUAAGACUGUAUUAACUACUCUGCCGAGUUAAAAGAUAAGCAAUAGUUAUUAUUAUCUUCUUAUGGAGCCUUUUCUUCUUUUUGUUCUUUUGUUCUUUUUUUUGUUCCAUAAGAUUUCUCUACGUCUCUUACCCUAUAAAUAUUCUUUUCACUGAAUUAGCUAAGAAAUCGAACUCGAAUCUUCUUUUGUUUUAUUUAUUCAUGCAUAUACGGAAUUUCGAACGCCUGACCUGUUAUGCGGUCGUUUUAAAUAACAAUCACUCAACUAUGCAUUGAUUGUUUCUUUUAACAUGGCCAAUGAGAAUUGAGAAGAGUCCAUUGCAAUGUUCAUGAGGGCAUUCAAUGGGGCUUUACCCCAAUCCCCUCUUAGGUUGUGGAUAUUUGAUAUUUCUGUUGGUGUGUCCUUUUUCUUGUCCUUUUUCCCUUGUGCAUCAAGCUUUAGCUUUCCCUUGGACUCUGCCACCCUAGGAAUGAAAGAAUCUCAACUUCAAUAGAUUUUCUACUUCUUUUUUUACUUUUUUUCUUGUUUGAGCUGAACUGAGUUUUUUUUUUUUUUUUUUUUUUUUUUUUUUUUUUUUUUUUUUUUUGUUUUUUUGGGUAAACUUCAAAUUUAUUUGUGGUUUCGCACUUUCUUAUUUUUAGUACCCUAUAGUUUAAAAUAUAUUAAUUUAGUAAUAUGUGAUUUUAUUUUAUUUUUUUUCGUCAGCUCCUCUGUUGACAUUUCGUUAAAUUAUAUAUAAAAAACUUCAGAUACCCCACUUAGAUUUAUGGAAUAUUCAUUUCAGUACAUUUUAGUUUUAACUUUGUCAUUGAUUUAACAAAAAAAAAUUAAUAUAGAGGAUAAUAAAAAGAGAAAAAUGAAACGAAAGGAUACCAAAUUGAUAUACUUUAAAUCAUAGGAUACUAAAAUUUAAAAGUGUGAAACUAUAGAGAUGGUAUUUGAAGUUUUUCCUUCUUUUUUUUAACUUCUCUUUUAAUAUAGCGACCGGCCCUAGCGCAAGUGACAAAAAGACUUGAUGGUUGGUAUUCGAGAUUCCAAAUUCAAAAAUUCUAGUUGAUUUAUAUUUUCAGCUUAUUCAUUCUAAAAAAUAAAUAAAACGGAUAGCAUACUAUCUUUUUCUUAAGAAAAAAAAACUUCUCUUUUAGAAUGAAUAAAAAGAAUGGCAGAAAGGUUUUUUUCAAAUAAAUUUUAAAAAAAAUAUAAUAAUUUGUUAAAUAAAAAUAUCAAAAUUUUAUUGAUCAAAUAAUCUUAUUUUGUCGAACUCAACGAGCAAUUAGAAAACGGGUGGCAAAUUAUUUAUUAUCUUUUUCUUAAAAUGGAUGGUAAAUUAUUUAUUUCAUUUAUUUCUAUUUUCUGUAUACAAUUGUAUUAAAAUAUAUAAAAAUUUUAAUAAAUCACAUAUAAUAUUAUUAACAAUCCAAAAGUCCUAACAUUCAUUCAUAUAAUUCUAAUAAUUAAACAAAAAUUUUAAUAAUUCACAUAUAAUUUUAAAAUUUUCAUGAAAAUUUGCGAACGACACAUGCACUCUGAAGGCAAGAAAUAAUUUCCCACUUUCUAACUCAAUUUGUCUAAUAUGACACUGAGUUGGUGGGAAAAAAAUUAAUUGAUCAAAUAAAAUUUUAAAAAUAUUAUUUGACAAAUUAAGAGAAAUUUAAGAAUUAUGUUAAAAAAGAAUAAUAGCAGAUGCUACAUUUCCCUGUGCUACACGCAACUACGCAAGGCAACAGAGGCAUCGACCAAAAAGAGAAAAAAGUUCUUUCUCUCUCCCUGAACACUAUCUAUCAAGUCAUAAUCAAAUCUCAUCCUACUUAUUUCGCCAUUCAAAUCCACAACAUCAGCUUUUGGCAUCUUCCCCACAAGGAAUGAGUUAAAAGCAAUACUACAUCACUACUACCUGUACACCUAUAUAAAAUAUUAGAAUCUGCUCGUCGUGUUCGGCUACGGUGCUUUUAAAAAUACUAAAUAUUUAAUAUUUAUAAAUUUUUUAUAAUUAAAUUUAUUUUUUUUGAUUAUUUUUAUUCGUUAGAUUAUAUUGUUUAACCAUCUAUUCACUCAACCCUAAUAGAAAAUCGCCAUCAUCUUAACCGCACGCUUCUUAAUCCAUGGACUGAAAAUCUACAGACACUAAUAAUGUCUCAUUUUAAAAAAUAUUGAAGCUCAGGGGUGAGAGUAGUUCGGAUAGACUCGUCGAUAUGAUGCGAAUAUAAAUAUCAAAAUUUAGUACAAAGCCUGCAAAUCCAGUCAAAAAAUUUACCUCAUUAUUAAAGGAAAAAAAAAAACAAUCAAAUUAUAUUUUAAUUUUGAAGUCCUUUUAUUUAGCUAACUCAUACAACAAGAUUAAUGUGACAAUUAAGAUUUUCAUAAGCACGAAAAUAUUAUAAAAAAGUAGACAUUUUUUAUAAUAAGCAAUAUUACUAAUAUUUUUGAAAGUGAAAUAUAUAUUUUAUAUAUUCAUAAAAAAAUUAUUAAUUUUUACUUGUCGUAUUAAUCUUUUUACUAAAAUUAUUUAAAAUUGUAUAUAUUUUAAAAUAGAGUGUGUAAGAUGCAUUCUCUUUUUAGAACAUAAAAAUAGAAUUUUGCUUUUACACUAUCAUUCCCAAAUUGACAAUCCCUCCGCAGAAAACGACAAAACCAAUCUAAUAAACCCACGCUAAAACGCAAUUAUACCAUAUCUUGCGUGACUCAAACUUAGGUAAUUCGUGAUGUUGAUAUUAUUGAUAUCUUAAAAUAUUUAUAUAAAAAUAUUUUAGAAAAUACAGCAUGACGAUCAGCUAUGUUAAAUAUAAUUUUAACUAUUUGAACUUAGUAAAAAGCCAAAUUUAUAAUUUUACGAUAUUAUUUAAUUAGUGUUCAAGUAUUGUCAAAUUUAUGUUAUAUUAGUUAAAAAAUAUUAAUUUUUGAACCACGUCAAGACUAGAUAAAUAAUGUUAAAAACUUAUAAAAUUUAAACCUAAAAGAUUCAAAUAUUUUAAAAUAUAUUUAACAGUAUCGUCAUCAAUUUGAAUGCCCCUGCCAUAGAAAACAAUGCGAAAAAAAAAAAAAAAACUAUCCCAACUAUGUAUACGGAGUACAAAGAUUACAGUAACAGCACCCGCUAUCAUAAUUUAAUUCAGAGUUUUAUUUUUUCCCUAGUAGCAUAACACUUGCUCAAAAAAUUUAACCUUAUUUGAAAAAAUGUGUCAUUUAAGGUGUUUGGGUCACUCCAAAUUACUCUUGAAUUUUAUAAAAAGGUACCUAAUUUUUAGAUUGAGUGAGAGAGCAUGAAUAGCUAAGAUGUUUUAUCCUCAACUUACUUGGAGAAUCUUUAGAUUUGUGAGCUUUUUAUUUUACUAUAAAAUUAUAUAGGAAUGAAGUAAUUUUAUUGCGUUUUGUAAUACCAUAAAAAUCAUUCAAAUAUUUUUUUCUAAAAAAAAAAUAUACAGCGUGUGAUAAAAAAUUUGAUAAUUAAUUCGAAAUCCCAAAUUCAAAGUCUAAGUCGAUUCAUAUUUCCAACUAAGUUUAUUUUUUUUUUUAAAAAAAAAAUACUUCGGAUUUGAUUGCUGGCUUAUAUGUGGAGGGAUCAGACCUUACAAUUUAAGAUAUAAUAAUAAAGCUUACAAUUUAAUAAUAAUAUUUAGCGUUUAGUUAUUAAUAUUUAAAAUAUAAUAAUGAUAAUGUCAUGUUAUCAAAAGUAUUAUAGAAAAUCUUCUCCCUAUAACACUACUCAAAAAAGAAUGAAACCAAAAGUUUUAUUUUUCUCAAUAAUAAUAAUAAUAAUAAUAAUACAGCAGCUGUAAAAUACCUUGAUUUUAACAAAUAUUCCACUCGUACAAGAUUUUCAAACACACCAUUACCAAGUAUGAAAAUAAAUAUAUUUAUAUUUAUAGAUUUCAAGAUUUUUUUUAAAAAAAAAAAAAAAACCUUUGAACACAACAAAAGAUGACACGGCUCGUACAUUCAGAUGUCCAUUCAUUCAUUUCGGUCCUUUUCCUUUCCCUUUAAUUACAGAUAAAGAUAGACAGAAAGAUACAGAAAGAGAGAAAAGUGCACUCCAGUCGGCAAGCCAGGCUGCGCGGAUGAGAUUUACCAUCAGCUGCCGGCACUCUCAGCAAUGCUCUCCAAUGCCGGCCUCCACUGAUGAGCCUGCCGUCUGCCCCCGCUGCUGCCGCUCGCAACUGCCGCCGCCUCCGCUUCCGUCUCUGCCGAGGGCUCCUCGCUUGUCGGGGAGGUUGCGGAUGCUGCUUGUGCAUGCUAUGACAAAUAUACAAUCGGACCAACAUUUAUACUUAGACUUUGUUUGGUAAUGUGAUGGUUAAAAAUUAUAACUUAAAUUUAUUUUAACCGCCGAAAAUUUAUUUUUUUAAUGUUCCACCCUCCAACCCUUUGGUUGGUUGGGGGUUAAGGAGUGGAAUAAUUCCUUAACCCUCGUAUUAUCCCCAAAUAUCUCAAAAAAUGAGUGGGGUUAGCUAAUCCCGCCUAAUCCGGAAUAGUCUAUUUUGGGUGGAGUUAGCUAACCCCAUCAAACCCCAACCAAACACUAUUUUUUAUUCAUAAUAACUCACUAUCCUUCUUAUCCCACCUACUCCAACCAAACACUAUUUUUCACUAUCCUAAACUAACUCCAACCCCCAACCAAAUACAAAAAUAUUCUAACCCCACGUUAAUCCUGAACUUAACCCUAUCCCUAAAAUAACUAAUUUUUUUUUAACCCCGAACCAAAGAGUAGCCAAAAGUAUAAAUUUACAGUGCUUUUAGCUACUGUUUGGUGUCGUCGUUUGCUAGUUUUUUGUACGGGCAAAUUAUACUUUUGGUCCUCAAAGUAUCAUGCACAUGACAUUUUGAUCCUUAAAAUUUACUUUGCUAUAACUUUUAGCUUAAAUUUUAUAAAUUAUUAUAAUUAAGUCUUAUAAUUUAAUUUAAUUUGAUAAAUAUUCAGAAAUCAUUAAUAUAAACAUGAUGCAGCACAUCCUCGAUCAUAAAUUUUCAUAUAAACAAUUCGUUAAUAUUUAAUCAACUAAAUUUGACUCUCAGACUUAUUUACAAUAAUUUAUAAAGAUCGAAUUUGAAAAAAUUAAUAAAUAAAGUUAGCAGCUUAGUAAGACUCGAACUCAAAAUUUUCUAUUCUAACACCAAAGUAAUAAUGUAAAAUAAUUGUUUUUCUUUAAAAUCAUAAACUAAUUUUCAAUAUUUCUAGUCAACACCCGAAAAUAUUAAAUUUUGUUUAUUUUUAUAUAAAUACCGCAGAUGUACAACACAUAAACAAUUCAUUAUCUAGCAUAUUUUAAUAUAUAAAAUAUUUGCAUAAAAGAAAUAAUAAGAAUAAUUUACACUUUUGGUAUGCAAACUAUGAGGCGAGCGACACUUUAAUAUUCAAAUUUUAAUUUAUCAAAAUUCCUCACUUGAACUUUUAAAAUUAUUAUAAUUAAAUCUCGCAUGUAAUUUAGUUGAUUGAAUAUUAAUUACAUGUCAUUAAAAACCAAAAUAAUAUAGUAUUUAAUUAUUAAUUAUUGCAUCACCAAUUAUAUCCCGGUAAUAUUCCUUUUAUAUUAGUGAUACAAUAUUAAUAUUUAACUAACUAAAUUACAUUGUGAAAUUUAAUUAUAAUAAUUGAAAAUUUUGAACCGAAACUGUGAAAAAUGAAAAAAACAAAGUUUGAAAGGACCAAAAGUGUAAUUCAGCCCAACAACAGUACCAAUUAAACCCAGCCACAGUUAAAUAAUCUGUAGAGUAAAUUGCAUGUUUGGCCCUCAAAUUUUAAUUUAUUAUAAUUUUUAAUUCAAAAUUUGAAAUUUAUUGUAAUAAAAUUUUAUAACCCAAUUUAGAUUAUUACAUAUAUUAAUUUAUAACAAAUGUAAAAACAUUGUACUAGUGUGUUAAUUUUGUAAUGCACCAAUAAUUAAGAAUCGCAUUAUUUGUACGAUAAUACAUUAAUAUUUAAUCAAUUAAAUAAUACCCGCAUUAUAGUUUAACCAAACGUGCAAUUUACCCAAAGUCUCUGUGAUACCAUGGUCGCUGGGGCUGUGCCUUGCUCCGUCUUUCGUGCUUGGCGUUUGCACCGUCCAUAAAUACCACCGCAGCUCGUCAUUUGCCGAGCGGUGUCGUCGUUACCUUUCUGCUUCACGGUCAGCCGGCUCAGCUUCACACGCUGCUUUGACGCAAACUCCCUCAGUACCUCUGACAUUAAAAACCAUCUCAUCUAUACUAGUCAAAUGAUGUAAAACUACUGUUAUUUUUCGAAAGCUUAAGCUACUUAAAAACUGUAUUUUUAAUAUUCACAUUCAACAUUCUUUCUCACGUUGAAAUUUAAGACCUGUUGAUAGACUCGAACAUAAACUAAUGUUAAAUGGGAUGGCGGGGUUGUAAUACCAAACGAAAUUAUAUGAAAUAAUAGGUAUUUUUCAAGAUUUUAAGUCGUUAAAAAACGAUAUUUUUAAUAUUUAAAUUCAAAAUAAAAAGACGAUGAAAUGGUGCACGACAAAAGAAAAAAAUCUCAGUACAAGAAUGCAUUUUAGAUGACGCUUGAAAAAUUUUCAAGAUCCAACACGUUCUUACAAUAUAGCAAAUAAUAACACUUCAAAAAAUAUCGCACAUGAACCCUCAAUUAUAUCAAAUCAACUUAUUAAAUAAUAAAUUUUACUAUUAUUUGUAAUUUUUAGAUUUUUAAAAAUUCUGACGCACGUCAAAAUAUAUUUUACUGUCGCUCGGCAUAAGUGGCGUUAUAUAUACACAACGGCCGCGACUCUUUAUUUACCGAUGCAUUUAAAUAUGACGCUAUGCUGUAUUGAGAUGCUUUUAAGCAUAUAUAUAUAUAUAUAUAUAUAUAUAUAUAUAUAGGAUAUAUAAUAUAUAUAUAUAUACUAUAUAUAUAUAUAUAUAUAUAUAUAGAGUGAAGCCUACUAUACUUCUGGAAGUACGGAGCUUCCGUGCUUUUAGGUCGUUUUCGAUGUUGUGAUUUUCGAAUCGUCAAUCGGCUCCGUUAAACUUGAUCUAGAAUAUUUGAAGUACUUAGAAAAUAAAUUUUAAUUUUCGAUAACAUCUGCUUGGUGAUCGAAGGUACUCAAAAUCAAUAAUUUUAAAUAGCCGUGUGGAGCCGUUUGCAAGUUUAACGGUGUAGAAAUAUUCAAAUCACGUAAAAUUUUGAUAAAAAAUUUUUUAUACUAUAUAAAACAAAUCAAUAUUUUUGAUCUAAAAUUUUAAUAUCAUAUUAUCACGUUUUGUAAGAUUUUUAUUUUCAGCCGUUAUUUUGAGCCCCUUAGUUCACUAGGCAAAUGAUAUCGAAAAAUUGUAAAAUUUAUUUUCUAGGUACUUCAAAUACUCUAGAUCAAUUUUAACGGGCCGAUCGACGAUUCGAAAGUCGCAACAUCAAAAUAACCUGAAAGCAUGAAAAGCCCUCCAUGCUUCCAGAAUAUAAUAGCCUCUUCUCUCUCUCUCUCUCUCUCUCUCUCUCUCUCUCUAUUAUAUAUAUAUAUAUAUAUAUAUAUUCUUAAAUAUUAAUUUUUUUUCGUAAUGGUGGGGGCCGACCUUCGAAGGUGACGAGGCGGUAGACGCGGCCGAUGAGGAGGGUAUCGUCGGGGCGGAGCAGCUUAAGAUGCUUCACCGGGUGAGCAGCAGCAGCAGGAGCAGCAGGAGCAGGGGGUGUGGUGGCGGUGACGAUAACGGCGGCGACGUAGUGGCCGGGGUUAGCGGCCAUGACGUGGCAGGCGCUGAGCGACCAAUAGAAUCGUUCGACCCUCCCCCCCGGGUGCUCGAUCACCACCGUCGCCGCCUCCGCCGCUUGGCAAUUCCCCAUCUAUCGAUAUAUAGAUCCCUCCUACACUCCUACGUACCUUAGUUUGUACGUACGUUACGUGUGUAUACGUAAAUGUAUACGUAUCUCUCUCUCUCUCUCUAUCUAAGAGGAGGGACGAUCCCAAACCCAAAUUAAGCGAUGUGUGGUGGAGCGAAAACAAGCGGAGGGGGAAUGAAGGGGAGAGAGAAAGGAGGGUGAGGUGGCGUGAAGUGCGUUUAAUACGGGCGUGAGAGUGCGGUGCGGAUUUAUUUAUUGGGCUUUUUUUACAAAUAGCCCCCUUAUAAUUUGUUUUUUUUAAAUUGGCCCUGUCAAAAAUUUAUUUGCGAAAAUGGCCCUACCCCCGCUACGUCAGCGCCACGUCAGCGCCACGCGGGCGGGACUGGGCCAGAUGGUUAUGUUGAACACAGUGAACCAUUCACCGUGUCCAAUAUAAAAUGGUUAAGAUCGAAAUAUUUGUAUUGGACACGGUGAAUCAUUUACCGUGUCCAAUACAAAUAAUUGGACACGGUGAAUGGUUCACCGUAUCUAAUACAAAUACCUCCAACUUACUCAUUGUUGGGGUAUUUGUAUUGGACACGGUGAAUCAUUCACCGUGUCCAAUACAAAAAUUUUGUAUUGAACUCGGUGAAUGGUUCACCGUGUUCAACUUAAACACCUGCGCCCGCCCUGCCCGCGUGGCGUUGACGUGGCGCUGGCGUGGCAGGGGCAGGGCCAUUUUUGUAAAUAAUUUUUGGACGGGGCUAUUUUUGCAAAUAAAAUUUAUCAGGGGGCUAUUUGUAAAAAAAACCCUUAUUUAUUAGGUGAAAUGCAUUAAUAUCCCUGCAAACGUAAUAAACUACAAAUAAGUUUCUACGAACUUUAAUUUUUAUAUAUUACUAGCGCAAAAAUUCUAAUAUUUUCUAAUAUGUUCUUUUGAUUUGUUAUAAUUAUAAAAUUAUUUAUGAUUUAAGUAAAAUAUCAAGUUUGUUAUUACAAAUAUGUACCUCUAAAAGCCACAACAGUAAAACAAAAAUAUCAAAUUAUCUUAUAAAUUAAUCAGAGUUAAGCAUUUAAUUAUGAUUAACUAAAAUUUUCUAACGGAUUCUAACGACAGGAACAUAUUUAAAAAUAUUAGGAUUUUUAUAGGCAUAUGAAAAUUGAACUUUUAAGAGACAUAUUUGUAAUUCAAUAUAUUUACAGGGACCUGUAAGAAAUUAAUCCUAUUUAUUAUUGAGUCAUUAUUUAUAAAUAAUAUUUUUAGAGUCCGACUGCUGUACUAUCAAUAACACGGAUACCUUCGUGCUACCAAGUUAUUUUUAUUUAUAAUUUUUUGAUAUCAUUUACCUAUCAAAAAAGUAGUCUAAGAAUAAACGGCUGAAAAUAAAAAUCUUUUUAAAAAUUAAUGAUAAAUCUUUUUAAAAAAUAAUGAUAAAAGACUUGAAUUUAAAAUCAGAUGUACUGAUUUUACUCUAAAUAGUAAAAAAAAAAUUAUAAAAAUUUUAUUGGAUUUGAAUUGUUUUACAUAGUUAAAUUCGCAAACGCAUCACAUUGAUCAUCAAAAUUAUCAAUUUUGAGACUUUUUGAUUACUGACCAAAUAAUAUUAAAAAAUUAUGAAAUUUAGUUUUCAAAUACUUUAAAUAGUGUAAAUCAAGUCUAACGAAGCUAUUCGUCGAUUUGGAAGCUGCAUUAUUGAAAACAAUUUGACAGCACGGAGGUCAGCCUGACAGCCUCUGUGCUAUCGAUAGUAUAGCAGCCUAAUUCAUAUUUUUAUAUCACUUUUAUAUUAAUAACUUAUUAAUACUUGGUUUGCUAAAUAAAAUUGCAAAAUAUGAUUAAAUUAGUUCAGAAAGUUCAUGCAAAAAUUUACAAUAAAUAAAACUAGUUUGAGGACCAAAAGCAUAUAUAAUUUAUCCUAAACUUUUUGAAAUAGCAAAUUUUAUAAUUUUUUAAUAUUAGUUUUUUUAAAAAAAUUACAAUAUUUUGUUUGAUUUUGACAUUUUUACUAAUUUGUUAAUUAAAAUUCAUAAAACUUAAAGUGGGAUUCAGUUUCUGAUUCAUUAAAUUUUGAACAAGAAUUAAGCUAUUGUAAUCAGUGGUAGUGGUUGAUAGUUUUGAAAUAAAGGUACGUAAUUAGAGAGCACACAUCAUAAUUAAAGAUAGUUGUUCAUUAUAUAUAUAAUGAAUAGUUUUUUCUUUUUUAUGGUUAAAAGACGUAAUUUUUUAUAUGUUUUUGCUCAUGAGCAUUUUUCUUGUCCUUUUUAUCUCAAAAAUAAAUAAAAACAUUGAGGUUUUAUUGAUCCCUCUUGGCUUAUAUGGAAAAACUAUCUGUGUGGAAGCCAAAAAAAACCUCUCAUAUUUGAAUCAGGAUUUUUACGAUUUUGCUCCAUCGAAUUCAAAUUAUCUAUUACUUAAUUUGAUUUAGUUUUACAAAGUUUACUAAUCAUUGUUUGAUUUUCUCCGAUACAUUUUAGGUUAGGCAAAGUAAUUAACAGUUCUCUAUUAGAGAUUUUAAUUAGAGCAAAAAUUUAUGUAAGCUUUUUAGAUAUGAGGGCGGAAGCUCUACUUAAAGCUCGUAUUCCUGAUACAACAGUAAUAAGAAAAUUGAUGCAGCAACAUUCAUUCACUGCUAUAAAAGAGUACUAUUAUAAAUUCUCAUAGUAUUAUCUUUAUAUAUAUAUAUUUUUUUGUGAGAAAAAGAUAGUAUGAUAUCCAUUUUAUCCAUUAGAAAGAUAAACUAUGCUACAGGGGUGAGACAACGUGGGCCUCGAGGGCUUAAAGUUACAAAAGAAAAAACAAAAUGCCUCCAACCGCUUAAUAUUCUGCUUAAUUUUGCUUAAUUUGCUCCCAAAACUUCGCAAGCUGCUUAACCUUGUGGAUAGCUAACAAUGUGUCCAACUGGAUCUUUCUAAAAAUCAUAUCAUUACUAACCUUCCAGAUGAUCCAUCAGCAGACUACUAAACCUGUUAGUCUGUGUCUCGUAGUUUGUCCACCUACCCCACCCUUUCAUCUAUCCCAGACAGAGAUAACAUCUUCUCCCAUAUUCUUGUCCUGAAUGUCCUCCACUCCCAUUACUAAAAUAAAUUUGGAGAAUACACACUGUAUGAAUAAAUGAUCCACAGUUUUUUCUUCAAUCCGACACAGCACACAGGCUGUGUCUCCAGUCCUCCCUCCCUUCACUAGGUUGUUUGUCGUAAGGGGUUUCUUCUUAAGUACCAGCCAACAGAACACUUUACCUUUUAGGGGUAUUCAAAGUUUUCAAAUCUAGUAUUGUUUAUAUGUUGGUUUUCACUAUAUGAAUUAUUGUAUUGAUUGGUUAAUGUCCCAAAUGUGAGAUUCCUAUAUAAAUUUACAAAUAUAUAAUUAAUAUAUAAUGGCAAUAACAGAGAAAAGACGAGAUAGCAUAUAUUUAUUUAUACUAAACAAGAGUGUAAGCCAUUUAUAUAAAAAUAAGCAAUAAAUAAAAAUUAGGGCUAUAACUUUGCCUUAUAACAACUUUCUAAUAAAAUAUUUAUUUUGCUAAUGGGCCGACCUUGGGCCGUGACUCGUUUGAAGCCCAUAUAGUGCGCAAAUAUCGAAUAUGUUGCCCGAAAGUCCGAACCCGCCUUUUUAAAAUUUGCGCAAGGUUUAUGGGAGUCCAUUUAAUUCCCGGCCUGGUCCAAUGUAGCUGCAUCUUCAUCAACUACAAUAAUGUAUAGUUUCCUUAACUAUCUCGCGGUUUGAAUAUCUGUAUCGAUCAAUGUAUUAGUCAAUACUGUAUAAGUUAGUGUGUAAAUUGUAGAUGAUAUAUCAGUAUUUCAGCAUAUUAGAAACUUUUUAGCCCGCAAACUGCGUUCUCAUAACGCAACGCAUGCUUUUGUUUUUCUCCCAAACGAAUACAAAUGGACCGUAAGCGCGGCCCGCUUAUAAGCAAGCAGGGCCAAACCCCUAACUUAGUCGGCAAACUUAUCUAAACUUGGGGCCAAGUUCUCAAGCAGCAUCUUUUUUAAGAGUCUUAGGCUUAAUUUGGUAUUGAACUCUAUUUAACGCUAUUAGAUAAAAUAGAAGGCUUAGUCUGGUAUUGAGCUCUAUUUAACGCUAUUAGAUAAAGUAGAGUUGGCGUAAAAACAUAUAAGGAUAUGUUUCUGCAUUAUAUGGUGAGAUCGUAAAAAAUAUAUCAUAACCGACUAAUCACGAUAUACGAAGCGCAAUAAUACGUACGGAAACAAACAAAAUAUUUUCUCAUAGUAUUUUUUUACCACACGUAAUGUAAUUUCCCCGCAUUUUCAAACAAAGCCCAUUUUGUUUUCGCUGUUUACCGCAAGUCUCCCUUUGUAAUUUAUUAGCAUCAAAUAUUCACCUAUCAAAAUGCCCUGAUGCAAUUAUGUUUGGUGCCAAAGGUACAGUCCAAGGUUGUCCUCCACCAUGUGGAGUAUUCAAUAAACUGGUUUGACUCCAAAUUAAUGAAAAAGCACACUAUCCAAAAGUCAAUAUCCAUCUUUGCAUUAACAUCCAUGGUCCCAUUCUUGUAAAAUGGAAAAAAAAAUUAGUUUCAUUUAUUUCACAGCAAUAAUCUACUAGCUAUAAAAAUGCCAAAAAAAAUAGGAAAAAAAAGAAAAUAUUAAGUCAUAUAACCUAAAUCAUUCAUAGUGGCUAUUUCCUCUAAUUGAAUGUGGAAUAUAAAAGAUAAUUGGUAUAUAUAUCGACUUUCGUGCAAUCAUUGAUAAGUCCUAUUUAUUAGAAACGGAAAAGUUCGUAGUUUCAUUUAAUGUUUUAUAAAAUGAUCUGUUUGGAUAAAAUUAAAAGAAUUUCUAAUUUGUUAUGCGUGAAAUGUUAAAGACGUACAAUUGAGAAAUGCAUCUAGGGGAGAAAUAUGCUGCGUAAUAUAAUCAAAAUUAAGAGUAUAAAAAAGGCCUAUCUCUUUAAAAAAAAUCUAGUCCAAGAUAUAUUUAUUACUCUCCUCAUUUAAUUGAUAUACACAUAAGAACCCAUAACUAAGUAAAUUACGAAAAAAAUUUCAACCUACUAAAUCCACUGCAUCACAGAGCUGGUUGGAUAAAAAAUUAGAUCCAUAUCUAACAUUGAUCAAAUCAACACCGCAUGUAAUUUGACCCUUAUGUUCUAUAAGUUAGCAUUUGCUAUAUUAUACAUAAUAAUUGGGUAAUUGGGAAUUGAGUGGGAAUGCUUUUAAACUUCUUGGAAUUUCUAUGUCCUUUUUGACAAGGGCGUCUAAAUUUUAUAAGUAUUACAUUAUUAACCUAGUAAUCAAGUGGUUUUAAGUACACUUUAUAGGCGACGUUAAGAUUUGUAGAUUAUCAGACCAGUUAAACGAUGAGUAAUAAUGAUGAAAAAUCACGAAAUGUAGUUUUAGAAAAUUCCUAAGAGGUUGACCAUGUAUAAAAGUGUCGAUCAUCGGUUCAUAUUAUCCAUCACCUAAAAUGUUAGUUUGGAUAGCAGUGUUCUAAAAUCUAGAUAGAACUGGUCGGUUCGGCUGGUUUGACUGUGACCACUUAAUAAGCAGUUCGGUUAAAUCAGCAAACGGGUGAACCAGCCCAAUUUUAAACAAAUCGGCUAUGUUUUUUUUUUCUUUCUUUUUUUUUUCUAUUUUUCAUUUUUUUCUUCACUAAUUUUAAUUUCAUUUAUGGUUCAUUUUUGCUAAUUAUAUUUUUUAUUGUGAAAAGUGAAACUUGAAAACUUAUAUUUAUUUAAUUUAGUUGAGAAAUCAGUAUUCCAUAAUUAAGUACGAUACUAACAUAUAUAUUAUCAUAUAUACAAUUUUUAAUAUAAUAAAAUUUAAAAAAUAAUUAAAUAUUUAUAACAUCAUGCUGAACUUAUUAGUCUCGGUUGAACUAGUAAUUCAUGAUCCAGUAAUAUUUUUCGAUUGUUGUUCAACUAAAAUUCUAAAAUAUCGACGUCCAAAAGUAUUCUAACUCAAUUCUUUUUUUUUUUUUUUGAUAAAUAAGGUAGCACGGCUCCCCUUCGUUUAUUUCAUGUAGAAAUAAACUUAGCUGAAAAUGUGAAUCAAGUAGGAUUCGAACUCUGGGUCUCAGGUACCAACCAUCAUCACUACAACAAAAACGGUCUAUAGCGACACUUUUAAAUGUAGGUACAUGUCAAAAAAAUGCUGCUAGCUAAAAUUACCGACACUUUUAAAAAGUGUUGCUAUAUGUGGGGUCGCUAGGUAUAUAGUGACAGUUAAAGAGUGUCGCUAUAACCUAAAAGAGUGCUGCUAAUUUACAAACACUUAUUUAAGUAUUUAGCAACCGCCGAAACUCUAUAUCGUUGGCUGCGGUGGCGGAGGAGAACGACAGGAAAGGCUCUUCGUCUAAAAUUUCAGUGGAUUGAGUGAAGAGAGAAGAAAAGAUGGUAAUUGAUUUUUCUCUUUUUUUUUUUUCUUUUCUGUUUGUAAUCGUGCCAAAUAGACCGGGUGUGGUGGGUUGAGUAGAGUAAUCUUUUAUUUUUGGUUGGAUUGGGCUUUAUAUUUAGGCAUUAGUAGAUAUUUUUUUAAAGUUUUAGCAUAAAUAGGACACUUACUCAAAAGUGUCCCAAACAUGUGUCGCUGUAAUCUAAUUCUGUUGUAGUGUUGCCACUUGCUCUAGGGACGGUCGGUAACUCAAUUCUAAUAAUUGCGCGACAAUUAUUUGAUUUGAUGUAGAAGUUAUGUGCCUCGUGAAACUCAUAACUGUUUCAAGCUGCUACUACAGAAAUCUCUAGUAACUUUUCUUUUUCUUUUUUUUUUUCUUCUUCCAACGGAGACAAACUAUUUAUUCUUCUGGGGCCAAAAGAGCCAGGAAUUUACCAACCCUAGUAGACAUGAAUGAAUCCCCCUCCAGAAUAUAAAAUAUAAAAUAAAAUAAAAUAAAAAGAAAAAAGAAAAGAAAAGAAAAGAAAAAAGUCUAUGAGCCAGCUCAUAGAGAGUCCUCAACUGCUUCUGCUUUUUUUUUCUCCUUUAGCAACCCCACAAGGCACAACAGUGCUUUUGAAGGAGUCCACACUUUGACUACAACUGGCUUGUGUUUUUCCCUAUCUCACCUUGACCUGUGUGCUUUGUGGUAGUGCACACAUUUUGAAGGCUCAAGUUUCAACUCCAACCAUGUGAGAUGGGUGGGUUAGGGCUUGUUUAAUGAAAUGCUAUUUAAAAGAUACUAUUAGCUAAUUGAAGCACUAUUUUUUAGUUACAUUAUUUACGUUUUCUCUUGGGCAGCUGAGUCAAAAGUUUCGCUUUUAGGCCUUAAAAUUAUAUUUGUCACAAUCUUUACUAACAAACUACCGAUAAUUACGAUCACUUGUGCAGAUUUUUGAUCAUUGGAUAGAUAUAUCUACGAGUUAGCACAAUAUGUUGCUUACUCCACUUGUUGUUAACUUGUUAUUGAACUGCGAUUUUAGAAGAACCACUUAAACAGGCAUAUGAUCACCAGGACAUAACUACUGUGAUAGCUUAAUUAACCUUAAUCGUGCUUAAGAACCAUUUAAGAUUCGCAUAAUAUUAGGAAUAAAUAGCCAGGAUCCAAACUAACCCCAUCUAAUAAUUGGGAGAGGAUAGUACAACCAUAAAUGACAAGCGUCAACAGAUCUCACCAGGGGAGUGUGGAAGAGAGGACCAUUGAAUUGGGUUCACGAGAUAGUGAUAUGGUGUGGGGGUUUAUAUAUAUAUAUAUAUAUAUAUAUAUAUAUAUAUAUAUAUAUAUAUAUAUAUAUAUAUAGAGAGAGAGAGAGAGAGAGAGAGAGAGAGAGAGAGAGAGAGAGAGAGAGAGAGAGAGAGAGUCCGGAUAGGAUACUAUCGAUAGCACAAAGAAUUUGGUGCUAUCGAGUUUUCUCCCGUUAGAUUUAACUCUUUAAUUAUUUUUACCCGUUAGAUUAUACUAUUCAACCAACCACUCACUCAAUCCUAAGGAGUUCACAUCAUCCUAACCACACAUUUCUUAAUCCAAGAGCUGAAAAACUAACAGUAUUUUAGCUAGUUCUCUCUCUCUCUCUCUCUCUCUCUCUCUCUAUAUAUAUAUAUAUAUAGAACUAGGCUAGAAUAUUAUUAAUAGUACUAAGUCAUUAGUGUUAUUAGGUUUUCGGCCCUUGGAUGAAACGAUAAGCGGUUAAGAUUAUGGUGGCUCCCUAGGGUUGAGUAGGUAGUUGAUUGAAUAAUAUGAUUUAAUGGGUGAAAAUGACCAAAAGGAGCGAAAAACUUGGUAGCAUCGAGUGCUUGGUACUAUCGAUAGCAUUGUAGCUGGAUUCUCUCUCUCUCUCUCUCUCUCUCUAUAUAUAUAGAGAGAGAGAGAUAUAUAUAUAUAUAUAGAGAGAGAGAGAGAGAGAGAGUGAGUCCAGCUACUAUACUAUCAAUAGUAUCAAACUCUUAGUAUUAUUGAGUUUUCUGCAAUUAGAUUCUUUGAUUAUUUUCACCCGUUAGAUUAUACUAUUCAACCAACUACCAACUCAACCUUAGGGGACCACUAUCAUCCUAACCGCACAUCCUUUCAUCCAACGGGCGAAAACUCAGAUAGCACAAAAUGUUUGGUACUAUCGAUAAUAUAAUAGCAUAUAUAUAUAUAUAUAUAUAUAUAUAUAUAUAUAAUAUAGAGAGAGAGAGAGAGAGAGAGAGAGAGAGAGAGAGAGAGUCCAGUGUUACUAUGCUAUAUAAUAGGCACGGAAGACAGUUGGUGCUACAAGUGUUCUGCCGGUAGUCUACGCAUUUUGAUCAUUUCACUCGUUAGAUCAUACUAUUUCAACCAAGCCACCUCACCACAACAGAAUUAGGUUAAUAGGGACACAUGUUUGGGACACUUUUUGAGUACAGUGUUCAUUUAUGACCGUAAACUUAAGAAAAUAUACUACUAAUCUUAAAGAUAAAGCCCAUCCAACCAACAAAUAAAAGAUUAACUCUAAACUCAACCCUACAAACCCAGCUCUAUUUGGGGCCUGAUUACUAAAUUCAGAAAAGAACCAAAGAAAAAAAACUCCAUUACAUCUUUUCUUCUCUCUCACAACUCAAUCUAACUGAAAAUUCUAGACGAAAGAGCUUUCCUUCGUUCGUCCUUUCCUCACCCGCCACGAGCCAACAGAGAUAGAUGUUUCGGCGGUGCUAAAUGCUUAAAUAAGUGUUUGUAAAUAGCAAGCACUCUUUUAGGUUAUAGCGACAACUCUUUAACUGUCAUAUAUAUUACCCUACGAGCCCCACAUAAUAGCAACACUUUUUAAAAGUGUCGUAAUUUACUAAGCAGCAGUUUUUUGACAUGUACCUAUCUUGAAAAGUGUCGCUAUAAAUGACCGUUUUUGUUGCCAUUUCUAGUGCCUAUUAAAACCCUUGGGGCCACAUCAUUCUAACCGCACAUCUUAACCAAUGGCCAAAACUUGGGUAGCACCAAUGAUUUGUGCUAUUAAUAGUAUUAUUAACCUAGUUAUAUAUAUAUAUAUAUAUAUAUAUAUAAUUAUAUAGAGCCGCCGGCUACUAUAUCUCUUAUAGCAACCGAACGUCUUUUGUUACUGCAUAAUUUUUUACCUUCGUUGUGUCUACUCUGUUAAUCAUUUUCACUCGUGUAGUAUUAUACUAUUCAACCACCCACACACGUCAACUCCUAGGAAACAUGGGCCCCUAUCACCUAACCGUAACACUCUUCAUCGCCCUACCAGCGCACAUUUUUCAGUCUCUGAACCGGUAAGACCGCGAAUUAGUUUAUGAGUACAUUAAGGCUCUAUACUCAUAUGAGUAUACGUCAGCCCUCACCCUAAAUAUAUAUAUACUGUAUAUAGCGCUGGGGCAACCUAUAGCUCUUAUGAUAUAACACAAUCCGUUCAACUCAUAAAUUUUUAACCGUUGAUAUGAUACGAGUAAUAUUGUAGCCUGGGUUAGGAUGGUGGUCUGAUUGGCUUCCCAACUUUAUGUAAUCAUAAUGUCCCUUAGGGUUGAGUGGAUAUGUUGGUUUGUAAUACUAUAAAAAAAAAAUUAACGGGUAAAAUGAUCAACUGGAAUAAUCUAAGGGCCGAAAUUAUGAGUAUGAAGAAAGACAAAUUUAACUCUAAAAAGUAUAAGUAGCUAAACUCAUCAGACAUAACUGAUAUUAAAAUAGACAUUUAUAUAAUAAAACAUAUAAUAUAUAUAGAUAUUAUAUUAUUAUAUAUAUAUAGAAUUAGGCCUACUAUGCUAUUAUGAGCACAAAGUCAUGUGCUACCAAAGUUGUUUGGCCAUUUGAAUUAAAGAGAUAUUACAUGGUUAGGAUAUGUGGCUCCUAACCGGGUUGAGUGAGUUGUUGGAUUGAUAUAGUAUGAUAAUCUAAUCGAUGAAAAUGAUCAAAAGGGCUACAUCUACGACGCGGAAAAAACUUGGUAGCUCAUAAAACAUAAUCUUCGUUGAUUAUUGGAAUCCAGACCUAGUAGCCGGCCGACUCUAAUAUAUAUACUAUGGCUUAUCAACAGGGCCAAAAACUUAUGAGUAUAAGAAGAACCAAAUAACCUAUAUAAAUAUAUCCCUUCGGACUCUCUCUCUCAUCUUCUCAGAUCGUUCACUAGGAUCCGAGUUAUUGCUUCGCCUCCAUUUUCCCCUUCAGUCCAUAUCCAUUACCAAUUCACAUUUACAAAGACACCCAUUAUUAUGACGAAUCAUCUAAAUAUCCAUAAUCAAAACCCUCUAACCCGUCAUACAAAACCCCAAGUUCGAAAUCCCUAGCUAUCGCUUUCAGGUCACCCAUCACCUGAAUUUAUACGGCAACACUCCCACAGCGUAAUAUAUUGGAAUAUUGAAUCGGAUAGCCAGAUAUUGGUCCAUCAUGAUAAUUGUAUUCAAAUAGCAGGCAGCCAUCGUCAGACAUAACAGUUUGACCAAUCACAAAUCAUCCUAGGAAAAUUCCUAGCAAACUUCCUAACGAUGUGAUUCAACAAUAUGAUUCGCGUUUCCUAGUAGAGCCAAGGCAACAGCCUUGCUCUUACUGCACCAAGGAAUCCAUCACUCCAAGAUAAACCAUACUGAGACGGACCAUGCUCUAUCAUCACGCCUUACAUAUCAGCAUCACAAUUUCCUUAUAAUCCUAAGUCCCUUGAAACAAAACGAAUCACGUUCCUUAAAUUCGAAGCGAUCCAUUGAGACUGCUGCCAAUGAAUAAGUUGUUGCUCUGCAAAGCUCAACUUUAGUCAAGUCAAAACAAAGCAGAUCCCCCGAUACCACAUAGUCCAAACUGAAGCACGUACUGACCUACUCAUCUCUCUUACCUUUAGUGCCUUAAGACCGAUGUGAUUCUUCUCUAUGGUAUCAAUCAUUUAACAACUGAUCCAUCUAAAAGUCAGAAUUUUAUAAGUUCUUAGACCAAACAAGAAGUUCAACAUCACAUCACUACCGAGCACAUAGCUCCUCAACAUGUCUAUUCAAAGUGAGAGACAACACUUAGUGUUGAUUACUCAUGAUGUCAGCCAAUAAUAUCGCGACGUAAGGAUAAACAAAUCCCAUCUCUUUCUUAAUAUAAAACAGUGCCCUUACAUGAUACGAUAGUAGGUAUGCUUACAUAAACCUGAAAUACAUAGCCGACUACUGCUGAGGACAAUAAAUGGAUUUUAAAUCACUAAACUGGUUUUUGUUGAUACCAAAACCUCAGGUUGACCUAGCAAUUCCCUCGCUAAUUCCCCGUGAGAAAGCUGUUAGAUCCAAUUGAUUCCAAAUCUAUCCUAAUAGAUAUCAAACGAAGAAUCGCAAAUCUCUCCAACGGGACGCAACCUCGUGUAUCUACCCUCCUCCUAAGCGUAGCUACCACGACCCUGUAUUAUCGAUUGAUCAAUCCCCUUGCCUUAAUUUAAACACAUUUAUUUUUCAAUAACUGAGAGGUCAAGCUCCAUUCCCAUCAUUGUCUGCCAUGAAGUCACUCAUCUCUAUCUUCAUAAGCAACCACACUGCAGCUCCGUGCACUCUAUGAUGUCUGCAAGCUUCUUUAUAAGAAGAGUCUCACGGCCAUACCAUAAAUAUUCCCCCUUCCGCUCAAAAAGUCCGGGCAGAAUAUUCCACUUUCACUUCUACCAAUGGAGGUCCGGAACUCGACUCAGUACUCAUUCAACAGCAUCAACUAGCCGAAGGAAGAAUACCGGCAGCUCUUCACUUCGGAUUCGAAGACAAUCCCUCUAACGUAAGAUAGGGGUUACGGCCUUACUCAUCAUCCGACGUUCUCCAUUUACAAUGCUUGAAAAAUCCUUUCUAGAAUUCACAUCACUGACCAAUCCGGUCAUAACCACAGCUGUUCCCAUACAUCACUACUCGAAUCCAGGUAUUGAAACACUGCGCUCGCUUUGGCGGUUCCCAGAUAUUUAUUGGCCUGACAUAUAACUGAACCAAAGGUGUAAUUAUAAACUUUCUCUAUCCCACCGAUCCGUCAUUGUGCAUAGAUCUGCACUUGUGCAUCGGAAACGAUUAGAUUGUAUCACUUGCAUCAUAAACAGUCUCUCCAAAAUUUAUAGAAUGCCACUUUAAGGUGCAGGUAUCUGCAAACAUUACUAAUAAAUACGUCCUGUCGUCGCAACAUCCAUUGUUCGAGUAGACCCGAAUAGGUUACUGUCGACAAUCUCCAUCUUCGCAUUCUCACAAAAAACUUUGAACUGAUUAGCCAAAGCAACAAUAUGUAGUACACCGCCCGCUGACUGAACUCCGCCCGAUCGCACCGAUUCACGGUUCGAUCCACGUCACUGGCGACGUACAACACCCGUCUCAUUUGACUGCUCCCGCCAAUCGCAACCCGCGUUCGCAGCAAUCUAACUUCAUCAAAUGGUAAACUAUAACACUAGACCCCCUAUCCAUAUAAAAUCAUGAAAGUAGAAAAUAGAACACAUAAUCGGUAUCCCUCACAUUCUGGCCAAUAAAGCGACGCGUACAUCAGUUCGCGCACAGCAGGUGCUCUAUUCUCUAUAUAUAAUAUCAUAUAUAUAUAUAUUAUAUAUAUAGUCCGACUACUAUACUAUCGUGCACGGAAGGCUCCGUGCUACCAAUUAUUUUGAUGGCGGCUGCCACUCGAUGAUCGCUCGUAUAACUUUGAUCUACUACUAUUGAAAAGUAUUUGGGAAACAAAUUUCAAAUUAUUUCAACAUAUUAUGAACUCAGUGAUCAAACGAUCUCAAAUUGACAAUUAUUGUCGAUGUGGGUGUUCUUGAAGUUUAACGGGUAAAACAAUCAAAUCGAUGAAAUUUUAUUGAAAAUUCUAUUUCCAUUAUUUAGUAGUAAGAUCAGUAUAUCUGAUCUUGAUUAAUAAUUUAUCAUCAUUUUUAUGAAUUUUAACUUUUUAGCCGUUCAAUUUAGAUAUACUUUUGUUGUGAUAGGUAAUAGUGAUCGAAAUUAUGAAAUUAAGUGUCUAAAUACUUUUAAUAGUGGUAGAUCAAGUCUAACGGCAGCCGAUCGUUGCGAUUUGAAAAUCGCAUCAUCGAAAAAACAACAUUGGUAGCAGCGGAGCCUCCCCGUGCUAUCGACAGUAUAGGCAGCCAGACAUAUAUAGUAUAUAUACUAUAUCUAUAUAUAUAUAUAUAUAAUUAUAUAUAUAUAUAUAUAUCAAUAUAAUAAUAUAUUAUACUAUAGUCUGGCUGGGGUACUAUCGAUAGCUACAGGAUUUGGUGGCUAUCGAGUUUUGUCGUCGUUUAGAUUUAAUUCUUUGAUUAUUUUUGCCCGUUUUAGAUUAAUACCUAUUCAACACCGCUACUCAGAAGCCCUAGGCCCCACAUCAUCCUAGACCACUCCAUUUCUCACAUCGCAGGGCAAAAUCACUAGCAGCUAAAUAGUUUGUGCUAUUGAAGUAUUAUCAGCCUAUAUAUAUACGUAAUACAAGCUAGGCUCGCUAUAUACUAUCGGUAGUCAUGUGACGCUCUCCGUGCUAAUCAAAGUUGUUUUCAAUGAUGCCGCUUCCAAAUCGAGAGAUUGGCAAAGGAGACUUGAUUUACACUAUUAAAAGUAUUUGAAACUAAUUUCCAUAAUUUUCGGUAUCAAUUUACCUAUUCAACUGAAUAGUCUAAAAAUAAAACGGCUGAAAAUAAAAUCUCAUAAAAAAUAAUGAUAGAAGACUUGAAUUUAAGGUCAGAGGUACUGAACGCUUACUCUAAAUAGUAAAAAGAAUUUUCUAUAAAAAUUUAUAAGCUGAUUUGAAUUUUUACAAUCCGGUUAAUUUACAAAUACAUACAUAUCUACAUUAAAAUUAUCAAUUUUGAGACCCUUUGAUACUAGCCAAAGAUGUCGAAAAUUCUGAAAUUUAAGAGUUUCCAAAUACUGUUUAAUAGUGUAGAUUAACUCUAAUGGCCGAUCGUCGAUUUGGAAGCCGCAUUCAUCGAAAACAAACUUGGUAGCAGGUAAGCCUCCGUGCCUACCGAUAGUAUAGCAGCUGAACUCUCUUCUCUCUCUCUCUCUCUCUCGCCUUCUCUCUCUCUCUCGCGUUCCCUCCAGUCAUCCUCUCUCUCUCUUCUCUAUUAUAUAUAUAUUUAUAGAGUCCGCCGGCUGCUAUCUAUUGAUAGGGGGCACCAACCACUUGUGCUAAUCAAGUUUUCUGGCGCCGUUAGAGUUAACCCCUUUGAUUAUUUUAACCGUUAGAUUAUACUAUUCACCAACUCACCCACCUCAACCUAAGGGCCCACAUCAGUCUAACGUUACAUUUUUUCAAUCCAAUUGGCUUAAAAAACUAAUAGGCACCAAAAGACUUGGUGCUAUUCGAUAGUAUUCCAGUCUAGUAUACUAUAUAUAUAGUAUAUAUAUAUAUAUAUUAUAUAUUAUCAUAUAUAGAAUACGCUACUAUGCUAUUUUAAUAGCACUUAAGUCAUUGGUGCACUAAUGAUUUUUGGCCAUUGAGAUCUAGCAGUAUGUGUGGUUAGGAUGAUGUGGGUCCACUAGGCUGAGUGGGGGUUGGUUGAUAGUAUGGACUAACGGUGAAAGAUCACAAAGGUAGAUCUAACGGCGGAAAACUGUAGUAUCCAAGUGCCUUGCGUGCUAUUAAUAGCAAUAGUAGCCGACUCUAUAUAAUAAUAUACUAUAUAUAUAGAGUAUAUGCCGGGCUACUAUACUCCUUGAUAGUAUAGACCCUUGUACUUAUAAAUUUUAACCAUUGAUUAAUGGGUUAUGGUAGGAUGAUGGUAGUACACACAACCGCACUUAAGAAUGAUAUGGUACCCAGGGGUUGAGUGGUAGUUUGGUUGGAAUCAGUAUGAAUCUAACGGAUAAAAAUGAUCAAUAAAAUAAAUGCUAAGGACGCGAAAGACUUAUAGUAUAUAGGAACCAAUACUCAUACAAGUAUAGUAGCGCAGACUCUCUCUCUCUCUCGACAGCUACUUGUGUCUCUCACCCAGGAUAAUCUCAUCUCUCUGCUCUCUCCUAUAUAUUAAUAUAUAUUAUAAUAUAUAGCCGUGAGGCUAACAAUAUGCUUUCGAAAGGCAAUGGAGCCUUUUUGUGUUUGCCAGUAUCGUUUUCGAUAGUUCGCGAUUUCGAAUGUCGGAUGGCUCCGUUAAACUUGAUUUAGAGUAUUUGACAAUACCUAGAAAAUAAACUUUAAAUGAUUUUUUGAUAUCAAAAUUUUGCCCUAGUGAAUCGAAGGAACUGCAAAUCAAUAAUUUUAAAGGCGCGUGGUGAGGCGUUUGCAAGUUUAAACGGUAAGACAAAUAUAUCAAUCACGUGCAAAUUUGAAUAGAAAAUUCUUUAAGCUAUAAUAAAACAAGAUCAAGAUUUUUGAUCUAGAAAUUUUAAUGUCAUAUAUCACGUUUUGUAAGAUUUAUUUUCAGCUGUGAUUUGAAUCCGCCUUAGUUCACAUAGGCAAAUUGAAUAUUGAAAAAUCAUACAAUUUAUUUUCUAGGUACUUUUCGAGUAACUUCCAAGAUUAGUUUAACGGAGCCAAUUCGACGAUGUCGAAAAGUUCUAUAUUAUAAUAUAUAGAUAUUAUAUAUAUAUAUAUUUAUAUAUAUAUAUAUAUAUAUAUAUAUAUAUAUAAUAUAUAUAUACUAUAUAUAUAUUCUACCACUACCUAGAGAGAGAGAGAGAGUACCUCCCCUAAACACUCUGUCUCUGUCGUAUUACUCUUUAUUAAAUAUUAAGGAGUGGGGUUAAAGAUGAAUAGAGUGUGGGAUAUACGGUUGUUAUCUGCAAAGGCAAUGCUGCUAUAUAUGUAGUACAUUUGUCCAAGGAUCACCUAAAAACCUAUAGACAAGGUAUAAAAUUUAUCUCUUCUAUAUAUUUACCUGCUAGUCUUAUUAAGUUUUUUAUAUCAAAAUAACAAUGCAUGUACAUUCCAAAAAAGGAUAUAAAUUUACACCCGACCAUCAAAAAGGCCCUUAAUUAUUGCAUUCUUGUCUCGUCAACAUUUUUCAAUUAUAUUAUUACAAAGGUUUUCAAGUCUGAAUCCUGCUAUGUUGCUAGUCUCGUUUUAUAAGAAAUUGUUAUUUAAAAGACCAUGAUUUUGAACACCUAGAUCUUCUGAUUGUCAUAGAACACAUCUAAUAAUUAGAUUCUAAACUUCAAAUGAUCUCUCGUAGAAUUUUAGAUGUGCGAUGUAUAAGAUAUAUCAAUAGGCAAUGUGUAGCGAAUAAUUUUUAGGGAGAAAGUGGGGUUUGAUUAGCUUCCCCACUCAUAAAAUGUUAUAUGAGGCAAGCUUGCCGAGAGCAGUACCGACUGCCUGCUGUACCGUCCCCAAGUCCUUGACGCUUGACCUGGUGGCAGCAGUUUUUACGAAAACAACGCCAGUGUCCGGUGACCACCGUUCGUUCGUAGUUCGUUCGCGCCAGUGUCCGGUCACUACCGUUCGUUCGUAGUUCGUUCGCACCUAACGUAGUUGGUUAAGAAUUUAAAACUAGGGCUACUAUACUCUUAUGAGUAUAGCUCAUUUUGUAUUCAUAAAUUUUUAAUUAUUGGAUAAAGAGAUGUGCGGUUAAGAUGAUAGCGGUCCCUUAAAAUUGAGUAGGUAGUUGGUUGAAUAGUAUGAUCUAACGGGUGGAAAUGAUCAAAAAAAUAGACCUAACGAUAAAAAAUUCAAGAGUAUAAAGGGCACUAUACCAAUAAGAGUAUAGUAGCCGGACUCAUAAUUUAAUGAUUAUUAUCUGAGUUGUCGAAUUCGAAAACUAGUUGUCCUCAUAGUAAAAUAAAAAUAAAAGGAUUAAUUGUAUACAGUUUUCUGUAAAUAUAUCGAAUGAUAAAUAAAUUCUUACAAAGUUCAAUUUUUUAUCUUUAUUCCUUUAAAAGUCUGAUGAUAUUGAUUUUGUUACCGUUAGAGCACAGUUUAUUUUUUUACAGUGGUUAAGUGAAAUGACAUUUUUAUCCUUAUAAAUUUAUCUCUCAAGAAAUUCCAACUGUUAGAAUUAUAUAGAAAUGUCAUCCUCAAAAAUAUUUUACCUAAUAAUAUAAAAGGGAUAAAAAAAAUCAAUUUAACUCAUUUACUAACUAAGAUUAAGUAUUUUACUAAUAGUUAACUAUAUUUUUCUAAUGGAUCCUAAUAGUAGGGGUAUAUUUGAAAACGAGAGGACUUUUGGAGGGAUAAAAGAUGAAAAUAAAAAAUUGAAAUUUGCAUAAAUAUCUGCUAUUCGAUAUAUGUACAGAAAGCUGUACGCAAUUAACCUAAAAUAAAAUUACAUGAUAAUUAAGUGUAAUAUUUUUGAACCACGGAAUAACAAAAUAAGAAUACGCUAAAUCACACAGAGUAGGGGAAAUUGAAGGUUUUUUCUUUAUUUAAUUCCCAUGUUAAGAAGAAUCACAGGAUAGGUGUGGACAAAGUGGUGUCGAGCUCGGGCCAAUGCUGCAGAUCUAAACUCAGACUUGGAUCAAAGAAAGAAUAUUGGAGAAUGGAGAUCCCAAGACAAGUUUGUGUGUGGUACCCAGCACACAUGCAUCAUGAUUCUACAUCGAGAUCCAACACAUAUACAUAUGUUCAAAAUUCAUAACACAACAAAAAGUCUCUUCCACAACAUAUUAUGUAGCAUCACAGAUCUAGAGAUCUAGAGAGAGAGAGAGAGAGAGAGAGAGAGAGAGAGAGAGAGAGAGUGUGGAGAAAUUAUUGCUUGGACUAUGAUCUACAUAUAUGUAGUACGAAGUUUCCAGAAACUCAAAUUUACAGAAUUUUAAAGUUAAAUGUAUACAAUUAGAUAAAAGGUACAACACAAAAGCUUCUAUCCUAAAAGUUAUACUCUUUUUACUUUCUAACUCAUAUUAGAGUUUUGAAUUAAUUUCAUACAGGUCUCUACUAGCAUAGUAAAUGACAAAUAUAUUUCUACAAAGUUCAACUUUUAUAUAUUGUCCAUACAAAAGUCUCGAUAUUUUCAAAUAUAUCCUUACCGUUAGAAUCCGUUAGAAAAAAUUAAUUCAAAACUCUAAUAUGAGUUAGAAAGUAAAAAGAGUUUUGAAUUAAUUUCAUACAGGUCUCUACUAGCAUAGUAAAUGACAAAUAUAUUUCUACAAAGUUCAACUUUUAUAUAUUGUCCAUACAAAAGUCUCGAUAUUUUCAAAUAUAUCCUUACCGUUAGAAUCCGUUAGAAAAAAUUAAUUAACCAUAGAUUAAAUACUUAACACUGGUUAGUUUUUGACAUUUUUCCUCUUUUUAUAUUAUAUUGUUAUGCCUUUUGGAGGGAUACAUUUGUGACAAUAAAAUUGAAAAUAUAAACAGUUUUAUAACGGUAAUAAACUAGAAGGAUAUAUCAGGGCUUUUAUAUGAAUAACAUAUAAAAGUUGAACUUUGUAGGGAUAUAUUUAUUAUUCAUUAUAUUUGUAGGGACCUGUAUGAAAUUAAUUCUAAAUCUUUUGACAAUAUCCCCAAUCAAAAGUUGGCUUAAAAGGCCGGAAUUUUGAUUUGUAUUUUUUUUUUUUUUUUUUUUUGAGAGAUAGAUAGCACGCUGUUCGUUUCGUUUAUUUCAUUUAGAAAUAAACUUGGUUGGAAAUGUGAAUCGACUAGGAUUUUGAUUUGUAUUUCAAAAUGGACUAAGCUAGAUAGGAAUCGAAUGAAACCCAAUCUAAGCAAAACUAAAUUGAAACGAGGCUUGACUAGAAUUAAACUGGAGCAUUAGCAUAAAAUUGCGGAUGGGAAAAUCGAACUCAGAAUCUCUUAAGAUGGAAGAAACGUAGGACAGGCUCUUAUACCAUAUUACGCAAAGGAUCAAUCCAGUAAUAAAUAAUCUAGAAUUCGUCUUAGCAAUUAACCUCCUUCUUUGGACAUCACGAGGUUCAUGAGCAUGGUUUAUCUAAUAUCCACGGUUCAUCUUAUAUUCACCAUGCAUGCGAUCAGAUUCGUAAUGACGAACUAAUCUUAAAUUGUUUCAUACUAAAUUGAUCUUUUGUAACAUUCAAGACAUCAAGCUUAGGAAUUUGGUAGAGGAGAGAGAGAGAGAGAGAGAGAGAGAGAGAGAGAGAGAGGGGUUUGUUAAUUAGGGUUUGUCUCUUCUUUGGUCCUCUUUCUAUAAAACCAAUUGCUUUUACUAUCUACUGCAGCAGCAGCAGGAAGCAGCAGCAGCAGCGCAUGGAGGGUCCUUUUUACACUGCCCAUUCCGCCAGUCUUCACAUGCCUCUCCAGGCCCCAUUCCCAGCCUGGGCCCCUGCUCCUACAAAGAGAAAUUGCUGCCCGCACCAACUGCACCACAUUACCUGUGACACACAUCCUUAGUUACAUUUUUUGUAUACAUGCAUGAUGCAUAUGCAUCUUAAAGAUCUUAAAGAUCAGAAGUAGUUUGAUCUCUUCCAUUGUAGAGCUUUUCUAGCGCUUCUAUAUGCUGCAAAAAAAUAAGAAUUGAGAUUCUAAUACCCAUAUAUACCCAUAUUCAGAAACUUCAAUUUGAUACUUCCACUGUUUUGCAAUAAAGAAGUCUUCGCAUUAACGUAAUCCCAAGGCAAACGUGCAGAGAGUAGUAUAUAUAAUUCGACUCGUAGGUGUUGAAUAUAAAAAUAUUAAAAAACUGUUCUUUAAGCUAUCGUUUAGUUCGGGAAAUAAGCUAUUUUAGGCUAUCCCUGGUAUAGGUACAACUUUAGUUAAUAACAAUUAGAUAAUUAAAUUAGUCAAAAUAUUAAUUAAUUAAUCAAUAUGAAUAUUGGUUAUGUCAAAUAAUUAAUUAAUUAAUUAAUAAUUAUUUAAUUAGCAAAUUAAUUAAAAUAAUAAAUUUAAUAACUCAAAUAGCUAAUUAAAUAUUUAUUAGAGUAAUAAAUUAAGUACUACAAUUAAUGAUUUUAUAAUAAAAAUAAUAUAUUAUAAUAUAUAACAUAUUAUGUCUAUAUAAUUUAAUUUUAAUUCAAUUUAUAAUUUAAUAAAACUUUGGAAUAGCAUUAUUCUACCAAAAUGGUAGAACAGUAAAUUACAAACUAUUCCGAAAUAGUCGGGAAUAGCAAUGUUUGAGCAGGAUAAAAUAUUUCAGCCCAAAUACACUCCGUUUGGUCGGAUAGUGGGAUAACUUUCGUUAUCCCUGUUUUAUCCCCGAACCAAACGGGGCCUGAUAGCUUAAAUUACAUGAAAAUAAUGUUUGCUUCAUGCAAUUUAACAUAGUAUCAGUGUAUGAGGUUCCGAAUUGGGAUUUCGUUUAAUUCAUAUCCCUAUAAAAAGUUUCAAUUUUAGAGGUGAAAAAGAGUGUUGAAUACAAAAAUAUAAAAGUACUGUUUUCUAACAGAUCAAAAUAUUGUAACACGCAUAUUUAUCUAACAAAUAAGCUUUUAUUUUUGAAGUAUAGGUGCACAUAUGGUGGUACAUCAAGUGCAAGCAAAAAUUUCUCCUACUACAGCAUUUCCCUUCUAAAAGGGAAAUUAGAGCUCUCAUUGCAUAUUCUCAAUACAAAUGGACCAAAUAGGUGUUCUAUAUAAUAAAAGAAAAAACUUCAAAUACCACCCUUAUGGUUUGGCACUUUUCGCUUUAGUACCCUGUGGUUUAAAAUGUAUCAAUUUAGUAUCCUGUGGUUUUGCAUUUUCUCACUUUAGUUCCCUGUGGUUUAAAGUAUAUCAAUUUAGUACUCUGUGGUUUCAUUUUUUUCUUUUCGUCUCAGCUCCUCUGUUAAUAUUUCUUUAAAUUAUAUACAAAAAACUUUAGAUACCCUGCAUAAGUUUAUUUAAUAUUUACUUUAGUACCCUUUUGUUUUAACUUUGUCACUGAUUUUUUUUUCCUCCAUUAAUAUUUCAUUAAAUUAUAUACGAAAAACUUCAGAUACCCUACAUAGGUUUAUCGAAUAUUUACAUUAGUACCCUUUAGUUUUAACUCUAUCACUGAUUUAAUGAAAAAAAAAAUAGUGAAAUAGAUAAUAAAAAGAAAAAAAUAAAACCACAGGGUACUAACUUGAUACACUUUAAACUAUAGGAUAUUCAAGUGAGAAAGUGCGAAGCCACAGGGGUUAAAUUGAUACAUUUUAAACCACAAAGUACUAAAGUGAGAAAGUGUGAAACCAAGUGCAGGUAUUUGAAGUUUACCCAUAAUAAAAAGAGUGAGAGUGUGUUGAGUACUUUAGAAAUUCUCUGUGUAGUAGUAGUAGGUUCCUUAGAAGGCUCUGUGUACAAAGUUGAGAGGGACGUAAAGCAAAACCCUUUUUCUUUUGCAGAGAGAGGCAUCAAAAGGGUGCAGGGGGGAGAUAAUGAGCAUGCAAAAUUUCAAUACAAAAGAAGAGUGGACAUGUAAAAUAAAAUACAAAAAAUAAAAAAAAGUAUUUUGUGUGCUUAGACACACUUUUUUGUCAGGUUUUUUAGUACAAUAAUUUUUUCCUAAAAUUUUAUUCUACAAAUAGAAAUGUUAAAUUUUUAUUUAUAAAUAUGGUCUUAUAAAAGCGGUGAAUGGUUCACCGCUUUUAUUCUUUUUUCACUCCUAAUGAGAAGUAAUGAAUACGGCGAAUCAUUCACCGCAUUUAGAAUUCUAUUUUUAUAAUUAUUUUUUAACAAAAAUUAUUUUUAUAAUUAUAAAAAUCGAUAGGAUUAUUUAUAAAUAAAAUUCCUUUUUUGUCUCUAUGCAACUCAGAACUUUGUCCUUUCCUUCGCACGCAAUGUUUUGAGGGGGAGUGCAUGGUCUUGACCGAAUCAUGUUGUUGUCAACAGGUUAAGCUGGAUCCAAUACAUUAGGGUGAUGAUAUGGUCAAUUUGGAGUGUUGUUUAUACAUAAAAACCUAAAUUUGGAACAUAGGUGCAUGUUUGUAAUUUACAUGUAUAUUAUUUUGUAGACAAUUAUUCAUUUGCAUUUUACGAACCGGUGGUCUGGUUGAAAAGUAUCAUCGGAUUCAUCGAGUCGUGCUUUUAACAAACAUUUGAAUGCUUAAAUAUGUGACUUUUUUUUUAUAGUUGCGUACUCUGGAGCUGGGAUAUCAACUACUAAGACUUUCGCAAGUUGCCCUACAAAUAAUACCAUAAAUUAGAAUGAACAACAGAGAAUUCCAGUGUGAGAAUAACUGAGUUCGAGUCACGCCCAUCCCUAAAUUGCUAUGACAAAAUUGAGCCACUGUAGGAGAUACUUGAGUUCUAGUUCCUGCAGUAAGGUAAGGUUCAGAUGCAGAGAAAAAGGCAAUCUAUAUGUUAUUAAGAUAAAAACAUCCGGGUCUUACCUAAAUUACGGAUCAUUUGAAUUUGAUUACUGAAUCUUUCAAAAUUUAGAUUUUAUUAUCUAAUUUUUCAAUUUAUUUUAGUUGAGUCGGUCAAUAGGACUUUGGCUCUAAAAUUUAAAUUAAUUACUUAUUUUUAUAAACUUAUAAUUAUAAAAAUUAUAUAAAAUAUAGUAACUAAAUUUGUAAAGAUAAAAAACACGCAUUCAAGUUUUAAAAUCAAAGUAUUGUUGACUGACUCAAAUCAAAUAAAUCGAAAGAUUAGAUAAUAUAAUUAAAAUUUUAAAAAGUUGGAUAGCUAGAUCCAAAUAAUCUAUAGUUUAACUAAGAUUCAUACGUUUUUAUCUAUUAUUAAAAUAAACUGAAAAAUCAAGAAGAAAAUGAGGUACCUAUCAAACUUGAGGCACCAAUAAUUUCAUUCAUUAUAUAUAUGAUGGGACCAAUAACAAAUUAAAUUUUCAUAUUUCAAAAACCAUCACUAAAAUUUAGUUUGGUACCAAAAUUCGUGUUUAUUUCUCUUGGCUUCUUCCUUUGGUGGGUCACGUACGAAAAUGUUUCUUUCUUUUCCAAACUGGAAAAAUUUUCUCCAUUUAUAUAAAUGAAAUAUUAGUUGUCUUUAGAACCGUAUUGGUGUUUUAAAUGUCAACUCUGUCCCUCUAGAUUGUGCUAUGUACUAUGACAAUUCAUUUAAUUAAUUUUGUCUCUCACUAAAAGUAGAUACAAAACUGUAACUAUUCAAAAGGAGAUGAACGAAACAAGAAGAGAUAGUAGAUCCAAAAGAUAAUUACUCGCGCUGAUCGUACCUAGCUAGUGCAGUUGAUCGAGGGUCUGAUAGCCCCUAUCUAAAGUUAUAAAUUCGAAAUUUAGUUAUUUUAUAUUUUUAGCUGAGUUCAUAAAUAUAUAUNGGAGAUUUAUAAACUUCACACAUGAUUUAUGAAUAAAUUAUUUGCACUACUUGUUCGCGAAGCUUAGUUUUGAUAAAUCCAACAUUACAGAUCUCAAAAUUUCUGAAUUAUUUUACUUUAUUUUCUACUUUUGUGAAACAUUUGAUUCAUCUGUACAUUCGUUCUCCGUGAAUUUAUGGGCAUUUCAUUUAUCUCAUUUUUGUUCGUCGUUUGCUUUCCAAUAUUAAAAGAACCAUAAUUCGCUAUGUAAUAAGAUUGAAAUAUGAGAUGAGAAAGUGUUUGUAGUCAACAAAUAUAAGUAUAUAGCCACCCCCUGUUUAAGCAAAUAUUUUUCUAAUAUAAAUAAAUAAGAACACGAGUUCAUAUAACUUUUUUUUAGAAAUUUAGAAUAUCAAAUAUCAAAUUUUAAAUUCGAGACCUAUAGUAUAGUUAUUUUGAAUAUGAAAGAUAGAAAUAUUAUUUUCUAGAAGUUUAAGCUUUCAAAAAUAUAAUUUGCUAAAAUUCAGAUAUAAAAAAAUAAUUUUAUCCUAUUUAACAAAGAAAAAUACUACUUGUAUAUCUAUAUACAAGUGUCAUUGAUAUAACUUCUUUUUUCUAAAAUGUAUAAAUAAUAAUUUUUUAAAUAACUCUUUAGAAUAUAUAAAAUAUAAAAUAUAUUUUUAGUCUAAAUAGGUGUUUGGUCUAACUUUUGAAAAAUAAUUUUAGGUCCAAAAGUAAUUUUCGGCUUAAUAGAGCGUUUAACAACUUCACUCAGUUUUCUAGUUUUCAAGCCCCAAAAUUAGAAACAACUAACACUUUGAUUUUGAAAUCUGAUUUUGAUUUCAAACACAAGGUUAAAUUUAUAUUUUAUAUUUUAUAUUUAAAUUCUUUUAAUUUAAAAUUUUAACUUUUAAAUUUUGAAUUGUAAAGUUUAAAUUUUAGAUAUUAAAGUUCAAAUCAAAUUUUAAAUUUCAAAUUAAAAAUUAAGAUAAAAUUUAAUUUUUUUAAAAAAAAUUAGAAUUUAAAAUGUGUAAUAUAAAAUUAUAAAUUUUGAUUUUCAAAAUUGAAAUUUCAAAUUUCUAAAAUUACAAAUUUAAAUUUUAAAUUUGUAAUUUUAAAUUAUAAAAUAUAAAUUUUAAUUUUAAAUGUUAAAUAUUCAAAUUUUAAAUUUUAAUUUCAAGUUUCAAAUAUAAAUUUUAAAUCCUAAAUUGAAAAAUUAAGUUUAAAUUUAAAAAAAUAAUUUUAAAAUAAUUUAUUUUUUAUAUUUUAUUAUAUUUUAAAUUAAAAUAUCGAAAUUCAGAUAUUUUUGCAAACUUAAAAUUUAAAAUUUCGGUUCAAAAUUUUAAUUUAAAUUGAAAUUGUAAAGUAUUUUAAAAUAAAAUUCAUAAAAAAAUUAUUGUUUACAAAUAGUAAAAAAUUUUUGCCAGAACAGUUUCUGUGAAAAGUUACUUUACAUAUAAACCCAACCAAGUACUGUACAACUUUUAACAAAAACUAAUUCUCAAAAUUGAAAUUAAUUUUACAAAAAUUUAUUUUUUUGAGAAUCUAUUCGAGGGCCUGGCCAAAUGUGUUCUAUAAGUGCGGACAGACAGCACGAGGAUGCCGAUUUGCUCUACAUCGACAAGCCAGCUGUCAUCCGAAUAUAAAUAUUUUUUAUUUUUAUUUUUAUUUUUUUUGGAUAUCAGUUUGACUUGUCAACCGCAUAAGACAAGUUCUUCUUUUUCUUGCGUGAGAAAAGCAAAGGACAUUGUCACUUUGUCCCUCGAAGAUCCUCAAUAGUCAACAUGGAACGUAGGUUUACUUAUUUAAUAAUAAUAACAAAUUAUCUUAAAAUUUUAUUUAUAUAUAUAUUUUUUUAUUAGGGAUGUACAUUUUACGCGACCUCUCAGUAAUAUAUUCACGAAAAUUUUAAUAAGUUUUAGGCUUCGUUUGAUUCGGAGUUAAGUAGAAACUAAUUAUUUCAGGAAUAGGGUUAAGUUCAGGGUUAAGAUAAGGUUAGAAAAUUUUUUUAUUUGGUUGAGAAUUGGGUUUAGUUCAGAUAUAAACAAAAUAGUGUUUGGUUGGAAUAGGUGGAAUAAAAAGGUUAGUGGGUAGUUAUAAAUAUAAAAUAAUAAUUUUGCCCAAAUUAUUAUAUUUGAAUUUAAAUUUUUUAUUUUAUAUUUAAAAUUUUAAAUUUAAAUAGAUAAUUUUUAAAAUUAAAAAUUCAAAAUUAAACCCUAUAUUUUUAAAUCUCAAAUUUAAAAUUUUAAAUAUAAAAUAUUAAAAUUUUUAAGAUUAUAAAUUAUAAAUUUUUAAAAUUUCAAAUAUAAAAUAUUAAAUUUAAAAUUUAAAUAAUUAAAAAUAACAAUUUAAAAUUUAACAUUUUAAAAAAUAAAUAUUAAUUUUAAGAUUGCAAAUUAUACAUUUUUAAAAUUUUAAAUGUAAAAUGUCAAAUUUAAAAUUUAAAUAAGUAAAAAUAAAAUUUAAAAUUUAAAAUUUAAAAAUAAUAAUAUAAAUUUUUAGAUUAAAAUUUAUAAAUUUUUAAAAUUUAAAAAAUAGAAAUUUAUAUUUAUAUUUAAAAAUUAAAUUAGGGUGGAUUAACUUAAUCCCAUCCCAAUCUAUUGAAAGAUUAAGGUGUAUGGUUUAGGGGACAAAAAUUUUGUGGGCACCGUCCCCAAACUGACAGUGCGGAUGGGCGCCAUGUGGCCUGUCCAACGGCCACCCAGGAAAGAAAAAAAAAAUAAAAAAUUAGCGCUAUAAACAGUGUUUAUAGAGAGAAAGUAGUAGAGGAAGUGAAAAGACAACCACCCGAUGAGUCACAUGGCGUCCAUCCGCACAGUCUCCUCAAACUAUUAGUCAUCUAAAUUUUUAAAAUUUUUAUUUUACUAUCUAAUUUUUUAAUUUGUUUGAUUUGAAUCAGUCGAUAGCACUCUGACUUCAAAUUUAAUAAUGGACUAUUUUGAAUUGACUUUUAAAAUUUUACUUUUAUUAUCUAAUCUUUUAAUUUAUUUGAGUUAAGUCGGUACUCAAUAAUACUUUGGCUUCAAAUUUUAAGUAAAUUACUUAGUUUAGUAAAUUUAAAGUUGCAAAAAUUGUAUGAAGUAUACUAACUAAACCUAUAAAGAUAUACGUUAUAUUUGAAUUUUGAAGUCAAAAUGCCAUUGAAUGAAUUAAAUCAAAAAUUGAAAUACUGGAUAGUAAAACUAAAAUUUUGAAAAUUAAGUAGCCAAUUGAAAAUGGUCCAUUAUUCGGAUAAAUUCUAUACUUUUUUAUUAAAUUUUGUAUAAAGUUAGACAUUAAGAGUUCAUAUUUUGAUCCUCAAAAUAUUUUAACUUUUAUAAUUUUGUUAGAAAGCAUAUUUUUUCUAAGAGCGUUUUAUCUUAUCCUCAAAAAAAGAGUGAUGGUGAUAUAUUGUAUAAUCAUUUAAACAUUUAAUCACACGUCUCAUUUACCAAAUAUUUUAAAUAUUUCCUGUGAAAAGUAUAUCGCAGGAAUACAUCAAAUAACUUGUUCCUAUAAUCAAAUAGCGCAUACUAAGUCAUAAUUAUUAUCAAUUUUUAGGAUAACUGUUGUAUUUGGUAAUAUUAAAAAUAUCUUCUAAAAUGUGUAAAAGCUUUUUAAAAAAUAACUAAUUUUUUACACGAUAGAGCAUGAAAUGAAAUGCUGAGCUCGAAUUCUUAUGAUAGACUCUCAGUUUAAUUUAAUUUUAUCAUAUUCUUCUAUUUUAUUUAAGUUCACAUGUUACAUCUCUCCGAAAUGUAGAAAUGUAUUAAAUGCGGGUUCUCCAACUUAUUUAAUUGUCAAUUCUUAUAAUAUUAUUGUACAUAUAGCUACUGUUUUCUACUAUAGUAAAGGAGGGUUUGCGGGGACCGUAGAAUGACACAUGUCCCCGCGGCCCUCCCUUUUUCUCUCUUCCUCUAUAAAUAUAACAAUAUAUAAUAUAUAAAUUUUUAAAUUUUAAAUUUUGGAUAUCAAAAUUUUUAAUUUUUAAUUUUUAAUUUCAAAUUUGAAAGUUUCAAAUUCCAAAUUUCAUGUUUCAAAUUCCAAAUUCGUAAAAUUUUCUAAUAUUAUUUUCAAAUUUUAAACUUCAAUUUUAAAUUUUUAAAUCUCUAAACCCCAAAACCUUAAACCCUGAACCCUAUAAAAAAAUUAAUUAACUGUAUAUAUAAAAUAAUUAAUUAAUUUUAUUAAUAGUAUAUUUAAUAAAUUACAUUAUGAAAUCUAAUCCAAUGGAUACCUAAAUCACGUAAAAUGUCAAUGUAUAAAACAAAAUUGCAGAAUUUAAAUUUCUAGAAUAAAAUAUUAGAAAUAUAGUUUGUUUCUGUAUAUAUAUAAUUAAUUAAUUUUAUUAAGCAAUUUCUUCCACUAUUUUAUUUCUCUUUUAUUUAUUGAUGUAUUUAAAUUAUUUUAAUAGAUUUUUCUCAAAUCUUUUUUACAUAAAUCUUUAUGAAACAAUUUAAUUACUAAUAAGCUGUAAUACAAAUUUACGUUUGCUGCACAUAUACCAAUUUUAAUCAGUUUUAUUUUAAUAGAUAUAUAUAUAUUAAGUUAUUAUCCACGCCGGUGAUUUCAUUUGAAUAUUAAUUAUUAUAUAUUUUAAUAUUUAAAUAUUAAAAUUUAAUUAAAUAAAUAUGAUCUAGGGAUUUCUCGCAUUGGAUUACAUUUUAAUAAGUUUUGAGAAAAGAAAAUCUAUUUACUGAAUAUCAAAUAGUUCUCCCGUGAAUAACACGCAAAUAUUAUAAUUGUAUAAAAAAAUAGAAAAAUCAAAAUAUAUAACAGUAUUAUUACCUCAAAUACGUACGCUGAAAUAUAUAAAUUUACCAAAACUAUCACCUGCUAUCUUUUGAUUUGACUAUCUAAUCUUUAUAACUUUUUUUUUUUACUAUCUAAUCUUUUAAUUUACUUAAUUUGAGUCAAUUAGUGACUUUUUAACUUAAAAAUUUGAAUACAAUAUUGUUUAUCUCUAUGGGGUUUAGUUAAUAUAUUUUAUGCCAUUUGCGCAAUUAUAAAUUUAUUAAAAUAAUUUGUAUAAAUUUUGUAUUCAAAGAGCCAUCAAAUUAUUUAAAUUAAAUAAAUUCACAUGUUAGACACUAAAAUCAAAAUUUUAAAAGUUUGGACAGUCGAAUCAAAAUGAUCUAUUGUCCAUGUAAAUUCUAUAUAUUUUUUUCAUCUGUUGUCUUUAAAAUUUUCGACCUUAUAACCAACUUUCAAACAUUUUAGCCUAUUAAUCAGGUAUUUCACUAACAAAAAUUCUUAAUAUUUAAAGGCUAAAAUAUAUAAAAUUUUUCUGUAAAUGUCUUUUUUUAAUUGUUUCCUCUUAAAGUUCAAAAAUCUAUAGUUUGACUCAUUCAAAUUACAUGAGUAUUUUCAGUAGAAUACAAUAUUAAUGAAGAGAAUGCAGUGACCAAAUUCUCCAUAUUUGUUUUACAAGAUAAAAAUAAUUUUAAUAUAUUUUUCUUAUUUUUCAAUAUAAUUUUAGUGUAUUAUGAAAUUAAUAAAAUAAUGAUAGAAUUCUAACGGAGAAAUACUAAAUUUAUUAAUUUAAAAUUUUAAGAGGAUAAAUUAUAAGAAAUGCAGAUUAUUGAAAUUAAAAAAAAAAGGUAUAAAAACCGUGUAUUUUCAUAAUAGUGUUAUGCAUUUUAACCAUAUUUAAAUUUUAUUUUUUAAAAAAAUAUUGAAAGAAUUAUUAUUAUUAUUAUUGACAAAGUAUGCAUGGAGGGGAUACGGCGAUACGCAUACUACAGAAUCUCUUUGACUACGACGCUAAUAAUAAUUCCUACACUUUUUGGACCGAUGUGAUGGGACUUGGAGGGGCAAUUUCGUCAUUUCGCAAGUCUUUUAAAAAAAAGGGGAAAAAGAAAGGAAGAGGCGGGUCCCACUCCCCGCGAACGGGAGCGCGCCUCCGCCGUUACGGUCGGAUUUGUGGCGGGAAGAGAUCGCCGCGCGCCACGUGGCACCACGAAACGCGUCUUUUUUCCCCGUCCUGUUUCGCGCGCCGGAACCGUACGGACGCCCCCAAAAAAGCCCCAAAAGAAAAAUUGAAAAAAGCGCUCGCGGGCGCAGAUCCGGCCGUCCGAAGGAGGAGAGGAGAGGACACGUGGACGGUCGCGAUCGGGAGGGAUUAGCUGGACAGCAGGAUGGCCACGUGGGCUCCGGGUGUUUCGAACGGCGGGACGGCCACGUCACGAUGACGGCAGCAGUCGCGACGUCAGAGUCUUGAUCGGCCUCCGGAGGGGAGAAUGGACGGACGAGAUCUCGAGGCGAGGGUAAAAGGACGGACGAGGCGCGUUGUCCCCCCACAUCGACCAUGGCGAACCCCAAAGAUCGUAAGGGCUGAUAUUCUCACGCCGCCCUGUUUAUCCUAACAUCGCGCUUAAUCCUACGUAGAGUAUCCCACUUUAGUAGUCGUAUAAUAAUCUAAAAAAUACGGAGUAACGAUAUCCGCUCCCGGUGGGGCCCGCAGUACACCUCUGUCGGGGGACCACGUGUCGUGUUUUCAUUAGCUAGCGACGUCCUUGGAAACACGAUCGAGAAUUAGGGAACCAAAAAGAUUUGCAGCCGCGAAAUUCCCAUUAUACCCCUCACACAACACUCCAUUAAUCACGACCGUUCAAUCACUAUAUAAAUAUUAUCACUGUACUAUAGCUUAUCAUUCCAUACCUAAACUCAAAUACAAACGUCUUUAAUUUAAUACAUUUACCUAUCGGAUUCUAACAGCAAUGACAGCAUGUUUAAAAAUAUUAAUAUUUUUAUAAGAAUAAUAUAGAAAGUUAAAUUUUGUAAUAAUAUAUUUAUAAUUUAUUGUGUUUGCAAAAAACUGUAUGCAAUUAACUUUUUUUUUUAUGCACUGUAGUUGCAUGUUUGAUUUUGUGCGGUUCAAUUUAACUAAUGCAGAUACAUGCAAUUUUAACUUAUACUGUAUUUUAAAUAACAUGCAACCAAACAGCUUCUUGUAGGCUAUUGCAAAACAAGCGCAUUACAAAAAAUAUAGAUCAACAACCCACCACCACACAUUUAUACUUAUAACAUUAUUUCUCCUACUAAAAUUAUGACAACUUCUUCAUUAAUUGUUGAAUGUGAACUCUAUCACAAACCUACUCAAUUCGUUACUCUUCUUUUUUCGGCUAUUACCUUCGUUCAUCAUCGGUAAAAUAAAUCACACCCAUUAACAUCACUUUUUUCACCGUUGUUUUCUUCUUUUUUUUCCGACGUUUUUUAUCCGUCGCAUAGCACGGUUAUUACGCUAGCGGGCAUCAUUAAGACAAAAAAUAACAGAUUAAUUGUACGGUGACUAAUGAUAAGAAAAAAAUAAUUACGGAUUACCAUUCCUUAAAUAUUGCAUCAUUAAAAGAAUUAUUAUUGUUAUUUAUAAAUAGAGACUGAGAGGAACAAAAAGAGAGACGAUAAUUUAAAAAAGCCCAAAAUCUAUACUGAGUGCCAGAAAGAUCUAGAAGCUUCAAAUCGCCCGGGAAAUGUUUACGAACACGAUCCAUCUUCACCGGUGUCUAUACGCGCUGUACAGCGGCUCUCCGCUAGCCGGCGCCGUUUCGAAGGCGGCGGCUCAUCGCGAGCCGGCUCCGGCUCCUUUUCGGGGAACGGCGGCGGCGCGGCGGAGGGAGACGAUUUUUGGGUGUCGCAGCUACCGCAGGCGGCGGCGGCGGCGUCGAGGACGCCGACGGGGCUCGGCGGCGGCGUCGGCUCCGGCUCCGGCUCAGGCUCCGGCUCGGGGAUCGGCUUCAGGCGCCGAUGAGCGGAAGGACACGUGUCGAUCAGGUACUCCUCCAUUAGCUGGCGACAACCGCGCACCACGUCCUGCGAAGCAUAUAGUUUUUAGUACCAGUACUUUGAGGGGCGGUGAUAAUACCCCAAAUUUUUUUUUUUUAUAAAAAAGUAAAUAGCUAAAAUAUUAUAUAUAUNUCCGAUAGCAUAGUAGCCUCACUCUAUAUAUAUAUAUAUAUAUAUAUAUAUAUAUAUAUAUAUAUAUAUAUAUAUAUAUAUAUAUUUGUUCUUCGAAUUGAGUAGAUAUGGUUGCGUCGGUUCACCGCAUCCAAAGUUACCACCGCACCACGUUCUCAUAUUUGGAUAAAAUGCAAAAGAAGCCCUGCACUUUCAAGCAAUUGCACCCUCCCAUGCAAAAGAUUUGUAGCCAACCAAUGUGUUAAAUUUUAGAGAAUAAGUAUAAAAAGUUAUCGUUCGAAUUUUAAAUACUUCGCAAAUGAUUUGAUUUUAAUCAUCCUCCACAAUAGACGUUGGAUUGAGAGUGCUAGGACUAUAUGCAUUUUGCUUUUUAUUAAUGAUUUUAUUGUAUCCUAUAUAUUUAUAUGUAUGACAUCGUAAAAUUAUUUUUCAAAAAUUUUAAAAAAUUUAUCUUUUUAUGUAAAAUAUCAAAAUACCGAAGAUUUGGAUGCAUGCAGGAAUUGAGACCGCAACCGAAUAGCCCCUAACUUUUAUCUGCAUAUUUGUGAUGGAAAUUGAUAUUUCCAAUGCUAAUUUUAUAUUUGAUAGAACAAAUUUAAAUCAUGAUUAAACACAAUAUACUUAUUUUUUGGGGGGUCAUGUACUCAUGUUAAGAUGAUAAUCUACUACAUGUUAUUAGCUUUUAGCUGAUGAAAAAUUCAAUUUCAUUAAUCAUCAAUCACUACUGAUAGGUGAUCAAAUGAUUAAUUUUAGAAAGAUAUAUUUAACUAAAGUUAACCCAAGGAAGCAAUUAAAAGUCAAAAAAGUUUCAAUAAAAAUUUAAAAAGAGAGGUUUAUUUAUUUAUUUAAAAAUAGACUUUAGUUGCCAGGUCACCACCAUAGAUUCAACCUUUCUUUUUUAUUAAUAAUAAAGUAUUGCCUCUUCUCACUUUGCAAAAUAAAGGAAAUUAUAAUAUCUUCGCAUUAAAAUUUUGAGACAUUCUUAUUGACCCCAAAAAGUGUAACUUUAAUUUUUUUUAAGGUAAAAACCUUAAAUUAAACUAAUGAGUUUUUAAUUUAUAUUCGAAACAAAUCACGCAGAGAUGCAGCGCUCGGUUCAUGAAAUAACUUGUGUACUGUACUACAUAUCAGGGUCUUAAAAAAAAAAAAAAAAGGAAAAAAAGAAGAGAAAUAUAUAUAAAUCCGUUUCCAGUUUUAAUUAAAAGAAAAAAAAUAAUAAUAAGAAGACAAGUGGUGGGUUGAUGCAAAAGUUUAAGAGGACCAAAGUGUGGGACAGGAAAUGGUGUGAGGACCGACGUGCAAAUUUAGCCAGAGAGAAGAAGAGGACAAAAAAAGUGAAGGGAAGGAGAAAAAAAAAGGUUUAAUCUUACCUUGCUGACCCACUUGGCCAAAGAGGUCGCCAAUUCGUCGCCGUCGCAGCCGGGCGAGGAAUCGCCGAUCUCGCGCGCCGCGCACAGCACCGCCGACGCCGCGAUCUCCGACGCCCGAUACCCCAAAAAAUCCACCACUACGUACACCAAAACAUCAAUUAAUUAAUUAAUUAAUUAAUUCCAACAACAUUAAUCAUUAAUACAUGGAUGGAUCGAUCGAGAGAGAGAGAGGGAGAGAGAAAUUGGGGGGGGGACGCACCGCGGUGGGCGUUGAGGACGAGGGAGGAGGCGCGGGCGAGGAGGAGAGGGGGAAGGGGGGGGCGGCGUGGAGCGAAGUGGGGGAGGUAGUCGAAGGGGGUGGGGGAGCGCAUGCGCCAGGCGAGGGCGGACAUGAGGAGCAGCUCCAUGCGGCGCACCGUGCGGGGGUCGAACACGCGCCGCGGGCCCUCCUCCGCCGUCUGCAGCUCCAGCAGACCCGGCACCUGCGUCUCCUCCAUCUUCGCCGCCACCCACACGCUCGCCACCGACACCAGCUCCGUCGCCCACCCCUCCCCUCCCCCCUUCAUUUUCAAAACACCCAAAAAUAAAAAUAAUAAUAAUAAUAAUUUAAAAACUUUAAAAUAGAGGAGGAACACGUACCAACUACCAACACCCAAAAAAACAAAAAAAAAAAAAAGGAAAAGAAGAAAAAGAAUUGAAUACGUAGGUUAAUUGGAUGGUUACCGGGAGGGCGCGGGAGGAGAGGAAGCGGUCGAGGUAGCUGACGGCGAGGCACGGCGUGACGGGGCGGAAACGGUAGAGCUCGCAGACCUUGAGGAUCCAGUUGACGGCGUCGUGACGGGAGGUGGCGUCGAGGGAGCGGUCGCGGAGGCGGGAGAGGUAGUCGGGGCGGGGGGAGUGGUGGGGCUCGGCGGCGAGCAUGACCGACACGUGGCGGUCGUCGGGGGCCCGCCACUCGUCGCCGUCGAACGGCGCGGGCGAGGGCGAGGGCGAGGGGGAGGUGGGAGUGGAGACGAUGGGAUGGGGAUGGGGAUCGGGAUCGUGCGGCUCCCAGGAGGCCACGUCGUCGGCGUCCUCGGCGCAGAGGAGGAGGAGGUUAGAGGAGGCGGAGGAGGGGUCCGAGGGGGAGAGCGCCAUGGGGAAACGGGGCGGCGGCGGCGGGGGGAAACGGAACGGGGCUUAGGGAAAGGGAAGCGGCGGGGUCAUGGGCGUUUCCCGUGGCGAGGAAACGGGAGACGGGGUCGGGCAUGGAAAGAGAAAGAGAAAGAGAAAGAGACACCCUCUCUCUCUCUCUCUCUCUUCUUUCUCUCUCUACUCUCUUCUUUCUCUCUCUACUCUACACUACUCUACUCUCUCUCUUUGGAGUAGCGUCUUAGUGUGUGCGUGGUCUUUUUGACGGCGUCGGGGGCAAGGGCGUGAAAAAAGAGACGGAGGUGUUUCUGCGUGGACCGCAGAGCGGAAGCGGUUUCGGUUGGGUAUUUAUAGCAUCUUGUUUCCUUUAUAUGCUUCUUUAUAUAUACGGAAAACUUUAAAUACCACCCCCUCUAGUUUUACACCUUUUUUAAUUUAGUACUCUAUAAUUUAAAAUAUAUUAUUUUUUAUCUUAUAAAUUUAUUUUUCGCUUUCUUUCUGAUAUUCACUCUAUUAAUUUUUUUUUAUUAAAUCAGUGAUAAAUUUAAAAUUAUAGAAUAUUAAAGUAAAAAAUUUAAUUAAUCACAGGAGUAUUAAAGUGAUUAUUCAAUUAAACAUAGCUGGGAGAUUAUAAGUUUUUUGUAUAUGAUUUAACGAAGAGUUAAUAAAAACGUUGACGAAAAGAAAAAAAUGAAAGCAAUUGUAUUAGAGUGAUAGUUUCUAGGUCAUGCGAAUUAAGUGGGCCAAUUUAAUAUUGUAAUUGAACCCUGACUAAAAAAAUAAACGGAGCAAUCAUUGAAUUUCGGCGAAAUAAACAAACUUUUAAAUAUAGAGUAUUAAAGUAAGAAAAUACGAGACUCCAGUGAUGACAUUUGAAGUUUACUCUUAUAUAUUCGAAUAAAUGAUGGAAAAUAUGAUAUGAUAUGAUAUGAUAUGCUCUUGAGGCACCAUUUUUUCAUGUAGAUCCCUCUAAAAAAUGAGAAUACCAUUUCUAUUGGCUUAGUUUCGAACCCGUUCCUCUGUUGUUCUCCUUGCAGUUUAGUCUCAAUAAUUUCAUACUGGAUGAGAAAAAAUUUAUGUAUAAAAAAUAUGAGGAUCAUGAAUCCUAAUAUAUACUAAUAAGUAAUUUUAAGUAUUUUGUACUAGUGAUUUAGUUCCGAUAAAUUAUUAGUCGAUAAGUUAUUAGUGCUAAUAGGUCAAAUCAUUACAUUAUGUCUCGAUUCAUAUCAACUAAUUUAAUUCUCCUUUGUAGUUUAGAGCUUGUUUGAUUUGGGGAAUCCCAAAAACAAAUUUACUUAUUUCAAAGAUAUUGUAGGCCUCGGUAUUUGCUCUCGCACUGAAAUCAUAAGAUCAUUCAAACCGCCGCUCAUAAUUAUAUGGAAAUUAGUUUUUCAAUUUCAAAUUUGUGAAAUUUACAAAUUUUAUUUUUUGUUUAAUUUCCUUCAAAAAGUCUCUUAGGGCGUGUUUGAUUCACCCCUUUUUCACCUGGAAUUGGAAUCAGAAUCGGAAUGGAUGAAUCCAUUUAUCCUUGCUUGAUAUAUGGAAUUUUCAUUCCGAUUUCGAUUUCUGGGUGAAUGAGAAUCCCUCCAAUUAUCCCUUUUUCCAAUCCAGCUUAAAAGGCCAUAUUAAAAAUUAAUUCCGAGCGGAAUGGAUUUGUUCAGCUUAAAUUUAACUUUGUUGAGUUUAUUUUUUAAUUAAAAUAUAAGUUUAAGAUUAAAAAUUAAAAUUCGAUCAAGUAUUUCGAAUCUAAUUUAUAAAUUUAAAUUUAAUUUAAAAUCUAAAGUUUUAUUCAAUUUUUAUUUAAAAUUUAAAUUUAAUUUAUGGAUCCAAAUUUAAAAUUUAAAUUAUAAUUUUUUAAGUUUGAAUUUGAACAAAUCGAAAUUUAGUUUUAUAUUUUGAAUUAUCCGUUCAAUUGCAAAUUUUAAUUUUUUUUAAAAAUAUAUUUAAAAUUUUGACAUUAUUUUAAAAUUUUAACGUAAAUUUUUUAAUAUUUAAUUUUCAGUUUGAAUUUAAACGAAUAUAUUAUAAAGAUAAAAUUGACAUAUUAAUUUAAUUACAUUUUUUAUAUCUAUCUGAACCAAACACCGAUAAUGAGAAUCGUUAAUUCCGAUGCCGAUUCAGAUGACGAACCAAGUAGAAGGAGAUAAUAAAUUAUUCUGAUUCUGUUUCCAACUUAUUCUCAUUCCUAUUUCGAAACAAACACAUUCCGGGGUAUGUUUUUAACUUUGCCGGCUCUUUUUGGAAAUUGUUAUUUGACUGUUUGCAACUUUGAUUUUAAUCUAGGAAAAACUUCAAAUACUCCCUUGUGGUUUCACUUUUUCUCACUUUAGUACCCUGUGUUUAAAGUGUAUCAAAUUAGUACUAUGUGAUUUUGCACUUUUUCACUUUAGUACUCUGUGGUUUAAAGUGUAUUAAAUUAGUAUCCUGUGAUUUCGCACUUUCUUACUUUAAACCACAGAGUACUAACUUAAUACAAAAGUAAAACCACAGGAUGCUAACUUGAUAUAAAAAUAAAAUCAUAGAGUACUAACUUGAUACACUUUAAAUCACAGGGUACUAAUUUGAUAUACUUUAAAUCACAGAGUACUAAAAUAAAAAAGUACGAAACCACAGCGAGAUUUUUUGAAGUUUUUCCUAAAGUAAAUAUCACCGUGAUUUAUAAAAUUUUACAAAUUACUACAUUGUGCUUUGUAAAUAUAUUAUUUUACUAUUCUAUUUAGUGACAUACUUUUAAGAUAAGAUAAGAUAAAAAUAAAAUAGUAGGAUACCAAAGUGUUAUUUUUUUUAAUCACAUAAUAACAAAGUGAGAUGGGUGAAGCCACUAAUGGGUUAAUGAAGUUUUUCUAGAAAAUUAUAUAAGUUUAAAUCCUUAAUUUAAAAUUAUGUGAAAUAAGCCUGAAACUUUGGAAUGGUGAUUCAAUUUGGGAUGCAAAAGCUUUUAUAGUGAUUUGACAUAUCAUAUUGAUUUUAUGUCUAAAUAUUUUAUCUAAAUUUUAAAUGCCAUAAUGACUACAGAAUUAAAUAAAGCCGAGCUCCGUCCCAAGAGCUACAAAAGUUCACUAUUUAUUGGACCGUGUUUUUUCACACAUGGUUUUAAUUUUGGGAAAAUUUCCUGUGUGCCCCUCUAAAAGCAUGUAUUUACACGCAUGCCCCUAUAAAAAUUGAAAUAUCUUAAAUGCCCUUCUAAAUAGAGAAAACUUUCAAAAAUACCCUUCAAAACACAGUUUUGUUAAAAUCUACAGUAACAGCAACCAAAAUACCGAUUUUACCUUUUUCAUAAUUAACUUUCUAAAUGUUCCAACUAUUACUAAUGAAAGGUUAAUUUCAUUCAUACCCUCUAAACGUUCAAAAUAUUAUAAAUAUUCCUAUAAAUUUGAUUAUAUCACAAAUAUUAAUAAAAGUCAAUUCACACUGUUAUUUAGUACAUUUGCACUUCUCUAACCUUGAUUAUAAAAUUUAUCAGAUAAUCUGANNNNNNNNNGAACACGAGCCGACCCCAGCUCGCUCGUGUUCGGCUCGUUGACACUCCUAGGUGUAGGCGCUAAUGUCAAUAGCUAAAUUAAAAUUAUUUAGAUGUUUAAAUAUUAAACAACAAAUUUCAAAAAAAAGUUGCAUACCGAAAUAAAACUCGAUUAGAAGUUCAAGGAACUAGCGGUGCAAUUUAUCCUAUUUUGAUGCUCAAACUAUAAGACGUUGCUUAUACGAAAAUAAUAUAAUAUUUUAAUUAUUAUCAUAUCAUCAAUUAUAAUAUUAUUAUAUCACUUUCAAAUUAGUAAGAUAAAUUGAUUUGUAAAAUUUAAUUAUAAUAAUUUUAAAAAAAAUUGAAUUAAUAUUAUAAUAUAUUAAAAUUUGAGGCAAGUUGUGUUCUCAUGCUUUACAGAUCGUGCAAGCGACACUGAGAACUCCCCACGUAAACAAGAGGUUAUUUUGCAUGGGUGAAAAUCUAAACCAUUUCUCUUUCUUUUUUUUUUUUUUUAGAGAGAGAUAGGUAGUACGCUAUCGCUUCGUUUAUUUCAAUUAGAAAUAAACUUAGCUGAAAAUGUGAAUCAAUUAGAAUUCGAAAUUGUGACCUCGGGUACUAACAUCUAAGCCUUUUGUCACUUGCUCAGGGGACGGUCGAUAUCUAAAAACAUUUCUUAAUUUCCAAAUUUAGAGGAAAAAAUAAAAAUAAAAACCCAUAAAUAUUAUAAUUGCCUUUUUAAAUGUUCCGACUAUUACUAAUGAAGGGUUAAUUUCAUUCAUACCCCUCUAAACGUUCAAAAUAUUAUAAAUAUCCCUAUAAAUCACAAAUAUCCUUAUAAAUACUAUCUUAUAAAUAUAUUCUCGUUGUUAAUUUUUAUCUCUCUACCAAAGAUCUAUUUAAUUUAGAUAGGUUAUCAUGAAUUAGUGAAAAUGUUCAUUUUAUUCUGAAUUUUUUAAAAUUUUUUGAAAGAGCACUUUAAUGUGAUGAAAUGUACAACAAAUAAACUUUCAAAACUGUCCCUCACUAGUAAUUAGUUUAGAUAAUGAUACAAGUAUUCAAUUUAAAUACUAUUAAAAUAUUAAUAAAAGUCAAUUCACACUGUUAUUUAGUACAUUUGCACUUCUCUAACCUUGAUUAUAAAAUUUAUCAGAUAAUCUGAGUUUUUUUUAAAAAAAUUUGUAAACAAUGCUAAAUCGUUUUAUUGUAAUUUCAAAUCUAGUAAGUAAUUUUAUGCUUUAUAAUUAAUGAUAAACUUUGUAAUUUUUCAGCUAUUUAUUAUUUUCUCUCUUCAUUUUAAAAAAUUUAGAAAUAUUUAAUAAUAUUGGGUAAGAUAAAAAUAUUAUUCUUUUAGAAUAUAUAAUUCUUACAGAAAUCCAUGUGAAAAUAUAACUAAAUAACUUUUAAAUUUGUAAAACUUUUAAAUUUAUGAGGUAUUUACAAAAGUUAAAAUUAUUACUAAUAAUUAGAACAUUUAAGGGCAAUUAUGAAAAUGAUAAAAUCAAUAUUUUGAUUGUUGUUACUGUAGAUUUUAAUAAAAAUAUGUUUUGAAAGAUAUUUUUAAAAGUUUUUUAUAUUUAGAGGGGCAUUUAGAAUAUUUCAACUUUUAUAGAGGCAUCCAUGUAAAUACUUACUGUUAGAGGGGCACAUAGGAAAUUGUCCCUAAAAAAAAAUAGCCACGUGGAGAAUGCAACGUCGCUAGAAGCAAUGUUAGUCGUGCCAGUAUACUGCAAACCAAUUUUAAAAUAUAUAUUAAAAAUAAAUUUCUAUAGUACAAUAAAUUAUUUAAAUAUUUUAUAUUAUAUAUAUUAUAUCAUAUAUUAUUUGACAGUACUGAUCAUCAGACGUUACGACAAGUAUCGAAUAUAUAUUGAACAAUAUUUGGAGCAUUAGUGUGAUAUAUGAAAUCAAAAUUCCAUCACAUCCAAAAAAAAAAAAAAGGCUUGUGUCACAUAGCUAUUUAAGGAUUGAGCCAAUGGGAGCGUGCAACAUGGGGGGAAGGAAAGUUGGAUACACUUAGUAUACCAUAAAUCAACUCUAAAAUAUGAAUUAAAAUUAAGUUUCUAUAGUACAAUAAAUUAUUUAAAUAUUUUAUAUUAUAUAAAUUAUAUCAUAUAUUAUUUUACAGUAGUGAUCAUCAGAUGUUACGACGAGUAUCGAAUAUAUUUUGAACAAUAUUUGGAGCAUUAGUGUGGAUAUAUGAAAUCAAAAUUCCAUCACAUCAAGAAAAAUGGCUUGUGUCACAUAGCUAUUUAAGGAUUGAGCCAAUGGGAGCAUGCAACAUGGCCGGAAGGAACGUUGGAUACACUUAGGCUGCGUUUGGUUCAGAUAUAAGUAAAAACUGCUUGUUUCAGGAAUAGGUACAAGUUCAGAUAUAAGCAGGAACUAGACCAAUUUUACGUUUGGAUGAAAAUUGAGUUGUUCCUAAGAUAAAGGUAAAUAGCGUUUGGAUGGUUAAAUUGGAACAAGAGAAAUAAAAGUUAUAAUUUGAAAUUAAAAUUAUAUUAUCUAAUUAAUUAACAUCAAAAUAUUACUUAAAAAUAAAUUAUUAAUAAAUAAUUAUAAAUAAUNUUAAAAAAAAUUUUGUAAACAAUGCUAAAUCGUUUUAUUGUAAUUUCAAAUCUAGUAAGUAGUUUUAUGCUUUAUAAUUAAUGAUAAAACUUGUAAUUUUUCAGCUAUUUAUUAUUUUCUCUCUCCAUUUUAAAAAAAAUUUAGAAAUAUUUAAUAAUAUUGAGUAAGAUAAAAAUAUUAUUCUUUUAGAAUAUAUAAUUUUUACAGAAAUCAAUGUAAAAAUAUAACUAAAUAACUUUUAAAUUUGUAAAACUUUUAAAUUUAUGGGGUAUUUACAAAAGUUAAAAUUAGUACUAAUAAUUGGAACAUUUAAAAGGGAAAAUAUGAAAAGGGUAAAAUUGGUAUUUUGAUUGUUGUUACUGUAGAUUUUAAUGAAAAUGUGUUUUGAAGGGUAUUUUUGAAAGUUUUCUAUAUUUAGAGAUGGGAUAUUUCAAUUUUUAUAGGGGCAUCCAUGUAAAUACUUACUGUUAGAGGGGCACACAGGAAAUUGUCCUUUUAAUUUUACUCUGUGUGAAUGUAGAUGCUCUUGUGCAUUUAUUAUUUUUCUAUAAAAAUUCAACUAUUUUCUCUAGUUUUUUAAGUAUAUUUGACAUGGGAUAGUACAAUUAAAAUUGAUGCAAUUUUUUACAUAUGCAAAAAAUAAAUGUGACACAGACUAAGCAAAGAAUAAAUAUUUAACCAAAUACUAUAUGAUUUAUUCUAUUUGUAUUUUCUUUGCAUCUACGUAGCUGGGUACUGCUUAAGAAUUUAGCGUCAAAAGCCUUCUUUAUUUUGAUCAUAUGACCGAAUAAAAAGAGGAAAGGAUAAUUAACAUAUUAUUUCUGUUUGAUUCGAUGAUAUUUGCUAACUGUCAAACUACUAUGACUAUCUAUUUUGACAAAUUACCGCAACCAAAAACUAGUAUGCAUAAUACAAUUCUAUACAUGACGCUACGUGAUUAGAAAAAGUUUCCAAAAUUAAACUCUUCUAUCGUAAAAAAAAAGAAAGAAAAAAAAAACACUAUAUAUAUAGUGGCACAGUUUAAGUAGAUAAGAAGAUACUGCUGGUUAAAAUAAAAUCAAUAAACAAUAAAAUUUGGAAGGAUAAUAAUAUAGUUAUUCCGAAAAAUAAACAAACUUUAUUGGUCAAUUAAUGGCAAAGGAUAUAAUUCAAAUUCCUAAAGUUUGAAGGAUAUAUAUACAAAUACUAAACUAUAGAUACAACUACAUAAUUUCAAGACUGGACCUACUAUACUCUUACGUGUAUAGCUAUGUUUAUACUUAUUAGUUUUCGGCCAUUGAAUGAAGAAAUGUGCGGAUAAGAUGAUAGUAGUUUCUUAGGGUUGAUUGAAUGGUUAGUUGAAUAGUAUGAUCUAACGGAAAAAAAUAAUCAAAGCAAUGGAUCUAACGACCGAAUAUUUAUGAGAACAAAUGGUCUUAUACUCAUAAGAGUAUAGUAGUCAGACUCUAAUUCCAAAUAUUUGUAGUGGGCAAUGUAUGCAAAUUUUUCUAUAUCUUUUCCUAAGGAAGGAAAUAACUGUUUUGGCCAUGUGGUUUGAUUCAAUGCUUGGGGUGAAUGCUACGUUGGUUUAAUGGGUUCAGUGGCACCAUCAAAUACUUUCUUUGUGUGAGGUUCUGAUUCAUUUGCUGCAAGAACCAUUCAUUGUAACCAGUAAUAGCAAAAUGUGAGCUCAUCUUUGCAUUAUGUUGCAAGGAUUAUUUAGUGUAAUUAAGGGAUGAAUCGAGUCGGAUAUUAUCCGUCGGAUCCAGCUUGUAAAUCUUAGAUUUGUCGGAUGCGGAUUUAGAUUUGCUUAUAUGAAUUGAUUGCAGAGUGUAUCACCAUUAAGGUGCGCUUAUUUUGAUGCAGAUAUAUACAAGAUGAAAUGGUUUAAAUGAACUAAAUCCGAAUUUCCAUACGGCAUGUUAUAAAGGUAUUGUAUCAAUGAUGCAAUGUUUAAGUUGAGGGUUAUUAAGUUGUAGAUGAUUGGUAAGAUUCUGAAAUUUUGGGAACUAAAAUAUUCAUGGGUAUCAUUUACUCAAAUCCAAGUUUCCAAAGGAAUAUAUAUAUAUAUAUUUGAAAUUAUUUGCGAUGGAGAUCAAGUCAAAUUUUUCUUGACCCAAAUGUGAUCCGACCCAAAUGAUUGUAUAAUUUUUCGUAAAUACACGUAUUUACGUAUUUUGGGUUUAUGAAACAUAAAAUAUUAUGUGAAAUUACAAAAAUCUUAAUAUAUCAAUUGAUAUGUUAACAAAAAUCGGUCUAUUAAUAUUGCCACUUGUGCGCAUGAUGAAUAUAAAAAAAUAAAGAUAAAUAUAUAUUGAAUCAAUUACUGUUAAAUAUUAAAGAUUAGCCGGAAUUGAAUUUACGACCUUAAAAUAUAACAAAAAGAUUUAACUCGUUUAAUACUAAUAGUGGUAUUGCAUCUACGGGAACGGACCCAAAAAUACACAUAAACAUUCCAUUCUUGUGCAUUGUGGGUAUAAAAGACGAGACACGUUAAAUUGAUAGAUAAUGUAAAAAAAUCAAGUAUAAUGUGAGAACCUGUUAAAUGAUGUAUGAGUUUAAUCUUAUCUUUAAUAUUAUAUUAUUCAAAUGGUUGAUCAAAUAAAAAAUGAUUUAUAUAUAUGUUAACAUUUCAUUCAUGUGGAUUGUGAAUAUAAAAGACGAGAAAUGUAAAAUUAAAAUAUAGUGAAAAAGAAUCGAGUAUAAUGUUAGAACCUGCUAAAUAAUGAAUAGCUUUAAAAGUAGCUUUAAUACUGUAUUAUCCAACUGAUCAGUUAAAUAAAAUAUAGCCGAAAGAGCUAUGCUACUAUAUUUUCGAAAACACGCAAUUGGCUUCGUUCGGCAUGAUUUACAGUUUUGAAGCUAUUUAGAAACUAAAUUUUAUAAUUUUUUGAUUUCGUUUAUCUAGUAAAUAAAUAGCUUUACAAUGAACGAUUGAAAAUAAAAAUUUCAUAAAAAAACAAAAAAUAAAAUUUGAAUCAAAAUUAUUGAUCUUACUAUUGAUGACAAGUAUAAUUUUCUAUUAAAAUUUUACGUAAUUUAAAUUUUUCUAUAUUAUUGAACUUAAUAUGCCUACACAGACCUUUAAAAUAAGAAUUUAUGAAACUCUUUGAUAUUUGACAAAUAAUAUUUAAAAUUUAUAAAAUUUAAUUUAUAAAUAAACCGGCAGAAAAAUUAGAUAUCUAUUCAAAAAAUUAAUUUAAAAAAUAUAAAAAUUAUUGCACUUUCGAAAGCAUAAUAAUAUGGCUCUAGUCCAAAUAUAUAUAUAUAUAUAUAUAUAGAGAGAGAGAGAGAGAGAGAGAGAGAGAGAGUGUGAGGUUUUUAUGCUUUUGGAAGCACGGAGUCUUUCGUGCUUCUAGGUCGUUUUUCAUGUUGCAACUUUCGAAUCGUCGAUCAGCUCCAUUAAACUUGAUCUAGAGUAUUUAAAGUAUCUAGAAAAUAAAUUUUAUAAUUUUUUGAUAUCAUUUGCCUAGUAAUCGAAGGGGCUCAAAAUCAAUAAUUUUAAAGGCCGUAGUGAGCCGUUUGCAAGUUUAACGGUAUAGAAAUAUUCAAAUCACGUGUAAUUUUGAUAGAAAAUUUUUUAUACUAUAUAAAACAAGAUCAAUAUCUUUGAUCUAAAAUUUUAAUGUCAUAUUAUCACGUUUUGUAAGAUUUUUAUUUUCAACCGUUAAUUUUGAGCCCCUUUAUUCACUAGGCAAAUAAUAUCGAAAAAUCGCAUAAUUUAUUUUCUAGAUAUUUCAAAUACUCUAAAUCAAGUUUAACGGAGCCGAUCGACGAUUCGAAUGUCGUAACAUAGAAAAUGACCUGAAAGUACAGAAGACUUCGUGCUUCCAGAAGCAUAGUAGCCUCACUCUCUCUCUCUCUCUCUCUCUCUCUCUCUCUCUCUCUCUCUCUCUCUCUCUAUAUAUAUAUAUAUAUAUAUAUAUAUAUAUUAACAUGUCCCUUAUAGUCUCCAAAAUGACUAAAAUUGGUAAGCCUAAUUUUUGUCGGUAGAAACAGAUGAUUGGACUAAUGCGAUUCCAUUUUGAAGUGAAAGAGAGUCAUAAUUGAGAAUAAUCAUUGCACUUCUCAUUUCACAUGGCAUAUUACAUCCCAUUAUUCAAAAAUUUAUAUUUUUUUAAAAAGGUUUUACUACUAAAGAUUAAUAAGAUAAAUGAGUAUAUUUAAAUCUUUGAAAGAGUAGAUUACAAGAUUUACACUCAUGUUAAGUCUAUAAUAACAUUACUCUGAAUCAAAUAUUAAAAAUUUUUAUGCCAAUAGUCUCACAUCAAAUAAAUAUAAGAAAGUACAGAAUUGAUAUAUAUAUAUAUAUAUAUAUAUAUAUAUAUAUAUAUAUAUAUAUAUAUAUUCAAAAGGGCAAAGCUGACUAAUGGGCUCGAUCUUUCUCGUAAUCAUUCAUAUAAAGUAAAGACAGGCCUCGCGUCAGAGCGCUUAUCGGCGGCUUGCAACAUCACAUCUGGAACGACCGAUCUAUGAAUAUAGAGCUUUCCGCGUAUAAAUAAAAAGAAGUAAGAUAAGUAAGAAUAAGAUUUGGAUUUUGAAAGGAUUUUUAGCCUAGAUAAAGAAUUGGAACUGAAAGAGUCUUUCGCUCAUGCAUUUCCUUCAGGCAGGAAAUAGGUGUCGAAAGCUCAUAACGAUCGCUAUUCAAUUAUGCUGCUACACAGAAAGGUGUGAUUAGUCAUAGUCAAUGUAUUUGAAGCGUGAAUGGUGUAUUUUAUACAGGGCCAAGUCGUCCAUCAAUUGAAGAUUAUAGGCGCAUUUCGACGAGCGAAUCAUUUCGUUUAUAUGAUGCAGUCGUCGAAUAGCUUUUUUAUUAUUAAAAUGAUUCAAUAAAGAGAAUACAAUAAACCUAUUCUAUUGUAUUGAAAUGUCAAUUCGUGAAUAAAUAAGACAGGCUUAGCUACCUACAGUAAGUUGAGAGGAAGCAUAAGCUAAGCAGCCAAAGUCGAGUAGGAAGCAAAGGAAGUUGUNUAUAUAUAUAUAUAUAUAUAUAUAUAUAUAUAUAUAUAUAUAUAUAUAUAUAUAUAUGGGUAUAGACUAUAAAACUUAGUCCCUGUUUAGAUAUAUAAAUAUCUUAUUUGUAUUCAAUAAAUGAAAAGUAUGAUCAAAUAGCUAGAUAUAAUACAAUGUUAGUGGAUGUUAGAGCUUCAUCUCGUAGGCAAAAUAUACUGUCCGAUCAAAUCACAUAUGCUAAGACCUUUUAAGAAGAAAAAACAAAAUUUCGUACCUUCCAAUAACAUAUUAAAUUUUUUAUACUGAAUAAAUUAAUUAUCGUUGGAUAAUUUAUUCUGAUAUCCAUACAAGGCCACUUGAAUGCAUGAAUAUCUUCUUCCGUAUAUCUAUUUGACUUAUUUAAGAAAUUUAUACAGUUGAAUAAUAAGGAGUGCGCUCAAAUGUUUAAAAUGAAAUAUCAUAUUCGGUCUCCAAAUUAUUUUUUUUCAAAAUAAGAUAAGAUAUAUCGUGGAUGAAAUAUGCUAUCCAACAAAUUAUGCAUAGCAAAAUUUUCGAAGAAGCAAAAAUGAAACUUUUUAUUUAGAAUUAUAGUAAAAAAUUUUCAUACAAAAUAAGUUAUUUUUAGAUAACUUAUUCUAAUAUCCAAACAAAGCCAUGAGCUUUUAAAUUGUAUGGUUUUAUUGGAUAUGUCAUACUCUUUGCGACAUGCGGGUUUAGGUUGGAUCAAAACUCCCUAACACCUAACAUGCCCUUAGAUUAUAUUGUUUGAGAAGUUAACUUCAGAUAUAUAGAUUUGGAAUUUGAAGCGAUUAGAUUCUUUAAGAGAUCUGGUGAUCCUUCUGAUUAUUAUGAUGAGAAUAAUUUUUUCACUUUCUUAGUGAUUUAUAAACUAUAAUCUAGUUAAUUUAAAUCCAAAAUUGGGCCCUAGCUUGCUUGUUGUGUAGAAACCAAAUGGACCGCAAUGGAGCCUAUAGUUGUCGCUUUGGGCUUUUUACAUGAUGAGCAUUUCAUAGCCCAUAAUUAUAAUUUGAAAUUUGCAGAAAAAAUUAUGUCUUUAACAGUACUAAUUUUAUUGGCCCAAUUUUUUAAUCUUUCCAAAGAAUUAGAAAUUGUCCAAAAAAUUAUGAGUUUUAAAAAGGACUUUUUUUUUUUUUCCUGUCAGUUUGGCCCAAUUUUAAAUUAUUUUUUAUGAUGGGACAUCUGGAUUGACGAUCGGCUAUAUUAAACAUGAUCUACACUAUUAAAAAUAUCUGAAAUUUAUUAUUAAGAUUUUUUAAUAUUAUUUAUUUUUAAAAUAAAAAACCUCUAAAUGAACAACUGACUCAUAAAAUAAGUAAAUAAUAAUAAUAGGCUUAAUUUCGUAUUAUAGAUACUCACUUGCUUUAAAUAGUAAAAAAAAAAAAUUUCGAUCAAAAUUUUACUAGAUUUGAAUUUUUUGUACCGUUGAACUUACAGAUACAUUACAUCGGCCAUCAAAAUUAUCAAGUUUGUGAUCUUGUAAUUGCUAAUUAGAUGAUGUUAAAAAAAUAUGAAAUUUGAUUUCUAAAUAUUUUCAACAGUAUAGAUUAUAUCUAAUUGUGCUGAUCAUCAAUUUCAAUAUCUAAUCAUAGAAAACAGUUUGGUAAAACGGAGGCGUCAGUACCACUAAUAGUAUACAAAUUGGACUUCUUCAAAAAAUAACUCCAUCUAUUGGCAGAGGGAAAAGAUUAGGUCAAAAAAAGCAUUUUUAAUCUUCGUUAAUCUUUCUCUGUUCACGCUAUUUGGGAAAAGAGAAAGAUGAUGUAUGUAGACGUAGAGCACCAAAUACGGUGGUGCCGUAAACGAGAUGCAUGGGUUCGAGCGUGACCCGUCACCCGAGAAGGCCACGUCCCAAUCAAGUGUGGUGGUCCGUCGCAUGUCUAAAACGAUUCGAAUCCAAAUUUCUUAUUCCGUUUCUCCCAACCUCUUUUUUUUUUUUUCUUUUAUUUUUUUUAUUGCUGAUACUUGAGAAAAAAAAACUCGUCUCAGACUCGAAAAUAAACCGAGUAAAUUUUUUAGUGACUCUGCUAAAAAUGCCUAUGUUUUAAAUUUUAUACAUACUCCAAUUUUUUAACUUUAUAAGUGAUUGAAAUAUCUAGUAUUAUUAUAUUAUAUAUAUAUUUUUUAUAUAACUUAUUUUUAGGGUAAACUUUAAAUAUUAUCUUCAUGAUUUUGUACUUUCUCACUUUAAUAUCCUAUAGUUUAAAAUGUAUCAAUUUAAUAUUAUAUGGUUUUAUUUAUUUAUUUUUCUUCAGUUUAUUCGUUAAUAUUUCGUUAAAUUAUAUACAAAAAAUUUCAAGUACACUAUCUAGAUUUAUCGAAUAUUCACUUUAUUAACUUUUAGUUUUAACUUUGUCAAUAAUUUAACGAAAAAAAAUUAGUAAAGAAAAUAAUAAAAAAAAAGAAAUCACGAGAUAUUAAAUUAAUAUAUUUUAAAUCGCAAGAUAAUAAAAUAAAAAAAAUAUGAAAUCAUAGGGAUGAUAUUUAAAAGUUUUUCUUAUUUCUAUUAUACUACAGUCUACUUUAUAGACAUUGUUUCACUUCUUACACUAUAUUAUUAUUAUUUUUUUCCAAAGGAAACAUUCCACUAUUCCUUUUCACUACAACAAAAACGAUCUAUAGCGACACUUUUAAAUGUAGGUACAUGUCAAAAAAGUGCUGCUAACUAAAAUUACCGACACUUUUAAAAAGUGUUGCUAUAUAUGGGGUCGCUAGGUAUAUAGUGAUAAUUAAAGAGUGUCGCUAUAAUCUAAAAGAGUGCUGCUAAUUUACCAACACUUAUUUAAGCAUUUAGCAACCUUCGAAACUCUAUCUCGUUGGCUGCGGUGGUGGAGGAGGAAGACAGGAAAGGCUUUUCGUCUAGAAUUUCAGUGGAUUGAGUGAAGAGAGAAGAAAAGAUGGUAAUUGAUUUUUCUUUUUUUUUUCUUUUCUGUUUGUAAUCGGGCCAAAUGGACUGGGUGUGGUGGGUUGAGUAGAGUAAUCUUUUAUUUUUGGUUGGAUUGGGCUUUAUAUUUAGGCAUUAGUAGAUAUUUUUUUAAGUUUUAGGAUAAUGGGACACAUACUCAAAAGUGUCCCAAACAUGUGUCCCUAUAACCUAAUUCUGUUGUAGUGUUUAUCAAUUCCUACAUUAUAAACAAUAAAACACCUUUAUAUAUAUAAUUGUUACACUAUAAAAGACCCAGUGUAACUUUAUAUUUGAGGCUUGUAUCCCAAGCAAAACACAUAACCAGAAAAAAAAAAAAAAAAAAGAACCGUUUUGUAAGGAAUAUUUGUAAAAAUGGGGCUUAAAUUUUAAAGAUAAAUAAUUAUUUCAAAAAUUUAGCAAAUUAUUAUUUUAUGUAAUUUAAUAAUUUUAAAUAUCCGUAGGUUUGGAAUAUGUCUUUAUAUAAUCUCUACUUAGGAGUUUCUCCUCACGUUUUCAUUACAUUUUAUUAUGAUCCAUUAUGAUCAUGGAGCAUAAGGCGUAUUUGUUACAAUAUAAUCACCAAAAUAUACAUAGCAUGAGAGAAACAAAAAUAAUAUAUCUGUAAAAAACAUUUUACAAUUUGAAUUGACUCAGUCGAUCAACACCUCAACUUUGACUCACGUUCUACGUCCACGGUCCGUUCCAUUUUGAACGGCCCCUGUUUAACUUCAAGUAUGUACGACGCCACGUGCUUACGCAUUCACCUCACAAUCAAACCAAUUCCAAUUCCAAAUUCUUUUUUUUUUUUUCUCUCUUUGCCCAAAAAUACUCCCUAAUUUCUAUUAUUGGCUCCACUACUAAACACUCACUAACAAUUAAUUUAUACAACUAUGUUCAUAAAAAUAAAUAAAUAAAUAAAUUAUAUAUAUAUAUAUAUAUAUAUAUAUAUAUAUAUAUAUAUAUAUAUAUAUAUAACAAGUUUUAUAAGGCACCUUUUUGUACUCUAAAGAAGUUUGUAUUUUCUUUUCUAACUAUAAAAAUUAAAUAUCAAAAGUGUAGAAAUAAAGUGAAUUUAUCAUUAAUUUUACUUUUUUUUGCAUUAGAAUAAAAGAAAUAAUUUUCUUUUUAAUGUUUUGGGGCUAAAAAAAAAAAAUCUAUUAAACUAUUUGGCAAAGUUUAGAGGGUUUAAUUAUAGCAAGCAUCCGUCAACGUCUCUCCACCGGAGGUAAACGAGGCCGGCGAGGUAGUGGCAGUAGGCGCCGGCGAUAACCAAGACGUGGAAGAGCUGGUGGCUGUGGCCGGCGAUGUCGAACAUCCCCGGCAUCCACCGCUCCGGCACCCGCGCCGCGUACAGGGCCACGCCGAUGGCGUAGCACGCCCCCAUCCCCAUCUCGUACGCCGUCGCCGCCAUCGCCUCGGGCCGGUCCCCGUACACCGCCACCUUGUGCAGUAUCGGCACCAGCCCCGACAGCCCCAUGCACGCGAACAGCGCAGCGCGUGCUUGGCGGAAGUGCGGCCUCUCGAACGCCGGCGUGAGGGAGACGACGACGACGGCGGCGCCGACGGCGGUGAUGAGGCCGACGUAGACGCUGCGGGCGAGGGGGUCGCAGGCGAAGGAGUAGUAGACGAGCGGGUAGAAGGAGGUGACGAUGAGCGCCGCGAUGCCCGCGUAGUCCAGCCGGAGCAGCACGUAGCAGGCGCGCGCCGAGUGGCACGACAGCAGGUGGCAGGCGCUGCUCAUCAACAGGCAGAACAUGGCCCCGCCCAUGUACGCGUAGAACGGCCACCGCGCGCUCGCGUUCGUCGUCGUCUUCAUAGCGUCUGCUGCGUCGGCGGCGGUCGGAAGGACGGUUAUGGUGGUUAGCCCGUUAUAGUUGUGGCGGGUAAAGGUACUGUUGGAUACGUUGGUGAUCAGUUGCUGUGGAUUAGGUGUACUCGCGGACGUUGGGACCAUCGUGGCCGUUAGAAUCGCGAGGGAGAGGAAGAGAAAGAAUCCGAUCAAAUGCCUGUAAAUAAUUGGUGAUAAAAGGUACACACAUAAUCAGAUCAACAUGCACCUACAUACGUAGGAAGUAUUGAAUUUCAUUAUAAAAUGGUAAAUUCAUAAUUUUCGAGAAGUUUAAGUUUUCAGAAAAUAAUUUAUAAGGCACGUGUUAUAAUUUUUUUUUAGCUUAUUAAGCUUUUAAAAUAAAAUGAGUGUAAUAUUUUACAAAAAAAUACAUCUGCAUGUCCUUCAGCGACAUUAAUAAUUGGUUGAAAUAAAGAAUCAGUUUCUUAUACAUGCAUGUAAAAGAAUUAUGAAUAGAACAAGUAAGCUCGACAUAAUACAUCUAUAUAUAGUAUCUGGGGAUCGAUCGAGUUAGUUGAUUCUUACGUCCAGACGUUGAGCGUCUCGUUAUGAAUGGAGAAGAUGCUGAGGAAGGCUUCCUUCAGCGGCCACUCCGAUCGGUAGUAGUCGAGGAUGAACUCGUUGUGCUUCAAGAAGUCCGGUAACGCGUCGUACCCGAUGAGCUCACACUUAUGCUCAUGGCACGAACUCUUCUCUCUCCUUCUCUUAGUGGCGUUAGUAAGAAUUUAGCCUCACUCUCAACAAUGGUGGUUUUCUCCAAAGUCAUUACAGUGGUGGCCAUUGUUGUACUUAGAUGGAGGUGAGUUUAUUAAUUUGUUAGAGGUGUGGGUUACAACUAAUGAGCUUAAUUCUGGGGCGAAGUUAUAUAUAUAUAUAUAUAUAUAUAUAUAUACAUAUGUACGCGCGCGCGCGCGCACACACACACACAAAUGUGUCGUGUGAGAUACGUUCGUUGUGAUUUGUAGUUGAACUAAGAAAUGGUCAUUUUAGUCCAACGCUGAACGGGGCUGAAAAUGUCAACGGUCAACAACUUCAUUUUCUCCCUAUUGGCCUUUUGAUUUCCCAUUAUGCGGCCGCGGAGUGAGCCAUGGAGAAUAGACCAUGGGGCAAAAAUUUAUGGAGGACGUUUUAAAACAGACCCCUCAACUUUUGUUUAUUUUUUUAUUAGGACCCCCUCACGUUGGCCUGGUUUUAUUUGCUAAAUUUAUAAAUUUAGCAAAUAAUGUAUUAUAAUAAAAAUAAUAUUUAAAUAUUAGGACCCCUCAAUUUAAAUAUUUUGAGCCCUCAAUUUAAAUAUUUAAAUAUUAAAAAGAAUAUUAGGACCCCCCAAUUUAUAAAUUUUUUUUAAAAUUCUACUUAAACUUAAAUUUAAUAAAAAGAAUUUAUUAUAAUAUUUAAAUAUAAUUUAUUAUAAAUUUUAUUAUAAUAUUUAAAUAUAAAUAAUAUGUAUUAAUAUAGUACAAUUAAUAAUUUUAUAAUAAAAAUAUUGUAUUAUAAUAUAUAACAUAUUAUAUUUAUAUAAUUUAGUUUUAAUUCAAUUUAUAAUUUUAAUUAAGUUUAAAAUUAAGCAUUGGAAUAGUGUUAUUCUACCAAAAUGGUGGAAUAGCAAAUCCCUUGCUAUUCCGGGAUAACCGGAAAUAGCAACGUUUGACCGGGAUAAAAUAUCCCGGCCAAAUUUCAUCCCGUUUGGCGGAAUAGCGGGGAUAACUUUCAUUAUCCCUGCUUAUCCCUUCAACCAAACGGGGCCUAAGAGAUGAUUAAAGUUAUUAAAUUUGAUAAAAAUGCCAUGAAUUUAAGAGAUUCUUUUUUUUUUUUUUUUUACUAGAAUCUCUUAAUUUCAAGAAAUUAAAAGUUAGAUGGGUCAUAAAAAAAAAAAAAAAAAAACAAAAGAUCAGGAACCUAUUCAAAAUGACUUAUAGUUGAGGGGUUUCCUUAGAUUUUGUAGUAGAUUAAUUGUUUGGUUACCUACUUAAUUUGGUCGUGGAGCGUGAUGAUUGGCAAAUUAUUGGGUAGACCGUGGUCUAUAGGCCAUGUUCUAAAAUCUCUCUCUCUCUCUUUCUUUUUUCUUUUUUCUUUUUUUUUUUUCGUGGGACAUUACUUAACUGUAAUUAAGCUUCUCUCUGUGAAGCCUCCUCCUAAAUACCUACACUAAUAUGUAUGAAAAAUCAUAAUUUUAAAAUUAAAUCUAUUAUUUACACAUCAAAUAGUCGUAAAAAUUAACAAUACUAAAUCUGUAAGUACGUCGUUAUGAAAAAUUGUAAUGCAGAUUAUAUCUAAAGCUUAUUUACAUUCAUAAUUAAGGACUUAAAAUUGAGUUUUUGAAUAAUCCGGUCUAGAGAUCGCAGUCCAUGCAAUAUUUUUCUAUGAAUUUUUUUUUCCUUUUUUGGUUUUCUCAAAGUUAAUUUUAAUUUCUAUGAAUUAAUGCAUGUUUAUUGCCGAGUCAAAGCAUCUGUUGGCCAGUGUUUAUUUCAUUAAUAUUUUGUGGUUGUGAGUCGUAAUCAUGUUUUAAUUAAAUAACGCCGACCUUUGAUUAUAAACUCUUUGUUAUUAUAUUGGAAUCAAAUUUAGUGACCUCCUUGUAUAUAUGGAGGUUAAAAAGUUUGAAAUAUAUGAUGAGGUAUUUGACAAAAUUAUUUUUACAUUCAUACUUAAUAUACAGAUAUGGAUAUUAAACAAACAGUGAAUUUCAUGAUUAUAUUUGAUUAAAACGAAUUUGAUAUAAUUCUGAUUUGGAAUGAAUAUGGAUAUGAGUCGAUUUUUUUAGUUUUAAAUUACUUAUGACAAAAAAGUGUGAGGCAUUAGUUAAAAAACAUUAUUUUAAAUUUUAAAAUAGUUUUAUUUAAUAAGCUCUUUCUGCUACAUGAUUAACUUUCGUGAUUGAUUAGAGCAUUUAUUUUAAAGUCCAAUAGCCAAUUUUUGCUUUUUUGUUUUGUUAAAAAAAACUUUUAUUGCUCAGUUUAUAAAUUAGAAAUAAAAUUGAAUGUUUAUGUAUCUUAAUUAGUUCAUAUUCGUGUUUGAGUCUACAUUCAUGCAAAUACAAAAAAUUGAUCUAUAUUGGUACUAUUGAAUUCAAUUUUGAAUCCGAUCGAAUAGCUAAUUUUAACAUCUGAAUUCGAUUUUGGAUUCAAUUAGAUAAUGUCCUAAUCGUUUUCACCCCUAAUCAAAAAUGUUUUUUUAGCAAAUAAUUAGUUGUUAAUAAAAUAGGAGUUUCGCUGCAUAUUCCUUAUAAUAUUAUUUUUAUUAACUUUCCAUGUAUUACAUUAAUUAAUGAUGCGGACUACUUUGAUUACGCCCAUUUAUAUAAACCCUCUUCAGGAGUGAUAUAUAAAUAAUCCAUAAAUGCGACAAUUUGAAGUUCCAAACUAUUUCACAAUAGAAAUAUUCAAAUAGUGAUACUACAAAAACGAUCAAAUUAAUGUAUUAGCUUGUUGAUUGAAGUACAUCCACUUUUCCUCUAUACAAAGCUCCCCCUCCUAUAAAAUUUUUAUCCUAAAUACUUAUUAUUUUGUUUAUGAAACUAAUAUCAAAUUAAGUACUGUUAAAAAUAAAAUCUAGCACCAACUUUUUUAUUGUAAGGGAAUUAAGUCACACAAGUGACGUUAGUCCACAUGGAACAAUGACUAUAGAUCAAGUGAAGUACUAACGAUUUAUAUUCGUGAGUGCAAAUAUGCAAUAGUGUAAUUAAAUUUUUUUAGUCAGAAAAAUUCUAAAACAUAUAUCACAUCCAUGAACUUUGUUACCUUGACUUUUAAACUCUCACCUAACAAUCCAUAUCAAAUUACGCUAUAAGUGUUUGGUGGAAAUCAAUUUGAUAGUUUUUGUAAACAUGACGAGCAAAUAGAGAGAGAGAUGAGUGAUGCAAAUGUGAUAUGACACUUGAAAAGUAGGACAAUGAAAUACAUAUUAAACGAAAUUGAUCACCUCCAAAUUGAUCAUAGGGUUAAAAUUUUGAAUUGAAUGAAACAUAUCAUAUUUUUAAACUUAUCCAUGUCUACCAAAAUCGACCGUUAUUGUAUUGUUCUUUUUUACUGUUUUGAAAGAUCAUUUUCUAAUCAUUAGUUGUAUUUUGAAUAAAAUAAACCUAGUUUCAGUUUCAAAAAAAAAAAGGUACAAAGUCAAAUGGGAGAUUUAGUUAUAAGUCCACAAUCGUUGAUAUAACGGUAUGAACACCAAAUCCUAUUAUCUGCGAGUGGUCGUUGUAAUAAAGUCAAUAAUGUUCACAAAAUCAUGGUCAUGAUUAUAAUUAUACUAUGAAUAAAUUGGAAAAAAAAAAAAAGUUCCUGUUGUAAUAUAUAAUUUUACUUUUCUAUAUUAAUUUGAUAAUGUGUAAUGCCACUUUUAUACACAAAAGUUAGUACAAAUCAUUUUUUUUUUAAUCCAAGGGCCUAUUUUUUUUACAUUAAUCUUAUUACACUGCUAAGUACCGACCGUCUCUAGAGCAAGUGGCAAAGAGCUUGGUGGUUAGUACUUGAGACCCAAGUUCGAAUCCUAAUUGAUUCACAUUUACAGCUAAGUUUAUUUUCUAAUUGAAAUAAGCGAAGUAGGUAGCGUGCUAUCUAUCUCUCUCAAAAAAAAAAAAAUCUUAUUACACUGCUCUAGAUUAAUUAGAAUGAUGUGAAUCAUCGAUUCGGAUGUUUGAACAUCAAAAAUGGCUUAAUAGUACAUGAGCCCGAAUACUAUUAACAUUAUUCUACCCCAACUAAUGUAUAUAUAUAGAAUUGAGUUAUUAUACUUUUAUGAGUACAGAAACUUUUAUACUUAUAAAUUAUUUUCGAUAAAAAGCUUUUGAAUCGAUAAUCUAUACCGCUGGACAUGAUCUAGAUUCUAGAGCCUUUGAAUCAUCUAAAAAAUGAAUUCCGUAAUUUUUUUUUCGGAAUUAUAAUAUAGUCUAUCAAGCAGGCAUAAAAUGAACGGUAAAAAUCGAACGACCUUCUAACAAUAAUGGAUCAGAAUUAAGAUUAGAGUUAUAUAUUGAUCUUUAACUUGAUAGUGCAUAUAUAAAAUUUUCUAUUAAAAAUCCAACUGAUUCUAAUUCUUUUACACUGUUAAAACUAUUAAAAAUUAUCAAAUUUGAGGUCUUUUAAUCGUAAGGAAUAUGAUGUUGAAAAUUAUGAAAUUUAAUUUCUAAAUAUUUCAAAUACUCUAGAUCAUAUUUAAUAGAAUGAGCCGUUGAUUUAGAAGCUCUAGUAUUGAAAAGGAGUUAUAAGUAUGAAAUGAUCGUACUUAUAAAAUUAUAAUAGCCAAAGUAUAUAGAGUAGGGCUACUGUGCUAUUAGGAGCUCUGCAGUCCUUGUGCUCCUAACUUUCUAACCACCCAUCAAGUUUGAUGGGUGGGUAGAAUGAGAAAGGAAAGAGAUAUUGGAGAGAAAUUCAAGGAGAACAGAAAUUGAAACACCCUAUUUCUUCCUAAUAUCUCUUUCCUCUCUCAUUCUAACCACCCAUCAAAUUUGAUAGGUGGCUAAAAAGUUAGGAGCACAAGGGCUCUGCUGUCCUCCUAAUAACACAGUAGCCCCGCUCAACUAUAUAUAUAUAUAUAGAGUCCGGCUACUAUACUAUUGAUAGUACUAAGCCUUUGGUACUAUAGAGUUUUCUACCGUUAGAUCUACCCUGUGAUCAUUUCCACCCGUUAGAUUAUACUAUUAAACCAACUACCCACUCAACCCUAGGAGACCACUGUCAUUCUAACCGCACAUCCUUUCAUUCAACGGCCAAAAACUCAAUAGUACCAAGGGCUUGGUACUAUUGAUAGUAUAGGAGCAUAAUUCUAUAUAUAUAUAUAUAUAUAUAUAUAUAUAUAUAUAUAUANUUGGUACUAUUGAGUUUUCUACCGUUAGAUCUACCCUUUGAUCAUUUCCACCCGUUAGAUUAUACUAUUAAACCAACCAACCACCCACUCAAUCCUAGGGGACCACUAUCAUCCUAACGGCACAUCCUUUCAUCCUAACGGCACAUCCUUACAUCCAACGGCCGAAAACUCAAUAGUAUCAAGGGCUUGAUACUAUUGAUAGUAUAGUAGCAUAUAUAUAUAUAUAUAUAUAUAUAUAUAUAUAGAGAGAGAGAGAGAGAGAGAGAGAGAGAGAGAGAGAAUUAUGCUACUAUACUAUCAAUAGUACAAAGCAGUUGGUGCUAUCGAGUUUUCGGCCAUUGAAUGAAAGGAUGUGUGGUUAGGAUUAUAGUGGUUCCCUAGGGUUGAGUGAGUAAUUGGUUAAAUAGUAUAAUCUAACAGGUGGAAAUGAUCAAAGGGUAGAUCUGACAGCAGAAAACUCGAUAUUACCAAGAACUUGGUAGUAUCGAUAAUAUGGUAGUAUAGUAGCAUAAUUCUCGAUUGUACCAAGAACUUGGUAGUAUUGAUAAUAUGGUAGUAUAGUAGCAGAAAACUCGAUAGUACGAAGAACUGUGCUUCUAAGCUAUUUUCGAUGAUGGGACUUUCAAAUCGACGAUCAGCUCCAUUUAAUUUGAUCUAGCAUAUUUAAAGUAUCUAGAAAAUAAAAUUUGCGGCUUUUCGAUAUCAUUCGAAAGAGUUCAAAAUCAAUAAUUUUAAUGAUUGAUAUAUAUCGUUUGGAAGUUUAACUAUGUAAAAGUAUUCAAACCAGGUAAAAUUUUGGUAGAAAUUUUUUUAUACUAUUUAUUGCUAGAUCAAUAUUUCUGAUAGAAAAUUUUAGUGCUAUAUCGCAACUUUUUAUGAGAUUUUUAUUUUCAACCGUUGAUUUUGAACCUUUUUGAUUGGUAGGGAAAUGAUAUCGAAAAACUAUAAUAUUUAUUUUCUAGAUACUUCAAGUACGUUAGAUCAGGUCUAACGGAGCCAAUCAUCGAUUUGGAAGCUCUAUCAUCGAAAACGGCUUAGGAGUACGAAGGCCUCUGUGCUCCGUUGAUUUUGAACCCUUUUGAUCGCUAGGUAAUUGAUAUCGAAAAAUCGCAAAAUUUAUUUUCUAGAUAUUUGAAAUAUGCUAGACCAAAUCUAACGGAGCCGAUUGUCGAUUUAGAAGUUACAUCAUCGAAAAUAACUUAGGAGUACGAAGACCUCCGUACUCUUAAUAACACACAAGAUCUACCCUAUAUAUAUAAAGAGUUGUGCUGGAAUAAUAGUUAAACUCUCUAUAUAAUUAUAAAUACAAAAGUUGCAUGUGUUCAUAUUACAAUUAUUAACUAUGUAACUAAAUGAAAAGUCUUAGCGUAAGUAAGAAGUGGACGAUCACAUCCGAGGAGCCCUAGUUGGACCAAUUCCCGAUUUUGCUUCCCCACGCUGCAGUUAUCAUUAUCAUUAUCGCGCGCCUUCCAUUUUUGAUAAUUAAAGUGGCCUAUUUUUGACUGAGGACUUGGGCUCUUAAUGGGCCCUUGUAUAUAAUGAGCAGCAAACCAAAUAAAGAAAAGGUUUAAUUACAUUACAUUUUACUAGUGCUCCACUCCUCUCUGUGGAUGUGCAAUUAAGAUAAUAAUGGUCCACUAGGAUUGAGUGGGUGGUUAGUUGAGUAAUAUGAUUUAACAGACAGAAGUGGUCAAAGAAAUAAAUCUAACGACAAAAAACUUAGACUCUCUCUCUCUAUAUAUAAAUAUGAAGGGUUAAUUACACCAGUAGUCUCCACCUUUCCACCAAUUUUCACUUGGGUCUCCAACCUUUUUUUUUUUUUUGCAAUUGAGUCCCUAAUCUCUUGAUUUCAUUUUAAUUAAGUGCCAGCCGUUAGAUAGGUGUUAAAAUUGACGGAAAAUGCCACGUCAGCGCCACGGAGGCACCAUGUCAGCUCCACGGUGGCGUUGUGUCAAUGGAUUGCAAAAAAAAAAAAAAAAGGUUGGGGACCAAAUUGAAAAAUCGUGCAAAGGUUGGCGACCAUUGGUGUAAUUAACUUAUCAAAUUUAUAAACUCAAAACAAGAUUUUAAAUUUAAGAUUUAAAUUUUAAAUUUAAAUUUUGAUUUUGGAUUCAAAUUUAAAUUAGAAUUCAAAUUCCGAUUUUGUAUUUAAUUUUAUAUUUUUAAUUUUAAAUUCAAAUUCACAUUUCGAAUUCUAAAUUCUAAUUUAAUUUCAAACUCGAUUUGAAAUUUCAAAUUCAAAAUGUGAAUUUGAAUUCGAAGUUUAAAUUCAAAUUUAGAAUUGAAAUCAAAUCUUAAAUUCAAAUUUAAAUUUUGAAUUCAAAUUUAAAAUUUAAAAUCAAAAUUUUGAACAUGAUUUUAAAUUUAAAUUUCGGUUUCAAAACUUUCAUUUUAAAUAUAAAUUGAAAUAUAAAAAUCAAAUCAAAAUUUUAAGUUUGAAUUCAAAAUUUAGAUUCAAUUAAAAAUUUAAAUUUAAAAUUUGAAUUUCAUUUCAAAAUUUUAAUUCAGUUUUAAAUUCAAAUUCAAAAUUCUAAUUUCUCGUUAUUUUAAAAUUUUAAUUUUAAUAUUAUUUUUGAUUUUAAAUUUAAAUUUCUGAAUUUUUAUUUUUAGGGGCUAAAGUGAAAAAUGUGCAAAGUUUAGGGACCUAAAUUAACAUGCAAAAGUAUGCCAAAUAGGAGCUGACGUGGCCAUUCCGUUAAUUUUAACAAUUUUUUUAACAGUUGGGACCUAAUUGUAAUAAAAUCAAGAGAUUAGGGACUCAAUUGCAAAAAAAAAAAAAGGUUAGGGAUCCAAGUAAAAAUUGGUGGAAAGGUUGGGGACUACUAGUGUAGUUAACCCUAAAUAUGAAAAACACUAUGAAACUAUAUAUUAUUUUCUCCUUGACAUUUAAAUUACUAUCAAUUGACCUUUUAUUUUUAAAUGGAAAUCAGCAACAACUCCGCAAAAAUGCACCAGUCAAGAAAGUGUAGGUUUGUCCCAUUUUAAUAGGAUAAAAAAAAAAGCGACUAUGAAUAUUGGGAAAAUAUGUGUAUAUCUUUAAUUUCUACCAAAAUGAGUUGAAUGUAUAUUGUCUGAUACCUUCAAUCGGAGCCUUCAAAUAUAAUUGUUAACUUUUAUUUAAAAUAAUAUAAUUUUUUUUUAAAAAAUAGCGAACUAUUUACUUUAUUCAUGAAAUGAGCUCAACUAUCAAAAAUAGUAGUGUAUUAAAUGAAAAGGACUCUAAAUGGUACACAUAGAUUGGAGAGAAAAUGAUAGAUCAAUAUCGAAUAAAAAUAAUUAAUUCUAAAAUAUAGAGUUGAGCUAAUUAAUGAAGCUGUCAAGAAAAAUAGUGGAAUAAAAAUUCUAAAAAUAAUUAAUGAAUUAAUUCUAAAAAUAAUUAAUUGUAAAAAAAUAAUGAAUUAAAAUUUGGAAAUAAUUAAUGAGGUGAGCUAAUUAAUGAAGUUGAGUUAAUUAAUUCUAAAAAUAAUUAAUUAAGCCAAAAAGUCGAAUAAAAAUUAGGAAGCCGUUAAGAAACUUUGGAUUAUUCCCCUUGGUCUCCGAUGAAUGAAUAUUGUUUGUGUAAAUUUAAAUUCAAACAAAAUAUAGAGUUGACCUAGAAUAUUAUUGAUAUAGCCUGGCAGCUGUAAUUAUUAACUUUCUAACUUUUGGAUCUAUAAUAGUACCACGACUAAAGCCUAAACCCUAGGCAUGUAAGGGCUAGAAAGUUGAUAGUAGCGACUGCUUUACUACUGUAAAUAGCAUUCUAGUCCCGUUAUAAUUUAUAUCGUUUAAUAUAUUUAUGCAGCUAAUUUAGCAUGAGAAUUUAUAAAGAAGCGUGAUCUAACCAAAUUGAGUCGAAAAUUUCGUUGAGUUCGAUAACAUUUACGAAUAGUUUGAGAUUUUUCUAAACAAUCAUAACUUUUAGCUCGUGUGUCCAUUUUCAAUUAGUGUGAAACGUUUGAAUUUUUUAUUUUUAUUUUUUUUGAGAAAUACGUUUGAAUUUAAUGGGCCUUACUGGGACUAGCAUUGUGCCAAAUGUGGCCCGGUGAUCUAUUAAUUAAUAGGGCCUUCUCCAGUAAGAUAUAUACCAAAGGAACCUACUAUGUCUACACAGAUGUUUAAUUUACAUCUAGAUUAUUAGGAGUUGAGCUGGAAUACUAUCGGUAGCAAACGGACAUUUAUUUUCGAUAAUGGGGCAUCCAAAUUGACGAUCGGCACCGUUGAAAAUAAUCUAUACUACUUGAUGUAUCUAGAAAUCAAAUUUCAUACUUUUCCGAUAUUGUCUCUUGUCCAUCAAGCGGACGUAAAAAAGAACGGCUGAAAAUGAAUAUCCUCUAAAAAGUGAUAAUCAAAAUUUUGUAAUCAAGAUCGAGAGUAUAGAUCUUGUUCUAAAUAGUUUAAAAAAUUUUCUAACCAAAAUUUAAUUGAUUUGGAUAGCUUUACACUGUUAAACGAGAAAAUGCCUUAUAUCUACCAUUAAAAUUAUAAAUUUUGAAACCCUGUGAUCAUUAGUUCAAUGAUGUCGAAAAGAUUUGAAAAUUGAUUUCUAAUUACUUCAAGUAGUAUAGAUUAUGUUCAACGGUGCCAAUUGUCGAUUUGAAGGCUCCAUCAUAAAAAAUAAAUAGAUGACAACGAAAUCUGUUUGCUACCGAUAGCAUUCCAGCUCAACUCAGAUUAUUAGAUAUACACUAAUCAAUGAAGGCCAUAUCUGUUAUUGUUGUUUUAUAUCAAGGUUAAUCAAAAUUCCUAUAUAUAUGUGUGUGUGUGUGUGUGUGUGUGUGUGUUGCAUGUAUUGUUGUCAUAAUCAAAAUUCCUAUAUUGUUGUUAUAAUCAAAACCCUAAACUUUCCUUAUAUGUUUAAUUGUACAAUUAAUUUUUCACUCAUGAAUCAUCUAGUUUCACAUCAGUGUAUUGCAUGCAUAAAAACUAGAAUCAGAGUCGUGAUGCAGUAAAAGCUCUACUCAAAUGGCUUUGUCAUAGAUUGAGCUUCACAAGAGUUGCACAACUUUUUUGAAAAUAAGAAAGGGCCCUCUUGUCAUAAAAUCACCAUAUUGGGAAAUAACCACCCAACUUUUUCCAUGUGAAUUUGAUUAUUGCUCCUCCACUUUUCCCUGAUAUUCAAAGCUGCUAUAUGAUAGUCCUGUGUAGACCAUGUGAAUCUAUAUUUUUGGAGGCCCGAAUUAUAUAAGAAGUUAACCAUACUAUGUUACUUCAAAAGAAAAAAAAAAAUCUCAUAUUAUGCUAGCUAGAGACAAGGGAAACAUAGUUCAUGUGGGUAAACAGUUAUCAGAUAUAACUUUCAUGAAUUAAGAAAAGAAAAAUGCUUUGCUUACAAAUGGCUUUACGCAUUUGUAGGAGAACUUUAGGCCUACGUCUCUAUGAUCAAAUCGUGUAAAUUAUAUUUCUCGUAUGCCAUUUGAAAUGCAUGCAUGAGUUAUUGAUUGCCCACAAUUGAUGCAAAUUCGCAAGUUAGAGCGUGUGCAGAGGAAAAUCCAAAGCGCAAGUCGUUACUACCGAUUAACUUAUUCCGAUAUCUAAACAGACCCUUACUUUACAAGCUGGGGGUUAUCGCAACAAACUUAUGUAGUGAUGAAGAGCACUUCCUCUUUUAGGCCAGAAUUGGACACCCAAGUCCUCAAUCAUGUGCAAGUAGGCAUUCAGAGAAGGGAAAGAACACAAAGCAGUUGCCCACUGCAGGCUUUGCCCUGCUGCUCAUUCUCUUGGCUUCAUCACAUGGUGAGGGGAAAAUCCUUUUGAUGAUUGUAUGGCACAUGGGGUUUGGAGGAGGCUGGCUAUUCCAAAGAUAUGCACAAUGGGUAAAAGAUGCUCAACAAACCAUUUAUAUGAAUUCUUUGAAACUAAGUGGUGGUAACCAACAAAAAAUAUCUUGGCUUGCAGUGGAUACUGCGAUCAGAAUGAUCGAAAUGAUAGAAAAGCGGCUAGAAUUAGUCUUAACACCUGUAUUUACAGGUAUAGUAGAGAUCACGUGUAUCUGUGAGUUGCUCGCAUAUUUAUGAUCAUACUCACAGAGAAUAAAUAUUAGUAGGUUAAAACUAUCCAGCAAGUAUACGCAUUUACCCUAGGUUUGUAUAGGCUUGGUUAGUGACCAAUGCCGCUAACAAUCGAUAUCAGAGUCGACGGUUUGAAGGGAUCCUAGGCAAAUCCUUUUCGUGGCACUUUUUCCUACUUGUUCUGGCACUUUUGACUGUCGGUAAUGGUGCAUUUUGUUGCAAUAUAACUGUAGUGACUUUUACGUGCACAAUGAGUUGGAUAAAUAAAAUUGAGGUCAUUGUGAUAACGCUGUGUAACAAUAUAGCAAACAUAAGAGCAUUAAUCAAAUGGUAAUAUCUCAAAUGGGUGAGUUCGCUAUGACGUAAAGAGUUUAAGGGGCAUGUCUUGUAGAAAUUUUGAAAAUGAACUUUUGGAAAGCAAGGAAUUGAGUUCGAGGAGUCAAGUAUAAAUAUAAGGCUUAAAUUUUGUGAUUUUAACUCAUCAAUGGCGAUCUAUUUAAACGCGGUAAAAGAUUCACCCAGACGAGUAUAAGCGACAUUAAAAUCUAAAUCUCAAUAAUAGUUUUUGCAACAUUUUUGGACUUUGGACGGCAAUAAUAGAAUGUUGCAAAAUCACAAUUUUUUUAUAGUGUCAUUAAAUAAAUUGGGAUGUCAAGAAUUAAAUCCAUGACCUCACAAACCUAAAGGAGAUGGGAGUUUGUUAUGAUGCCAUGUGCAUAUAUAUGGCCAAAUAAAUUAAAGCGAGAGAAAACGGUCCAAAAUUAGUCUUAACUUUGAUAAAAGGUAAUUAAAUUGAUCGUGCAUUGUGGUCCAAUUUUUGUUUCCCAUGGUCAAUCAUUUAUGAAUAUGCCUAAGCCAAACUUUUUGGACAUGAACUUAAGAGCUAAGCUUACUUAAAUUCUAACAAAUGGUCUAUUUUUUUUUUCAUGCUAACACCAUACAUUUUUAAAAUUCAACUGUUGAAACAGUAUAUAUGGAUGUGGAAGCUCUUAAAUGAAAGAACAUGCAAUUAUAUAUAGGUAUAUAUUACAACAUUCACAUCGUAUAUAUGUACACACACAUGAUCCUUCUUUAAUAAUAAGCCCAUGCUCUCUCAAACACUUGUAAAAAAAAUGUUUUUGCUCCCAGAAUAAAUCUGUUACAGCCUAGCAUGGGGAUGGGCAUGCAUACCUUGUGAUCACUACACGCAGAAGCGCUUCCCCGUAACGGAGAAGUAGUGACCAGGUGGUCCUCCAUGGCUUGAUUGAAGCAAAAAUAUCGCGAUCUAAUCGAUUGGGUGUCGAUUUCGUGGCCAUUACUUACGAUGAAUAGAUGCCGCUAGCCACUGUCUUAAAAGUUUAAGCAGAUAGAAAAGUGACAAUAAAUAAGUUCACUUGACCUCUGUUUGGAUACAGAUGAAUAUCUUGCUCUGAACAUUAUAUAUCCAUGGCUUGUAAGUUAUUUUUUCCGAUUAAAAGAGAAAUAUGGCUGGUAUAUAACUUUAUCCUUAACCUGCAUUAAUAUCCUAUUUGUACAUCUAAACAUGCCCUUACUGUGUGCAGUAUCGAUCAUAGUAAAUAAUUGGUGCAAACUACCACAACAGUUAUUUUAAAGUUUGAGCCGACAGAAAAUAAAAUAAUAAAUUUUCAAAAAAUGUAUUGUAUAUAAAGCGCUAGUGUUUCGAUUAUGACUUGACUUAAUUCAACAUCUGCAUGCAUGUGGUGGCAGAAUGCUAAUCUAGUUGUGAAACCAACCACUAAAUAUAGUGAUCGAUAUAUACAUAUAUAUAUAUAGUUGAGCUAGAGCGUUAUCAGUAGCAAUAUUUAUUUGUUUUCGAUAAUGGAGCCUCUAAAUCGACGAUGGGCACAGUUAAACAUGAUAAAAAUGGCUUUUCAUUCGACUUCCACAUAGGAAUGCGAGCCUGAUGAGCGCUUUCUCUUUUUGUUUCUGCUUCUGUCCGAUCCCGAGAUUCCAAUGAUCCGAACCAUCAAGACGAGGCCUUCUUCUCCACUUGACUCAAGGCGGGACUAUGAUCAUGGUAAGCUGCGGUGAAGUAGGCACGCGUAUCAACAUCUCAGAUCAUAGUAAACAUAUGAUGAACCCAAACUAGAAAUCCAAGAACACCUAUACUGAUCUCCUCAACCAUAACUCACCGGUGACGAGAGACCUCCGACCGGAGACCUACGGAUCAAGCGAGACUCAAACUUACACUGCAACUACCUACCAGAGUGCUUUGAUGCAGAUUGUGUGUGGGAGGGGGAUGAAGCUUGGCUGAAGAAAUAACAAUGGAAGGCUCAAAUACCACUCAAGGUAUCUAGAAAUCAAAUUUUUUUUUAAAAAAAUUUGAAAUCAUUAGCCUAAUGAUCAAAGAAUUUCAAAAUUUAUAAUUUUAAUGAUUGGUAUAUAAGAUGUUUUUUUUUGUUUAACGGUGUAAAGAUAUCCAAAUCAAUUGAAUUUUGAUUAGAAAAUUCUUUGAACUAUUUAGAUUAAGAUCUAUACUCUUGUUCUUGAUUACAAAACUCCCACCAUCAAUUUUUAAAGAAUAUUAAUUUAUUUUCAGGCGCUAAUUUUUCUGUCCACUUGAUGGACCAGAGAAUAAUAUCGAAAAAAUAUGAAAUUUGGUUUCUAGAUAUUUCAAGUGGUAUAGAUGAGAUCAUCAGCACUGUUGAGCAUGAUACAUACCACUUGAAGCAUUUAGGAACUAAAUUUCAUAUUUUUUCGAUAUUGUUCUCUUAUCCAUCAAGUGGACACACAAAUAAACGGCUGAAAAUAAAUAUUCUUUAAAAAUUGAUGAUAGAAGUCUUCAAAUUAAGAUCAAAAGUGUAACUCUUUUUUGGAUAUCUUUACACCGUUAAAUAAGAAAACGUCUCAUAUUGACCAUUAAAAUUACAAAUUUUAAAACUUUUUCAUCAUUAUGCCAAUAAUGUUGAAAUUGGUUUAUAAAUAUUUUAAGCGGUAUAGAUCAUAUCCAACUAUACCAAUUGUCGAUUUGGAGGCUGCAUCAUCGAAAAUAAAUCGGCGGCAACGAAGCUCAUUUGCUGCUGAUAGCAUUGCAACUCAAUUCUCUCUCUCUAUACAUGUCAUUCAAUGUACGUGCAUUAUUACAUGAGAUGAUUGAUUGAUAGUUGUGGGAUUCACGGCAUGGUAAUCAAUAUAAGCUUAUGAAAGGGCGAUAGGUUUGGAGCCCUCUCCGGAUUCUGCGGGUCCUUUUGUGGGGCCCACCUNAUGCUGGAAGUGUGCUUACUCCUUCGCUUAAUGGACUGCCUCUGUCACAAAUACCAUUACUGCCCUAGCUACAGCAAAAAAGCUUUCUCUUUCUGUUCUACCUUCUUUCUCUAAUUAUACUCGCUACGAAAAUACAUAUUAUUCUAAAAUAUUAAUGGAUAAUAUUAAAAAUAAUAUUAAUAGUUCUAAUAAUUGACUAUUAUAUCAACUUCCCGUCACAAUACGCAGGAUUCCGUUUACCUUUUUUUUCUAAAUAUACUCGCUACGAAAAUAAAUAUUAUUAAAAAAUAUUAAUGAAUAAUAUUAAAAAUUAUAUUAAUAGUUCUAAUAAUUAACUAUUGUAUCGACUUCCCGCCGCAACGCGCGGGGUUCCGUAACUAGUUUGCAUGAAAUGGUGCCUAAAUUUAUUUAAGUUAUUUUGCAUGAGAGUGUAAAUGUGGGGACUAGGUUAGUUUCUGACAAGUCCUUUGGUGCAUGAAUUAAAGAUGAGUCAUCAUUUGGAUAGCUGGGAGAGCAUGUGCACGAGCACAUGUUUGAAUCAAAUGUUCCUAAGUAGGUGCCAUGCCCAUUCCUUUUAUUUUGUUGUUAUAUCAACAUAAACCCUUUUAGGAUAUGUUUGUUUCACUAAACAGGAUUUUAGGUUGAAGUAGAGUUGGAUAAAAAUUAUUUCUUUUCGUUUAUUUAGUAGUUAUGGAAGUAAAGUUUUAUUAGUUGUACUGUUUGUUUGUUUGUUUAUUAGAAAGUAUAUAACAUAAAACUAUAAUUUAUAUAUAAAUAAUAAAUAAUUUAAUAAAUAAAAAUAAUAUAUUAUAUUUUUAUAUAAUUAAAAUUUAAUUUAAAAUGACUAAAUUAUUUUUUAUACAUAAAUUAUAGUAAUACAACAAAAAAAUUAUAAAAUAAAAAAAUAUUAAUACUCAGUUAAUCAUUUUUUAUCAUAUUUUAAUUAUACAAACAAAAUAAAAAAAAUUAAAACUUAACUAAUUAAUUUUUAUCAUAUGUUAAGUAUGCCAACUGAAUAAAAAAAUGAUUAGUAGCAUAAUUAAAUAUAUUUAAAAUAUAACUAUCUUUACCUAAUAUAUUAUUUUUUUAUUUUUCCUUCACCUCCCUACAUCGUAAUUGACUUCGACCUGCGAUAAGCAGAAGUUUUUUAUUUUUUAUCUUUUUUUUUGAGAGAUAGGUAGCACGCUAGCUGCUUCGUUUAUUUCAUUAAGAAAUAAACUUAGCUGGAAAUGUGAAUCAACUAGAAUUCGAACUUGGGACCUCGGGUACCAACCACCAAAUCCUUUGCCACUUGUUCUAGGUAAGCCGAAGUUAAUUAUGCCGUUUCAGAUUAACUUGAGUUUCGCCCGUAACUUUUUUACGACGGAUCAAAUAAUGAAAAUAAUCGUUUAUAAUGAAAACAACUUCCGCUCUCUCCACUUCCGCCCCACUAUCGCCCAAACAAACAUGCUUAGUGUAAAGAGUGUUUCCCUUUGGGAAAGGCAUACAUUAAUGGAAGAGUGGGAGCAUGUGGAGAGAGACCGAGUCAAUGUGGCCUGUAUCUUCACACAUGUGGACAUUUGCACACAUGUGGGCGCACAAAGCGUUCAAGUAGCUUGGCCCUUCUAUGCACAUAAAAUAUUAAUGAUUAGGCUCUGUUUUGUCGCAUUAUAAUUUAUGCAGAUAUGCCUUUUGAAUUAAGCUAUAUAAUAAAUAAACAAUUGUAAUUGAGUAGUUACAGUGGUUUGAUCAGUGCUGCUCAAAAGGAUAAUCUAAAAAAAAAAAAAAAAAAAAAAAAAGUCAAAGCAUUAUUCUUAAUGCCCUUGUUCAUGCCCGCGUGGCAAUAGAUGUGAGAAUCAAACUCAGAAUCUUUCGAAAUGGAGGAUCUUCGGAGUAACUCUGCUAUUAUGUUAUUCCAAAGAUCAAUCUAAUAAAAAGCGAUAUUAGCUGUAACAAUUAGUUUAAUUACUAAUUAUGUUAUGGCACUAUUAGUUUUUAAAAUACGUUAGUGGCUAGAAAUUAAUUUGUAACAGCUUCUACUCAAGUGUUGCUAGCUAGAAGGCCUUUCAUUGUAUGUGUGGCUUCACCGGUAACUUAAAAAUCGGAUCGAAUAGUGAUUCGAAAAUGUUAUUAGAUCAAAAAUGCUGGCUCAAUAAAUGAGUCAGCAGCUGAAUUAACCGGUGACGUCGGCAUGACGUUAAAAUAUUUAAUUAUUAUUUUUAAUCUUAGUUUAUAUAUAUAUAAAUUUUCAAGCUUGAUUUUCUAUACGACUGAUAUGUGCUAAUAUGUGCUAAUAAAAAAUAAAAUCAGCAAAGUGGAUUUUGAUUCGUUGAGUUUUAUUAUGAUUUGAUUAAAAAAAAAACCCUUUAGUUUGUUUCAAAUCAGACCGAUUUAUUGGUGUGAUGGUUGAGCCAUCGGUUCGAAUGGUUUAAAGUGAAUUUUGUAACUUAUCUAGUUCAAACCAACUGGUUCAACCCGAUUUUAUAGACUUGAUAACGAUCAGACCAACUGGUUCAACCUGAUUUUUAAAUCAUUGGGCUUUACACUGUGAUAUCACUUCAUGCUCAAUAAUACGAGAACUAAUUAAGAGACCCGCACGAUGCUGCAGGUAAUUAUUUUAAAAUUCAAUUUUUAAAAUUAGUUAUAACAAUUAAUUUCAGAAUAAUUAUGAAAUGUUACGGACAAAUUACGAAACAAUUUUUAAUAAAUGUAGCUAUCUUUCCUAACAUAGAAAAUAUAAGAAGCUCUCUCAACAAUAAGCUAUUUUGAAAUAGUUCUUCAACUUUAUUAAAUAUUUUCUCAUCUUGUUCUUUUUUAUUUGUUUUGAUAUUACUAAUUUUGCAAGAUUAUCUAUGAUAUUUCUAAUCUUUUGAGGGGUACAAGUGAAAUUAUCCCAUGCUAAUUAUUCCAAAUAUGGCCAUGUGUCUAAGGGAUAAAUGGCGAGCACAUCCAAAAUUUUUAGUAGGCAUGGUAGUCCCUUAUUAGUUAGUGAAAUAAGAAGAAAAAUCUUUUCUUACAUCUAAUACGUACUAAUAUUUUAGUUAAUAUAUUUUAUAUGAUUCUCGCAAAUAACUUUAGUAAAAUAUAAAAUUAUAUACAAUUUAUAUCUGAAUUCUCAAUAUUAUAAAAUUAACAUUUAUAUUUAAUACCGACAGUCUAAAUUAUUUAACAAUUAUUUAUAUAUUUUAAAUUUUAUAAUAAAAAAUAACAAAAUAGAUUGAAAUUUUAAAAAAUUAUAAUUUUUUUUCUAUAUACGAAAAGAAAAAUAAAUUUAAGAGAGAGUGAAAAAAAUCCCUUCCCUUUUCCCUUGCUGGGCCCCACCGGCAAGGGACCCACCCUGCUCGCUCCCCGCGCCACGUCGUGCCGAAGCGCUGCAGUCGCUCCCGCUCCAGCUGCGUCCGCGCCUACCGCCCUCUUUGCAACGGUUUCUCAGGAUUGAGGAAUAAUAUAUCUAUUUAUAGAUUUAGAUAUAGAUAUAUAAAUAGUAAUUCUUCACAGACCAAACUAAAAUACACACUACUUAGAUUUAUGUUUUUCCAACAUAAUAAAUGUCAUUGUAAUUGAUAACUGUUAGUUAUAAUAUAUAUAUAAUAUAUAUAUAAUAUAUAUAUAUAUAUAUAUAUAUAUAUAUAUAUAUAUAUAUAUUAUAUAUAUAUAUAAUAUAUAUGGAGUCCGACUGGAUACUAUCGAUAGUAUCAAGCAUUGCUGGCUAUCAAUUUUCCACUGUUAAUUUAACCCUUUGAUUAUUUUUACCGUUAAAUAUUAUCUAUUCAACCAACCAACUCACUCACUCCUAGAGGGCCCGCAUCAUUCUAAACACACAUUUCUAAUCCAAGUGUUAAAAAUACUAUAGCACAAUAGCUUGGUACUGAUUGAUAGUAUACAGCCUAGUUUUAUAUAUAUAUAUAUUUUACAACAACACCAUCAUUGCAAACUUUAUUUAUAAGUCUUAUAAUAAUAAAAUAUAAUUUUGCAUUAUCACAAAGGCACAAACUAUUAUAAUAAAAUAUACUUUACAAUAAUUCAAUUUUUAUGUAAUUAAAUUAUAUAAAUAAAAUAAAUUGUUAUAGUGUAUAGAACAAUAUAAUCACACACACACACACAACACACACACACACACACAUAUUUAUAUUAUAUAUAUAAUUAUAUAUAUAUUAUAUAUAUAUAAUCUAUAUAUAUAAUAUAUAUAUAUAUAAAAAUAACCGAGAGAGAGUUGAGCUAGAAUACUAUCGAUAACAAACGGGUUCUGUUGCCACCCAUUUGCUUUUGAUAAUGGAGCCUCCAAAUCGACGAUCGGCACCGUUGAAUAUGAUCUAUACCACUUGAAGUGUUUAAAAAUCAAAUUUCAUACAUUUUCGAUAUUGUUCUCUUACCCAUCGAGUUGACACAAAAAUGAACGGCUGAAAAUGAAUAUUCUUUAAAAAAAGAUGAUAGGAGUCUUGUAGUCAAGGUCAAGAGUAUAGAUCUUGUUUUAAAUAGUUUAAAAAAUUUUCUAACAAAAAUUCAAUUGAUUUGAAUAUCUUUACGCCGCUAAACGUGAAAAUGUCUCAUAUUGACCAUUAAAAUUACGAAUUUUGAUACCAUUUGAUCAUUAGGCAAAUGAUGUUGAAAAAAUUUGAAAUUUGAUUUCUAAAUACUUCAAGUGGUAUAGAUCAUAUUCAACAGUGCCGAUCGUCGAUUUGGAGGCUCUAUCAUCGAAAACAAAUGGGUGGCAACGGAGCCCGUUUGCUAUCGAUAGUAUUCUAGCUCAACUCUCUCUCUAUAUGUAUCCAUACAAAUACAUAAUUUGAUGGUUUUGACGACACACGCGUCAAAAUUUUAUACCUCCACAUCCAUAGAAUUAGAAAAAUUAAUAAAGUAAUACUUUCUCGGGAGUAUGCACAUUUGACUCUAUUUGUUUGUAUUUAUUUAUCGUUUUCUUCCCCUCUUGGGAAUGUACAAAAUUUUUCCUGAGAAUCUACCAAAUUUUUUAAAAUCUCCCCUCUCUCCCCCCUCUUGGAAAUGUACAAAAUCUUCCUUUCUUGGGAAACUACCAAAUUUUUUAAAAUCUCCCCCUCCUUGAAAAAAAGUACUAAAUUUUCUCCCCCUUCUCCGCGCUCUCUGCGCUCUCCCUACCUUUCUCUCCCUUCUUACCAAAGCCAAAAUAUGAAUCUCCAUAAUACAGAGUACCCGUGGCAAUAUUUAUCUCCCAAAAGAUCCAAAAAAAAAGAAAAAAAAAAGAAAAGCUCCCCUUUAGGCACAAACCACAUCACUUGUACAAGGAGGGAAAGAGAGAGAGAGAGCGAAACCCUAAUCUCGAUUCUUAGUGGGGGAGGGAGGAGGAGGAAGAAGAUGACGUGAAUGAAACAUGUCCCCCACCGCCUCUCUCUCCUCGCCUCCGUCGCCCUAGCGAUCGCGCUCUUCCACGUCCUUCCCCGACGGACGAGCUCUCCCCCUCCGAUCCCUUCGCCUCCGCCUCAGAUCACCGCGAAGAGGUGGGGAUCCGAGUGCUCCUCGGCUAACCCCAACCGCAGCGUCGAGAUCCGCAAUCCAAUCGGGGCCAAGACGAGGGCAAUGUCGAAGGCGCGGGUCUACACCGACGUGAACGUGCUCUGCCCCAAGGAGUACUGGGAUUACGAGUCGCUUAUCGUCCAGUGGGGGUAUGGUUUCGAGAAACCUUAGGUCUUGAUUUGACGAUUUUGAGAAGCCCUAUGAUUCGUGUCGGUGUUGGCGCCACCGAGUGCCGACGUGAUGGUGCCAAGAAGGAAGGAUCCGAUGGCGUCGGCGGUGUAGUGUUUUUGAUGCAUUUUUCUUAAAAAAAUAUCUUUUAAGAAGAAAAAAAGUUAUUUUAUUUGUUGUGGCUUAAUUUUAAGUAAAUCUCUAAUAUAUAAAUAAUUUUUAUUUUUCAAUACUUUUUUUGUUAUUAUUUAUUAAUUAUUAUUGUAUAUUUAUUGUAAAAUUUUUUUUCCGCAGCGAAGCGCGGGUGUUUAACUAGUAUAUAUAGAGAGAGAGUUGAGUUAGAAUACUAUCGAUAGCAAACGGGUUGCCACCCAUUUGUUUUCGAUGAUAGAGCUUCCAAAUCGACGAUCGGCACCGUUGAAUAUGAUCUAUACCACUUGAAGUGUUUAGAAAUCAAAUUUCAAAUCUUUUCGACAUCAUUUGCCUAAUGAUCAAAUGGUAUCAAAAUUUGUAAUUUUAAUGGUCGAUAUGAGGUGUUUUCUCGUUUAACGGCGUAAAGAUAUCCAAAUCACUUGAAUUUUUGUUAGAAAAUUCUUUAAACUAUUUAAAACAAGAUCUAUACUCUUGAUCUUGACUACAAGACUCCUAUCAUCAUUUUUUUUAAGAAUAUUCAUUUUCAGCCGUUCAUUUUUGUGUCCACUCGAUGGAUAAGAGAACAAUAUUGAAAAUGUAUGAAAUUUGAUUUCUAAACACUUUAAGUGGUAUGGAUCAUGUUCAACGGUGUUGAUCAUUGAUUUGGAGGCUCCAUCAUCGAAAACAAAUGGAUGGCAAAGAAGCCCGUUUGCUUCUAAUAGUAUUCUACCUCAACUCUAUAUAUAUAUAUAUAUACAUAUGGGGUAGAGCUAUUAUGCUAUCGGAAGCAUAAGGUAGUUAGUGCUUCCGAUUUUUUAGCCCUUGGAUCAACUCUCUUUAUCAUUUUUAACUAUUGGAUUAAUAUUAUUAUCUAAUGGGGACCACUGAACCCUAAAAGGAACACUAUCAUCCUAACCGUACAAUCUUUAAUCCAAGGGCUAAAAAAUUAGAAACACCAACUCCUUUAUGCUUCCGUUGCCACCUAUUUGUUUUUGAUGAUGGAGCUUCCAAAUCGACGAUCGGCACCGUUGAACAUGAUCUAUACCACUUGAAGUGUUCAGAAAUCAAAUUUCAUACAUUUUCAAUAUUGCUUUCUUAUCUAUCGAGUGGGCACAAAAAUGAACGACUGAAAAUGAAUAUUCUUUAAAAAAUGAUAAUAGGAGUCUUGUAAUCAAGAUCAAGAGUAUUGAUCUUGUUUUAAAUAGUUUAAAGAAUUUUCUAACAAAAAUUCAAUUGAUUUGGGUAUCUUUACGCCGUUAAACAAGAAAACGCUUUAUAUCGACCAUUAAAAUUACAAAUUUUGAAACACUUUGAUUAUUAGGCAAAUGAUGUCGAAAAGAUUUGAAAUUUGAUUUCUAAACACUUCAAGUGGUAUAGAUCACGUUCAACGGUGCCGAUCGUCGAUUUGGAGGCUCUAUUAUCGAAAACAAAUGGGUGGCAACGGAGCCUGUUUGUUAUCUAUAGUAUUCUAGCUCAACUAUAUAUAUAUAUAUAUAUAGUGAGGCUACUAUGCUAUCGGAAGCACGGAGCCUUCCGUUCUGCCAGCUCAUUUUCAAUGUUGCGACUUUCGAAUCGUCGAUCGGCUCCGUUAAACUUGAUCUAGAGUAUUUGGAGUACCUAGAAAAUAAAUUUUAUUAUUUUUCGAUAUCAUUUGCCUAGUGAUCGAAUGGGCUCAAAAUCAACAAAUUUCAAUGGCCGUAGUGAGCCGUUUGCAAGUUUAACGGUGUAGAAAUAUCCAAAUCACGUGAAAUUUUGAUAGAAAAUUCUUUAUACUAUAUAAAACAAGAUCAAUAUCUUUGAUUUAAAAUUUUAAUGUUGGAGAGUCCGGUCUUACUCAUAUCCUUAUGUAUGCAUAGAGCCUUUUUUACUGCAUAAGUUUUGCCGUUAAUUACUCUUAAAUCAUUUCACCCGUAGAUUAUAUUAUUCGAUCCAACCACCACUAACCGGCUAGGGGCUCACUAUCAACCCUAACGUAACUACUUUCAUCUUAGCGCAUAUUUUUUCAUCUGAAUCGGCUGAAAACUUAUGAUAUACAAAGGGCUCUAUAUCAUAUACAGUAUAGUUACACAGCCUAUAUAUAAUAUCUUAUAUAUUAAUAAUUAUAUUAUAUAUUGUCCGCCCCGGGCCGAUUUAAAACCUUUUUAAAAGAUGUCUGCGCAACGUGCCAUUUUUUUUUUUUUUUUUUCAACGCCUGGCCAGCACGCGACGUAACAGACUCGUGCCACAAAUACAAAGUUCCUCUGUCCAGCGACCGAGUCUCCUUGUAUUGCAAGGCGUGUCCUAACGAUAGCAACAGGAUCUCAGCCACUAACUACAUUUACCAAUCAACAACCAAGCAUGAUAUCAAGUUUCCAAUACAGGCUAACAAUCCCUAGAAUGAAUCAUGCUCUACAGCACUCUUAGGCGCUGGAUAUAGCAAUGCAUAAACAACAAACAUUCUAUUAAAAAAGUGCCCCCACAGCCCGUGAAGCUUUUGUUUUUAAACUCCAAAUAAUUCCAAUCAUCAUCAAAAACCAUUCGAAAAUGCUUUUCAAAACUGUUUCCCCCGGGGGCCAAAUCCAAGACGGAACUUUAUUUGAAAACCUUCGACUACGCUUGAGGGGUAAGAAAACACGAUACAUAACUACAAGAAACCAAAUCUCCACAGAACCAAAAACCACAGAUCGAAACUUCCAAUCUCAUGUAUAAAAGAACGCAGCACCACAGUUCACAUACAUCAGCAUCAUACAGAUCAGUUAACUGAAGCCAUAUAAAGCUACCUAAACUAUAUCACAGGACGUAAGGGUUAAAACUAAACCGAAUAACCUGAGUCACUUAGCGACCACUACGAACGGUGUCCGCGUCUCUCUCAACUCUCACUGCCCGCGGGCGAUACCUGAAAAUAGUGGGGGAGUAGUAACAUGUAAACAUGUCUCCCCUCCCAGUGCGGUACCCCGCAAAGCCGGAUGCAGCGAGAGUACUCACCCUCGAUCAGCGAAGACUAACAAGCAUACGUGGUCAGUGAAAUGUCAGUAGCAAUAAUAAUGAAUGAAAGAGACAUAUUAUAUGAACGCAAGUACAACUACCUACUGUAUAUGGACAACGAAUGUAUAAUUACCCAGACUAUAGUUAGGCAAGACAUGUAAUGAAAGACUGAAGGUAGUUAGGCACAAACCGCUACAUAUGUACAUGGCGUCAAUCCGGACAAGAAGUCCAAAUAUAUACACCAAUCGUACCUGCUAUAUUGUCCCGCAGACUCCAAACGCGCCUGUCCACUUCAACCUCACCGACCUGAUUCAAGAUAACCCUACGGACGACCAUUGUCCCGUAUAAGUAUACUCUCCGAUCGGUGGCCAAGCCGAUCCGGGUCGGUAAUACACCGCCAAGGUGCUGUGACUAGUCAGAUGGUAGCUCUCAAAAAAGCGGCUGAAACCGUGCCUAGGCCGAAGCCAUAGCAAACUAAGGAUCCCGUACAUGACGCCGAACCACUCGAUCACCAGAUCGAAACCAGCAUGACGAGGCAGAGUUCAAUGUGUUACCUGGACAAGGUCCCAGAGUCCAACGACCAGCAAGUGGCACUGAUUACGAGUGAGAACGUUGACGCAACAGGUCAAACAGAUGCGGAAUGCACAACCAACUCAAUAUCAAAAACAGAUAACUUGAGCAACAACAGACCAACUAGCUCAACAACAGAUACGAAAGCACAAAGACCAACUAGGUCAACAGAUUACAGACAUGCAACAACACCACAGACCAACUAGGUCAACAGAUAACGCAUGUAGAUUAGAACUACUCUACUCUGAUUCAGGAAUAAGGCAUGCAGAACAGAGUAGAGUAUAAAACGCAAUAAACAAGGGGCAAGGCUAUAUAGCUAUGCCGAUAAGUAACAACGGAAGAGUACGGGUAAGAAAACCGGCAUCAAGGCGUCACCACUGUAACCAGACAGUCGAUCGAGUAACCGCACCUGGUACGAUCGCGUCUGUCUCCUGAUCAUGCACAAAGAAUUCGACCAGGAACCUAUAGAGGUGCCACCGGCUUAGAUCCUAACCCACACUAAUAACACAUGUAUCUACCUCACACCCUAACGAUUCAGCGAAGAUCGUUCCCCAAUACAUUACCGUAAUCGCCGAAAGUUUCGAAAACCAACAACAUCGGGACGCCGUCGGACGCCCAUAAUUCUCCCGAUAACUCAGUCAGACGGAAUCGUCGUCACGAGUCACCUGCUGGCCCCAAACACAUUCCAAUUUGGAAGCCUUGGAAGCGAAUACAAGUCACACACACAAUAACGAGUCAAUCACCGCCGGAUAAUCGACAAUCCGGGUUCCCGAAAGUGUCUAUUCGACAGGACUCCUCGCACCCUCCGUCGAUCACCCAUUCAAUCAUUAACCAAAAUGAUGAUGGAUGCAGCCAUACAGCUCAGCGAGAAAACACGAAGCCAACCAAACACCCGUCGGCAAAAGAUUCCGAACCGAACCCGUCGGUCAAUAUUGCCAGUUCUUCUCUGGCGAAUUUCGCCGAAAACGCACCCAGAACGAUCUCUACGAUUUCCCGGAAGCUAACUGGACAUAGGAUCAAUCAGUCCAGCGUAAUUCCUUAACAAACUCCCAACACACGUGCACCCAUAGCCACCGCAAAAGCAUAGGACACUGCACAAAAAACCCAUAAUUACAACACCUAUAAUUACAUUAAAACAUCAUUUUGUAAUUUGAAGGAUUUUGACGAUCAAGCACUUCUCACGUCACGCCACCAACCCACCCAUCCCAAACAACCCUUGCAACAUACAGCAAACAACGAAGGACUCCAAGCCACAGACGAGACACGUACAAGACAGGUUCUCGAUGUACCGGAGGCCGGCUCUACCGAUCUGGAGACAGACAGCUCCUGUGGCGACAGCGGCGGGAAGCAACACGAAGGUUAUGCGAAUAGCGCGCAUCAGGAAGAUCGCGCGCGAACAGCAACAACGGCGGACCACUGUUGUGCGAGAGUGAGGUGCGCACUGGAUCAGCACUGACCCGACCGAUCACGUGCUCACCGUCCGCGAGGCAUCAGGACAGCCCUCGGUCGUCGCCGAAAACAGCAAGCACAAACCACCCGAACAAGUCAGCCGAAAAGGCGAAACGACGCGACAAGAUUCGCCAAAACAGCGGAACGGCCUUUCCCGAUAGAAACGCAAGUGAGCACUGAUGACAGCAAUUGCCAGGAUCAUCGUGCCCCGUUCCCGUGAGAUCGGGGGAAGAAUCGGGGAGGCCCAGACAAGAAACGCUCAUCAAAUAAGCCCUUAUUUCGGGGCUUGGCCCGGCAGCCAGACCUUGCUGCCGCGGCCAUCCGGCAGCUACGACGGCGCGCAUGCUAAGGCCACAGAGUCGGGUGCGGGGGGGUGAGACACGGUGCUCACUCAGAAGGCGGCUGGAAGCGGCGCCGCGCGGCGGAGAAACGGCCCGCACUGGAGAUCGAGCUCAGGGGUCAGAGAGUUCUUGCGGACAGACACGGACGGCGGCCGCGGACUCCGGAGAUGCACAUGGUGCGAGGGCGCUGCGCAGAGGUCGGAGGACGCCUCGGGUCUCUUUUCCAAGCGGGCGGCGGCGGCAGGGGGGAGUCGCAACGCAUCGCCUCACCCGAGCGGGUUCUGGGGCGCUUAGCGGCUCCGAGGGGCGGACGCGGCUAGCGCGCCGGGGCGGCGGCACCGGAGGCGGAAAGGGCGCCCGGGCACGGGGAGUCGCGGAAGAAUACCGCCGCGCGGCGGCGCGUGGGCCGGGAACCGCUCGGCCAGGCCGGCCUGGGCUGUCGCAAGGCGGCUGGAAGCGGCUGGCGGGGCCAGCGAGACGGCGGCGGGUCGGCGGGGAUGAUUGCCGGAGCCAGGGUGAAUCAUGGGAGGGUCUUGCAGGAAGAACGCAGCCCCGGGCUCACACAACACCCGAAGGAGAGAAGGGAAGAAAAGGAGAGGAAGGAAGAGAAAGUGGUGCUGCGGGCGCCGGCAGCCGGCGGCGGGCGGGGAGCUUGCGUGCAGCAGGGCAGGGGGAAGGGUGAAGGCGCGGGGCGACUAGGUAGUCUGGGCGCUGGCUAGGGUAGGGUUAGGUGGAUCAAAAACCCAUAGAAAACAACUAAUAUACAAGUGCAAACUGCUAAGAAGGCCCCUCNNNNNNNNNNNNNNNNNNNNNNNNNCUGAUCAGACACAAGUAAAUACUUGCAAAUAUAUCUAUAAAAAUAUUAUUUUUUGUUAGGAGUAAGUUAAUUAAUUAACAAUUACGCAAUAAUUAGGACUUGUUUCUUUUUUACAAUUUAAAUAAAAUUAUUGGGUGAAACAAGGAAUUUAAGUAUCUAUCGGAGGUACCCAAAGUUUUAAGUGCCCGUCGUACGUGCCGUAUCUACCGUGAUGUCCUAGCAACAAGAUAGCAGACGAUACAGACCCGUACGAUGGCACAGCUCAAAACCCCUAUUCUUUAAUAUUAGUAAGUAAUUUUUCUUAAUAAUGUUCAAGAAAUGUGAAUAAAAAGACAUAAUAAUAGUUAGAAUUGAUAUUUUGUUGUUUAAAAAAAUAAAUCAUUUUAUACUAUUACCAGACUGAUGUCAGCACACAAGAUUUUUUUGACCUUGUUUCUAUCAGAACGGGCUCAUUGCACGACCGUGCCAAUCGCCGUGUCUGGUAAAGUUUUCGGUACGAUCCGUGCCAGGUACUUAAAUUCCCUGAUCAGUACGGUCGUAUUUACCGUGCCGUUAUCGUGCAGUAAAAUAUCGCAGCACGAUAUAGUCACAAUCCUAUUGGUACAAGCCUCAAAAUCCGCUAUUCUUCAAGUUUGUAAAUAAUUUUUUUUAAUAAAAUUUAAAAAAUUUAAUAAAAUAUUUAUAAAACGUAUAGAUAUUUUUGCUAAAAAAAUAAAUAUUUUCGCUUAUUAUGAUGUUUACAUAUAUAAUUGUUUAUGAUAUAGGAUCGACACGGUCGACACGUACUGAUGCGUGCACAAUAUCCCGUCGUCACACAUUAAAUUCAUGAGCGAGUACUGCAAAAGAUUUGGAAAAAAAAGAAAAAACAAAAAAGCUUGGUUUCGUUGAAUUAUUGGCGCUACCAGAGUAGACGUACGUGGUCCGACAAUAGAAAAGGGUAACAGAAAAGCCCAUCAACGGUCUAAUCUGCACAAAAAAAAAAAAAAAAGAAAAGAAAAAAAAAGAAGUAGAUGUGAGACAAUCAUACGAUAAAAUUGUUUAUGCCACACAAUUUUAACUAAAUUUUUCAUUUUAUGACUCGGUUUAGAUAGUUGGAAGAAUAUAAGUUUAAUAAUUUUGAUGUCAAGUAAAUAUGUAAUAAACUAAAAUAGUUAAAAAUAUUUUUGUUAGGAAUUAAUAAGCGGGUACUAAUAAAAAACUAUAAGACAAAAAUUAUCAACCAAUAUAAUAUUAUAGAAUAUUAAUUGAAUUGCCUAAUAUGGAUAGAAAAUUUGUUUCGAUUAUUCUUUCUAAUGAAUGCUAUAUUGUAUUCAAAAUAUAAGAUACAUAUUUGUGUAGUUUUUGUUAAUUAUUUUUUUGUAAAAGCUUAAAACUAUGAACCGCUACCGAAAUUUGUUUUCUUAAAUUUGUAGAUUGUUGAAUUUUUUUUUUCGUUAACUAAUUUUUCAGUUAUGAAAUUAUUGUCGAAACAAUUCGAAAUUCAAUUAUUUUGUACACAGAAUUUUUUAUAUGCUGGGAAGUUAACGAGAAUCCCAGUUGCAGAGUUCAUUUAGUUACGUUCCAAACAGUUUAAUUGUCACUUAAUACCACAAAAAUCCCCAUGAACUUCCAUAACAUGACCUUUUACUCUUAAAUAGUUAAAAUAACUACAGUUUCCACCAAUAUACAUGUGUUGGACGCACACGCUGUUAGCUUACAGUUAGAUUUAGAAGUGAUGUUAGUGUACAUCUAAAAUUUAAAUUUGAAAUAUGUAUUUUACUUACAUUUCUAGUUGAGUUAUUUUUUUAAAAAGAAUCGAAAACUCAGGGCACUAUUCUUGUGUUCCAUAUUUAAUUUAAUAAGGAGGCGUCGAUCUAGAAAAGAUAAGUAUGAUCGAUCCAUAUGGUCGAGAAAAAAAACAAAUUAUAACUCACAGAAGUAGAAUAAUUCGUAAUAUGUUGUAACGUUUUGUUUACAGCAUUGAAAUAAAUGUUACCUGUGGCUUAUUUAAUUUGGUAACAAAUAUCACUUAUCAGAAGAUCAUUGAAAUUCGCAAAGUAAAGAAUGACAAACCUAUUCACCAAAUUUUAAAUUUUAUAAAUUAGUGUCGAAGUUAUUUCGUCAGCAGAAGAAAAAUUUUUUAAAACCCAAAUUAUAUUAUAAAUUAAAUAUAAUCAUUAAAUAUAUUUGAUAGAACAACCAGACGAAAAAGACGUACACUUGACAAAAACAGAGAUAAGCCCUUAUCCUGUCUUUAUUAUGUGCACGCGUAGGUGGCACCCCAACUAGGUGGGGAUUACUUUAAUUCCACACGUGUACAUUGCCAAAGUAUAUAAAUCUCCCAUACAUAAAUAUAUUGCACACAAAAAAGAAAAGAAAAGAAAAUGAAGUAGAUUUAAUUAAGAAAAUUAAAGCUUAUUACCGGAUCCACACACUGGGCCAAAUAGGUUGUUGGGUGAGUUAAUUUGUUUGGUGGCCUAAAAUAAAAUACUAUAAGUCCUCAAUUAUAUAUAUAUUAUAUUAUGGCUGGAGCUACUAUACUCUAUGGAGAUUAGACUCCUUUAUACUCAUAAAUUUUUUAACGUUGAUUUGUAUGAUGUAUGGUUAGGAUGAUGGUGGUCCCACUUAGAAAUGGAUAGAGGUUCUCUAGGGGAGUGGUAGUUGGUUGAAUAGUAUGAUCUAACGGGUGGAAAUGAAUCAAUGAAUAAAUCUAAGGCGAAAAUCUUAUGAGUAUAGAAGAGCCAUAUUCAUAAAAAUAUAGUAGCGGACUCAUAAUUAUAUUAUAUAUAUAGAGAGAGAGAGAAUGGUCCAUGAGAGAGAACACGAGAAGGAGAAGAGUGAGAGUCCGCGCUACUAUACUCUUAUGAGCAUAGAGCCUUUUGUACUCAUAAGUUUUUGGCCGUUAGAUUUACCUUUAAUCAUUUUCACCGUUAGAUUAAUUAUUCGACCAACCACCCACUCAACCUAGGGGCACUCUAUCAACUAACCUGUAACUACUUUCUCUUAACCGAUAAUUUUUUCAUCUGAACGGCUGAAAACUUAUGAAUACAAAGGGCUCCUAUACUCAUAUAAGUAUAGUUACCACGCUACUAUAUAUAUAUAUAUUAUAUAUAUUAUAUAUAUAUAUUGUCACGCCCGGCGGCCGAUUUUAAAACCUUUUUAAAAUAGAGUUGCGAAAAAACGUGCCAUUUUUUUUUUUUUUUUUCAACCUGGCCCACGCGACGUACAGACCCUGCCACAAUACAAAGUUCCUCUGUCACAUCGCGACGGAGUCUCUUUGUAUUUGCACGGCGUACCACAAGAUCAACAGGAUCUCAACCACAACCUACAUUUACCAAUGAACAACCAAGGCAUGAUAUGCAUUUUCAUACAGCUAACAUCCUUAGAAUGAUGCAUGCCUCUAAGCACUCCUUAGCGCUGGAUGAUGCAAUGCAUAAUACAACAAACAUCCUAUUUAAAAGUGCUCCCCACACGGAAGCUUUUUGUUUUUAAACUCUAAUUCAAUCAUUCAUAAAACCAUUCGAAAAUCUUUUUAAAACUGUUUCCCACACGGAAACUUAUUUUUUGAAAACCGACUACCUUGAGGGGUAGAAAACCACGAUACAUACUACAAGAAAACAAAUCUCCACAGAACCAAAACCACAGAUCGAAAACUCCAAUCUCAUGUAUAAAAGAAACCAGCACCACAGUUCACACUAUACAUUCAAGCAUAACAUAAGAUCAGUUAAUGAACCAUAUAAACUAUCUUUAACAUAUUAAAGGACAGUAAGGGUAAAAACUAAAACGAAUAACCUGAGUCGGAGCUCUAGCGACCACUACGAACGUGUCUCGCGUCUCGUCUCAACUCUCAAAUGCCCGGCGAUACCUGAAAAAAUAGUGGGGAGGUGAGAAAUGCUAAAAUGUCUCCCCUCCAGUGGGUACCGCAGCGCAUGAAGGCGAGAGUACACCGGAUCAGAAGAGGCUAAACAACAGUACGGGUCAAUAGAAAUGCAGUAGCAAUAAUAAUGAAUGAAAGGAGACAUAUAUAUGAACGAAGUACAACUAACGACUACUGUAAUGGACAACUGAAUGUAUACAUUAACAAGACUAUAGUAGCAAGACAAUGUAAUGAAAGAACUGAAGGUAUAUAGGCAACAACGCAUAUCAUGUAUUACAGCGUCAACCGGGACAAGAAGUUCCAAAUAUACCCAAUCUGGUACCUGCUAUAUUGGUCGCCAGACCUCAAGCGCUGCCUGUCACUAACCUGCACCGACCUGAUUACACGCCCUACAGACGACCCAUCCGGAUAAGUAACCUCGAUCCGUGGCCAAACCGAUCCGGUGUCGUGAAUACCCAAGUGCUGUGACUAAGUCUGAUGGUAUGCUCAAUACAAAAAACCGGCUGAAACCGGUGCCUGUAGGCCGAAGCAGAAACAAGGACGAUACAACGCCGAACCUCGAUCAACCAGAUCGAAACACAUGACGAGAGAGUCAAUGUGUUACCUGGACCCAAGGUCCACAGAGUCCCAACCGACCAGCAAGGUCACUGAUACGAAGUACGAGAACUGACCAACCAGGUCAACAGAUGCGGAGUGCAAACCAACCAACUAGGUCAAACAGAUACUGAAUGCAACAACAGACCAACUAAGGUCAACAGAUACAGAAUGCAACAACAGACCACUAGGUCAACAGAUACAGAUGCAACAACAGACAACUAGGUCAACAGAUACGCAUGAUAGAUAGAACUACUCUACUCCUAUCAGGAUACUAAGCAUGCAAACAAUGAGUAGAGUAUAACGAAUAAACAAGGGUGCAAGGCUCAAUAUACUAUCGCGAUAGUAACAACAGAAGGAGUAAGGGUAGAAACGUCAUCAAGCGUGCACCACUGUACCGAGUCGGUCGACAGUACCACCUGUACGGAUGUACGCGUCUGUCUCCUGACUGCAAAAGAAUGUCGACGCAGGACCUAUAGAGGGCCACCGGGUUAGUAUCUAACCCACAACUAAUAAUCACAGUAUCCACAACCCCACAAACGAUUCACGAAAUCGUUUCCAAUACCGAUUACCGUAACCUCGCCGGAAGUCCGAAACCACACCGGGACGCCGUCGGGACCCAUAGUGUCCCGAAACUCACCGACUCGUGUCACGAGUCACCUGCUGCCCCAAAACAUUCCAAUUUGGAUGCCUGGCAGCGAAUACAAGGUCACACAACAAUACGAUCAUCACCGGAUAAUGUACGAAUCCGGGUCCGAGUGUCUAUUUGACACCGGAACCUCCGUCGCGCCACCCAUACAUCAUUGAACCCACAAAUGAUGAUGGUGACCAGCCAAUAAGGCUCAGCGAAAAAACACGAAGCAACCAAACACCGUCGGAAAAGAGCCGAACCGAACCGCGUUCUUUCGGCGAAUUUCGCGCGAAAAACGCACCGAAAUGACUGAACGAUUUCCGCGAAAGCUAACGGACCAUGGACAAAUCAGUCAGCGAUCAUAACAAAUCCCACACACUGCCCCAGUAGCCACGCAAAGCACAAUUGGCACAAAAGACCUAUAAUUACAUAAAUACAUCAUUUUAUGUAAUUUGAGACGCAUCAAGCAGCAGCUCGUUCACGCCAAACGAGGAUUCCAAGGUCCCAGAGACACGUACAGACGAGGUCUCGAUGAUCGACGAGGCCUGUGCUCACGAUCUGGAGCACAACAGCUCGCUGUGGGAAGCGCGGGAGCAACCCGAAGGUUUAGCGAAUAGCGCGCAGUCAGGGAAGAUCGCGCCGAACAGACUAACCGGACACUGUUGAUCCACAGUGAGGUGAGCACUGUGAUCAGCACUGACGCGACGAUCACGUGCUCACCUCCGGAGGCAUCAGGAACAGCCUCGGAUCGCCGAAAAAGCAAGCACAAACCCGAAACAGCAGCCGAAAAGGCUGAAACGGAGCGACAUCGCCAAAAACGCGGACGGGCCUCCCGUAGAAACCAAGGCUGAGCACGAUGAUCAGCAAUUUGCCAGGAUCAAUCGUGCUCCCUUCCGUGGAGAUCGGGGAAGCUCGGGAAGCCCAGAACAAGAAACCCACUCAAUAAGCCCUAUUUCGGGCUCUGCCGGAGCAACCUUGCUCCGGCCGGCCUCCGGCGGCACGACGGCCGCGCCGGGCCCAGAGUCGGGUGCGGGGGAGGUGAAGGAACACGGUCGCUCACCUCAAGGAGGCGGCUGUGAGCGGCGCCGGCGGCGGCGGAGCAAACGAGCACCGCACGGGAUCGAGCUCGGGUUCCAGAGUUGCUGCGGCCACGGCGCGGCCGGGGAGCUCCGGGAGCGGCGGAGGCGGGCUGCAGGAUCGGUGGAGGGACGCCUGGUGCUGCCCCAAGCGGCGCGGCGCAGGGGGGAGGUCGCACGCUCGCCUCACCCGAGCGGGUCUGGGGCGGCUGCGGGCUGGCCGAGGGGCGGCGCUGCGCGCCGGGGCGGCGGCGCCGGCGGGAAGGGCGCCCGGCACGGGGGGAGGUCGGCGGAGGAAUACACAGGCGGCGGCGGCGCGCUGGUGGCCGUGGCAACCCGGCUCGCAGGCUCGGCCUGGCUGCUGCAGGCGGCUGGAGCGGCUGCGGCGGCGCGGCCGGCGGCGGUCGGCGGGGAUGAUUGCGGGAGCACACGGUGAAGUCCAUGGGAGGGUCUGCAGAGACGCAGCCCCGGGCCUUCACACAACCGAGAGGAGAGAGAGGAGGAGAGAAAGAGAGGGAAGAAGAGAAGUGGUGGCUCGGCGGCGGCCGGGGCUCAGCCGGCGCGGCCCGGGGCUCGUGCAGCAAAGGGCAGGGGAAGGGUGAAGGUCGCUGGGGCGACUAGGGUAGCUGGGCUGGUAGGGUUAGGUUGAGGGAUCAAAACCCUAGAAAACAACUAUAUAUACAAGGCUACAACUUGCAAGAAAGCCCCCUCAAACAACAGAAUUUCAAUCCGAGUCUCUCACAGUACGACUAAAACGCAUGAACGCCCUCCACGCUGCGAUCUCACGCAAAACGGUACAUAAAAAUAUCGCGGACUUUUGCGAAAAUACCGUUUUGCCACUACCGACCUCUCCUCGAUCAACGCGCGAUCUCCGCAGAUCCGUCCGUCAGAUUUGCGAACGGAUUGAGCCAGUGCGCAUCAGCACAGACGGAGCAACAAAGCUGCGAUUUCGUUUCAUCUUGAUCGACACGGAUUCACGACAAAAUCCAACCUUAUCGUCGAAUAGAAGGAAACACACACGUAAAAUACAUAUAAAACAUGUAUUUUUAGAUUUCUCGAAAUUCCGUGCGUCAAACUCAAAAUCCGUCAGCCGCCAUUAGUUCCAGAACAGCUGCCCGGUCGAAACGAGCUAUUGGACUGCUAUAAACAUAGUCCGGUACGAGCCAGAAGCAACUUCUCACCGUGCUUCUCCGGAAAAAUCGAGUUACUAUUCACUUUAAGUGAAACUUGAAAUCGCGUAGAAUUUCCGUUUUAACUCGUUUUCGCCGAAACUUGACGAAGUGCUUUUGUAAUUAAAUUACACACAAAAACAUCGUCAACUGAGAAGUUAGCUACACUGCAAAAAUCUCAGUCUUACAUUAUAGAGAGAGAGGAGAGAUGAGAAGAAAGAGAGAGUGAGGGCUACUAUGCUAUCGGAAGCACGGAGCCUUCCGUUGCUCCGAGUCGUUUUUGAUGUUGUGACUUUUGAAUCGUCGAUCGGCUCGUUAAACUUGGUAUAGAGUAUUUGAAGUACCUAGAAAAUAAAUUUUAUAAUUUUACGAUAUCAUUUGCCAUAGUGAACGAAGGGCUAAAAUCACCAGUGAGAAAUAAAAAUCUACAAAAUGUAUAAUAUUACAGUCUCUCUCUCUCUCUCUCUCUCUCUCUCUCUAUAUAUAUAUAUAUAUAUGAGUCCGGCUACUAUAUUUUUAUGAAUAUUGGCUCUCUUAUACUCAUAAGUUUUCGGCCUUAGAUUUAUUCCAUUGAUCAUUUCCACCCGUUAGAUCAUACUAUUCAACCAACUACCCACUCAACCCUAGAGAACCUCUAUAUAUAUAAUUGAGGACCUUAUAGUAUUUUAUUUUAGGCCACCAAACAAAUUAACUCACCCAACAACCUAUUUGGCCCAGUGUGUGGAUCCCGGUAAUAAGCUUUAAUUUCUUAAUUAAAUCUACUUCAUUUUCUUUUCUUUUCUUUUUUGUGUUGCAAUAUUAUUUAUGUAUGGGAGAUUUAUAUACUUUGGCAUGUACACGUGUGGAAUUAAAGUAAUCCACCCACCUAGUUGGGGUGCCACCUACGCGUGCACAUAAUAAAGAACAGGAUAAGGGCUUAUCCUGUUUUUUGUCAAGUGUACGUCUUUUUCGUCUGUGUUGUUCUAUCAAAUAUUAUUUAAAUGAUAUAUAUUUUAAUUGUAUAAUAUAAUUUGUUUUUAAAAAAUUUUAUUCUGUCUCUGACAAAUAACUUCGACAAUAAUUUAUAAAAUUUAAAAUUUGGUGAUUAGGUUUCAUUCUUUACUUUGCGAAUUUCAAUGAUCUUCUGAUAAGUGAUAUUUUUUACCAAUUAAAUAAGCCACCAAGUAACAUUUAUUUCAAUGCUUGUAAACAAACGUUACAACAUAUUACGAAUUAUUCUACUUAGUGAUUAAAUUGUUUUUUUUUCUCGACCAUAUGGAUCGAUCAUACUUAUCUCUUUCUGAUCGACGCCUCCUUAUUAAUUAAAUAUGGACACACAAGAAGUAGGCCACUGAGUUCGAUUCAUUUUUUAAAAAAUAAACUCAACUAGAAAUGUGAAGUAAAUAAUAUUUCAAAUUUAAAAUUUUAGAUACUAAUCAUCACGUUCUAAACUAACUGUACUAAGCAGUGUGCGUCCAACACAUGUAUAUUGUGGAGAACUGUAGUAUUUAACUAUUUAAGAGUAAAAGGUCAUGUUAUGGAAGUUCAUGGGGAUUUUGUUGUGUAGCUAAAGGACAACUUAAACUGUUUGGAACGUACAUAAAUUGACUCUCAACUGGGAUUCUCUUAAUUUCCCAGCACUAUAAAAAAUUCUGUGUACCAAAAUAAUUGAAUUUCGAAUUGUUUCGACAAAAUUCAUAACUGAAAAAUUAGUUAACGAAAAAAAAAAAUUCAACAAUCUACCAAUUUUAAGAAAACAAAAUUUUCGGUACGGUCAUAGUUUUAGCUUUUACAAAAAAAUAAUUAACAAAACUACACCAAAUAUGUAUCUUAUUAUUUUGAAUACAAAUAUGCAUUCAUUAUAACAGAAUAACUCGACACAAAUUUUCAUCCAUAUUAGGCAAUUCAAUUUAAUAUGUCUAUAAUUUAUAUAUGUUGAUAAUUUUUGUCUUAUAGUUUUAUUUAGACGCCUUAUAAUUCUAACAAAAAUAUUUUUAAUAUUUUAUUUUAUUUACAUUUACUUGACAUGAAAAUUAUUAAACUUAUAUUCCCAACUAUCUUAAACCGGUCAUAAAAUGAAANCAUUGAACCUCUCAUAACAACUUUUAUUUUUUUUUUUGAAGUAUAGUUGACUGUAUAAAUUAAUGUACUACUUAUGUCUUCUAUUUACUAUAUAAUUUUUUUUUUUUUUUUUUGUGCAGAUUAGACGUUGAUGGCUUUUUCUGUUACCUCAUUGUCGGACACUACGUCUACUCUGUAGGCCAAUAAUUCAACGAACCAAGCUUUUUUGUUUUUUUCUUUUUUUCCAAAUCUUUUGACAGUACUCGCUCAUGAUUUAAGUGUCGUGACACGGUAUUGUGCUACGCACAGUACGUGUCGGACCGUGUCGAUACGUAUUAGUCAUAAACAAUUUAUAUAUGUCAACACAUAAUAGCAUGAAAUAUUUAUUUUUUUAGCAAUAAAUAUUCUAACGGUUUAUUAUAUAUUUUUAUUAAAUUUUUUAAAUUUUAUUAAAAAAAUUAUUUACAAAUUUGAAGAAUAGCGGAUUUUGAGCUGUACCAAUAGGAUGGGACUAUAUCGUGCCGAUAUUUUACUGCAACGAUACGGCACGGUAAAUACGACUCGUACUGAUCAAGGAUUUAAGUACCGUGGCACGGGAUCGUACCGAAAACUUACCGACACGGCAUGGCACGGUGCGUGCCGAGCCGUACUGAUGAAAACAGGUCAAAAAAAUUCUUGUGUGCUGACACAUAAUAGUAUAAAAUAUUUAUUUUUUUUUAACAACAAAAUAUUCUAACUAUUUAUUAUGUCUUUUUAUCACAUUUCUUGAACAUUAUUAAGAAAAUUACUUACUAAUUUAAAGAAUAGAGGGUUUUGAGCUGUGCCAUCGGUACGGGGUCUGUAUCGUGCUGCUAUCUUGUUGGUAUGGUACGACACGGUAGAUACGGCCCGUACCGACGGGCACUUAAAACUUUGGUACCGAUAGAUACUUAAAUUCUUGGUUCUCACCCAAUAUUUUUAUUUAAUUGUAAAAAAGAAACAAGUCCUAAUUAUUGUAAUUGUUAAUAAUUAAUUACUCUACAAAAAAAUAAUAUUUUUAUAUAUUAUAUUCAAUAUUUCACUUGUGUUGAUCACUUACAAAUAUAGAUAAAAUAAAAAAAAAACCUAUUGUUAUAAUUAUAAAUAUAUUUUCAUACUUAAGCUAUGGAAAUAUUUGGUUGGUUAAAAAUGAAGCAUCAAAUUCAAACUUUUGUCCGCUGAAUUCAUUAAAGAUUUGUAAAUAGUAUUAGAGCGACGAGACAUUAAUUACCAAACAAUUUAAGUACUUGAAAAAAAAAAUGGUAUUCUCAAAGAAGAGGGUAUUUUAUUUUUCCUUCUUUUUCAAAUCUCAUUACUCUUUUGUAAAUUUGAUAGUUUGGGAAAUAUAAAGUCACCUAUUAGAACUCAAUAUACUUCCUUUUAUUAAUUUCACAUAUAAUAAUAAUCUGAAUAGUAAUUAAAUGAACUUAAAGCAUAUUUGGUUCAUGAUUUAAAAAAUGUUUGAUAUAUAGUAUAAAUUCAAAAGAAAUUUUCAAUAUGGCAUAAAUUUAAAAAGGUAUAAAAGAGAUUCGCAAAUAUAGUAUGAAUUCAAAAUGAGUUUAGAAUAUGGUAUUAAUUCAAAAGAUGUAUAUCUGCAAACAUGGUACAAAUUCAAACGAAAAUCAAUUUGUGGUUGUGAAAAUCAUAAAAAGAAGUUAUUUUAUUUAAAAUUGAAAAUGAUUUUUUAAAUUAAAACUUGAUCAAUUUAAGAAAUACUAUAGAAAGAUUCUUAGGAACACCAAAAUUCUAACUAUGAUGUUGCAUAAGUAAAAUGUCCUAUUUGAAUUAGAUCGGACUAGAAUAUCGUCACAAGUGUAGUCAAACAAAAAAAAGAAAUGUAAAUUAUUUCAAAAAUAUUCAAGCAAUAACAAGAAUGUUUUAUGGGUCUAUUGUAACAAUAUGGGGAAUUAUGUAACCCAAUUUUGAUUUAGAAAUAAGUUAAGGCUUAGAUAAGUUUGGAUGGUGAAAGGUUCUAACACAAAUGGAUCCAAAUUCACUCGACUAUCGUUCUUAACUUGAUUUUCAUUACAGGUAUGCCCUGCACUCGACAAAGUGAAAGAGCAAAUAGUAUUUGGACAACGGGGCUCACGGCAUAACUUCACAUCUAUACAACUAUAUUAAUCCGCAAUAUUUAAGAUGACGUAGCGCUUCCACAUUAGUUUAGGGCUUUUCUUUUUCUUUUUUUUUUUCUUCUUUCAGUUAUACUCUUUUUGCCCCCUCAUCUACCCCAUGUAAUUUAAACCCCUACAAUUAUUAAAUUAUUAAUUAAUUUUUUAGCUUCUUUCAAUUAUACACUUUGAAUUCCUAUCACUAACAUACCUGGUGUGACGUUUCGUCUUCCUACUCAAUAAAUGAAUAGAUUUGGAAUGGAAGAAGAAGUGAGAAAAAGGGAGUAGUAGUGAUGGGGGAAGCUCAUGAGGAGGAUUAAAUGGGGUUGUGGGUUUUGAUCCUUUUGGUCUCCACUCCCCCAGUUUCUUAAAAAUCCUAUUUUGAAAACGUUUGGAGAGAGAGAUAAGAGGAAGGAGUGCAAAAAAAGGAGAGACAAAAGCUUCUUCAAUGCCAUUUUUGUCAGUGGGAGUGGAAAAGAUGGCCGAUAAUUGUUAUUUCUUCAAUAAUGUGAUUUCAACUUCUUCUUCUUUUUGGUUCUGUUUAAUUUUUUGUUUGAUUAAUUCUAAUUUUUUGUAUCUAAAUAUUCAUAUACCCGUUUUAUAUUAUGUUGUUUCAAAAAUAUUAGAUUUUGAUCUUUGUAUACUCCUAUUUUUAUUCCUUCUCUAGAUUGUUGGCUAUGUUAAGUAUACAUUGUUUUCUUUUCUAGAUCUUUUUGGCUUCAAUAUUCAUAUUAGGUAUGAUUUGGAUUUUGUUUUCUUUGUAUCAUUUUGUGUAUUUAGGCUCCGAGCUGAUGCACGCACCUUCCCCUUCCAGUCUUCCACUGCCGUUGAACGGGCCGUCAUCGCCAUAGCCAGAGGUGUCGUCAGGCCGGUCCUCGCGGCCACCGGUGAAGGAGCUUUGGUGGGUAUGGUGCACAAGGGUGCGGGAAGCGAAGCAGCGGAUCGAUUGGCAGUGACGGAAAAGGUGGACGAGGCGAAAGCGCUGAGGAAGUAGUGGUGGCCGACGAUCUUGGACUCGGUGGCGGCUACGGUGGCAGAUGGUUUUUACCAAAUUUUGCUAGCCAAUUUCGAUGAAUGGAUUUUUUGGUAUCUCUUCAUCAUAUACUUAAUUGGUGGAUUUGCAUAUUAUAUAUUCGAUGUACUGAUCAAUUUUGUUAAUGGUUUGGUUAUGAAAUUUUCAUGAAAUGCUUAGAUGGUUCUGUUCAAAAGCUGUUUAAUUUAUAAAAGUUUUUUAGUUGAUCAAAUUAUCCUGCUCUUUAGUCAUAAUUUUUAAUAGUUUGGUUAUGUAAUUUUCAGAAAAUGUUUAGAUGGUUAUGUUAAAAAGCUGUUUAAUUUAUAAAAGUUUGUUAGUUGAUCAAAUUAUCCUGCUCUUUAGUCAUAAUUUGCUCUUUUUAAUAUUUUGUUAAUCAAAAUAAUGAUUAUAAUAGUUGUCCGUAGUCGAUUGUAUUACUGUAUAAGCACAAAAAUAUACAGGGACAAAGUUAUAUAGAGGUCCAAGGUGGCCAUGGCCCCCCUCAACUUUUCAAUAUUUGUUUAAAUACUAAAAGUCUUUAUUUCUUAAAUUUUUCACUUAUUAUGGCUAUAAAGUUUUCUCUGAAGUUAAAGAGUGUUUUAUCAUAUUUUAUUUUGAUGCAAAAGUUAUAGAAGAUUUAAGAAAACUGCUCAACACUCCACAAGAAUAAUGAAUCAUACUUAGGUAAGUUUUUGGCAUAAUUUAUUUUGAUGCAAAAGUUAUAGAAGAUUCAACAAAACUAUUCAACACUCUACAAGAGUAAUAAAUCAUACUUAGGUAAGUUUCAGCAGAUUGAUCAUAUACUAUUUAAAUAAAUUUUUAACAAAAUUAUGGCAACGCUUAUAUAUUUUUUCCUUUUUAUAUAUAUUUUCAGAAUGUUUUUGGAUCUUGAAUAAAAAGUUAGUAUUUAAUCAACUUUUUACUAAGCUGCCACGAAGCGUUCGCUGGUCCUAUAUUAUAUAUAAUAUAGAUAUAUAAAUGUAUAACUCUCACAUCUUUUGCCAUUCCUCUUUUCUACGGCUCUCUUUGUUUCUUUCUUCAUCUCCUCACUGUAUUUUUUUUUGUAUAUGUAUAAUUUCAUACUAUUAUCGAUAAUCAAUAAUAAUAAAAAAAUUAUUUCGAUAAUAUCUACCCGCUGCAUUGCGCGGGUAACUACACUAGUUGAAAUAAUUCUCUAAGUCCCAAAAUGUUUUUCUUUAUUUGUUUUUUAAGAUUGCAAGCUUCAUUUAGAGAUUGUAAUAGAAAUCCUAUGAAACGAGAUUGUAACCAGCUUUGGUCUUACUUUCUUUGAAAGGCUAAAUAAUAGUGAUUAAACAUGGGAUGUCGCUACAUCUAUCCAAGUGAGGGAGAAAGAUUUGUUCUUCCUUUUAUCCUAUUCCGAAGGCCUGUUUGAUUUUUGCAAUCAUAAUUCAUGUACUCGGUUUUCUUACAAUUGUAACGUUGAAUAUCCUUUUUAAAAGAGUGCGAUCUACCAUUGCUUGCUGAGCCAUCUUACUCCACGCUUUGCCAUAACCGGGCAUCAUUAUCCAAAUCUGAAAGAUAAAUCUCUGUAGCGGGAGAAAUCUUGCUCAAAUUAAUGAUGUACUUUUUUUAUUCUUCAACCGGUAAACAUAACAUAUUUUGAGUUAGAGUUAAUUAUGCUACAAUUAAUUGACUCGAAUUUAACAAUCAAUAUUUUAUCAUAUAGAUGUCUAGUACUCAAUAACUUGUGCUUAAAUCUUUUUAUCAAUAAACAUUAAUAAUUUCAAAACAACUGUUACGGAUUGAGCAUUUUUUAAUAAUGUCACUUCUCGAUCGAGUUGUUUUCAAAAAUUAUCUUCACCUACAAACCUUUGUAUAUAUAGGCGUUGUAUAGAUUAAUUACAGCACCUUUUAGUUUUUGUAAACUUAGCAUUUCUAUUUGACAAAAAUGAUAAUUUCUUUUUUAUUUUUUUGUUUUAUCAUUACCAUGGCGAAGUUUCUAUUAAUUCCCAAGUUUGAUAUGGAAUCUCAUAGUCAAAUCAAUGAAUAUAUGAAUUGAGUAAAUCGCGUCGGUGCAGUUGAGUUACUAUCAAUAAUGACCAAAAACUUUGUACGGUGAAGCAUUUGAGUGUCAAACGCUAUUUGUAUAAUAGGUGUAAAUUUUAUAUCCUAAACUUUAAAUGCCUACGCUUACUCAUUUAUCUUAUUAUUUUUUUAAUAACAAAAAUUUAAAUAACUUAUAUAUAUAAAUAUAUAGUCCGGCUACUAUACUAUUGUAAGUACGAUCGUUCUCGUACUUAUAAGUCAUUUUCGAUAAUAGAACUUUCGAAUCGAUGAUACAUACCGUUAAACGUUAUCUGAAGUACUUAAAAUUUCUAGAAAUUAAAUUUUAUAAUUUUUCGACAUCAUUCACCUAACGAUCAAAAGGUCACAAACUGAUAAUAGAGUUGAUCGUCAAUUCGGAAGGUCCAUCAUCGAAAACAACUUAUGAGUACGAAGGGCUACUAUACUUUUAUAGUAGCCCUACUAUAUANUCGCUGGUUGCAACCUCUUCAAACUCUGGUGCCGGGCUACUCGGCUCGCGUACAGUGCCAACACCCAUGUACCACGCACUGCCCGACUCGCGGUAUAUCCACCAGCGGAACGCCAAGAUGCCUUACUAGUUACUCUCCGGGUCAGGUUCCCCCUCCCGGCGCAGUGUGCAGUGUGAACGUGCGAUUGGUCCCGUGAAUCACACGCGAGGCGCGCUCCCUCAAUCCGGGCCGGAAAAAGUAGCUGGAGAAAAGAUGCAGCGCAGUGCGCACCCACACACGCCCACGCGGCGCCACGCAACACCCGCAUCGAAUGUUAUUGUCCACUACACCGAACCAACCAGCCGAAGCAAACGCUAAGAACAGGGAAGGGAGGGUACGAAUGAAUAAGAAAGAUGCCGUCCGCUUUUUGUCCUUAUCGCUCUCAUCUCCACCUGUCCAUUGGCGAUAUUGGCGUUGGCAUUGGCUCUCCCUCCCUCCUUUUCCCACCCUCUCCUCCCCUGCCCCCGCACCCGCGCGCCCCCCCCCUCCUCAGACGGAUUCGUUCCCUCGUCUUCUCCCCUUCCCACUCCUUCCUUACAGUAAGCGCUUUAGCCUUUCCGGCCACGCCGAUUUGCGUUCCUCAGAAACGUUCUCUCACAUUCGCCGCCGCCGCUGCUGAUUGGUGCGAGGAGGGCGCGAAGCCCGGCGAGAGACAGCUCCGAAACGAAGGACGAGCGUAACUCACUCGAGGAGAGGAGAGGAGAGGAGAGGGGCAGUGGGAGUGGGAGUGCGAGGGCGAGGUGCUUCUGCCUUUUCCCUUCCGCCCACCUUUAAUGAAUUUGUAUUGAUGUACACAUAUAUAUAUAUAUAUAUAUAUAUAUAUAUAUAUAUAGAGAGAGAGAGAGAGAAAGAGAGAGAGAGAGAGAGUCUGGCUACUAUACUCUUAUCAGUAAAGAUUUUUUUGUACUCAAAAGUCACAAAAUUUAUAUUUUAGAUACUUCAAAUACUCUAGAUCAAGUCUAACGGAGCUAAUGAUUGAUUCGAAAGUCCCAACAUCGAAAACGAUUUGAAAGUGCGGAGAGCUCCGUGCUUUCAGAAGCAUACAAGCCUCACUCUAUAUAUAUGAAUCCAGCUGCUAUCCUUUUAAGAGGACGGAUGACUUCAUCCUCCUAUGUCGUUUUAGAUGAUAGGUAUUUCGAAUUGAUAAUCGGAACAGUCAAAGUUGAUCUAGAAUAUUUAAAAGGGGCAAUUGCCUAUAUACCCCUGAAAAGUUUCCGGUUUUUUUAUAUACCCCUCUUAGAAGGCUAAUAUUGAAAAUACCCUUCUUAUGUUCCAAGUCUUUCUAAUAUAUCCCUGGAGUUAAGCUUCGUUAGUGAGCUGCCGUUAUCUCUGUAAAAUUACCAUUUUGCCCAUUCCAAUAUACCCUUCUACCGUAACUAACUUUUCUUAUAUACCCUUUAUAUAGCAAAUAUUUUUCUUAUUUGCCCUUCAAAUAUAAAUUAAUUAAUUAAGCACGUCGAGAUCGAUCGCAGUUAAACCAACUUUGGUAGCUGGAGGCAUAGUUAGUUAAUUCGGAUUCGGCAAAAAUUCGGUAGGGAUAUAAUUCGGAUAAAAUUCGUCUUUUAAUUUUUAAAUUCGUUAGUUAAUUCGGAUUCAGCAAAAAUUCGGUAGGGAUAUAAUUCGGAUAAAAUUCGUCUUUUAAUUUUUAAAUUCAUUAAAAAAUACGGCUAAAAAACGGAUUCGGCAGUUAUUCGGAUACGUGAUUUAUACAGGUAUUAUACGUUCACCAAUUAAAAAUUCGGGAUCAAAUAUAAUUUUUAUAUAUAAUUUUUAAAAAUUCGGUAUUAUACUAUAUAUAUUAUUUUUAUAAUAUUUAAUAAUAGAUUAAAUAUAUUUAAAAUUAUAAUAAACUUAUAUUAAUAAUAUAUAAGAGUUAUAUAUUUAAAAAUAUUAAUAAAUAAUUACAAAUUUAUAAAUAAAAUAUUAUAUAAUAAUAUUUCUAUAUAAAAAUAAAAUACUAUAUGAAUAAAUCUAUUAGUUAUUAUUAUUAUUAUUAUCAUCAGAAAACACGACAGUUGAUUUACAGGAACAUAGUUAUUAAAUAAUUAAGCGCUAAUUACUUAAUAAUUGUCAUUAGUGACAGGAUGAUAUGUACAGCUAAUAGGGGUGGUUUAGACUUUAGAUCGAGCACCUGGGGGGCGACGAUGUGGCGCAGAUGCAAGGAGACCUGGCCCUCGUCCCCAUCCUCGUGCGCGUGCCUGUGCGCGUGGCCGUGGGCGUGGCCGUGGUGGUGGUGGCUGUGGCCGUGCGCCGCCGCGUGCGCGCGCAUCCUGACGAUGUGCAUCGCGUUGCCGCCCUUGGCGAAGCCCUCGUUCUCGUCCUCGUCCACGGGUGGCUCCAGCGCCGCCGUGGUGAUGGAGCGCCCCUCGUCGUCCUCUGCAGUGGCGUCGGUCUCGGCGGUGGCGGCGGCGCGGUGCUUGCGCUCGUAGAACUGGGUGACGAGGAAGUCGAGGACGAGGGUGGCGAGGGCGGCGGCCAUGGCGACAAAGCCGGAGAAGGGGAAGCAGCGCCAGGGGAAGCGGAGGAGGCAGGGGUCCGUGAGUGCGGCCUCGACGUCGUGGAGCAUGUGGACGAAGCCCGUGGCGAGGAUGAUGCCUGCGGCGAAGGUCUUGGCGAGGGCGAAGAACCCGCUCUCCGUGCUCAGGAGGCGCCGCCGCUUCCGCCCCGCCGGCAGCGGGAGCCGGCGACAUGGAGGCGGAGGAGUCGGCGAUGAAGUUGGGACUUUGGGAGAGAAAGAGGAUAACUUAAGGAAUUGGCAUAAUAAGUUAGGGGUAAAAUAGGUAUUUUAUAUAGGUUUUAACUCUAGUAUACAUUUAACUCAUAUUUAACCCGAGUUAAGCUAACAGGGGAUAACUACGAGGGUAUUUUGGAAUAACGGUGGAACAUAUGAGGGGCAUUUUAGAAAGAAAAAAAAAGUAGGGGUAGAUCGGAUAUUUCCGAACGCAUGAGGGGUAUAUAGGCAAUUAUCCCUAUUUAAAAUGUCUAUAAAAUAAAUUUCAUGAAUUUUAAAAUUUAUUUACGUAGUGAUUAAAAGAUCACAAAAUCGACAGUUUUUGACGGCAUAUAUGAGUCGUUUUCUUAUUUAACGGAGUAGAACAAUCCAAAUAGGUUAAAUUUUUUAUAAAAUUUUUUUAUAUUAUUCAGAUAAUAUUUGAUAAUUCUAAUCAUGAAUCGAAAAAAGUCUAACAUCUAUCUUCACAAAGGUUAUUCAUUUUUUAUUUUUAUUUUUUGACUUUUUUUAAUUAAUUUAAUUAAUAACGAAUUUUAAAAUGACCAAUUUGCAUAAAAAAUUUAUUUAUUUUGGGCUUUUGCAAAACCGGGCCACCUUUUUUGUUUUUCCAGAUUCGGUCCGCUUUUUCAGCAAACUGACCAAAAUAUCCUUAUACCUUUUUCUCUCUCCUCUUUUUUUUCUCUCGUUCUUUUUUUCUUUCUCUUCCCAGAGAGCGGCCUCGCCCGCACACCCCGGCACCUUCCUCUUAUCCGAUCCUGCCGAGGCCGCAUCGCGACUUUUAUUUUUUCCUCUCCGACUCCUCCACCGUUUCCGACGACGACGCCUCUCUCGCCCUUCCCCGUCCUUCUCGUCCUCUCCCUCUCUUUCCUUCUCUGCCGCCUCCGAUGACGACGCAUCUUCGCCGGCGCCGACAAUAUGCCGGUGCAUCCUUACCCUCUCCUGCACACCCAUGCACCUUCCUCGCCUCCGACCCUGCCUAGGCCGCGUCGCAACUCUUUUUUUUUUCCUCUUCGACUCUCCUCCACUGUCUCCAACGACGACCCUUCUCUUGCCCUUCUCCGUCCUUCUCGUCCUCUCCCUCUCCCUCUCCCUCCUCCUCGGCCGCCUUCGACGACGAUGCAUCUUCGCCGGCGCCGACGCCGGCACCGACACUAUGGAGGUCACUACGGCGCUGCAGCCUCGGAGCGGAGGGUUCUUAGCGGCAUCGUCGCCGGCGCCGUGGAGAGGGGUGACCAAAAAAAAAUAUAAAAGAAGCAAAAAAAGAAAUAAAGAUAAAAAAGUAUAGAAAAAGAAGGAUGAAGAUGAAAUUGCAUCGUUAAUUGCAAAAAAAAUUAUAAGUUGCACUACUUAAGAUGUAAAAUACAGGUUUAAGAUAAAAAUUAUACUCUUUAAAUGAAAAUUACACUCUUUAAACGAAAGUUGCAUUGUUUCUCCUCUUAUUGCACCAUUUUUUUUUGUUACACUAUUUUUUAUCUUAAACUACACCCCUUUAAGAGAUAUUUAUACUGUUCAUCCUCUUGUUGCACUAUUUUUUCUCUUGUUACACUAUUUCUCCUCUUGCUACAUUGUUUUUAUCUUAAACUGCAUCCUUUAAGAGGAGAAACAGUGUAACAAGAGGAGAAAUAGUGCAAUAAGAGAAAAAACAGUGCAACAAGAGGAGAAACAGUAUAAAUAUCUCUUAAAUGAGUGCAGUUUAAGAUAAAAAAUGGUGUAACAAGAGAAAAAAUGGUGCAACAAGAGGAGAAACAGUGCAAUUUUCGUUUAAAAAGUGUAACUUUCAUAUUAAUGAAUGUAGUUUAUAUCUGAAAGAGUGCAAUAAGAGGAGAAACAGUGUAAAUAUCUCCCAAAUAGUGUAAUUUUUAUUUAAAAAGUAUAAUUUUCAUCUUAAAGCUGCAGUUUAUACAACUUAUAAUUAUUUUUCAGUUAACGAUGCAAUUUCAUUUUCAUUCUUAUUUUUCUAUAAUUUUUUAUCUUUAUUUUUUUUUCUUGUUUCUUUUAUAAUUUUUUUGGUCACCCCUCUCUGCCAACGGCCACGGCACCGGCGACGAUGCCGCUAAGGACCCCCCGCUCCGAGGCUGCAACACCGCAGUGACCUCCGCGGUAUCGGCGCCGACACCGAGAUGCAUCGUUGUUGGAGGCGACAGAGGAGGAGGGAAAGGGAGAUGACGAGAAGGGCGGAGGAAGACAAGAGAGGCAUCGUCAUCGGAAACAGUGGAGGAGAGUCAAAAAGAAAAAAAAAAAAAUCGCCGGCACGGCCUCAGCGAGGUCGGAGGCGAGGAAAGUGGAGGGUGUGCAGGCGAGGGUAAGGAUGCGCCGGCAUAUUGUCGGCGCCGGCGAAGAUGUUUCGUUGUCGGAGGCGGCAGAGAAGGAAGGAGAGGGAGAGAACAAGAAUGACGGAGAAGGGCGAGAGAGGCGUCGUCAUCAGAAACGGUGGAGGAUAGUUGGAGAGGAAAAAAAAAAAAAAGAGGAGAGAGAAAAAAGUAUAAAGGUAUUUUGAUCAGUUUGCUGAAAAAGUGAACUGAAUCUGCAAAAAUAAAAAAAGUGACCCAAUUUUACAAAAAUUCAAAAUAAGUGAAUUUUUUAUGCAAAUUGGCCUUCUAAAAUUUACAAAAUACAGUUCCUGAACAUUAUAAUAAAAUAUGUUUCUUUUUAUAUUGAAAAAAAGUCAAAACAACUGAACCCUACAGUAGGUUAGUAACCUUCCACUAUUAUUAUAUUAACUAUUCCCCACUGCCCCUGGAAGUUGCAUCAACCACUUAAUAAUAUAAUAGGGAACAACAGCUAUUUGCAAUGUUUUGAGUACUGUUUCUGGAGACAUUACGACCAAAAAUAUCAACAGUGCUUUUGUACGGACGAAGUGACAUCUAGAGAGAGAGAGAGAGAGAGAGAGAGAGAGAGAGUGUGUGUGAGUGAAAUUGUUGUUAUUACCUGCACCCACUGUAUCGUGUAAGUACACUAGAAACACCAUAACAUUUGAAUAAUUAUUAAUAUCUUAAAUUCCAUAGAGCAUAUAUACAUGAAUUGACUUGUGUAUUUGGAAAAUCUAUUACCUAAAUAUCAAGUCUUAGAGAAAGAAUUAUUAUUUGAUAUAGAAAAGUUUGAAGCUUACAGUAUAUAAUUUUUUAUAUACAGACUGUUUUUUAACAGGUCAAAAAAUAAAUAUGAUAAGUUAGAUUCUGAUUUUGAGAUUUGUAUCGUAGAAUUUUAUCUGCGCAAUAUGUGAGAUGUAUGUGCACACUCGGUUCAAAGCAAAAAUAUUUUUGAUAUGCACGGCUAAAAUUUAUAAUUUUUGAUACGUAAAAUCUUUUAAGUGUCACAAAACAUAUCCGGUGGGUUGGAUUUUGAUUUUAAAAUCUCUAUCCUAUAUAGGAUAUAAGAGUACACUAUGUGAGAUAUAAUUACACACCUGAUGUAAACAAUAAAUGUUUGUAAUGUGUAAGCUUUUUAAGGGGAUGUCCAAAAUUUAUAAUCUUUUAUGCCAUAAAAUAUAUUGGUGAGUGCGAUUUUGAUUUAACCUUUAUGUAUAAUCCUAAAAGCAGAGCGUAUGAGAUGUCCUUUAUAAAUUAAACACCCGGUGUAGAUGAUGAUUGUUUAAAAAUAUGCAUACUUUUUAAAAUGAGCGUUCUAAGCUUGUAUAUUCAGAUAGAGCAAGUAAUUCCAGGUUUACAAUAAAAAAUGAGUUUAAUUAGUAUCCUUGUUAGAGGUUUUUUUUUCACUUAUCCUAUCGCUUUUUCUUAUUUUUACUAAAAAGGGAAUUGAUAAAUUAGAGACACUCUAAAAUGAGGCGUUGUAGGAAUUGUAAUUUCUUUCUCGUUGGAUUUAGUAUUAUUGUUUCUUAUACAUAGAUUUUUUUAAAUGUUAUAAAGUUAUAUCCUUAUUUUAAAACAAGAUCUAUUGUACGUAGGGCUAACAAUCUAGCUCUAUGUCCACAAGCGAGCUCAUGUUCAGCUCAUUUUGGCUCGGUAACAUUUUAAUUUUAGGCCAAUCCAAAUGUGAAGAGAUCAAUAUUUUGCGAAUUUCAAUUAUUAGAUUAAGAUUUUAAUCAUUUUAACUUCUUUUCAACUUUCCAUCCAGCAAUAGGUUGACAAUCUAAUUUGCCGUUUGCGAGAAAGCUCGUGUGCGACUCGUUAAAAGACAAGGCGAACACGAACUGAACUUUUCAACUCAAUAUUUUAACGAGAUCGUUCGUAUUCGGCUCAUUGAUGGUCCUAGUUGUAGGGUUAUAGAAAGUGCAGGUAUACGAGAUGUACUUAUACACUCGGUGCAGCAGGCAAUAAUUAGAAGGAGAGAGAGAGAGGGAAAAAGUAGAAAAGUCCAAAAAAACAUGGGAAGGGGGACUCAUCCAUGUCCCAUAUUUGGGGCCCGGGGAAGCUGUUCCCAUCUUUCCCCAUUUGCAUUUGUUUUUUACUGAGAGGUAGAUAAUGUGCUAUUCGUUUUAUUUAUUUUAUUUAGAAAUAAAUUUAGUUAAAAAUAUGAAUUAAUUAGAAUUUAAAUUUAAGCUUUUGAGUACCAACUAUUUAGUUUUUUGCCACUUGUGUUAGGAACGAUCGGCCCCAUUUGCAUUUGUUGUUGUUGUUGUGUUCACGGGAUGUGAGAGAAAAUUACGAAAACGAGAGAGAGGGGAGGUAAAAUGUGGGGGUGGAAGUAGCUAAAGCUUUGGCCCGGGGCAGUACACCACGCCUCGCUGUAUUACAUGUGAUGCCGUUGUGGCUCUAAAAUAAUACUCUCUCUCUCUCUCUCUCUCUCUCUCUCUCUCUCUCACAGGUGCACCGUGGCACUCCUAAUUUACUUUUUCUUAAAUAAAAAGAAAAAUAUAUAUAUAAAAAAAUUUUCUAUAAAAAAUUUCUUUACAUUUAGUCAUCAUUUCAAAAUUAAAAUUUUUUUUUCAAAAGAUUAUAGUAUUAGCGGCGAGGGCAGAAUGUCCAAAAUACUCUGACUCGUUGCAGAUGAAAAGAAAUAAAUCUUUCGACACAUUUUUUUCAUUUUUAGGGGUAUUUCUAGUAUAUUUAAUUUAUAGCUAAUUAGAAAAAGAUGGAACAGUGUUGGAACCUUAACAGAGGAGAUCCAGAUAAGUGCGUUAAUUUGAAAUUUGAAGAGACAAAAUAUAAAUUUUUAAAAGUUAGAAAAAAAAAUUAGAAGAUAUUUAUAGAAUUUUUUAAUAUUUUAGCUAAAGCAAAAUAUAUUAAAGCUCGCUUAUUUCAAACAUCUAUUUUUCAUAAAUUAGGUGGUACCUUCGACUACCGAUCAGUGUCUAUUUUUUUUGCAUGGAUCAUGAGCAAAGGAGUCAAGCUUUGUGAUCCAUCUGGAAAAUAAAUAAAUCUUAGACAAUAUAGAUCGUAUUUAUCAAAUUAAAUUUUGAUAUUAGGCAUUAAAAACAUAACAUAGAUAUGCACCAGGUGCACACAAUAAUAGUUUCACUCUCCCGUGAGAGAAUAGUUAUACGUCAAUAGUUAGUUAAUUCGAAUUUGACAAAAAUUUAAUAUGAAUAUAAUUCGAUAAAAUUUAUAUCUUAAUUUUUAAAUUUAUUAAAAAAUACAGCUUAGAAAACGAAUUCGCCAAUUAUUCUGAUACUCGAUUUAUAUGAAAAUUAUACGCCCACCAAUUAAAAAUUUGGGAUAAAAAAUUCGGCUAUUAAAUUAAACUUUUUCUCUAUAUUUAUACUAUUAGCUAGCAUAUAUAGUAAUAAAUUCUUAAGAAUAUAAAAUAGAAAGGUACAAAAUAAAGUAGAUUAAGUAAGAAAAAUUAAUAGCAAAAUUUAUUGUCGUCUGCAUCUUCAUUUUUUUUAUAAUUCACAUAUUCUGAAAAUUUAUAAAGAUUUUUAAUAAUUCACGAAUAACUCAGAAAUAAUUCGAAAAGGAAUUUUAUCCAAAUAGUUUGCGCGUUUUUUUGGCCGAAUAGUCCGGCAUACGCGAAUUAUUUACGAAUAAUAAAUCAAAUUCAACAAUUUAUGUUUUAUUUUGUUUUUUAGAAUUAGUGGUAUGCUGUUUUAUUCGAGUUUUUAAUAAUUUAUGAAUAAUUUGAAAAUUAACUAAUUAUGCAUGUAACCACUCUUUUCCCUCUCUCUAGUUUUCUCUUUCUCUCUCUCUCUUGUUUUUCUCUCUCUAGUUGUCUCUUUCUCUCUCUCUCUCUCUUGUAUUUCUCUCUCUUCCCACAGCAGCGGCAGGAGCAGUAGAGCACCAACAAAGCGGCCAAUGCCCAACUGGCAGUUUUAAUAUCAUCUGCGCCAAGUAAACUCAGAAAAGCAGAGGCCAAAGAGAGAGAGAGAGAGAGAAAGAGAGAGAGAGAGAGAUCACAAAGAUUGGCGUGGCCAAAACGACAAAAGAAACCCCCUACAACCCUCUCUGGGAUUCGGCUCCCGUUCCAUUCCUUUUCUCCCCCUCCUCUCCUCUCCUCUCCUCUUCUCUUCUCUCCCAUUACUUCUACUAUUACUGCUGCUGCUGCUCUGCUACUUAGUGAAACCCCAUAGAGAGAGAGAGAGAGGAGGGGGAAAGAGCCACAAAAAGAAGCCAUUUUGAUAGAGAAGGGAAAUGUUGCUGGGAAUGGAGGGGGAGGAGAGCUCAGAGUGUAGCAGUGGGUGCCAAUCUGGGUGGACCAUGUACUUAGACCACUCCUAUGAGCCCCUCUCCACGCCUCCUCCUCCCCACUUCAACAAAGCCGCCACCUUUCGUGAAGCAGAAGCAGAGGAUGAAGAAGAUGCUGUAGAGGAAGAAGAAGAAGAAGAAGAAGAAGAAGAAGAGGAUCUCUCCAUGGUCUCUGAUGCAUCCUCUGGGCCACCCCAUUUCCAUGAAGAGGAGCCUCGCAACAACAACUGCAGCAGCAACCACUGCUACUGCUACUUUUGCUGCAAUGGGAAUGCCAUGUGCGCUUGCUCUGCUUCUACAGCAGCUGCUGCUUCUGCAUUGGCCAACAAUGGGGGGAAGAAGAGGAGAAUUGUUGAGCUGGAGCAUAAGCAGAGGAGGGAGGUCUCCUCUCUAAUGGAUGACACCGCAAGCUCCCCUCUCUUCAACCUUCCCAAGGUGUGGUUUUUUUUUCCCCAUUCUCUACCACUUUUAUUGGUAUAUUAUUAUCAAGUUAACUUCCUUUUUUCUCAUUUUGGGUUUGUGGGUUUUCCUCUGUUUGUAGACUACUGCUGUGGAGAGUGCUGUGGAGUUCUCCUCUGCUUUCUCUGCAACCCAUUUCAAGGUACAUUUUUUACAUACAUACAUAUAUUACCUAUUACCUUUACUUUUCUUUUUUAAAUGAUAUUGGUUGCUCCUAAAACAUGUAAACACUCCAUUUUGGCGUCGCAGGGAAAGCCUACAUUGCCCGAGCAUUCAUAUUGCAUGCAAUCCUCUUCUCCUGUUAAGGCAAGCCCAACAAGACCAGUUAAGUCAUUUUCUACUCUUUCUCUCCCACUCUCCUUAUUCUUAAUGUAUGGAGAUACUGAACAGAGAGAGAGAGAACUUUUUCUUUUUCUUUUCUUCUUCUUUUUUCCUUUUCUAACGACUCCAUCUUUGUCAAUAGGUGUGCAGGGAGAGAGGUGGAAAGAUGUGGUGAGAUAUUAUUAUCAGUUUAAACCCCCUGUAAUCAAGAGGAAGGUGUGGGAGGAGUUGCUGUAUAGAUCUCUAAGAGAUCUUCUUCUGUGUUUUCUUUCUCUUUCUUUUUUCCUUCUUAUUCUCUGUUUUUUUGUUUUGUCAAUGCAGUGGGAAACAACCUGAGCAAGAGAGAUGUGAGGGGAAAAAAAAAAAAGAAGCAAAAAAUAAAAAAAAUUUAUUUUGGUUUCUUCUUUUGUUUUUUUUUCUUCUAUCAAAUUGAACUGGUUUUUCUUUUUGUCAUGAAUGGUGGUAACAAAAUGGGGCGGUGAACUACUGUUUAGUUUCUGUCCACACUUGCCUAUGGCCUUGGAAGGUGCCACCAUGCUCUGUUUCACCUCUCUCUCUCUCUCUCUCUCUCUCUCUCUCUCUCUCUCUCUACCAACCCACACUAUGCAUCCUACAAAUGAAACAAAUGAAUACAAAGAGAGGAGGCUUCAUGGGCCAUGGCAACUACUAUCUCACCAUCAGAUUGUAUGUGGCUCAAAAUAGACCUGAUCAACUCUUCAAGCUAUAACAUGGACAGCUCUGUUUAUUUAUGUGGGCAUAUGCCUUUAGUUUUACCUACAUUCAUUCAACCUACUAAGUGCAAACAACAUAGCAAAUAUUCUAAUCUGCUGAAUAGGGGGGGCUUGUUUGAUUUUAUGGAGCUCGAGGGAGUGAACUCGUGACUUCGAUAAAAGUGGUUGUCGCCUGUGUUUGUUUCGGUACCAAAGUCGCAAGAUCAUUCAUACUCCUGCCCUGCACAGAACUUAGCUUUUCGAGUUCAGAGGGAUAGAGGAUGAAGUCGAGCUUACGAGAUUCGCAAAUUCCUCGCUCUUCGACUUUCUACUUCUAAACAACUCCUAACUUCAUGGGGCGAGUUUGGCUUGAAUUUUGAAGCAACUCAGAUUCCCUAAAACUUUAACAAGUAAAAUACUUGAAGCUUUUACUGUUCAUAACAAGUGAAAAGCAUGUGGUUCUUAGAAGGGAAAGCCCGAAUGUUGCGCGCUUUUGUUUAGAGAUUUUAACUGAAAAGUUAUUAAUGCUUUGUUGAAUAGUUCUACACGAACAAUUGGUUCAGAGAAGCUCGGACAAAGUGAGACGAAAGAACUAGGCCUCCUUUAGUUUUCAUGUACUGCAUUGUGUUGUGCGACAAAAAACUAUAUCAACUUAUCUUCAAUGUAGUAUCAUUGAAAUUAAAGCUUCUCGUUCGUAGUCUCUGAAUUUUACUUUUCUUUGUCCUUACAGUGGAAGAUUCAGAUCUCUUUUCAAACACUCUAGUAAUAAUAAACAUUAUUGCCAAAUGCAGAAGCAAAAGCGAUACCAAACAGGAUCUUAACUUGAAAAAAAGAAUUUUUGAAACGAAGUGAUGAUGGAAUUAAGAGCUUUGAUGAUGAACACCCAAGAGAGAGAGAGAGAGAGAGAGAGAGAGAGAGAGAGAGAGAGAGAGAGAGUGAGUGCCAAAGAGAUGGUCACUUUCACCACCAGGGUGGCCUAAGACACUCCCUAUUGAUGUGCAAGGUGCAGAGCAUAUCUCAUUGGUGUCAGUGAGUGAUUUUAAGUCACACUUUGGAAAGAUCAAGCUGGAGCCCUUUCCACUAUUGGGGUGCCAGCACAACUUCAUCAGAAGGGGGGUUCAUAUUUGGGAUGCACAUCCAUCAUGUGUGUGAUGCAACAACAGCUAAGGGAGUGAUGAGAGACAAUCAUGGAUUUUGCUUCACCAUUUUGAAAAAUUCCUUCUUGGUUUAUUUUACCUCAGGGUAAAAUACAUGGACAUGUUUCUGUAUGUUACAAAUUGGUUCAACAAUUGUUUCAUUUUUGUUAGUAAAUUAAGCAACAAACUAAAACACAUUAUAUGUGAAAGUUGGGACAUUACUAAAGGUGUAGGGAACCAGUUGUCAUAUGGGGAUAGAACAGGGACCAUUCAUAUAUUUUAUCUCUGUAAUAUUUGGGACUCUAUAGUUUUGUUUUACAAGGAGAAAGUAAAAGCACUGUAUUUGCUAGUGAUGUUCUCUGGCAGAGUAAUGCUGACCCUGGUCCUAUCACACAGUGAGCCAUGUACUGCAAGAGGGAUUGUCUCUGAUUCUGGGGACAAAGUUCAUUUGUGCUUCACUUUAAUUACUCCCUGUGUGACAUUAGGUUUGGUUAGUAACUUAAAAAGAAAACAGUUUUAAAGAGUAAUAAAAAGUGAGUCAAAAGAAAAAACUACUUGGCCUUAGUUGAUGGUGAUAUUAUUAUUAUUAUUAUUAUUAUUAUUAUUAUUAUUGCAUAAAUGACUUUUAGUUCAAAUUCUAGCAUUCAUUCCCUGACACUCUAAUAGUGCAGGUCAAACAAGUUUCUUACACUAGUGAACUAGAUUUAAAAUAUUAUAUUAAAGUCUGAGUACUCAUAGUAAUAGACUAAUUUUAAUAUGUUACAAGUCGAAGCUAUGAGAACUAAAUAUUAUAUGGAACAGAAACUAUACAAUUAGUAUUUUAAGAAUCAUCUUUUAAAUAUGUAGGAGUCAUGUCUAAAAUUUCACACCACUUAAAAAUUUUGAACUAUGAUUGUGUGUCAUCAAAUCUAAUAAAAGUGCUGGGGUUCUAAAUCGGAGGAAUUAAAUUGUGACACUCUAAUCGUUAAACAUCAGAUAACAUGAUGGACUUUGACGAUCAUAUAUAGCACCAAAUUGUUUGAGCUCUACAAAUUCUUAAUACUAGCGGGGCUAGUUACAUCAUUACAAUAAUAGUAUGACAAUAGUAAUAAUAAUAAUAAUAAUAGUAGUAGUAGUAGUGUAGUUAGGGAUGUCAAUGGGUGUGGAUACCCGAAAUUUUAUCCGAAUCCGAAUCCGAAUGAAACGGAUAUAUUCGAUGGAUAUGGAUAUGGAUUCGAAUAUGGAUAUAAAAAAUAGAAAUCCGACGGAUAUGGAUUCGGAUAUGGAUUUUGAUUGUACCCGACCUGAACCCGAACCAUAUAUAUAUAUAUAUAUAUAUAUAUAUAUAUAGAGAGAGAGAGAGAGAGAGAGAGAGAGAGAAUAGGGCUAGAAUACUUGUAAAAGUAUCAUGGGGGUGAUACUUGUGUGUUUUUAGCCCUUGGAUGGAGAGAUGUGAGGUUGAGAUGAUGGUAGUAGGUGGUGGUAGGUGGAAUAGUGUUUAAUCCAAGGGCUAUUAAUAAUCAAAAAGUAGAUCCAAUGACUUAAAACCUAUAGCACCAUGAUGAGGAUACUUGUAAAAGUAUCAUUGAUUUGAACGCCCUAAGAUCGAAAACAACACUAUAGUACGGGAGCUUCCGUACUAUAGAUAGUAAAGUAGCCUAAUUCUAUAUAUAUAUAUAAGCACGUAUUUCAAAUUUGGGUCUAUCGACAGACCCACUUUUUAGCGAGAAAAAUAUUGAUUUCUCUUUCCGUACGUAAAAUAAAUAACGUAAUGAAACAAACAUUUCAUUUCUGUUAAUCUCUAAAAUAGAAAAAAAUAUACUUAUCUAAAUUUUUGCCAACCGAAAGAUAUCUACUGUGAAUCUAUAUUUUAAUUAAAAAAUUAUUUAAUUUUUUAUCUCUAAAAUAGAAAAAUAUUCUCAAAUAAGAACGAACGAUUAUGACUAAUUUGUUAAAAAAAAAUAUUUAUACUUAUCUAUAACUUUAAUUCUAUGAAUGAGUAUGAUCAAUUGGUUAAAAAUAUUAAAAAUGAACGAUUAUGAUCAAUCUAUUAAAAAAAGCACUUUUAUUCAUUCAUUUUACAUUAAAAUUUAAAUUUGAGUUCAAAUCGUGAAUUAAAUUAAAUUUAAAAAAUAUAGAAAAAUGUCCAAUGUAUAUCUAUAUCUAUCCUAUAUAUAAAUUUUAUAAAAUAAAAAUAUAUAUAUAAUUAUUGUUGACAACAACUAUUUAAAUUUGAGUUAGAAUAUAUAUAACAGGUAUUUUCUAAUAGUACAUAAUAAAUAAAUUUAUUUUUAAAAAAUAUUAUAAAUUUUUGAAUAAAUAUGAUGUACAAUUUCAUAUUAAUUUAAAAUAAUUAUUAAAUAAUUAAUUGUUACGUAGAUUUGUAAGUACACUCAAUUCACUCAAUUAGUAUAUAUAUAUAUAUAUAUAGAGAGAGAGAGAGAGAGAGAGAGAGAGAGAGAGUUGAGCUAGAAUACUUGUAAAAGUAUUAUGUGAGUGGUGCUUUUGAGUUUUUAGCCAUUGGAUGGAGAGAUGUGAGGUUGAGAUGAUGGUGAUAGGUGAUGGUAGGUGGAAUAGUGUUUGAUCCAAGGGCUAUUAAAUAUCAAGGAAUAGAUCCAAUGGCUAAAAACCUAAUAGCAUCAUGGGGGUAAUACUUAUAAAAGUAUUCUAGCUCAAUUUUAUAUAUAUAUAUAUAUAUAUUUUAAAAAUUUAGAUUUAAUAUAAUAUAUUUUGAAAUAUUGAAAAAAGAAAUAAUUGUUUCGGGUUCAAAUUUUCGGAUUCGGUUUCGGGUUCGAGUUCGGGUCUCAGGUUUGGAGUCGGGUUCGGGUUCAGAUUUUUUAAAAUCCGACCCGUUGACAUCUCUAAGUGUAGUAGUACGAAAGAAUGAGAUCUUUCAUAUCAUGCAUGAUCACAUAGAUACCAAAAUUAUACCAAUUAAAUAAGUAGAAUCUAUGAUCCCUCAGUUAUCAACUUUGGCUAAAAUCCAGCUAUCUACUUGUCCCAAUUUUUAAUUUUUAUAAUAUUUUGGACCUCCAAGGCUGUCCCCUCUGAAACGAGGAAUUCUACACUAUUACACUUGCACCACAUCAUUAAUAACAAGCCAAUCAUCUUUCUUUUUUUCAAACAAAACUACAAAAGUACAAUAAAAAUAUUUUUUUGAUAAUCAUGAUGGGACAUAUAUCUUUAAAAAAAGAUUUUUGAUUAAUUUGUUAUACCACAUCACCAAUAUAUCCGUUAUAUUCUAGAAUUUUUCCUCUGAAACCAUUCUUGGGUCGUGUGGCAUGCAAAUUUAUUCACUAAUAAUAAAAUAUUUACCCCAGUCAAUCUUUUUGUCUCCCUGCAUUGGGUCUCCCCUGAAUAAGAUAAACAAAUAAUUGAAAACCAAGUAUAAAAAAAGGGCAGAAAAAGGAGAUACACUGGGGUGGUUUGGAAUGUUCACCCAUCACACUCUCUCUCUCUCUCUCUCUCUCUCUCUCUCUCUCUCUCUCUCUCUCUCUCUCUAUUGUUUUUUCUUUUUCUUUUUUAAUCUCUCUCUCUCUCUCUCCCAUCCAUUUAUGUAUCCAAAUUAUCCACAAGAUCUCAUGAACAGGGACUAAAGAAACCAAAGAAAAGGUUGCUGCUUCAUUGCAGCCCAUCAUGCUGGGUGACAAUCUAAAGAGGUAUGGAAUCAACAUCUCUGUGUUCCCAAUAACCCCAACCCCUCCUUUAAUUCCUUUGUGUGUUUGUGUGUGUGUGUGUGUGUGUGUAGAGAGAGAGAGAGAGAGGAGUUUCUCUCUCUAGCUAUAUACUGAAGCAAUUCCUUUGUCUCUGUGUUUAUUUUAUAUCCCUUGCAUGUGUUCCUACUUGGGUGAUGCUCCCACUCCUCUUUACAGUAUUCAUCACCCACAACACCUUGAGAUAAGCCUCAUUUGGCUCAUAUAUAUAUAUGCUCUCCUGCUAAAUAGCUAUUAUUGCCUAUGCCAGGUCCAUAGACUCAGCCAUUUGUAGACUCAAAAGGAAAACUAUUUGGGAAACGCGUACUGUACUCUACAUACGUGAACUAUUGUUCAUUUUGAUUUAUCUAUUCAAUAUUUCAAAUUUUUAAUUUUACUAUCUAAUCUUUCAAUUUAUUUAAUUUGAGUCGGUCAAUAAAAUUUUAAUUUCAAAUUUUGAAUACGUCAUUUAUCUUUAUAGAUUUGGCUAAUAUACUUCGUGCAGUUCUAAUAACAAAAAAUUCAUUAAAGUAAUUAGCUUAACUGUUGAAGUUAAAAUAUCGUCGAAUGGCUCAAAUCAAACAAAUUAAAAGAUUAAAUAGCAAAAUUAAAAUUUUAAAAGGUUGGGUAGAUAAUUCAAAAUGGUUUGCAGUUCAAGUAAGUUAUGUACACUUUUACCAAAAAUUUUUUGGAACAGUUAUUCCUGUAGAAAUAAUAACAUCUAAUUAAAAAGUUCUUGCAUGCUUGCACAGAAAAAAAGAGAUAAAAAUACUUUUUUCAAUUUAAUUCAAUAAAAAAUUAUUAUAUUGUUUAUUAUUAAAACAUUCACUAUCUCAGAUGACAUAAUAGAAUUAAUUUAACACAAAUGUUAUGUAAAACACUUCAAAAUGAUCCAUAGUUGAGGUGAGUUUGUAAGUUUUUACCAAUUUUUUUUGGAACAGUUGUUUCUAUAGAAAUAAUAACAUCUAAUUAAAAAUUUCCUGCCUGUAAAAACAUAAAAAAGUAAUUUUAUUCAAUUUAAUUUUAAUAUUAAAUUAUUAUAUUGUUUUCUAGUAAGCCCCUUACUAUCUCAUAUGACUAAAUAAAAUUAAUUUAACACAUAUAUUGGGUAAAAUACUUCAAAAUAAUACAAAGUUCGAAUAAGUUUGUAUGCAUUUAUCAAAAAAAUUUUGGAACAGUUGUUUUCAGUAGAAAUAAUAACAUCUAAUUAAAAAAAGUCGCUUGCAAUUUUUUUUUUUUUUCAGAUAUAGAUAGCACGCUAGCCGCUUCGUUUAUUUUAUUUACAAGCAAAAAAUAUAAAAAUAAUUUUUUUCAACUUAAUUUUAAUAUAAAAUUAUUAUAUUACUUUUGAUUAAACCCUUACUGCCUCCGACGACUAAAUAGAAUUAAUUUGACACAAAUAUUAGGCAAAAUACAAUAUGUAUUUCUUAACCAAUCAGUAGUUUUCACAUAUGUAUGACUUUAAUUUAAGAGUUAAUUUCAUACAGAUCCUUACAAAUAAAGUAAAUGACAAAUAUAACUAUAUAAGGUUCAACUUUUAUAUAUUGUUACUGUAAAAGUUUUAAUAUUUUCAAAUAUAUUCUUCUGAUUUGUUACUGUUAAACAACUAUUAGAAAACUGUUUAUAUUUUUCAAUUUUGAUAUCACAAAUAUGUCCCUCCAAAAGCCAUAAUUAUAUAACAUAAAAAAAUAAAAAUGUCAAAAAUUAACUAGGAUUAAGUAUUUAACCUAUGGUUAACUAAAUUUUUCUAACAAAUUUUAACGACAGGGACAAAUUUGAAAACAUCAGGACUUUUGAAAGUUGAACUUUGUAUGAGUAUAUUUGUCAUUCACUAUGUUUACAUACAGAGAGGCCUGUAUAAAAUUAACCAUUAAUUUAAGAUCUAUUUUUCGGAAAAAGAGAAGUACUUAACUAUGUAAGUAUACUGGACAAUGAUAGACAAAAUAUCUGUUCAGGAAAAAAAUAAAAAUAAAAAAAAAUCUGAAAGAGGCCUCUCCUUUUGGGUUGUGUACAAUUUCAACUCGGUACGGUCCACUGAUGACGUGGUAAACCGGGCGCAUGAGACAAUUCCCUGGAAACUUUUCCUUUUGACCGGUAAUUAGCGUGUGCACAUUCGGGAGCCCAAAACCGUUGUGCGAGGCAUGUGCACCCAACCAGUGCACACCCCCACAUGCUCGCACGUGCGCCUCGCCUCGGCACGCACGCAACACACGGCCCCCACAUGUGCCGCGCACACGUGCGCAUGUGUGCCCGUUGAGCGCUCCGAUGCCCCCGGUUUCGCGAAUCUCCAGAAGACACACAUACACACAGGGCUGCAGAUGCGCGCGCGCGCGCACACCAGAGCCACAUCCAUAUGUGUAAAUUUAUUGGCUGCACCCGGUGUACAAGCACAGCUCAUACACCAAGUUUCUAAAAUCAUCUUAAGGGAAAAAAAAAGGGCUCCUUCUUUAAUCAGAAAUUUAAUUUAAAUUUGAUUUGCAUACCUUCGUAUAUUGCCUCCACAGAUCAUAAAAUUUUCACACAAAUUUCUUGCGAGCCGACCUACGUUCCAGUGAUAAAAUUCAGACUAUUCGAUCGCUAAAUAAUAAAAAACAUAAUUAUUAUAAAUGCAUAUUUUAAAUGAUGCAGAUGGCAUCAAUUAUAUUAAAAUUUUUUAAUUUUUAAAAAGAGAGAUAAUACGUAAUAUAUUUUUUUAAAAAAAUUUAAGAAAUAUUCAGCCAAAACUCCCAUUGGGGAUUUCAAAUCUUAAAAUUCUUAAAAGAGUUUACUAAUAAGAAUUGAAUUUUUAAAAUGUAUUUUAGAUAAAGAAGAAUAUAUUUGAAAAUUUUGAAUAGUAUUGAGGGUAAAUAAGUGAAAAAAAAAAAAACAAGAAGAGUGCGGCGUGUGAAGUAUAAGUAAGUAUAGGGAUACGUACGCAUGGUGCAGGGGAUAAAUCCUCGCACGUGCUGAAGCUCAUGAACCAAGAGAUGAGCACGAGCCCGGUUCGAGGUUUGGGUUCGAGGCCGAUCGCAUGGGAGGCCAAACCGGGUCUGACUCGCACUAGCGAAGCCACGUGCCGCGCAUGGGGGGUCGCGAUUCCGUAACGUGUGUUGUUGCGUCGGUGCUCGUGAUGGGAAUGUGCAGCAAAUGCAGAGGGUUCUUCGCACUUUGAGAUUCGCGAUGUUGUUGUUGCCUUUUAGAUCCCAGUUUUUAUUUUUUAUUUUAUUUUAUUUUUUAUGGGAAUCAAUUGAAUAAUAAGAACCAACCUGAGUUCUAUUUGCAUGAAUCAAUAUUUUAAUCGAUAUUUGUUUUAAAUCCGGCCUUUGCUUGAUACAUCAACAUUGAAAGUAAAAUUUAUUCUAUGAAAUAUCUCGAUUUCUAUUCGAAGAUCGCGAAGACAGGAUCAAACCAAACCACUUGCUCCAACGAAUCAAAUAUAAGAUCACAAGAUGAAAAUUGCAUUAGUUUUCACAAUCCAAAUGUUAAAUCCUCUAUGUAGAGAGUUCUCAGUAAUGGGGAGAGCAAUCUUAUUAGAAGAAGAAGAAUUAGAAAACCAGAACUUUCUUUCACACUUCUUCCCUCUCUUUUUUUCUGUGCACGUUUGUAACUGCACGUACUGGGUGGUUUCCCAACCAACUAAGGAAACCGUCUCUUAAUGGGUCGGAUUGGAUUUGUCCAUCAUGGGCGACCUGAAAUCCGAUUAAAAAACCAACAAACAUUAUAUUCAAUAUAUUUUUUCUGUAGAAAACUUAUUUCAUACUAAGUAUACCAUCAUUAAAUAUCUUAUUUAGACAUUCAAACAAAUUAUAAAAUAUAAAAUAUAUGAAUAGCUCAAACUUUAGUAAAUUUUAUAACCACCACCGCCACCACCACUAUACUAUACAGAAUAAUUAGUUUUAUUUCAAAAGAUAGAUGCUUUGAAAUCCGGAUAGUUUAUUAAUAAGCAUAACACAGUAGCAUAAUAGAAGAUUUUCAGCCCAAUUAUAUUUGAAUCCAAUUGGUAAUGUCUCACGGGGUAGAAAAUCAAAAGGGAUUAUUUUUCUCUGGAAAAACUUCAAAAACUCCCCUGUGGUUUCGUAGUUUCUCACUUUGCUCCCCUGCGGUUUAAAAUUAUCAAUUUGCCCUCCCUAUGGUUUCUUUUUUCUCUUUUUCUUAUCAAUUUUAUUAUUUUUUUUCUUAAAUCAGUGAUAAAAUUAAUUUAAAUGGUACUAAAGUAAAUAUUUGAUAAAUCUAGAUGGGUAUCUGAAAUUUUUUAUAUAUAAUUUAAUGAAAUAUUAACGAAAAAUCUACCAAAAAGAUAAAAACGAAACCACAUGGAGGCAAUUUGAUACAUUUUAAACCACAUGGGAGCAAAGUGAAAAACUACGAAAUCACAGGGGAGUUUUUGAAGUUUUUUCUUUUUCUUUUUAUAAUCCUUGUUGGCAAACAAGAAUAUAAGUGGUGUACACAUCUUGCAGUGGCUCGAGUCCAAUUUAGAAAAAAGCUGGUUUCUAGUACAUGUCCACUAAAUCUUUACAAAAGGACCCUACUUAGAGCGCCAAAAAUUAAAAAAAAAGAAAAAGAAAAAGUGAAGUAGCUUACUAAAGUUUUACUAUUGUUAGCUGCGAUCGUUGUGAUAUCUCAUUUUGAUCACAUUUAACAAAAAUGAUAAACCUACUAUCCUUAGAGUUGAAAUUAGACCUGAUGAACUCUACUGGCACUGAAAUGCGUGUUAUAAAUUUAUGAUUAAUUCGGUAUAUUUGGUGAUUACUGAUAGCAAAAUACGUGAUGUCUUACUUCAAAGAGUUUGAAAUCGAUCCCUAGAUCUCGAUAAAAAAAAAAGUAGGAUUUCACUAGACUGGUUCUUGAAAAAAAAAAAAAAAAAAAAGCUAUACUCAAGAGAGGUCCAAUAGGGGACCCCUUGUGUGUAUUAUAUAUGUGAGGAUGAAACUGAAUCCGGAGAACUUAUUCACAGGAUAUAUAUGUUUUCCUCAGAUUCUUUCUAGUAAUGGCUCUUAAGAGGAAGUAUGAUUAUAAAAAUGACGCUAGGGUCUUGUGGAAAAGGAUGAUGGGUAAGAACAACCACCAUAAGGGUGCGUUUGGUUCGCGCUAUCUUUUUAAGAUUUCUAUUAAUCCAAUAAGAAUAAAAAAAUAUAACGGUAUUUGGCUAAACGCACUAAGUAAUCUAAUUUGUAAUAUUGGAUUUACUUAGAAAUGAGAUUCCUUGAGAGAGAGUGGGUAUCCUCAUAUUAAUGGAUUAGAGUAAUCAUAAUAUGUCUAAUCUCUUUCUUUCUACCUACCUGCCAGCUAGUUGGUAUUAUUUUUUUCUACACUCUAACCUCAUAUCUCUCUCUAAACUUAUCUUGUUCUCUCUAAACUUCAACUUUUUUUCUCUCUCUAAACUAAGCUCUCUCUCCCGGUCUCCCCCUCUUUUUCUAAAGUCUCAAUUCUCCCACUCCCUCUAACCUCGAUUCUAUUUCUCUUCCUAUUUUCUUUAAUUAUGCUCAGCUCUCUCUCUAACCUAUAUUCUCUCUCCUUUUUUUCUAAAAAAAUAUUAAAAUUUUUUAUAACAUUAUCUAAAAUUAAUUAACAAAAUAAAUAAAUAAAUUGUAUAGUUUUCGUAAUCUUAAAUAACAUGACUAAAUAAUAUGACCGUGCGAACCAAACACCGGAAUGCCAUAUUCUUAGUAAUAGAAUGAAUAGAAAUAAGGUUCUCGGACAUUUUUUUACUCCUAGUAAUAUUUUAUAGUGGGAACCAAACGCCCCCUAAUAGUAAAAUGAACCUCAUCUGAACUAAUGGUACGCUGAUGGAUGACAUGAAUAAUGAGAAAUAGUGCUAUCCUUAGGAACCUUAAUACGGAUCGGCCAUAAGCAGUAAGCAAGGUACAUAGGUUGGUGGGUCAGUGGGGAGAAAAUUUACUGUAUCAUACUUGCACAACAUCAUCAAUAAUAAACCAACAUAUCUCUUUAUUUUUAAAAAAAAAGUAUAACAAAAAUAUUUUUUUAUAAUUACGAUGGAACAAAUAAACUCAAAAUAAUCAUUUGAUUGAUUGGGAAGGCCACGUUACUAAUAUAACGGAUGCAUUCUAAAAAUUUUCGUCAGUGAGAAGAGUUUUUUCUUUUCUUUUCUUUUUCCAGGCACUCCAUGCAGUAAAUCAGGAGGCCUUGAGUUUUCCUUAUUACUUUUCUUCUUUUUUUCUUUUUUUAGGCCAACUGUUCUACACAUAUAGCUUACUCUAUUUUCUUUCUGAAUAAAUGAAGCGUAUAAAAUGCUGUCCUUCUUUCUGAAAAAAAAAAAAUUGAUUGAUAAAAAUCCUAAUCGCAAAAUGAAAAUCAGACGAGAUAUUAAUGAUGA
rnacentral:lncRNA from 1 species